GUUUACUUUCACUCAAUCUCAUAAUAAAUUUUUUUUAUUUUUCCUCCGUUUUAUUAACUCCCUUUUUUUGGGGCCCUUUCCUCUAAAGACCACAUCCCCCCCAUCGGCGAUCCACCGGCAUCUCCCGGUCCGCGCCGCCGAUCGCCGGAGCUGCUCCGCCGCGCCGCCCCCGAAGCUCGCCGCCCUCAGCCACCGUGCACGGUGAGUCCUCCAUUCGCGGCCCCCGUCUCUGUGCUGCGGCCGCCUUGAAAAGCGGUUCCUUCAGUGUGUUUUGUGUGCGCGUGGGCGUGCGUGCGUGCUUUUGGUGGUGCGUAACCCCACCGAGAUUCGCGAGCUCAACUCGACCUCGAUUCGCUCGAGCUCCGGAUCGCAGCGCCGCGAUCCGAGGCCCCCCGAGCUCGAGUCUCAGCUGGAGUCACUGUGAGUGUUGAUUAUCUGCUUAAUCUCUCCCGUAAUCUUCUCGGUUAAUCGCUCGCCGAUUCGCAGUUGGGCGGGAUACGGCGGAAUUCGCCGUUGUCCGGCUUCCAUCAGGUGAUUCUGUGCCAGGAUCUUGGUGAUUUGGCGCCCUAGUUGAUUUUGAACUGCGAAAUGAUGCUUUUUGCUGUUGAUUACAGUCGUUCGGGUCGAUUUGUCCGGCUUCCAUCCGCUAGGGUUUUGUGUUACUUCGCCUUUGCUCGGUGCUAGUGGAGUAUUGGUGUAAUUGAGGUCAAGUACAAGUCGUGGACACUCGGGCUUUUGGUGUUUUGACUUUCGAGGUAGGGUAGAGAAGUACUAGGCGAGUCUUUCUAGGGUUUUGAGCUGGUGCUGCUCACUCUGUAGUCUGUACGGUUUAAAUGUUUUCUGGUUCUGUCUCUGUGACUUUAGGCUUUACGUCAUAGCCCGCUGACUCGUCCUUGGUCCUUUGCGACGUUGAGAUUAUCUGGAUGCGAUGCAUGAUUAGUCGGUUUGAUUGCAUGGGGAAAUGAUAAAGCAACUCAAUUAGAGUUUUGUAGCCGUAUUUAUUGCUUAGUAUACUGUGCUGGAACAGUUGGCUCGAGUUAGCAUUAUCGUUUGCAUUUGGAGAUUGAUUAGAUAAGAACCGUGACAAAUAAUUCUCAUGAAAAAUAUACAUACCAGUCUUGCUUUUCAGAUCUUCAUUUAUGUUUGUGCUGUAGGAAAUCAAAUUCUCUCUCAUAAAGCAGCAUAUUAUGCUGAGAACCAAAAUAGCAGUUGAAUUUCCUAAAGUUUUUACGAUGCUUGCCAGUCAUGUUCUUGGUUAAUGUCACUUGAUUUAUCCAUUUAAUUUUUCUUUUUUUCUCAAAGAAGGAUCAUUUGAUAUGGUGAGUUAUUGUUGACACCUGAAAUUUUGCCGACAAAUCAAGUUUCCAUCUUUUUAAAACCAAGAAAAAUAAUAAUAAAUCUAUAAACAAGAGAGUCCAAUUUGGACAUUUAUGCAAGGAUCUAAACCCAUAGUCUAACUCGCUCACUUUGGCCCGGUCUACCAACCCAGCCCCUAGCCAAGCCCAUCAGGAAUUGGGCCGGCCCAUCAUCCUAGCCCAUGAAGCCCAAAUUUAAAGUCGGAUUAAGCAACUUCUGUACAGGCCCAGAUUUACAAUUUUAAGUCGGAGCCCAUAAAGCCCGGGAGAGUUUGGCCCAUAAAGCGCGCACGUGCAGGGAAUGAGAAGAAAGAACGAAUUCUGGCAAGGGACACGUAACAAAGGACCACAUUACACCAGAUAGCACUUCACGGACUGACAAAAUUUCCUUCUCUCUACUUACAAUUCCAGAGAAUUCGUAGUCCAUUCUUGUUCUCCGGACAUCGCUCGCAGUUGCCGUGGUUGAUCGUCACUUCAAUCUAUCUCCACCGCCGAAGAGGUGGUUGAGAAUCACCUGUAUGAAAAUUGAUAGAAUAAUUGUAUAUUAAACCGCAUCUUCAUCUAAAAACUUAAGUUUUUAAAACAGCGGUUUUACAAAAUCUUGAAAUUAAUCAUGGUGUGUUCUUUCAAGUGUUCUUCUUCUUUUUUCUUCUUUUUUUUCUUUUUUUUUUUUUAAUGUUCGUAGGAUCCAGUUUAGAUACGUUUGAAUCCUUUCUGCUGUUCUACUUGAUUUCGCCGAGGAUAAUGUUCUGCCUACGGAAGUUGAACAGGAAUGAAAGUGAGAACGAUGGAGGCUCGAAGAAGUGAGAGUUUUGUGAUCUGCGAUUGAGUAAUAGUUUAUGCAUGUUUGCGAAACAGAAGAAAAGAAGUGGAACGGUAGCAGAUUCAUGACGAAGAAGAAGAACUCGUGCCUUGUGGUGUAACGGCGUUGGACUAAGAAAGAAACGAAAGGAAAUAAAAAAAAAAAACAAUAAGUAAAAUUAAUAAAUUAAACAUAAUAAAUAAAAAAACUAAAAAUAAAAUGCGGAAUAAAAAUGAUUGGAAAGUGUGAGUCCUAGCUAGACAGUUGCAGCUUGGAAAUAAUUUUAAUCGAAUUUCAUUUGAUUCGAAUUCAUCUAGUUUAAGAGUAAUUAUAUUUGGAUUUCGAAAUAAUUUGAUUUUUUAGUUUUUAUUUUCUUUUAGACGAAAUGGAUAAGCAGACAAAAAAAAAACAAUAACAAAGAAAAGGAUAAAAAAAAAAAUCUCAUUUGCUUCAUAUUAGAAUUACUUUUACGGGUCAUUUUAUUGAUUUCCGUCUUUAAUAUCGUUAGUGUAAUUCUCUUUAGUUGAAAUUAGACUUUGACUUUGAUUUUGAAAAUUAGCUCACGGUGGUCAUGCCUGGCUCAAUAAUAAGGCAAUAAAUAUACUUUACUCCAUUCGUACCGGAUUAUUUUACUGCACUCUACUUUUUGUUGUCAAUUUUUAUACCGCAUUUGAGUAUAGUGAGGUAUUAGCUCAUGGGAAUCAUAGCUAGGGACUUAAUAACAAGACCAUUUUUUUUCUAACUCAUAUUGGAUUAAUGUCACAAAAAACCCCAAACCAGUAUAUCUAUAAUAAAUUUAUCUAAAACAAUUUUUUUGAAAAAUAGCCUAGUUAAAUAAAUGCACGAGGCAAAUAAGUAGCUAAUAUUUUCGUUGUUGUUAGGAGCAAGAAGUACCUUAAAGAAUGGCCCAACCUUUUGGCCAUGAUGUUUGUGGACUCGAUAAGUAAGAUUAAAGACCACGAAUUAGACUCCUCCGCUAACUUAUUUGUCCAUCAAUCAAGAAAAGCACCAUAAAUUCCUAAUGAGACCUUUCGUGGGGUGGGGUUUGUACGGGAUGAUAUUACACCAGGCCGAUUCCCACGACACCAGAGAAUGGAAAAGACCUCAGGCGACGGAAAUGCCCGUCGCUAAAUUGUAAAAUCUCGUUCCCGUCUCUCGCUAGGGACGGAAAAGGGGCUGAAUGGAACCGCUCCAGAGCAUGAGCAAGUUUUCUUUUGUCAUUUAAAUAGUAAUAAGAGCAUCUUUAUCUAAUAGUUACCGUAUCGAUUGAAGUAGUGCAAGAAUUCAUGAUCUAUUGUUCACUCUCAAAAUGUUUAAAUUGUGCCAAGAAUUCAUGUUUUAGAAUGAAUAACGAGAAAUAUUUUGAAAAGGUUUGGAGAUAGAGAAAUGACCCAUCCACUUAUUUUGAUGUGUAUAUGUCUACACAAUGAGUGAAGAAUUUUUUUGUUGUCUGUGAGAUCUUGUCUUGAAUGGUCCCAGUAACAUGGGAUAUACAUGGUGCAAUGUUGUACCGAGCAAAUUUUUCUCAAAGGUUAAUUUCCUCACUCGGAAAUAACGAAACGUGAGUAGAGUCAAGAAGAAGACAAAUUGCUUCACCUUUUAUGCUUAGUUAAGACAAAACUUUGUGUAAUUGCACGAUAAAAUGGGGUACCGCAUACACAAUAGCAAACAGUUUGCUCUGUUUUUACUUAACUAGACAAUAUGAACAGAACGACCAAGCCCAGGGAAAAGUAGAUGCGUCAUUGAAUGACUAAGUGCGGGUUAUGUUAGAUGAUGUUCGGCAAGUACUAAAAAUUUGCUCUGCCGUGCAACGACAUAAUAUUCUUAUGAGUAGAAAUUAUCUUCAACUGGUCUCCUUGAGCACAUAAUUUAUCUCGAUGUGAAGUUAAGACUGAUAGAACAAGAAGAAAUGCAUGACUGGCUAUUUUACUCCUAGAAUUGCGUUCAAAUGAUUCAAAACGUCAAGUUUUGUUCCUUUGGUCACAGCAAUGCAAGCUCGGUUGUGCCUUUGUCGACAUGCCGCGAUUUCAUUAGUUUCCUAUAACAAGCGAACUUCUAUAAUAUUUGCAAAAUACAACCAAUCGUACUUUGAAAUUAAGAUCUUUUCAUAGAUAUCAAUGGUGCCCACAACAGUAUAUUCUGGUCUCUGGUUUCUAUCCGUUUUGUCAUAAACAAACCAAGCAGUAGAAAAAUAGUAGACAACAAUGUUGGGCUAAUGCACAAUCCAAACAACUAUAAUUGUGUGGGAGUAACAAUCUGCACAAGACAAUGGCCAAUUCCACCUCUACCUCCCGUCAAUAAGGGAGACUAAUCAAAAUUCUAAACAAUCUUAAUUUCUCUUAAUGGAUUACACAAUAGAAAUUACAUUCAUCAUAAGUGACCAAAGAAAAUGUUCACCAAUCGUAAUUCUAAAUGAAAAUAGCACUAAUAUCACAAACAAAAAGGACCCACAUAGUGCAAUCAUCGAAAGGGGUCAGAUGGGCACCCAAAGUCUUCAAUUUCAACCCUAUAAUCACACCAUUUCAUAGACUUUUUUGCCACUAUCCUUUCAUAGACUUUUUUGCUACCAUCCUAAUGAGUAACCAAAGUCUUCAAUUUCGACCCUCAAAUCACACCAUUUCAUAGACUCUUUUGCGAUUAUCCUUUCAUUGACUCUUUUGUCAUUGUCCUAAUGAGUAAUCAAAGUCUUCAAUUUCGACCCUCAAAUUGCAGCAUUUCAUACUCUUUUGUCAAUAUCUUAACGAGUAACCAAAGUCUUCAAUUUCGACCAUGAAAUCGUACCAUUUCAUAGACUUUUUUACCGCUGUCCUAACAAGCAACCAAAGUCUUCAAUUUUCACUCUCCAAUUGUACUGUUUCAUGGACUUUUUUUGCCGCUGUCGCAUCCUGUUGUUAUAUGACCCAUUGGUUUGCCAACUACCAGGCAAAUAAAGAUCUAUGGGUUGAAUUUUCAGUCAAUCAUUUGUCAAUUCGGCCCCGAAGGUUUUUAUUAUGUUCCCUAGUAGCUACACAUUAGGCCGAUUCCCACCACCACCAGAAAAUGGAAAAGACCUCAGGCGACGGAAAUGCCCAUCGCUAAAGUGUAAAAUCUCGUUCCCGUCUCUCGCUAGGGACGGAAAAGGGACUGAAUGGAACUGCUCCAGAGCAUGAGCAAGUUUUUUUGUCAUUUAAAUAGUAAUAAGAGCAUCUUUAUCUUAUAGUUACUGUAUCGAUCGAAAUAGUGCAAGAAUUCAUGAUCUAUUAUUCACUCUCAAAAUGUUUAAAUUGCUCCAAGAAUUCACGUAUUAGAAUAUAUGACAAGAAAUAUUUUGAAAAGGUUUGGAGAUAGAGAAAAGACCCAUCCACUUAUUUUGAUGUGUAUAUGUCUAUACAAUGAGUGAAAAAAAAAAUUUGUUGUUUGUGAGAUCUUGUCUUGAAUGGUCCCAGUAAUAUGGGAUAUGCAUGGUGCAAUGUUGUACUGAGCAAUUUUUUCUUAAAAAUUAAUUUCUUCACUUGGAAAUAACGUCGGUAGAGUCAAGAACAAGAUGAAUUGCUGCACCUUUUAUGCUUAGUUAAGACAGAACUUUGUGUAAUUGCACAAUAAAAUGGGGUACCGCAUACGCAAUAGCAAACAGUUUGCUGUGUUUUUACUUAAGUAGGCAAUAUGAACAGAACGACCAAGCCCAAGGAGAAGUAGAUGCGUUGUUGAACGAUUGAGUGCGGGUUAUGUUAGAUGAUGUGCGGCAAGUACUAAAAAUUGGCUCUGCCGUGCGACAACAAAUCUUCUUAUGAGUAAAAAUUAUCUUCAACUGGUCUCCUUGAGCACAUAAUUUAUCUCGACAUGAAGUUAAGACUGAUGGAACAGAAGAAAUGCAUGACUGGCUAUUUUACUCCUAGAAUUGCGUUCAAUGAUUCAAACAUCAAGUUUUGUUCCUUUGGUCACAGCAAUGCAAGCUUGGUUGUGCCUUUGUCGACAUGCCAGGAUUUCAUUAAUUUCCUAUAACAAACGGAAUUCUAUAAUAUUUGCAAAAUACAACCAAUCGUACUUUGAAAUUAAGUUAUUUUCCUAGAUACCGAUGGUGCCGACAACUGUAUAUUUUUGUCUCUAAUUUCUAUCCAUUUUGGCAUAAACAAACCAAGCGAUAGGAAAAUAGGAGACAGCAAUGUUAGGCUAAUGCACAAUCCAAACAACUAUAAUUAUGUGGGAGUAAGAGUAACAAUCAGCACAAAACAAGGGCCAAUUCCACCUCUAUCUCCCUCUCAAUAAGGGAGACUGAUCAACAUUCUAAACACUCUUAAUUUCUCUGAAUGCAUUACACAAAAGAAGUUAUAUUCGUCAUAAGUGACCAAACAAAAUGUUCACCAAUCGUAAUUCUAAAUGAAAAUAGCACUAAUAUCACAAACAAAAAUGACCCACAUAGCGCAAUCAUCAGGUGAACGAAAGGGUUCAAAUGGGCUCCCAAAGUCUUCAAUUUCGACCCUAAAAUCACACCAUUUCAUAGACUUUUUUGCCACUAUCCUUUCAUAGACUUUUUUGCUACAAUCCUAGCAAGUAACCAAAAUCUUCAAUUUUGACCCUCAAUUCACACUAUUUCAUAGACUCAUUUCCCAUUGUCCUUUCAUAGACUCUUUUGCCAUUGCCCUAACGAGUAAUCAAAGUUUUCAAUUUCGACCCUCAAAUUGCACCAUUUCACACCAUUUCAUUGACUUUUUUGCCACUGUCCUUUCAUAGACUUUUUUGCUAGACUCCUAACAAGUAAACCAAAAUCUUCAAUUCACACUAUUUCAUAGACUCUUUUCCCAUUGUCCUUUCAUAGAUUCUUUUGCCUUUGUCCUAACGAGUAACCAAAGUCUUCAAUUUCAACCCUUGCCAUUUCAUAGACUCUUUUACCAUUGUCCUAACAAGCAACCAAAGUCUUCAAUUUUGGCUCUCAAAUCGUACCAUUUCAUAUGGACUUUUUUAGCCGGCUGUCGCAUCCAUUUGUUACAUGACCCGUUGGUCUACCAACUACCAGGCAUAUAAAGAUCUAUGGGCUGAAUUUUCUGUCAAUCAAUCAUCUGUCAAUUCGCCCUGCAGCUACACAUUAUGGCAUAGCACAAAGUCAUGCUAUCAUGCACCUAGAGAUUCAUCAGCAUUGCCCAAAUUUUGCAUUUUAUCACCAAAAUAUGCAUAAGAAUAGAAGAUUUGAUAGGAUUUGAUUAUAGAAAUAUAUGUAAAUAUAUUAUUUCUUGCAUAGCGGUUAGAGAAUUGUUAAUGAAAUAAGCAUAAAAAAAUAGAUGUUAGGAUAAGAGCUUUUAUAAAGUGACCUAAAAUUAAAUUGUUACCCAAAACUCACAUGAGAGCGCCAUGUGGUACGUGGCUUUUGUGUAUCGUUCUUUUUAAUAUAUAUAUAUAGUUACAUAGAUGGAAAAAUUGUCCAAAAUCCUAAACCUAUUGUAUUUGUUAAUUUAAUCAUAAAUUUUUCAAUUUAACUAAUUUAGUCAUAAAUCUUUUCAUAUUUUGCCAAUUGAGUCAUCCAGUCAAUUCUGAUCAAAAAUCGCUAAAGUGGACAUUAGACGUUCCAAUGACUUGACCAGCACUAAAGUAAAUAAUUUUAAAUAAUAUUUUAAUAUUUUUCGAUUUUUUAUUUCUUUUCUUUUUAUUUUCUUCCCUUUUGCCUCUAAUUGAUCAUCAAGCUGGACGAUCGGCUAGAAGAACCGGUGAGGUUGACCUCACCAACCUCAAGCGAGCCUCGCCCACAUAUGGCAAGGCUCGACUUGGCCAUUCACAUCCAUUUUCUCCUUUCGUUGACUAGUCAAGCUUUCUCAUUUUUUCUUUUGUUGUCAUCAUGUUUGACUUUUUAACCAAUCCAAUAAUCAAAUAUGCUCAAAUGUUAGACAAUCUCCUUUAUUCUACAUAACAUAGAUCAUAUUCCUUCAUUGAUAAACGUGUUUUGAUAUGUGUCUGUUCUCUUCCUUGCUAUUAGCGUCGAUGAUUUUUACAUUAUGUUAUAUGGGGUUGUUAUUCAUGGAAUGUGAGAAAUGCCAAGUAAAAGUAUUUGUCCAUUCGGACACAAAAGAUGUUGCCUUAAAGAUUAAGCUUAAAAUUUUGAUAAAAUAGAUGGGAAAUAGAAAUUUUUUUUUGAGAUUCGUAUGAUAAAAAAUAAGUAACACUGUUCAAAAACACUAUGAACCAUCUUAAUUUCCCGAAGACAUUACACAACGUAAAUCACAUUCCUCAUCAGUGACCCAAGGACGCACACAUUCAUAUCACAAGGCACCAAGCACCACCUAUAAAAUGUGCUUCACUCUCUCAUACUCGUUGUGUUUUUAUGUUUGUGAUAAUUACUUGUAGUAUUAUAAAAUGAGCCUCAUUGAUAGUGAUAAGUAAUUAUCGUAUAAUAAACCUUGAUGUAGGACUUUACUCUCACUUUAAUAAUAAGAUUUUUCAUGUAAUAUAACUUAAAUUGAGAAAAAGGGAUAUGAGAAUAAAAUAACAUUUAACCUGCCUUGGAUCUUUGAUAUAUACAUGGUCGACUAGUUUCAAAUGUUAAUUACCACAAUAAUAUGUGUGAAUCUUUUUUUUUGGCAUCGAUUAAAUCACAAAAAUAUGUAUAAGAAUUAGAGAUUUUCUAGCAUUAGAGAUUUUUAAGUCCAUAAAAAUUGAAUUUAUAGGCAAAAUUCACAUGUGAGAGUGCCUCGGUUGACCCAGUCUCCACGGAUGAACGUCAAUUAUUUGCGUCUACUUUCUCCUUUUGUUGACUAGUCAAACUUUCUCAUUUUUUCUUUUAUUGUUACCAUGUCUGACUUUUUAACCAAUCCAAUGGUCAAAUAUAACCAUUUCACAUACGCUUUUGCUGCUUUCUCCACGAUUGACCCGAGUCUUCCAUGCAGCUACACGUUAAGGCACUGCACAAGGUAAUGCGCACGCACCUGAAUAUUCGUAGGUACUGCACAUGUGUUUCAUCACUUUAAAAGUCAUUGGUUCGAUGCAUCCUAGCAUAAGAUGAGCCGUGUUCAUCUGCUUCACUCUCUCGUACUCUGCUCAUCAAAACAAAGGAGUCUUUGUUUCGAACAAAAUGGCUUCCUCAUCGUGCUUCUACAUGUCCAUACACUUUCUUUUCUUGUAUUUGUCAUCUCAGCCGAUUGGCGCGCACAAUCUCUCUCGUUCCACGACACCUCUGUGUCACGAGGACGAAAUGUCUGCCUUGCUGCAAUUUAAAGAGAGAUACAAAAUCAGAAAUGUUUCCGAUGAUCCUCUUGCUCGUCCUAAGACUCUGUCCUGGAAAAACAGUCGAGAUUGCUGCUCUUGGGAUGGGAUCGAGUGCGAUGAGAAUACGGGCCAUGUAAUUGUUCUCGACUUGGGAAGUAGUUUUCUCUAUGGUUCUAUCGACAACAACAGUACCCUCUUCCAGCUUGCUCAUCUUGAAAGGCUCAAUCUCAGCAACAAUCACUUCAACUACUCUCAAAUACCGUCCCGAGUUGGAUAUCUCUCGAGAUUGACUCAUCUCGAUCUCUCUGCUUCCGUUUAUUCCGGCCAAGUCCCCACAGAAAUCUUUGAGCUAACGAGGUUGGUGUACCUCAACCUGGGUUGGAAUUUGGAUCCACGUGAUGAAAGAAAUUUGUUGCAGAUGAAAGCGCCGGGCCUGAGAAGCCUAGCUCAAAAUCUGACCAGCCUGGAAGAACUUCUCCUUGGUUUCGUCAAUAUGUCGUCCCAAGUGCCCAACCCUCUGGCGAAUCUGUCUUCACUGAGAAGGCUGGACAUGAGUCAUUGCGACCUGCACGGUGUAUUUCCGUCUGUCAUUUUUCAUUUACCGAAGCUGCGAUAUCUAGAUGUGGGUUACAAUGAAGUCACGGGCCGCUUGUCUAAGUUCAACUCGAGUAGUCCUCUUGAAGAUCUGCGACUGGGAGACACGAGCUUUUCUGGGGAGCUACCCGCUUCAAUUGGAAUCCUUCCAUCCUUGAGCUAUCUCGGCGUAGGUUAUUGCAGAUUCUCAGGAUCCAUCCCGGCUUCACUUGCUAACCUUAGCAACCUCAAAGACCUGGAUGUCUCAGGGAACACAUUCACUGCCCAGUCCAUUUCCUCUAUUUCUUGGGUUUGGACGAAGAAGAAGCUCGCAACUUUGGCACUCGGAUCGAACAAUCUAUAUGGCGAGAUUCCACCCUCAAUCGGAAACUUGUCUCAGCUUGAAUAUUUAUGGUUAGCGAACAACCAAUUAAGCGGUGCCAUCCCAUCUCAGCUCAUGAACCUCACUCGACUGACUGUUUUAAACCUCGGAAGCAAUCGACUGUCGGGUUCUAUACCGUCUUGGCUUAUGAACAUGACUCAACUGGUUGACCUUGACCUUUCAGUCAAUAAAUUCCACGGUGAGAUACCUUCAUCAAUCUCUCAACUUCAAAAUCUAGAGUACCUUCCCCUUUACGAAAACAACUUCAGCGGUACUAUUGAGCUAGACAACUUUCACAAGUUCAAACAUUUGGGAACGCUGCAAUUAUCAUUUAACAGGCUAUCAGGCUGCAUGAGUAGCGCAAAUCUUAUUAUUCCUCAGCUUACUACCCUAGGAUUGGCUUCAUGCAAUUGAGUGAGUUUCGGGCAUUCUUACAACCAAGAGGAUAUUGAGUGGUUGGACUUGUCCGAUAACAACAUUACGGGAGAAGUGCCCUUUUGGGUGUGGGACGGAAGAUUUAAAUACAUGCAGCACCUGAAUCUCUCCCAUAACUUCUUAACUGGUCUUGAUCGAUAUUACCCGAUGCACGCUUUAGAUAUGUACACGAUAGACCUCUCUCAUAACAUGUUGAAAGGACCACCCCCUGAAGCACCGUCAUCGACAGUGACCUAUAUAGUAUCCAACAACAGCCUGACGGGAGCGUUGCCAGCAUGGAUAUGCAAUUUAAGUUCAGCAAUCACACUAGACUUGUCUUUUAACAAUUUGACCGGUGUGCUUCCCAUUUGUUUGGGCAAUAUCAGCAAAUCACUCGUGGUAUUGAACCUAAAAGGCAACAAUUUCCAAGGAAGCAUUCCAGAGCUCUCGAUGAGGGGGACACAAUUGACGAUGAUUGAUUUGAGUGACAACCAGUUGCGAGGCAAUUUACCGAGGUCCUUGGCCGAUUGCAAAAAGCUCGAGUUCAUUAACUUUGCAAACAAUCUUAUCAUGGACACCUUCCCAUCAUGGUUGGGAUCACUACCGGAGCUUCAUGUCCUUAUUUUGCGAUCCAAUAAAUUCCACGGUGUCAUAGAGAGGCCUAAAUCUAGUCAUGCAUUCCUUAAGUUGCGGAUACUUGACCUCUCUUCUAAUGCAUUCAUCGGUAAGUUGCCCAUGGAAUUCUUUCAGUCUUGGAAUGCCAUGAAAUUCGAGAUGCGAAACUUUACAUACAUGUAUAAAGAUCUAAAUCCGCCAUUAUUCAACCCAUUCGGCUACUAUGGCCACUAUGAUUUUUCUAUGAUAGUGAUUUACAAAGGGCUUAAACGGUAUUACCCAAAGAUACCAGACGUCUUCACAUUCAUCGACCUCUCCAACAAUUUGUUAAAAGGAGAGAUCCCUAGCACCAUAGGUGAUUUCAAAGGACUGCAAGGCUUGAACCUUGCCAAUAAUUCCCUCACUGGUCACAUCCCAUCAUCGUUAGGGAAUCUCACAGCGCUUGAGUCAUUGGACCUUUCUCAAAACAAACUCACUGGACAAAUCCCCCAGAAGCUAACAGAACUCGGGUUCCUUUCUUUCUUGAACGUCUCUUACAACAAUCUAACCGGGUCCGUGCCUAGAGGGAAACAGCUCGAUACGUUUUCGAACGAUUCUUUUGAGGGAAACUCAGGACUGUGUGGGGAAUUCAUAUCCACGAAAUGUCGAGAUUCAUCGGAUAAGUCAAGACAACCUUCAACCUACCAAGAAGAUGACUUGGGAUCACCAAUUGAACUCAAUUGGAAGAUUGUUCUUAUGGGGUAUGGGAGCGGCUUAGUGAUUGGAGUGGUCAUCGGAAAUGCAUUCAUCUCUUGGAAACAUGAUUGGUUUGAAGGAAAUGCCAAGAGAAGGCGACGGCCUAGUCGGAGGCAGCCUAGGAGAGGUAGGAACUCCUGGUCAGGCAAGUUUCUCAAUAUAUGCAGAUAUUAGAACUGACUUAAAAACUGAGCUGGGUAUUUCCUUCUUUUUCUCAAAUGUACUUGUUUCUUCGUAGUAUCUUUAUAGUUAUUUAUGUCAAACUUUGUUUUCUUCAACUAAUCUCUCGUCAUGUCUAUUUAUAAAGUCAUUGUCAACUUGUAAACCUAGCUCAUGUGCACCUUUUCCUAUCAAUGUUCUAGCAUGAGUACUACAAUCGAAACCUAGCUCAUGUGCACCUUUUCCUAUCAAUGUUCUAGCAUGAGUACUACAAUCGAACACUAUCCGUUUACGGGUUCUAGUAAAACAAUCGAUACUAGUGGUACACUGUUCUCAUAACUUUAUGCAAACUAGACUCUUAUCCGCACCUCAAUCAUCUGCUUUAGUUAUUUGUCACCUCACAAAUUAUACAAACAACAGUUGUAUUGACAUUUGAAACAAAAUCCGCAUUUGGAGAUUGAUUGGAUAAGAACCAUGACAAAUGAUUCUCGUGAAAAAUAUACAUAUUACUUUUUCUUAUCGGAUCUUCUUUUAUGUUUGUGUGGUAAAAAAAUUCUCUCUCAUAAAGCAGCAUAUCAUGCGGAGAAGCAACAUGGCGUAGGAGAAUUUCCUAAAGUUCUUACCAUGCUUGCUAAUCAUGUACUUGGUAAAUGUCAUUUGAUUUAUCUAGUUAAACUUUUCUUUUUUUCUCAAAGAAUGAUCAUUUGAUAUGUUGAACUAUUGUUGACACCUGAAUUUUUGCCGAAAAGUCAAGUUUCAGUCUUUGUAAAACCAAGAAAAAUAAUAAUAAAGCAACAAACGACAGAGUCCAAUUCGGCCGUUUAUGCGAGGACCUAAACCCAUUUGCCUGAGCCCAUCUAUUAAGUCUAAGUCGCUCACUUCAGCCCGGUCCACUAACCCAGACCACUAGCCAAGCCCAUCAGGAAUUUGGCUACCCACCAGCCUAGCCCAUGAAGCCCAAAUUUAAAGUCGCAUUAAGCAACUUCUGCACAGGCCCUGAUUUGCAAGUUUAAGUCGGAGCCCACAAAGCCCGUGAGAGUUUGGCCCAUAAAGCGCGCGCGUACAGGAACUGAGAAGAGCGAAGGAAUUCUGGCAAGGGGACGUUGGCAAAAGAACCGACUCUCCCUCUAGCUUCCUCUCUCAUCCAACUGACUUUGGUGAAUCCUUCUCUCUAGAAUUCAAUUCCAGAGAAUUCGUACUCGAUUCUUCUUCUCUGGACAUCGCUCGCAGUUGCCGCCUUCAAUGGUCGCUUCAAUCCAUAGCCACUGCCAUGAGAAAAAGGCUCUGUUCGCCUUGUUCUCAGUCAUUGUCGCUGAAGAGCUUGAGCCGCGGUUCGCCAUUUACUCUUUCGUUGAUUCCCCCCUUCAAAUUUUUUUUCUGUCACUGUUUUUCUCUGGUUCAAUCGAUAAUUAUUGCAGGUAAACAUCCCUACUUAAGGAACCAUAUCUGCUCUGUUUAUGCUUAAAAACAGAGGCCGCGAAUCCUGCAUACUGCUUGUGUACAGAUCUUAUGUAGCCGAGCUUCCGCUAGCGAUUUGAACUCAUCGUGUUUUGGUGAUGAUAUGGAGACAAAUUCUUGGCAUGUUCCUGCGUUUAGAUCAUUAGAUUAAAUUGUCUACCAUGUGUUCGACAAUUUUUUAGUGAAACCUGCGUGUGAAGUUGAUUCAAAUCCUUGCGUAUUGACGUUUGGUUGAUUCUUACGUGUUCAGACUGAGACGUCUGUGUUUGAUCCUCUCAUUGCACCAUCGAAUUGACCUGCUGUGAUGCUCCGCCCGAGACGUUGCCUGCUCUGUCUUUGCUAAUUUUCAACCUCCGCUUCAGUCCAUUUCGUUAGUCUUAUUGUCAAACGUGAACAUAUGCCGAUUGAACUUUAGAGGUGGCUAGGAAUCACCUAUAUGAAAAUUGAUAGAAUAAUUAAAUAUUAAACAUUGCCGUCGUCUAAAAGCUUAAUAUUUAGAAUAAUGAGCAAUGAUCUCACAAAAUCUCAUAAAAAAAAAAAUUGAUUGGCUAGGAAGUUGAACGGAAACAAAGAGGGAACGAUGGAGGCUUGAAGAAGUGGAGAGUUUUGUAAUUCUGCAAUUGAGUAAUAGUUUCUUAAUGUUUGCAAAACAAAAGAAAAGAAGUGGAACGGUAGCAGAUUCAUGACGAAGAAGAAGAAGAACUCGUGCUUUGUGGCGUGACGGCGCUGAACUAAGCAAGAAACGAAAGGAAAUAAAAUAAUAUAUUAAAAUUAAUAAAUAAAAACGAAAAAUAAAAUGCGGAAGGAAAACGAUUGGAAAGUGUGAUUCCUAGCUAGACGGUUGCAUCUUAGAAAUAGUUUUGGCUGAAUUUCAUUUGAUUUGAAUUCAUCUAGUUUAAGAGUCAUUGUCUUCAGAUUUCAAAACAAUUUGAAUUUUUAGCUUGUAUUUUCUUUUAGAUUAACAGACAAAAAAACAAUAACAAAGAAAAGGAUCAAAUGAAAAAUCUCAUUUAGCGGUCAUUUUGUCGAUUUCCGUCUUUAAUAUUGUCAGUGUAAUUCUCUUUAGUUGAAAUUAGACUUUGAUUCUGAUUUUGAAAAUUAGCUCACGGUGGUCAUGCCCGGAUCAAUAAUAAGAUAAUAUAUAUUCUUUACCCCACUCAUAUCAAGUUAUUUUACCGCACUUCACCUUUUUUGUCAAUUCUUUUACCGCAUUUGAGUAAAGUGAGGUAUUAGCUCAUGGCGAUCAUGUUUAGGGACUUAAUAACAAGGCCAUGUAAUUUUUUUGUCAAACUAAUAUUAGAUUGAGUUGAUAUCACAAAAAAAUCCAAAAUCGAUACAUUUGUAAUAAAUUUAUUCAAAAUUAAUUUUUUUAAAAACACCCUAGUCAAAUAAAAGCGCUAGGCAAAUAAACAAUUAAUAUUUUCGUUGUUUGAAGCUAGAAGUAUCUUAAAGAAUGGCCCACCUUUUGGCAAUGAUUUUUAUGGACUCGAUGACCCUCAAAUCGUACCAUAUGCCGCUGUCCACUGUCCGCUUUCCUAACGAGCAACCAAAAUCUUCAAUUUCGACCCUCGAGUCGUACAAUUUGCCACUAUCCAUUGUUCUUACGAGCAACCAAAGUCUUCAAUUUCGACUUUCAAAUUGUAUCAUUUCAUAGACUUUUUUGUCAUUGCCUUAAAGAGCAACCAAAGUCUUCAAUUUUGACCCUCAAAUCGUUCCAUUUCAUGACUUUUUUUACCAUUUCUUAAAAGUUAAUAUAUAAGGCCAUUAUUAACUUGUAAAACAAGCUUAUGUGCACCUUUUCUCUUUAUAUCAAUGUCCAAGCAAAAGUGCUCCUACUGAACACUUGAUUCUACCACAGAGAUUCAUCUUCACCCAGGGUUCACAUCACGAGCUGAUACCCGAUUACAAAUUCCAGUAAAACGAUCAAUAACAAGAUUACGGUGCUCUCAUGACUUAACCCAAUUUAGUAGGCUCUAAUCCGACCUUUGAGGUGACAUUUAAGACACAAUUCGCAUACCAGAACUGUACCAAACGAUUCCCAUGGAAAAACAUUUUGCCGGCAUAAUCUCCGCCUCUCUCCUCCUUGUUUAUGGGGGUGAUUUCCCAUCUCUAUCGUCAUCUGCCGCUCCACAUAGCUUCGAGCUCCAAGCCUGCGACGCCAUGAUCGCUUGGGAUCGAGAGUCAGUUGAGGAAGUCGACGAGAAGCUCCUGGUUGCACAAUUCCCUCCCCACCGCUGGCGUUAACAGAGCAGAAGCAGAGCCUGCAACAACCCAACAAAACCCUCGCAACCACAGUCACAAGAGCAGCCAUGGCUGAUUUCUCCUACCUUUCCGACACCGGCAACUCCGCGGUGAGGUGACUCCGCGGUGGAAGACCUCAUUUCCCAGAGCAAGGACCUCUUCAUCCUCGAGCCAAAUCGCUGCCAUCAACUGCUCCUCGGAGAACGCAAUUUCCCCGCCCCCAAAGCGGAAUCCGGACGAGAAAUCGCGUUGGAAGUCCACCACGAAGUUACGAUCCAGACUCUUCGCCGAUGGAUUAUUCCGAUUCGUGGAGGAGGACGAGGUACUGUCGGAUUUGGGGGCUUUCUCCGCUAAAGAGCAGAAGAAAAGUUGCUGAAUAAGGCAACGGAGGAACGGAGAAGAUCGCGAGGAUGACGAAUCAAAUGGAGGCGUAGGCUUUAAUUUAUUCUUACUCAGAUCUCUUCGUUUGUUCGCGCUUCCGCGUUAGUCGUAACAUGAUUUGUUACUUUCUUGGCAGACGUGCCCUUAAAUAUCUAUUUACUUCAUUACUAAAUAGUAGUGAUUACAAUCUCGGCAAAUGUUUUGGGUUUCAAUAUAAGAAGUAACUUUUUCACAUAACCGUGAUUGGGAAACAAAAAUCAAACCAUAGAUGCUGGCAAAUUGCUUGGCUACGGCCUAACUAGGUCGAUUUCGAAUUUCUCGUCGAAAUCUUUAAAUGCCAUUACUUCUAUGUUUUGAAAGAGGAAAUGAGGGUGAACUGUCAUUAGGAGGAAAUGAGUAGUUUGGCAAAACCACUGCUAAAUCGAAUGAUCUGGUUGAAAUUCAGGCUGAGCUGAGUGGAACUUUAAUGCCUCUCUCAAAUCUCAACUAGGUAGAGUGGUCUUCUUAGGCUCUAAACCUGGUGAUUUUACUCAUGAUAAUGCUUGGAGCUUAACUAGGGAGAAAAAGGCCAAGGUAACUCGGCAUAGGCUAAUUUGGUUUAAUCCAAAUGUGCCGAGAUUCGGCUUUAUAUCUUGGCUUGCUAUCCUUGCCACGUUGCAGCAGACUAGUGAUAGAUUAUGCAAAUGGCAGAACGGGAAUGGUAUUUGUGUCCUCUGUGGAUUGCAGCCCGAAUCAAGGAGACAUUUGUUCUUUGAUUGUUCUUUCUCCUCUGAAAAAUGAAGUAGGCUUUUGCGGCUAUGUGGUAUAAGAGGUUUUGUGGGAGAUUGGGACGCUGAGUUUAUGUGGGUGUUGCAGACAUCAAAGGGAGAUCUCUGGAAAGUCUUAUUAAAGGUGGCAAGGAAUGGUGUCAUUUAUUUCUCAUGGAAGGACAGAAAUACUAUAGUUCACAAUAGGAGAGUUGCAUGUGCUGAAAAGGUUUACGAGAGUAUCUUGUUUGUGGUAAGGUUGCCGAGCAAAUUCUUUUUUUUUUUUUUUUUUUGUUAAAGGUACUUUUUUCACUGAGACGUAACAAAACGUCAUAUAGCCAAGAAAGAAAUCACAUUACACCGUGUUUUUGUGCUUAGUUAAAAGAUAAAACGUAGUAUAACGGCAAUAGAUUGCCGUACCAAAGAGACAAUCACAAACAAUGUGCUUUGUUUCUAUUCAAAUAGGCAAUAUGGAUAUAAAGAUUGAGCCCAAAGCAAAGUGGAUCCAUCAUUGAAUUGCCUAUGGAUGCUUGAUGGGCUACAAAAGAUUGGAAAAAGUGUCCAAAAAGUAACAAACCUUUUGUACUUUUGUCGAUUCAUUAUUAAAUUUUGCAAUUUUACCAAUUAAAUCUUAAAUAAUUUUACGUUUUAUCAAUCAAAGUGCAUUAAGCCAAUUUUGGAUUAAUAUCGCUGAUGUAGAUAUUGACCAUCCUACGUGACAUGGUCAAUGCUGGGAUGGACUUUUUUUUUUUUAUAAUAUUUGAAUAUUUUUCAUCUUUUUUUUUUCCUCUUUUCUCUUUUUUUUUUUCUCUCUUUUCUUUCUUUUACUUUUCCUUUCUCUCUCUCUAUCUUUUUCUUUUCUUUUUCCUUCUUUCCUUUUUCCUUUUUCCCUCCACCGGCCACUACCAAGACUCAUUGAUGGUUUGUCAAAGUCACUAGCCUCAGGCUAGGGCCGCCCUCAUCAACCCUUGGCGAAGGUCAACCUCGCCAAGGCAGGCGAGGACUUGAGGCACACCAAAGGCUAGCGACCUCCAUUGGCUUGGCGAAGAGAGAAAAGGAAAAUGAAAAAGUGAAGGAUAGAAAAAAAAAAAUAUAUAUAUAUAUAUAUGUAUAUAUUAUUUAAAAUUGUCAAUGUCAAUGUCAAUCGUACUACAUAGGAAUGGUCGGUGUGCCAACACUCACUUAAGCAAUUUACAGCCAAAAUUUGCCAGAUUAACUCAAUAAGCAAAAUAUGAAAAAUGUUUAGAUUGGCGUGCCAACACCAACUUAAGCAAUUUGCAACCAAAAUUGACCUGAUUAACUCAAUGAGCAAAAUAUGAAAAAUAUUUAAAACUCAAUUGGUAAAAUUAAAAUAUUUAUGACUAAAUUAGCAAAAUCGUAAUAGAUUUAAGAUUUUUUUAACAAUUUUCCACCCAUAGAUUUCAUGCUUUCUUACUUCAGCAAAUGAGGACCUUGUUUGUUACAUUGUAAUGCGUGGAGAUGUCGAGAAGGUUAAAAUAGAGGAUCUCAAGAAGGUUAAGCGUGUGUCGGUCCAUGUUCCCAAGAAGUUUGUUCCCACGGCUAGGCCCGAGACUAGUGCUCAGACUCUAGUUGUACUCAAGACUUAUUCCCUAAUGUCUAUUUCGUAAUUUUCUUAUAAUAAAUGAUUUUCCUAUUGAUUGGUAGAUACAAACCAACAUGCCUUUAAAAUAAGCUCCUUUCGAAAAAUUUCUAGCAAAGUUCAUUUUUUGAGAAAUAAAUUAAACUUGAGUUUAAACAAACUGCCUUGAUUGAAUAUGGGACUAAAUGUAAUAAAUUUGUUGUUUCUUGUGAACCGAUAAGUAUUGUUUGCGCAAUGAACAAAGGAGCUUGAUGUUGCCAACAACACAAUUUAGUUUUCUUUUGUUUUCUAUUUAUUUCAAAGACAGAAACAAGACUGUUCCAAACUCUAAUUAAUCUUAAUUUCUCCAAAUGCAUUACAUGGCAUAAAUUACAUUCCUAAUUAGUGACUCAAGGAAAUGUAUACAGAUCAUGAAUCCAAAGUCGAAACAGCACUAACAUUGCAAACAAAGAAGUCCAACACAGCACAACCCAAGUCUUCAGCUACCCUUUAUUAUUUUUUAUUACAUGUACUUUUUUGCUGCUUUCAGUAUGGUUGACCCAAGUCUUCCAUGCAAAAUGCACAUAUAUAUGUGCCUUUUGCUGCUUUCUCCACGGUUGACUCGAGUCUUCCACACAAACGGAGAUCGAUUGGCUAAGUUCAGAAUAUGUGCCCAGCAGCUACCUACUACGGCACUACGGAAAGUAAUGCGCACGCGCAUAAAAUAUUCAUAGGUGCUGCGCGCGCGCGCACAUUUAUAUAUAUAUAUAUAUAUCUGCGUUCUCCAUGGUUGACCCAAGUCUUGCACGCAAAUGUAGAUCAUUGGCUGAGUUCAGAGGAGGUGCCCGGCAGCUACCCGUUACGACGCUGCGGAAAGUAAUGCGCAUGCACAUAAAAUAUUCAUAAGUACUGCACAUUGUGCGUUUCAUCAUACGAAGAGUCAUUGAUUCAAUGCAUCGUAACACGAGAUGAAGCCUGUUUAUAUCCCCAGGCACCCAGCGCCACCUAUAAAAUCUGCUUUACGCCCUCAUACUCUGCUCAUCAAAACAAAUUUCUCUCUAUUUCGAACAAAAUGGCUUGCUCGCCGUGCUUCUACAUGUCCAUACACUUUCUUUUCUUGUACUUGUCCUGCCAGCCUAUUGACGCGCACAUCCUCUCUCGUUCUGUGAAACCUCUUUGUCUCGAGGAUGAAAUGUCUGCACUGCUACAGUUUAAAGAGAGGUAUGAAAUCGCCAAUGUUUCGGGUGGUCCUCUUGCUCAUCCCAAGACUCUAUCCUGGAAAAAUAGUCAGGAUUGUUGCUCUUGGGAUGGGAUCGAGUUCGAUGAGAACACAGGCCACGUAAUUGUUCUCGAUAUGGGAAGUAGUUUUCUCUAUGGUUCUAUCGACAACAACAGUACCAUCUUCCAGCUUGCUUAUCUUGAAAAGCUCAAUCUUGGCAACAAUCACUUCAACUACUCUCAAAUACCAUCUCGAGUUGGAGACCUGUCAAGAUUGACUCAUCUCAAUCUCUCUGCUUCCUUUUUUUCUGGCCAAGUUCCAUCAGAAAUCUUCAAACUUACAAGGUUGGUGUACCUCAACCUGUGUUGCAAUCUAGAUCCACAUCAUGAUAGAUCUUUGUUGGAGAUGAAAGCGCCGGGCUUGAGAAGGCUAUCUCAAAAUCUGACCGGCCUAGAAGAACUUCUCCUUAGUCUCGUCAACAUGUCAUCCCCAGUGCCCAACAAACUGGCGAAUCUGUCUUCACUAAGAAGGCUGAACAUGGAUGAGUGUGACCUGCACGGUAUAUUUCCGCCUGCCAUUUUUCAUUUACCGAAGCUGCAAUAUCUUAGUGUGGAUGACAAUGAGGAUCUCAUGGGCCGCUUGCCUAACUUCAACUCGAGUAGUCCUCUUAAAGAACUGCAACUGGGAGGCACAAGCUUUUAUGGGGAGCUACCGGCUUCAAUCGGUAAUCUCCGCUCCUUGGAGAUAUUGAAUCUUGAAUUCUGCAAUUUGACAGGGUCCCUACCCCUGUCAAUCGGAAACCUUUCUUUGUUGAGUCAUCUUGGCAUAUGUGGUAACAACUUCUCAGGAUCCAUCCCGACUUCAUUUGCUAACCUUAGCAACCUUGAAUACCUAGAUGUCGGAAAGAAUCCAUUCAUCGCCCAGCCCACUUCCUCUUUAUCUUGGGGUUUGGAAGAUAAAAAAGCUUGCCACUUUGAACCUCUGGAGGAUCAAAUUAUAUGGCGAAAUUCCCCCUUCAAUCGGAAACUUGUCUCAACUUGUGGAGUUAAACUUUCUUGGCAACCAAUUAAAAGGUACCAUCCCAUCUCAACUCAUGAACCUCACUCAGCUAGCUGUUUUGAAACUCGGAACCAAUCAACUAUCAGGUUCUUUACCUUCUGGGCUUGUGAACAUGACUCAACUAGUUGUGCUUGACCUUUCACGCAAUAAAUUCCACGGCCAGAUACCUUCAUCAAUCUAUCAACUCCAAAAUCUCCAAGUGCUCCGCCUUUUCGAAAACAACUUUAGCGGUACUAUUGAACUAGACAACUUUCUCAAGCUUAAACGGUUGUUGGUGCUCCAACUAUCAUCUAACCAGCUAUCAUGCCGCUCGAGUAGCACAAAUGUUAUUCUUCCUCAACUUGGGGUCCUAGGACUGGCGUCAUGCAAUUUGAGAGAGUUUCCAGCAUUCUUGCAAACCCAAAAGGAUAUGAAUUUGUUGGACCUGUCGGAUAACAACAUUACGGGAGAAGUGCCCUUUUGGGUAUGGGAUGGAAGAUUUGAAAGCCUGCAGUACCUGAAUCUCUCCCAUAACUUCUUAACUGGCCUUGAUCGAUAUUACCCGAUCAAUCCUUUAUAUAUGUACACGAUAGACCUAUCUCAUAACAUGUUAAAAGGAACACCCCCUGAAGCACCAGUGUCCAUAUUACACUACAUAAUAUCCAACAACGGGCUAACGGGAGCAUUGCCACCAUGGAUCUGCAAUUUGAGUUCAGCAAUCACACUAGACCUGUCUUCUAAUAAUAUGACUGGUGUGCUUCCGGUUUGUUUGGGCAAUAUCAGUGAAUCUCUUGCGAUAUUGAACCUAAAAGGCAACAAUUUCCACGGGAGCAUUGCCAAAGUUUUGUUGACGGGAACGCAACUAACAAUGAUCGAUUUGAGUGACAACCAGUUGCAAGGCAAGUUACCGAGGUCCUUGGCCAAUUGCAAAAUGCUCAAGUUCAUCAACUUUGCAAACAAUCUUAUUGCGGACACUUUUCCAUCAUGGUUGGGAUCUUUACCAGAGCUUCAUGUCCUUAUUUUGCGAUCCAAUAAAUUCUACGGUGUCAUAGAGAGGCCUAAAUCUAGUUCCACAUUCCUUAAGUUAAGGAUACUCGACCUCUCUAUUAAUGCAUUUACCGGUAAGUUGCCUAUGGAAUUCUUUCAGUGUUGGAAUGCCAUGAAAUCCAAGACGGGAAACUUUGCAUACAUGCAAAGAAACGUACAGCAAUCAGAUUACCUUAUGUACAUCGGCAAUGGCAUUUACAAUUUCUCCAUGACAGUGAUUUACAAAGGGCAUAAAACCAUUUACCCAAAGAUAUUAAAAGUCUUCACGAUCAUUGACCUAUCUAGAAAUUUUUUCAAAGGAGAGAUCCCUAAUGUCAUAGGUGAUCUCAAAGGAUUGCAAGGACUGAACCUUUCCAACAAUUUCUUCAGUGGUCACAUCCCAUCAUCGUUGGGAAAUCUCACAGCACUCGAGUCAUUGGACCUUUCUCUGAACAAACUGUCAGGACAGAUCCCCCAAAAACUAUUAGAACUCAAUUUCCUUUCUUUCCUGAACAUCUCUUACAACAAUUUGACUAGGUUUGUGCCAAGAGGGAAACAAUUCAAUACGUUUUCAAACAAUUCUUUUGAAGGGAACUCAGGACUCUGUGGAGAAUUCAUAUCCAAGAAAUGUCAAGAUUCAGGGGAUAAGUUGGGAAAACCUUCAACCCACCAAGAAGAAGACUUGGGAUCAGCAAUUGAACUCGAUUGGAAAGUUGUUCUUAUGGGGUAUGCGAGCGGCUUAGUGAUUGGAACAGUCAUUGGAAACACAUUUAUCUCUUGGAAACAUUUUUGGUUUGAAGGAAAUGCCAAGAGAAGGCGACCGCCUAGUCGGAGGCAGCCUGGGAGGGGUAGGAACUAUUGGUCAAGCAAAUUUUUCAAUUCAGGUAGAUGUUAGAACUUACUGGAAGAAUAAGCUAAGUAUUUCCUUCUUUUUCUUAGAUGUACUUGUUUCUUCAUAGCAUCUUUACAAAAAUUUAUGUCAAACCCUCGCUUUCUUCAAUUAAUCUCUCAUCACAUAUGUUCCCCACCUCUCUAACGUAAAAUUACACUUUUUAUUCUUUUUUACAAAGCCAUUGUUAGCUUGCAAACCAAAGCUCAUAUGCGCCUUUUUUCUAUCAUUGUUGAAGCAAAGUACUCCUAUGUAACAAGCAAAUCUAAAUUGUCACAUGGAUUCUUCUUUAUCCAAGGUUCACAUUACAACGUGAAACCCUUUUACAGAUUCGAGUAAAACGAUCAAUAGCAAGACCAAAGUGUCCUCAUAACUUUAUGUAAAUCUAGGCUCUCAUCCGCACUUCAAUCAUUUGCUUUUUUUGUUUCUUUGUCAUCACACAAAUUAUGCAGACACUGUUGUAUUAACAUUGGAAACAAAAUCCACAGUUGGAGGUUGAGUGGACAAGAAUCGUAACAAAUUAUUCUCUCGGAUCUUCUUUUACGUUUUUGCGGUUGGAAAUAGGGAUUCUCUCUCAUAGAGCAGUAUAUUAUGCAGAGAACCAACGGGGCAUGGUUGAAGUUCUUAAAGCUCUAAGUCUGCUUGCUAGUCAUGUACUCUGGAAUUUACACAGUAAAUCUAUUUGAUUUUUUGGGUUAAUACCCUGAAAAACCCCAAAAUGGUACAUCUGUGACAAAUUUACCCCAAACUAUUUUUUUUACCAUAAAAAACCCAAAACUGGUACACCGGUGACAAAUUUAUCCCGACUAACCAUAAAAAAACCCUAAACUUGUACAUUUAUGACAAAUUUACCCCAAAAUUAAUUUAUUCAACCUCCAAAAACCCCAAACUAGUAUAUCAUAUAGCCUAGAUUAAAUUGGAUUAAUACUACGAAAAAAUCAAAUAAAUUGUAAACUGUGACAAAUGGAGAGUAAAAUCCUAAACUGAUAUAUCAGCCAACCGUCACGUGUCAUUCAACUUAAUAAUUUGACAAUAAAAUUUAACAAAAACUAACAUAGGGUAAUUUUGUCACAAGUGCACCAGUUUGGGGUAAAUUUGUCAAAAGUCUAUCAGUUUGGGGUUUUUGAUAGUUAAAAAAUUAGUUUUGGGUAAAUUUGUCACAUGUAUACCAUUUUUGGAUUUUUUAGGGUAUUAACCCUUAUUUUUCUGUACAUCCAUUUCUUUUUCCCGUGAAAGGAUAGUUUGGUAGGAUGGCUUCUCUACAGCUAAUUUAAUCACUUGGAAUGGUUCUCAAGAUAGUGAUUGGUUGAUUAUGGCUCAAAGUUAACGUUGAUCGAUCCAAAAUCCGACACGUUCAUUUUUUAUUUUAUUUUUUUGGCUCAAAGACACGUAAUUGAAUCUUAAGGAAAUAUGGCUAACGAUAGGAAAGUCCGAAUUGAACUCUUGCCAAUAAGAUCGUGGGUGAUGGAAAAAAGAAAAUCCCAUUUCCUGUAGCCUUCGUUUCCUUAUUGAAGUAUAUGUUGACGUCGGAGAAGGGCUCAUAGUAUUUAUGUAUAAAAUUAUUCUGUUGUUUUCAUCUCUGGUGCACAGUAGGUGCGCUAAAGCACGCUAAAAUGUGCGGAAUUUGCGAGAGUCACAGAGCAUCGAGUGCGUUCUAACAAGAGAACUGAGAUUUUGAGAAAACUAAUUCGUUGGGAUUGAUUCUUUUAAGUUCGGGUGCUAUUUAAGACUUGGAGACACUUGAGAUUAGAGUGUUCAAAGGAUUGUAAUCUUCUUUUUGCUGAUCAUAGCGAAAUCAUGUCAUCGAUCUCUUCGUGAGGUAUGCCCACCUUCGAACCACGUAAAUCCAUUGGGUUUUAGAUUGAACUUCUGUAACAUAUUUCUCGCUUGAAUUGUUUCCUUAAUUCGCGGUCCCGCAUUCGUCGUAUCGUGAUUUGCGUUUCUUUCUUCGCAGUUAUGCCCUUAAAUAUUCGUGUACUUCAUUAUUAAGUAGACCGCCACUUGUUUUGGUUUCAAGAUAAGGAAGCAACUUUUUCCGUAGCCCCAAUUCAGAAACAAAAAUUAAACCAUAGGUGCCUGGGAACUGCUUGGGUGCAGCGUAACUAGAGGGUUCAUUACUGAAUUUCUCGCCAAAACUUGUUAAUGUCAUUACUUAUAUAGCGAUAAGUGAUUAUCGUGUAACAAAACCAAAACUUGGGACUUUAUUCUCAUUUCAGUAAUGUAUAAUUUCAUGUACAAACUAAAUUUAGAAAAAGAUAUUCGAGGGCAGAAUAUAAUUUACCCUGCCAUGGAUCUUUGAUCAUUCAUCUAAUUUGAAUCUAUAUAUACAUCAAUUAAAAUUUUAAAAUGUCUCAUUGCCAGAAUCUGCAGAAGUCUAUUGCUUUUUGCACAUCGAUUAGAUUAUCAAAAUAUGCAUAAGAAUUUAAGACUUUCUAAAAUUGGAGAUAUUCUAAAGUCCAUAAAAACUAAAUUUCUAGGCAAACCUCACACAUGAGAAUGGGGAAAAUUAUUUAAAAACUUCUAAACUUAUUAUACGGUGGUCAAUUCAAUUCUAAAUCUUUCAAUUCUGCCAAUUUAGUCCUAAACAUUUUAACGAUUUACCAAUUUAAUCAUAAACUUUUCAAUUGUGCCAAUUUAAUUCUAAACAUUUUCAUGAUUUGCCAAUUUAGUCAUAAACAGUUGACAAUUUGUCAAUAUAGCCCUUUCAACUAAUUAUCCACAAAAUUUGUUUAUAACUAAAUUGGCAAAAUUUUGAAACAAAACUUCAAAAGGUUUAGGUGCCCAUAUCCAAGUACCCAAGACCUAUGCCAAUUCACCAAUGCCCUAGCCUAAGUCCACGGCCAAAUUCCAUGGAGGUGGGCUCGUGACCCCAGUGCUUGUGCCUAGAUCCCCAAUGAUGAUUCCCAAGUGCUUGUCUUCCAGGCCCGAGUCCAAAGAAGUCGAACUGAAGACCCAAGUGCUUGCACCCAAGUCGUCAAUAGCCAUGCCCAAGUACUUAGCUCACACACUGGAGACACUAAUGCUUAGGCUCUGGCCCACAACGACCGAGCUCAAGGCCACGAUGCCUAUGCCCAAGUCCCUAACUCCUACGUCCAAGUCAUCGAUGAUGCCCAUGACUAAUUUCUCAUCAGCUAGGCCAAUCGGGCCUAAGACCUCGACACUCGUACUCAGGUCCCUAAUGGCCUUCCCCUACUCUUGUGCCCAAGUCAUCAACAAACAAGUCCACAAAGGUUGGGCCUAAGAAUUCAAUGUCUUUGUUGGAGUCCCUAGCGGCCAUGCUCAAGACAAGACCCCAUUGAAGUGCCUAAUUCUCCGAUAGCCUUACUUGGAUAAUUGACCACUAUCCCCACGUUACUAGUCUAGGGCUCAAUUCCUUGAUGGGCAAGCCCAAAUCUGUAGAGACUAGGCCUACCUCCCUCGAGAUUGGGACUAAGCCCCGGUGCCUAUUCCCAGGUCCUUGAUACCCAUGCCCAGAAACUUGGGUCCUACACCCAAGUCACCAAUGUCUUGGCCUAGGUCCAUAAAAGUCAGGGUUCUUAGUGGUUGGGCUUGAGAACUCUGCUCCCUUAAUCGAGAUUCCGACAGCUAGGUAUCUCUUACAUAACACGUCUAGCGCUUGUCUUUUUAGGAAAAUAAAAUCAAAUUUGCAUUUCUAAACUAUAAAAAAAAAUUUUCAAUCCAUUUUCAAAGUUCAGACAAACACCUGAGAAUAUUCUUAUUUUCUUAAAAAAUGACUUCCUAAAAAAUAUUUCCCAAAAAUGUGAAAUUUUUUGCAAAACAAACGGAACCUUAAUGUCUUUCUAUACAAUCUCUUCUUCGUUUUCCCUUAAAGAAAGAUCAUUUCAUGAGGUUGCUUUUUUACAGCUAAUAUAAUCACUCGGAAGGGUUCCCAGAUGGUGAUUUGUGGAUUAUGGGUCGAAGUAAAUGUCGUUUGAUUAGAAAGCUUGCGCAUAAUUGAAUUGUCAGGGAACUGGCCCAUGUCAAGAAAGUCUAAAUUGAACUCUUGCUAACGGGCCCCCAAGACGUCCUUUCCUUAUUGAAGUUGAGGUCCACGUUGACGUCGGUGAAGGGUUUGUGGCUUUCUAUGCAUAUAAAUUUUCUAGAGUUCGGUCUGGUAAUUUUCUAGAGUUCGGUCUGGAUACUAAGGACGUGUUUCAUAACGUUUCUGUUCAAAAAUUAUUCUAGGAUUCGGGGAACAAUUUUUGAACAGAAAAAAGUGUCUGGUAACUACACAAAAUUUAUGUUUUUGGAAUAGAAAAAGAACAGAAACACAUUUAGUAAACUUAUAUAAUUUUUUAUUUUUUAAAAUUUUUUAAUAUUUUUAUUUUCUUUUUUCUUUUUUCUUUUUUUUUCUUUUGGCCGGUCGCCGGCCUCAGCCAUGGCCGAUGACCAACCGACGAGGGCCAGCGGCCUCGCUCAGCCACAACAAGGCUCAGCAACCCCCGGCGAGCCUCGCCGAUGGCUGGGCGAGCUCAGUCUUGCCAGAUUUGGGCGAGCUCGAGCUCGCCCAGAUCCGGCAAGGUCGUCGGCCCUCGAUGGCCGGUCGCUAGCCGAUCACCGGCCAUGGUUGAGGCCGACGACCAGCCAAAGAGAAAAGAAGAAGAAAAGAAAGAGAAGGAAAAAAUAUUAGAGAAAAAAAUAGUUUGUCGGAAGUGUUCCGGAAAAAAAAAGUAAGUUUUUAUUGUUUCUUGUUUAUGUUCCAAAUUUGUUCCCAAAAACAAAAAAAUAUAUUUGGAACAAAAAGGUAAACAAACGCAUUUCUGUUCUUUUUUUGUUCCUUGGAACAAAAAAACAGAAAUUGUGUUCAUGAACACAAAAAAAAAGAACACAAACAAACCGGGCCUAAGUGAGUGCGCUUGAUAUAUGUGGAACUUGCGAGAGACAGAAAGCAUUGAAAGCCUUCCAGCAAGAAAUUUAAGAGUGAGAGAACUCAUUUGCGGUGAUUGAUUCUUGCGAGUUCAGGUGCUAUCUAAAAUUGAGAAACGGUUGAGAUCGAGCGUUCAAGCAAUGGGAAUCUUCUCCUUACCAUUUAUGAUGGAACCAACUUGUUGAUCUCUCCUUGUAGAGUAGGCACACCGCUGAACCGUGUUCAGGUUUUAUUUUUACAAUUUAUUUCUUACUUGAAUCGCUUUGUUUGUUCAUGCUUCCACAUUAGUUGUAACGAAGUGACAUUAGAAACAAGUUCAUUGUUGAUUGGUUGUUCUAGGAAUUUUGUCAGCCACGAUAAUCAUUAUGGGCUCUGUGAUCUUUGAGUUAGAGAAAUCCACAAUUUUAAUUUUGUGCGCAUUAAGAUGCUGGAGACACAGGAUUUGGAUUGAGCAUUUAAGGGAGAUGAUAAAUUUCCCCAAACUAUGAAAGCUGCUAAAAAGGAGAUAUUUUGAAAAGAGUUCCAGGUUUUAUUCUGCUGAAUUUAGGGAACAAUGUUUUGGCUUCAGCGGCAUAUGAGAGGAAUGUAGCCGCAGUUUCGGCGAAACUUGAAAGCAUUAUACAUGUUUAAAUCACUCUCAAAGGUACCUUUCGCGUUUUUUAACUUUUCAGUUUAUUGAAGGAACAUCAAUCCAGGAUCACCUGUAUAAGUUCAAUAUAGGGUGAGUUUGUUUGUGUUUCUAUUUAAAAAUUGUUCCAGGGAACAGAAAUAGAAAAAAGUGUUUCUGUUCCGGGGAACAAUUUUUGAACAAAAAUAAGCGUUUGGUAAACUUGUUCCGGGAAUAAAAAAUAAACAUAAACAUGUUUGGUAAAUUUGGAUAAUUUUUUUAUUUCUUUUAUUUUUUCUAUUUUUUUCUAUUUUUUCCUUUUUUUUCUUUUUUCUUUUUCCUUUUUUAUUUUUUUUCUUUUGGCCGGUCGCACUCUACGCGAUCCUAGAGAUUACCAUGACCACAAAACAAGUCUCUCGGGAUUGGCUUUGUCAUAGGAUCUACUACGGUUCUAUGCGUAGUAUCUACGGUAAGUUCACAUCCUUUCGAGAACCAUAUCUUUACAAAGUAACUUUGUAUCUAGUGUGGGGUCUUGCCGUGAUACUUNNNNNNNNNNNNNNNNNNNNNNNNNNNNNNNNNNNNNNNNNNNNNNNNNNNNNNNNNNNNNNNNNNNNNNNNNNNNNNNNNNNNNNNNNNNNNNNNNNNNNNNNNNNNNNNNNNNNNNNNNNNNNNNNNNNNNNNNNNNNNNNNNNNNNNNNNNNNNNNNNNNNNNNNNNNNNNNNNNNNNNNNNNNNNNCAAGACCAUGUAAAUAGUCGACAAACUUUUACACAAAUUUUUUAAAGACACUGAGUUCCAGGCCGUAUGUUUUUGUUUCACAUGUGCAUGAUCACAACCAAUCGGGUUCCCGAAAAGCUUUCGGGAUGGAAAUACUAAGUCAGCGAGUCUGAAGCGGAAGUCGUUAUUCUCGUAGUUUUGGAGUAUGACCAAUGGUAUCUACCCAUGUUGGGUGGACAAUAUUCAAACUUGCAAGUUAAUGUUACAUGAAAUGUAUCUUUCAGGUCAUCCGGGUUAAGCUGAGGUUGGAUUCACUUAUCUAAGAGGUCUUUCCAAAGAUUGUACUGUGGGCUUCAUUGCAAUUUCAACAAUGGAUUUGGACCCGGCCAAAAGAAAAAAGAACAAGAAAAUAAGAGAAAAAAGAAAAAAAAAGUGUUUCUCAAAAGUGUUUCAAAAACAAGAAACACAAAAUUUGUGUUUCUUGUUUCUGUUCCUUUUUUGUUCCCAGGAACAAAAAAACAGAAAAAGUGUUUAAAAACAGAAAAAAGAAACAUAAACAAACGGGCCCAUAGUCAUCAAUGAUAUGAAGAAUGUGGAUGAGAACCUGUUGACCAACAGGUGGAGGAAGCGUGAACUGGUGAACCUGCUAAUUUACUCAAGACUGCGAGCAUUUGGGUGCCCCGCAUAUGGCCACGUUAGGGAUGCUAAGCUAGAACCGAGGAUGAAGAAUUGCAUAUUUCUAUGCUACGCAGUACGCACUAGGGAUGGAAGGUUACAGGCCGUCGUGUUCAGAUCCUAAAAUCACCCAGAUUCAUCAACAGCAGAGAUGUUGCAAGGAAACUCAGUAAGUACAGACUGGUGCCACGAGACAAGCGGAGCUUCGGUUGGAGGCUUAGCGGAAAACGCAGAUAGGAAGUGAGGAUAGAGGCCCCAAGCCGGCCGUCAGUGAGGGCACUAGUCAGUAGGGGUGUAAACGGUUCGGUUCGGUUCGGUUUUUUUGAAAAAGUGUAUUUGCCUAUGCACUAGGGAUGAAAGGUUACAGGCCGUGGCGUUGGGUUCCUCAGAUCGCCCGGAUUUCAUCACCAGCAAAGAUGUUGCAAGGAGACAUGGUCGCCAGUAGUAUUCUUCAAAAGCGAUGUCAGGUGUACAGCUUCAGCGAUGGAUUGGUGCAACGAGAGAGGAGAUUGGAGUCGCUUGAGUGGAAUCAAACACGGUAAUCAGUGGUAUCUGGCAGAAGAUAGGGUGCAAGUGGGCGUUCAGAAAAGCGCAUGAUAGUUUUGAUUCACGAGCGACCAGAUACAAGACCCGCUUGACGAAGGGGUUCGCUGCACGAGAUAUUCUCACUUGUGAUGAAGCAUAGUUCAAUCAGGGUGGCGUUGGGACUAGUUGCGGCGGACGACUUGGAGUUGGAGUAGCUCGAUGUUAAGACGGAGUUUCUAGACAAGGAAUUAGAGGAGCGGAUAUUCAAGCAAUAGCCAGCAGGCUUUGUCAUUUCGGUACAUUAAGGCAAUGCAUGCUUGCUCAAAUGAUCUGUUUAUGGCUUUAAGCAAUCUUAUAGUGGUACAAACAAUAUGAUUCCAUUCAACAUUAUAUAAGAGUGCUCAUGAUCAUUGCAUGUACUCUAGGAGGUUAUACGAUGGUAGCUACAUUUGUUUAAUGUUAUAUGCUAAUGAUAUAUUGACAGUAACUACAAACAAUUGAGACACCAAUUGAGGAGUAAUUUCGAGAUGAAAGAUUUUGGUGCACCAAGAAAGAUAGUCGGUAUGAAGAUCUAGAGAUAUAGGUUUGUAGUGACGCUUUUGGCUAUAACAAGGUGAUUACAUAUGUAAAGUUCUUAGGCGACUUACUAUGCAAAAUAUCGAACCGUUGAUUGUCUCACUAGUUGCAUACUUCACGGUUUCACCUUACCUUAGACCAAAAUCGGAGGAUGAGAUGGAAUAUAAGGCCCACUCGAGCCAAAGGGGUCUCAAAAGCAUUUCUCGGCAGGCUAUGUAAGACUAUUUAGUUAGAAAGCUCAAGUAUGUCUGUGACAUCCCGAUUUUCCAAUUUUGGUUUCAAUUAAAUAAGUCGGGCAUUUCAUCUUCGCGUCUAUAGCUUUCUUCUCUGAGUUGGCCACUCACGAGAUAACUAGUCUAUCAGGUGAAGCCGUUAAGGAAUCAAAACGCAAUAGACUUGAGAAUUCGACCAUGAAUCGGCUACUCGACCGUAUUAAUCUGCAAGGAUCAUUACGACACUGUCAGAAUCGAACAGAGAUCAGUAAUAGGUCGAUUCGACUGAGAUAUGUGAUUAGAGUGUGGGUGAUUCCACCUGAUCGCAAUAUCCUCAUCGACCGGCACUAGACCGAUUCUUCUGUCGUUUUGGGUACCCUGUGUCCGUAAUCGAAACCUCGAGAUUUCUACGACAAUCGAGAGUCGCCAAGGUGUCGAAGAUGCACUUUGUGGCUUGAAAAUAAUCAACCACAGGUCAAUUGCACAGAAAAUUCCUUCUGGCUACCCGGUAGAUUAGGACGUGCUAAAGUCACGCCAGAUUGAAAUUAACCGUGAAAUUGAACCCGAUUAUAGAAAUUGGAAGUUCUGUCAAGUCACAAUUCAUUUUAGGAAUGUCGACUCAUCUCCAGAAGAUUUUUCUACAAACCGAGAUUUUUGGCGGAAAAGCAAAGUAAUGCCGUUUUUGUUCGGGAUUGUCAGAGGGCCGUUUUUAAUCGAAUCUUCGGGAUGCAAGUUGGAUCAUUUGACGGGGAAAUGUCAUGAGAAGGCUGAGGACACAUGGGUUGAUUUAAUUGAGCUUCAAUUGGAUGGAACUGAGUGAGAAUUGAUUGAAUUUGAUGCACAAAUGUCUAAAAUUCGUAUGCCAUGGGGCUAGGGACAUUUUGCACCUAUUAACAAGCUUGUGGAGGAAGCUUGAGGAGAGAGAGUGGCUGAGGUCAUGUGAUGUCAUGGUGGGGGCAAAGCCAAUGAGAGAAUGCCAAGUGUUGAGCUCUAAAGAGCCUAAGGAAACCCCCCUUGCUAAGCAGCCUCCUUCUCCCUUAAUUUGUGGCUUUCUCCAUUAUUGUUGAAGGAGAGAAGCUCAGCAAAAACCAGAGGAACCAAGCAGCACCAGCCCCUCCAUCGUCGCACGCCCGGAAGGCCAUCGUCGGCCGUUUUCCUCCUCUGUUUUCCCCUCGUUCCAGUUUCUGCUCCAGCUGACCUUUCGCCAAAGAUCCGAGUAAAAAGUUAACUUCCCGGUUGAAUCAGCGAACGAGCCACCCAUCGCCACGAAGAAGACAUCCAGACCGUUCCAGAGCACCUCGCCGCUCGCCGGAACGAUUCUCCGGUCGUCCCGUACGGCCGCCCGAAGCUGCCGCUCGCCGGACCGUCUGGUUCCGCCCUGCUCCGCCUGUUCCGCGUUUUCUUGCUGUUUCGCCCCUUUCCGACCCUUCCUUUGCCCAUCCCAACCUCCUACAAGAUCCCCAAGACCCCCGGGAGCCAUUGGUUGCCAACCACCCGCUUGCCGGAGCUCCGAUCGGCCCGUUUUCGCCGUUGAAGUUGCUGGUUUCUUCUCUGCAGUUCAGCCUAGAUCAGAAGCAGAAAACCAGAAAGCUGUGAGGUCUUCGAGGCCCAUUUUAGGUGUCUUCCCGGCCUUGGUUGGUGUCGCCGCCUUGAGGUUUAUCGCCCGCCUUGGCGUCGCCUUCGCCGUGGACUCGCCGGAAUGUUAAUCCGGUGAGUUUAUCCUCUAAUUCUUGCUUAGUGAGUUAAUGACGCUUAGGGGUGUUUAGAUUAGUCUAAUUAGGUUUAUGUGAUUAAAUUAGAUUAUUUUAGUGUAAAUUAGAUUAGUUGUAUGAUUAGUUUAAUGGAUGUUUAAUUAGGGCUAAUUAUAUGAUUAAAUUAGUGUAAUCUUGUUUAAGCCCUAAUUAAUUAUUUCGAAUUUUUAAAUAUUAUUUUAUUAUUUUAUAUUAUUAUAAUAUAAUAUUUAAUUAUUUAAUUUUCGGAAUUAAUUUUAAUUAUUUAAUAAUUUCGAAAAUUAUGCCGGGAUGGCCGGUCGUUAGAAUUUCGCGCUGAUCGCAGCAGUGCGGUCGGUUUGUGUUAAUUGUAUGUUUAAAUUGAGAAAUUGAGUGAUUGAUGAUUAUGGUUAAUAAUUCCAAAAGUAUGGAAUUGAGUGAUAUUGAUGAAGUUGUGGUAUUUAACUUGAAAAUACCCGGUGUUAGCUUUUAGCACCGUAAUUGGUUUGUGUGACCAGUUUGAAUCGAUUGGAUUGAUUGAUUGAUUGAAUUGAGAUAUGAAUUGGUUUAUAUAUAUGUAUCAGCUUGGGCGAGCAAUUAUGAUAUACACAUAUACAUAUAUAUAUGGCAGCUUCUAGUGAGCUAAGAUUGUUUUAUCAGCUUGUGCGAGCACGAUCUAUAUAUAUAUCAGCUUGUGAGAGCAAUGAUCGUUUAUCAGCUUGUGAGAGCAACGAUCCAUAUAUCAGCUUGUGCGAGCUAUCAUCUAUGUAUAUAUCAGCUUGUGCGAGCUACCAUCUAUAUCAGCUUGUGAGAGCAUUGCAUCCAUUUCAGCUUGUGCGAGCCGUAAUUGUAUUGAUGGAUGAAUAGAUGGUAUGGUUUAAUAGAUGAUAUGAAUUGAUAGACAUGUGGAUCGUAUGAUAUCAAUUGGAUUGACUGAAUUGAUAGACCGAUGGGUAUGUCGGUAGAUUCAGCUUGUGCGAGCAUUGUUUGAAUAUGAAUUGUACUGACGUGCAGGAAAGGGAUUGAGGCGAGGUAAGCCCUCUAUCCUAUUUGUGUGGCUAGAGCGCCCUGAGGCGUAUUUUCUUCCUAAUUGAGUUUUAGAUGGUAGGACUCGCUGAGACGUAGUCUCAUCCCGGUUGUGGGAUAAUAUUUCAGGUCCCUAGAUGACGGUCGUGGAGGACCGGAAGUCCUGGAGUUCGGAAGGUGGAGGUUGAAGAAUCGGCGAACGUGUCUGACAAGUUGGUCAUAGGACAGUUCCCUAGUUGUUGAGCCUGUCUAUUUUGUAGUCAAUCCAUUGUUGUAUAUAAACCUAUGUGUUUAUAAGAAAGCUUGUUUGGUUGUGAUUGAUUGCCUGCUUUUCUAUCCCAAGUUAGAUGUUGUCAGGGGAUUUGUUUCGCUUCCGCAUGUGCAAUAAAAAUGAAUGGGUCGGCGACGUGUCCUGGGAAGUCGCAUUUCUAUCGACCGCAGAGGGAUGUGCGCGCGCUCGAAGGAUCGGGGCGUGACAAUGUCCGAGGGGAGGCCUAAACAACAAGUUAGGUUCAACGUAAAUACCUAACUAAGCCUAGUCCCGCCCAUUGAUCGCUUAUGUUGGCAAGUCGAAAGGUACCCUUCUCUGUAGUGGAAAAUCUACAUGUAAUUAGUGAUUUUUAUGUUAUCUUCAUUGUAUCCAUAACUUUUCAUAUAAAAGAAAUAAUUAAGAACGUAUUGAAAUUCACUAAUGUCAUAACUAAAGAUUUGUUUGGACAUCCCAAUAACUAGUGGCCAGUUUUGACUGAGCACCUUCACAAAUAAUACAUUAAUCGGCCGAACAAGUCAUUUGUUUUUUUCCCUCGAUCCAACGGUGCAUACUCCUUCAUCAACAAUGAACGGUCCAGAAUGACCUCGGACGAAUAUUCAUUUUCAAGCCAACCAAACCAUCGGAAAAGGCCCAACCUCAUAUUAUCAUAUGACCAUUUUUGAAAUAAUUUUAAAAGAUGGAUUAUUAUAUAUACCAUGCCUGCACCAAAGAAAAAGCAAAAACAAAAAAAACACGUAACCCUCUUUGCUUGUACUCUUUAUUCUUCUUUUUCUCUUCUUUUUCGAAUGAAUCUGCUUUAGUAUCCUUACUUAAAUAUUGUGCAUGGAGUUAAAUAAUAUAUAUAACAAGAAAUCAAUGUACAAUAAGAUUAAUUACAGGAUUAAUUUAAAACCUUCGAAAAUGUUCCCAAAGCAAAUAUCAAUAUGGAAUUGAAGGCACUUCUUAAUAAAAUGGAUCAUUUCAAUUUACAAACCAUCUUUCUCGUCAUUAUCACUAGGGGAGUGUAGUUCUGAAAUUGGUCCAACUUCCAUCUGGUAUCUACCCUUUAGAACCGAUUCCCAAAUUUUUGAAAUAUAGAACUAUUAUACAUACUUUGAAACUCAGAACCUUAUCUGUUACAAAUUUCAAUGUCAAUUAUAAAGUCUAUCUAGGUUUCCCAUGCAUCAUUAAUUAAAUAUUGCAGUAAACACCUCUAAUAAUCACUAUUUGUUAUUAUAAUUAACUAACUAUAACUCAUAUUUAGACACACAAAAAUAUGAAAACAUUAAUAAAGUAAAAGUUCUAAUCAUACACAUGUUGGAAAUGGAAACUCAUACUAGAGUAGUGGUUUUAGAUUACGUAGGAAUUUCACAAAAUUGCUCGAAGACUUGGAACAAGAAAAACACAAAAAUAAAAUACAAAAAAGUACACAUCUACCUCAUCAUCAUCACCUUCCCCUCUCUCUCUCUCUCUCUCUCUCUCUCUACCAAACCCAGCCCUAACCAACAGCAAAUGCACCCCACGCACAUUUUCAAACACCCCCCUCACUUUCCGAUUUAAUUAAAUUUAAUUAAAUUAAAAUCAAAAUUAAAAUCAAAAUGUUAUAUAUAAAUAAACUUUAUAUUAACGCCCGCCCCUCCCCGUUUACUUUCACUCAAUCUCAUAAUAAUUUUUUUUAUUUUUCCUCCGUUUUAUUAACUCCCUUUUUUUGGGGCCCUUUUCCUCUAAAGACCACAUCCCCCCACCCAUCGGCGAUCCACCGGCAUCUCCCGGUCCGCGCCGCCGAUCGCCGGAGCUGCUCCGCCGCGCCGCCCUGAAGCUCGCCGCCCUCCCCCCACCGUGCACGGUGAGUCCUCCAUUCGCGGCCCCCGUCUCUGUGCUGCGGCCGCCUUGAAAGGUGGUUCCUUCAGUGUGUUUUGUGUGCACGUGGGCGUGCGUGCGUGCUUUUGGUGGUGCGUAACCCCACCGAGAUUCGCGAGCUCAACUCGACCUCGAUUCGCUCGAGCUCCGGAUCGCAGCGCCGCGAUCCGAGGCCCCCCGAGCUCGAGUCUCAGCUGGAGUCACUGUGAGUGUUGAUUAUCUGCCUAAUCCCUCCCGUAAUCUUCCCGGUUAAUCGCUCGCCGAUUCGCGGUUGGGCCGGAUACGGCGGAAUUCGCCGUUGUCCGGCUUCCGUCCGGUGAUUCUGUGCCGGGAUCUUGGUGAUUUGGCGCCCUAGUUGAUUUUGAACUGCGAAAUGGUGCUUUUUGCUGUUGAUUACAGUCGUUCGGGUCGAUUUUCGAGUGAAAUGCUCGGUUCCGCUAGGGUUUUGUGUUACUUCGCCUUUGCUCGGUGCUAGUGGAGUAUCGGUGUAAUUGAGGUCAAGUAUAAGUCGUGGACGCUCGGGCUUUUGGUGUUUUGACUUUCGAGGUAGGGUAGAGAAGUACUAGGCGAGUCUUUCUAGGGUUUUGAGCUGGUGCUGCUCACUGCUCUGUACGGUUUUAAUGUUUUCCGGUUCUGUCUCUGUGACUUCAGGUUUUACGUCAUAGCCCGCUGACUCGUCCUUGGUCUUUUGCGACGUUGAGAUUAUCUGGAUGCGAUGCAUGAUUAGUCGGUUUGAUUGCAUGGGGAAAUGAUAAAGCAACUCAAUUAGAGUUUUGUAGCUGUAUUUAUUGCGCAGUAUGCUGUGCCAGAAUGAGAAAGCAACUCAAUUAGAGUACCGUAGCCGUAUUUACUGUGCAGUAUGCUGUGCCGGAAUGAGAAAGCAACUCAAUUAGAGUUUUGUAGCCAUAUUAAUUGCACAGCAUGCUGUGCAGUAACAGUUGGCUCGAGUUGGCGUUAUAGUCCGCAUUUGGAGAUUGAUUAGACAAGAACAAAUGAUUUUCAUGAAAAAUAUACAUACCAGUCUUGCUUUUCGGAUCUUCGUUUAUGUUUGUGCUGUAGAAAUCGAAUUCUCUCCCAUAAAGCAGCAUAUUAUGCGGAGAACCAACAUAGCACAAUUGAAUUUCCUACAGUUCUUACUUUGCUUGCUAGUCAUGUUCUUGGUUAAUGUCACUUGAUUUAUCUGUUUGAUUUUUUCUUUUUUUCUCAAAACAGGAUCAUUUGAUAUGGUGGCUUAUUGUUGACACCUGAAAUUUUGGAGAUAAGUCAAGCUUCCAUCUUUGUAAAACCAAGAAUAAUAAUAAUAAAUCUAUAAAUGAGAAGAGUCCAAUUUGGACAUUUAUGCAAGGAUCUAAACCCAUAGUCUAACUCGCUCACUUUGGCCCGGUCUACCAACCCAGCCACUAGCCAAGCUCAUCAGGAAUUAGGCCGGCCCAUCAUCCUAGCCCAUGAAGCCCAAAUUUAAAGUCGGAUUAAGCAACUUUUGCAUAGGCCCAGAUUUACAAUUUUAAGUCGGAGCCCAUAAAGCCCGGGAGAAUUUGGCCCAUAAAGCGAGCACGUGCAGGGACUCAGAAGGGCGAAGGAAUUCUGGCAAGGGAUACGUAAUAAAGGACCAUAUUACACCAGAUAGCACUUCACGGACUGACAAAAUUUCCUUCUCUCUGGUUACAAUUCCAGAAAAUUCGUAGUCCAUUCUUGUUCUCCGGACAUCGCUUGCAGUUGCCGCGGUUGAUCAUCACUUCAAUCUAUCUCCACCACCGAAGAGGUGGCUGAGAAUCACCUGUUUGAAAAUUGAUAAAAUAAUUGCAUGUUAAACGGCAUCUUCAUCUAAAAACUUAAGUUUUUAAAUAGCUGAUAGCAGUUUCACAAAAUUUUGAAAUUAAUUUCUUUCAAGUGUUUUUUUUUCUUUGUUUAUAUGUUCGUAGGAUCCGGUUUAGAUACAUUCGAAUCCUUUCUGCUGUUCUAAUUGAUUUCGUCAAGGAUAAUGUUCUGCGUAUGGAAGUUGAACAGGAAUGAAAGUGAGAACAAUGGAGGCUCGAAGAAGUGAGUUUUGAGAUCUGCAAUUGAGUAAUAGUUUAUGCAUGUUUGCAAAACAGAAGAAAAGAAGUGGAACGGUAGCAGAUUCACGACGAAGAAGAACUCGUGCCUUGUGGUGUCACGGCGUUGGACUAAGAAAGAAACGAAAGGAAAUAAAAAGACAAUAAGCAAAAUUAAUAUAUUGAACAUAAUAAAUAAAAAACGAAAAAUAAAAUGCGGAAUAAAAAUGAUUGGAAAGUGUGAGUCCUAGCUAGACAGUUGCAGCUUGGAAAUAGUUUUAAUCGAAUUUCAUUUGAUUCGAAUUCAUCUAGUUUAAGAGUAAUUAUAAUUUCGAAAUAAUUUUCUUUCUUUUAGAUGAAAUGGAUAAACAGACAAAAAAAAAACAAUUAACAGAGAAAAGGAUAAAAGGAAAAAAAUCUCAUUUGCAUUUAUAUUAGAAUUACUGUUAUGGGUCAUUUUAUUGAUUUCCGUCUUUAAUAUCGUUAGUGUAAUUCUCUUUAGUUGAAAUUAGACUUUGACUUUGAUUUUGAAAAUUAGCUCACGGUGGUCAUGCCCAGCUCAAUAAUAAGACAAUAAAUAUACUUUACUCGAUUUGUACCGGAUUAUUUUACCGCACUCUACUUUUUGUUGUCAAUUCUUUUACCGCAUUUGAGUAACGUGAGGUAUUAGCUCAUGGGGAUCAUGUCUAGGGACUUAAUAACAAGACCGUAUAAUUUUUUUUGUUUGACUCAUGUUGGAUUAAUAUCACAAAAAAUCCCAAAUAGGUAUAUCUGUAAUAAAUUUAUCUAAAACAAUUUUUUCCUAAAAUAGCCUAGUUAAAUAAAUGCAUGAGGCAAAUAAAAGGAUAAUAUUUUCAUUGUUUGGAGCUAGAAGUACGUUAAAGAAUGGCCCAACCUUUUGGCCAUGAUGUUUAUGGACAUGAUAAGUAAGAUUAAAGACCACGAAUUAGACUCCUCCCCUAACUUAUUUGUCCAUCAAUCAAGAAAAGCACCAUAAAUUCCUAAUGAGACCUUUUGUGGGAUGGGGGUUCGUACGGGUUGAUAUUACAUCAGACCGAUUCCCACGACACCAGAAAAUGCAAAAGACCUCAGGCGACGGAAAUGCCCGUCGCUAAAGCAUAAAAUCUCGUUCCCGUCUCUCGCUAGGUACGGAAAAGGGACUAAAUGGAACCGCUCCAGAGCAUGAGCAAGCUUUUUUUGUCAUUUAAAUAGUAAUAAGAGCAUCUUUAUCUUAUAGUUACCGUAUCGAUCGAAGUAGUGCAAGAAUUCAUGAUCUAUUAUUCACUCUCAAAAUGUUUAAAUUGCACCAGGAAUUCACGUUUUAGAACGAAUAACGAGAGAUAUUUUGAAAAGGUUUGGAGAUAGAGAAAUGACCCAUCCAUUUAUUUUGAUGUGCAUAUGUCCACACAAUGAGUGAAGAAUUUUUUUGUUGUCUGUGAGAUCUUGUCUUGCAUGGUCCCAGUAACAUGGGAUAUGCAUGGUGCAACGUUGUACCUAGCAAUUUUUUCUCAAAGGUUAAUUUUUUCACUCGGAAAUAACGAAACAUCAGUAGAGUCAAGAAGAAGACAAAUUGCUUCACCUUUUAUGCUUAGUUAAGACAGAACUUUGUGUAAUUGCAUGCUAAAAUGGGGUACCGCAUACACAAUGGCAAAGAGUUUGCUAUGUUUUUACUUAACUAGGCAAUAUGAACAGAACGACCAAGCCCAAGGAAAAGUAGAUGCGUCAUUGAAUGAUUGAGUGCGCGUUAUGUUAGAUGAUGUGCGGCAAGUAGUAAAAAUUGGCUCUGCCGUGCGACAACAUAAUCUUCUUAUGAGUAAAAAUUAUCUUCAACUGGUCUCCUUGAGCACAUCAUUUAUCUCGACAUGAAGUUAAGACUGAUGGAACAAGAAGAAAUGCAUGACUGGCUAUUUUACUCCUAGAAUUGCGUUCAAAUGAUUCAAAACGUCAAGUUUUGUUCCUUUGGUCACAGCAAUGCAAGCUUGGUUGUGCCUUUGUCGACGUGCCGGAUUUCAUUAGUUUCCUAUAACAAACGGAAUUCUGUAAUAUUUGCAAAAUACAACCAAUCGUACUUUGAAAUUAAGUUAUUUUCCUAGAUACCAAAGGUGCCGACAACUGUAUAUUUUUGUCUUUGGUUUCUAUCCGUUUUGGCAUAAACAAACCAAGCGGUAGGAAAAUAGUAGACAGCAAUGUUAAGCUAAUGCACAAUCCAAACAACUAUAAUUGUGUGGGAGUAAGAGUAACAAUCAGCACAAAACAAGGGCCAAUUCCACCUCUAUUUCCCUCUCAAUAAGGGAGACUAAUCAAAAUUCUAAACACUCUUAAUUUCUCUUAAUGCAUUACACAAAAGAAGUUAUAUUUGUCAUAAGUGACCAAAGAAAAUGUUCACCAAUCGUAAUUCUAAAUUAAAAUAGCACUAAUAUCACAAACAAAAAGGACCCACAUAGCGCAAUCGUCAGGUGAACAAAAGGGUUCAAAUGGGCUCCCAAAGUCUUCAAUUUUGACCCUAAAGUCUUCAAUUUCAAUCCUAAAAUCACACCAUUUCAUAGACUUUUUUGCCACUAUCCUUUCAUAGACUUUUUUGCUACAGUCCUAGCAAGUAACCAAAAUCUUCAAUUUUGACCCUCAAUUCACACUAUUUCAUAGACUCUUUUCCCAUUGUCCUUUCAUAGACUCUUUUGCCAUUGCCAUAACGAGUAAUCAAAGUUUUCAAUUUCGACCCUCAAAUUGCACCAUUUCACACCAUUUCAUUGACUUUUUUGCCACUGUCCUUUCAUAGACUUUUUUGCUAGACUCCUAACAAGUAAACCAAAAUCUUCAAUUCACACUAUUUCAUAGACUCUUUUCCCAUUGUCCUUUCAUAGAUUCUUUUGCCAUUGUCCUAACGAGUAACCAAAGUCUUCAAUUUCAACCCUUGCCAUUUCAUAGACUCUUUUACCAUUGUCCUAACAAGCAACCAAAGUCUUCAAUUUUGGCUCUCAAAUCGUACCAUUUCAUAUGGACUUUUUUAGCCGGCUGACCCAUUGGUCUGCCAACUGCCAGGCAAAUAAAGAUCUAUUGGCUGAAUUUUCUAUCAAUCAAUCAUCUGUCAAUUCGCCCUGUAGCUACACAUUAUGGCAUAGCACAAAGUCAUGCUGUCAUGCACCUAGAGAUUCAUCAGCAUUGCCCAAAUUUUGCAUUUUAUCACCAAAAUAUGCAUAACAAUAGAAGAUUUGAUAGGAUUUGAUUAUAGAAAUAUAUGCAAACAUAUUUUAUCUUGCAUAGCGGUUAGAGAAUUGUUAAUGAAAUAAGCAUAAAAAAUAGAUGUUAGGAUAAGAGCUUUUAUAAAGUGACCUAAAAUUAAAUUGUUACCCAAAACUCACAUGAGAGCGCCAUGUGGUACGUGGCUUUUGUGUAUCGUUCUUUUUAAUAUAUAUAUAGUUACAUAGAUGGAAAAAUUGUCCAAAAUCCUAAACCUAUUGUAUUUGUUAAUUUAAUCUAAUCCUAAACUUUUCAAUUUAACUAAUUUAGUCAUAAAUCUUUUCAUAUUUUGCCAAUUGAGUCAUCCAGUCAAUUCUGAUCAAAAAUCGCUAACGUGGACAUUAGACGUUCCAGUGACUUGACCAGCACUGAAGUAAAUAAUUUUAAAUAAUAUUUUAAUAUUUUUCAAUUUUUUAUUUCUUUUCUUUUUAUUUUCUUCCCUUUUGCCUCUAGUUGAUCAUCAAGCUUGGACGAUCGGCUAGAAGAACCGGUGAGGUUGACCUCACCGACCUCAAGCGAGCCUCGCCCACGUAUGGCAAGGCUCGACUUGGCCAUUCACAUCCAUUUUCUCCUUUCGUUGACUAGUCAAGCUUUCUCAUUUUUUCUUUUGUUGUCAUCAUGUUUGACUUUUUAACCAAUCCAAUAAUCAAAUAUGCUCAAAUGUUAGACAAUCUCCUUUGUUCUACGUAACAUAAAUCAUAUUCCUUCAUUGAUAAACGUGUUUUGAUAUGUGUCUAUUCUCUUCCUUGCUAUAGCGUCGAUGAUUUUUACAUUAUGUUAUAUGGGGUUGUUAUUCAUGGAAUGUGAGAAAUGCCAAGUAAAAGUAUUUGUCCAUUCGGACACAAAAGAUGUUGCCUUAAAGAUUAAGCUUAAAAUUUUGAUAAAAUAGAUGGGAAAUAGAAAUUUUUUUUGAGAUUCGUAUGAUAGAAAAUGAGUAACACUGUUCAAAAACACUAUGAACCGUCUUAAUUUCCCGAAGACAUUACACAACGUAAAUCACAUUCCUCAUCAGUGACCCAAGGACGCACACAUUCAUAUCACAAGGCACCAAGCACCACCUAUAAAAUGUGCUUCACUCUCUCAUACUCGUUGUGUUUUUAUGUUUGUGAUAAUUACUUGUAGUGUUAUAAAAUGAGCCUCAUUGAUAGUGAUAAGUAAUUAUCGUAUAAUGAACCUUGAUGUAGGACUUUACUCUCACUUUAAUAAUAAGAUUUUUCAUGUAAUAUAACUUAAAUUGAGAAAAAGGGAUAUGAGAAUAAAAUAACAUUUAACCUACCUUGGAUCUUUGAUAUAUACAUGGUCGACUAGUUUCAAAUGUUAAUUACCACAAUAAUAUGCGUGAAUCUUUCUUCUUCUUUUUUUUUUUUUGCAUCGAUUAAAUCACCAAAAUAUGUAUAAGAAUUAGAGAUUUUCUAGCAUUAGAGAUCCCAUAAAAAUUGAAUUUAUAGGCAAAAUUCACAUGUGAGAGUGCCUCGGUUGACCCAGUCUCCACGGAUGAACGUCAAUUAUUUGCGUCUACUUUCUCCUUUUGUUGACUAGUCAAACUUUCUCAUUUUUUCUUUUAUUGUUACCAUGUCUGACUUUUUAACCAAUCCAAUGGUCAAAUAUAACCAUUUCACAUACGCUUUUGCUGCUUUCUCCACGAUUGACCCGAGUCUUCCAUGCAGCUACACGUUAAGGCACUGCACAAGGUAAUGCGCACGCACCUGAAUAUUCGUAGGUACUGCACAUGUGUUUCAUCCCUUAAAACGUCAUUGGUUCGAUGCAUCCUAGCAUAAGAUGAGCCGUGUUCAUCUGCUUCACUCUCUCGUACUCUGCUCAUCUAAACAAAGGAGUCUUUGUUUCGAACAAAAUGGCUUCCUCUUCGUGCUUCUACAUGUCCAUACACUUUCUUUUCUUGUAUUUGUCAUCUCAGCCGAUUGGCGCACACAAUCUCUCUCGUUCUGCGAAACCUCUAUGUCUCGAGGAUGAAAUGUCUGCACUGCUACAGUUUAAAGAGAGUUAUGAAAUCUCCACUGUUUCGGGUGGUCCUCUCGCUCGUCCCAAGACUCUAUCCUGGAAAAAUAGUCGGGAUUGUUGCUCUUGGGAUGGGAUCGAGUGCGAUGAGAACACAGGCCACGUAAUUGUUCUCGAUCUGGGAAGUAGUUUUCUCUAUGGUUCUAUCGACAACAACAGUACCAUCUUCCAGCUUGCUCAUCUUGAAAAGCUCAAUCUCGGCGACAAUCACUUCAAAUACUCUCAAAUACCGUCUCGAGUUGGAGAUCUAUCAAGAUUGACUCAUCUCAAUCUCUCUGCUUCCGUUUUUUCUGGCCAAGUUCCAUCAGAAAUCUUCAAACUUACAAGGUUGGUGUACCUCAACCUGUAUUGGAAUGUGGAUCCACAUGAUGGAAGACAUUUGUUGCGAAUGAAAGCACCGGGCCUGAGAAGCCUAGCUCAAAAUCUGACCAGCCUGGAAGAACUCCUCCUUGGUGACGUCGAUAUGUCGUCCCAAGUGCCCACCACUCUGGCGAAUCUGUCUUCACUGAGAAGGCUGGACAUGAGUUAUUGCGACCUGCACGGUGUAUUUCCGUCUGCCAUUUUUCAUUUACCGAAGCUACGAUAUCUAGAUGUGGGUCAGAAUGAAGUCACGGGCCGCUUGCCUAAGUUCAACUCGAGUAGUCCUCUUGAAGAGCUGCGACUGACAGAGACGAGCUUUUCUGGGGAGCUACGCGCUUCAAAUGGAAUCCUUCCAUCCUUGAGCUAUCUCGACGUAAGUGGUUGCGAAUUCUCAGGAUCCAUCCUGACUUCACUUGCUAAUCUUAGCAACCUCAAAGACCUGGAUGUCUCAGGGAACCCAUUCACUGCCCAGUCCUUUUCCUCUAUUUCUUGGGUUUGGACGAAGAAGAAGCUCACAUCUUUGACACUCGGAAGCAUCAAUCUAUAUGGUGAGAUUCCACCCUCAAUCGGAAACUUGUCUCAGCUUGAUUUUUUAUGGUUAACAGACAACCAAUUAAGCGGUGCCAUCCCAUCUCAGCUCAUGAACCUCACUCGACUGACUUGUUUAAACCUCGGAAGCAAUCGACUGUUGGGUUCUAUACCGUCUUGGCUUAUGAACAUGACUCAACUGGUUUACCUUGACCUUUCAGUCAAUAAAUUCCACGGUGAGAUACCUUCAUCAAUCUCUCAACUUCAAAAUCUAGAGGACCUCUGCCUUUUCGAAAACAACUUCAGCGGUACUAUUGAGCUAGACAACUUUCACAAGUUCAAACAUUUGAAUACGCUGCAAGUAUCAUUUAACAGGCUAUCAGGUUGCAUGAGUAGCGCAAAUCUUAUUAUUCCUCAGCUUAAUAUCCUAGGAUUGGCUUCAUGCAAUUUGAGUGAGUUUCCGGCAUUCUUACAAAACCAAGAGGAUAUUGGGUGGUUGGACUUGUCCGAUAACAACAUUACGGGAGAAGUGCCCUUUUGGGUGUGGGACGGAAGAUUUAAAUACAUGCAGCACCUGAAUCUCUCCCAUAACUUCUUAACUGGUCUUGAUCGAUAUUACCCGAUGCACACUUUAGAUACGUACACGAUAGACCUCUCUCAUAACAUGUUGAAAGGACCACCCCCUGAAGCACCGUCAUCGACAGUGACCUAUAUAGUAUCCAACAACAACCUGACGGGAGCGUUGCCAGCAUGGAUAUGCAAUUUAAGUUCAGCAAUCACCCUAGACUUGUCUUUUAACAAUUUGACCGGUGUGCUUCCCAUUUGUUUGGGCAAUAUCAGCAAAUCACUCGUGGUAUUGAACCUAAAAGGCAACAAUUUCCAAGGAAGCAUUCCAGAGCUCUCGAUGAGGGGGACACAAUUGACGAUGAUUGAUUUGAGUGACAACCAAUUGCAUGGCAAAUUACCGAGAUCCUUGGCUGAUUGCGAAAAGCUCAAGUUCAUAAAUUUUGCAAACAAUCUUAUCAUGGACACCUUCCCAUCAUGGUUGGGAUCACUACCAGAGCUUCAUAUCCUUAUUUUGCGAUCCAAUAAAUUCCACGGUGUCAUAGAAAGGCCUAAAUCUAGUCAUGCAUUCCUUAAGGUACGGAUACUCGACCUCUCUUCUAAUGCAUUCAUCGGUAAGUUGCCUGUGGAAUUCUCUUGGUCUUGGAAUGCCAUGAAAUCCGAGAUGCAGGACUUUACAUACAUGAGCAAUAAUCUAUCUCCGCCAGAAUUCCUUGUGUUCUCCUACUAUGGCUAUUAUGAAUUUUCCAUGACAGUGAUUUACAAAGGGCUUAAACUAUAUUACCCAAAGAUAGUAGAAGCCUUCACGAUCAUUGACCUCUCCAGCAAUUUGUUCAAAGGAGAGAUCCCCAAUGCCAUAGGUGAUCUCAGAGGAUUGCAAGGGCUGAACCUUUCCAACAAUCUCCUCACUGGUCACAUCCCAUCAUCGUUAGGGAAUCUCACAGCACUUGAGUCAUUGGACCUUUCUCAAAACAAACUCACUGGACAAAUCCCCCAGAAGCUAAUAGAACUUGGGUUCCUUUCUUUCUUGAACGUCUCUUACAACAAUCUGACAGGGUCCGUGCCUAGAGGGAAACAGUUCGAUACAUUUUCAGACGAUUCUUUUGAAGGAAACUCAAGACUGUGUGGGGAAUUCAUAUCCACGAAAUGUCGAGAUCCAGCGGAUAAGUCAGGACAACCUUCAACCUACCAAGAAGAAGACUUGGGAUCACCAAUUGAACUCAAUUGGAAGAUUGUCCUUAUGGGGUAUGGGAGCGGCUUAGUGAUUGGAGUGGUCAUCGGAAAUGCAUUCAUCUCUUGGAAACAUGAUUGGUUUGAAGGAAACGCCAAGAGAAGGUGACGACCUAAUCAGAGGCAGCCUAGGAGAGGUAGGAACUCUUGGUCAGUCAAGCUUCUCAAUUUAUGCAGAUAUUAGAACUUCCUUAAAAACUGAGUUGGGUAUAUCCUUUAUUUUCCUAAAUGUACUUGCUUCGUAUUAUCUUUAUAGUUAUUUAUGUCAAACUUCAUUUUCUUCAGCUAAUCUCUCGUCACAUCUAUUUAUAAAGCCAUUGUCAACUUGUAAACCUAGCUCAUGUGCGUCUUUUCCUAUCAAUGUUCUGGCAACAGUACUACAAUCGAACACUAUCCGAAUUGCCACAAGGAUUUUUUUUUCUGUCUGGGGUUCACAUCACUUGCUGAAACCUGUUUACAGGUUCUAGUAAAACAAUCAAGGGUACACUGUUCUCAUAACUUUAUGCAAACUAGACUCUUAUCCACACCUCGAUCAUUUGCUUUAGUUGUUUGUCACCUCACAAAUUAUACAAACAACAGUUGUAUUGACAUUUGAAACAAAAUCCGCAUUUGAAGAUUGAUUGGACAAGAACCAUGACAAAUGAUUCUCGUGAAAAAUAUACAUAUCAGAUUUGCUUUUUGGAUAUUCUUUUAUGUUUGUGCGGUAAAAAAUCGAAUUCUCUCUCGUAAAGCAGCAUAUCAUGUUGAGAACCAACAUGGCGCAGGAGAAUUUCCUAAAGUUCUUACCAUGCUUGCUAAUCAUGUACUUGGUAAAUGUCAUUUGAUUUAUCUAUUUAAACUUUUCUUUUUUUCUCAAAGAAUGAUCAUUUGAUAUGUUGAACUAUUGUUGACACCUGAAUUUUUGCCGAAAAGUCAAGUUUCAGUCUUUGUAAAACCAAGAAAAAUAAUAAUAAAUCAACAAACGAAAGAGUCCAAUUCGGCCGUUUACGCGAGGACCUAAACCCAUUUGCCUGAGCCCAUCUAUUAAGUAUAAGUCGCUCGCUUCAGCCCGGUCCACUAACCCGGACCACUAGCCAAGCCCAUCAGGAAUUUGGCUACCCACCAGUCUAGCCCAUGAAGCCCAAAUUUAAAGUCGCAUUAAGCAACUUCUGCACAGGCCCAGAUUUGCAAGUUUAAGUCGGAGCCCACAAAGCCCGUGAGAGUUUGGCCCAUAAAGCGCGCGCGUACAGGAACCGAGAAGAGCGAAGGAAUUCUGGCAAGGGGACGUUGGCAAAAGAACCGGCUCUCCCUCCAGCUUCCUCUCUCAUCCAACUGACUUUGGCGAUUCCUUCUCUCUAGAAUCCAAUUCCAGAGAAUUCGUACUCGAUUCUUCUUCUCUGGACAUUGCUCGCAGUUGCCGCCUUCGAUGGUCGCUUCAAUCCAUCUCCACUGCCAUGAGAAAAAGGCUCUGUUCGUCUUGUUCUCAGUCAUUGUCACUGAAGAGCUUGAGCCGCGGUUCGCCAUUUACUCUUUCGCCGAUUCCCGCCUUCAAAUUUUGCUUCUGUGACUGUUUUUCUCUGGUUCAAUCGAUAAUUAUUGCAGGUAAACAUCCCUACUUAACGAACCAUAUCUGCUCUGUUUAUGCUUAAAAACAGAGGCCGCGAAUCCUACGUACUGCUUGUGUAUAGAUCUUAUGUAGCCGAGCUUCCGCUAGCGAUUUGAACUCAUCGUGUUUUGGUGAUGAUAUGGAGACAAAUUCUUGGCAUGUUCCUGCGUUUAGAUCAUUAGAUUAAAUUGUCUACCAUGUGUUCGACAAUUUUUGAGUGAAACCUGCGUGUGAAAUUGAUUAAAAUCCUUGCGUAUUGAUGUUUGGUUGAUUCUUACGUGUUCAGACUGAGACGUCUGUGUUUGAUCCUCUCAUUGCACCAUUGAAUUGACCUGCUGUGAUGCUCCGCCCGAGACUUUGCCUGCUGUGUCUCUUCUUAUUUCCAACCUCUGUUUCAGUCCAUUUCAUUAGUCUUGUUGUCAAACCUGAAUUUAUGCCGAUCGAUCUUUAGAGGUGGCUAGUAAUCAGCUAUAUGAAAAUUGAUACAAUAAUUAAAUAUUAAACAUCGCCAUCGUCUAAAAGCUUAAUAUUUAGAAUAAUAGGCAGUGAUCUCACAAAAUCUCGUGAAAAAUAAAAUUGAUUGGCUAGGAAGUUGAACAGAAAUGAAAGAGGGAACGAUGGAGGCUUGAAGAAGUGGAGAGUUUUGUGAUUCUGCAAUUGAGUAAUAGUUUGUGAAUGUUUGCAAAACAAAAGAAAAGAAGUGGAACGGUAGCAGAUUCAUGACGAAGAAGAAGACGAACUCGUGCUUUGUGGCGUGACGGCGCGGAACUAAGCAAGAAACGAAAGGAAAUAAAAUAGUAUAUUAAAAUUAAUAAAUAAAAACGAAAAAUAAAAUGCGGAAGGAAAACGAUUGGAAAGUGUGAUUCCUAGCUAGACGGUUGCAUCUUAGAAAUAGUUUUGGCUGAAUUUCAUUUGAUUUGAAUUCAUCUAGUUUAAGAGUCAUUGUCUUCAGAUUUCAAAACAAUUUGAAUUUUUAGCUUGUAUUUUCUUUUAGAUUAACAGACAAAAAAAUAAUAACAAAGAAAAGGAUAAAAUGAAAAAUCUCAUUUAGCGGUCAUUUUGUCGAUUUCCGUCUUUAAUAUUGUCAGUGUAAUUCUCUUUAGUUGAAAUUAGACUUUGAUUCUGAUUUUGAAAAUUAGCUCAUGGUGGUCAUGCCCGGAUCAAUAAUAAGAUAAUAUAUAUUCUUUACCCGACUCAUAUCAAGUUAUUUUACCGCACUUCACCUUUUUUGUCAAUUAUUUUACCGCAUUUGAGUAAAGUGAGGUAUUAGUUCAUGGCGAUCACGUUUAGGGACUUAAUAACAAGGCCAUGUAAUUUUUUUGUCAGACUAAUAUUAGAUUGAGUUGAUAUCACAAAAAAACUCAAAAUCGGUACAUUUAUAAUAAAUUUAUUUGAAAUUAAUUUUUUUAAAAACACCCUAGUCAAAUAAAAGCGCUAGGCAAAUAAACGGCUAAUAUUUUCGUUGUUUGAAGCUAGAAGUAUCUUAAAGAAUGGCCCACCUUUUGGCAAUGAUUUUUAUGGACUCGAUGAGUAAGAUUAAAGACGACGAAUUAAACUACUCCGCUAACUUAUUUGUCCAUCAAUUAAGAAAAGCACCAUAACUCCCCAAUGAGACCUGGGGGAAAAAUUGACAUUCCACCAGGCCGAUUCCCACCACCACCGGAAAAUGAAAAAGAUCUCAGGCGACGGAAAUGCCCAUCUCUAAAGUGUGAAAUCUCGUUCUCGUCUCUCACUAGGGAGGGGAAAGGGACUAAAUGGAACCGCUCCGGAGCAUGAGCAUGCUUUUUUGUCAUAUGGAUAGUAAAAAGAGCAUCUUUAUCUUAUAGUUGCCGUAUCCAUUGAAAUAGUGCGAAGAUUCAUGAUCUAUUAUUCACUCUCAAAGCAUUUUAAUUGCGCCAAGAAUUCACAUUUUAGAAUGAAUAACGAGAAAAUUUUUGAAAAGGUUUGGACAUAGAGAAAUGACCCAUCCAGUCGUUUCGAUGUGUAUAUUUCUACACAACGAGUGAAUAAUUUUUUGUUGUUUGUGAGAUCUUGUCUUGAAUGGUCCCAGUAACUAGGGAUAUGCAUGGUGCAACGUUGUACCAUGCAAUCUUUUCUUAAAAGUUAAUUUCUUCAAUCGAAAAUAACGGAACGUCCUAAAGUCAAAAAGAAGUCGAAUUGCUUCACCUUUUAUGCUUUGUUAAGACAGAACUUUGUGUAAUUGUAUGAUAAAAUGGGGUACUGAAUACACAAUAGCAAACAAUUUGCUCUGGUUUUACUUAACUAGGCAAUAUGAACAAAAUGACCAAGCCUAAGGAAAAGUAGAUGCGUCAUUGAAUUGCCUAUGGAUGACUGAGUGCCGGUUAUGAUAGAUGAUGUGCGGCAAGUACUAAAAAUUUGCUCUGGCGUGCAACGAUAUAAUAUUCUUAUGAGUAGAAAUUAUCUUCAACGGGUCUCCUUGAGCACAUAAUUUAUCUCGACACAAAGUUGAGACCGAUAGAACAAGAAGAAAUGCAUGACUGGCUAUUUAUUCCUUAAAUUGCGUUCAAAUGAUUCAAAACAUCUCAAGUUUUGUUCCUUUGGUCACAGCAAUGAAAGCUUGGUUGUGCCUUUGUCGACAUGCUGGGACUUCAUUUGGGACUUCAUUAGUUUCUUGUAACAAACGAACUUCCGUAAUAUUGCAAAAUACAACCAAUUGUACUUUUUUUUUUUUUGAUGAGAAACAAAGCUGAUAUUAUUACAUACUAGGUAAAGAUAAUACAGCAUGAGCAUCAGUACAAAGAAGAUCCAAAAGAGCAGAGGGGGGACUGGACACCCAGUUGAUAGGAAGGAAAUCAAAACACCGGGCUUUAGCAACCCAGUCAGCAACCCGAUUAGAAUUCUACUGCAGUGGGCUAAAGAGAGUCCCAAAAUAGACUCCAAUUUGUGCUUUGCCCUGUCCACAAGGGGUUGCACUGACCAAUUAAAAGUAGAGGACGACAAUAGACUAUCCACUAGCAACCGACAAUCAAAUAGAAUAAGAAAUUAUUUUUCUGGGGAAUUAGGGAUAAGGGUUGAAGAGAUAAAAUCUAGGGUUUCAACCAAAGCGACGGCCUCCGCUUGCUCAGUCGAACCUACCUCAAUAUGCUUUGCAAACCCAUUUCGAAUCCUCCCAAAAGAAUCUCUGCAGACACAAGCAAUAGCAGCCCGAGGUCUUGCGCUUGGAUGGUGAGGACGAAACGGAGCAGAUCUGGUCUGCGAAUAGUCGAAGAGAACUGACGCCGUCUCUCUGGUCUUCUCUCUGGGUGAGGCAUGGCCCAAUGCCGAAGGUAGAAGUCUGCUAGCAGAUUGAUGGGUACGCUGAGGUCCUGGAUGUGGGGCUUCGCUUGCUUCAACAACACAGGUGCGUGGGUUAUUCGUGCCGUCUUCCUCCGCUUCCGGUUCAUACUGCUUUCCAUGGUGUGCGUCGGCAAUGCUAUUGUGAUUUUGCUGCUGUGGUGGGUAUUCAGAUCUGGUAGAUCUGAGAUUUCCUUCUUCGGAUGUAGAGGCAGCAGACAUAGCUUCGAUUAUACUGGUGCCGAGACGCAGAGGAAGGUUUUCUGUUUCUUCCAAACCGCGAGACUUGCCAUGGGCGUCAUCCCUGGAUCUGAGAUUUCCUUCUUCGGAUGCGUAGGCAGCAGACAUAGCUUCGAUUAUACUGGCGCCAAGACGCAGAGGAAGGUUUUCUGUUUCUUCUGAACCGCGAGACUUGCCAUGGGCGUCAUCUGUGGGUCUUCUGAGCUGCGAUCUGGGUCUUCCGAGCUGCGAUCUUGUUAGAUGUGUAGAUUCGGUGGCUUUGAGAGGCUGGGCGUCAGUUGCAGGGGUGAGAUCGACUGUAGCAAUUGUUCCGCUGGUCAGGGGGGAGUGCCCGGUGAGGUCUGGUCUGAGUCGCAGGCGUUCUUCCACAGCACAGGUGAGUUUGUUCAAUACUUCUUCUUCCCUUUCAUCCGGUUCGUAAUGCGAGCUUCGCUGAGCCGCGACAUUCACUCUAAGCUGCUACUGUGGUGAUGGAUAAUCACAUCCAGUAAAUCUGAGGGAUGAUUCCUUGAUUGCAGAGGCAGAGGAACGUCUUUCUCUACGAUUUGAAGCACGAAUCAUGCUAUAUUGAGCAUCUUUCAUUGGUCUUUUAUCUUGCAAUGGUGAUGGUAGUCUGGGUUCUUGAUCUUUGGUUAAAAACGAGGAACUCUCGAGUCGAUGAUCUUCGGUUGCAAAGGCGUCGGGUUCGGAAGCGAUGAUUCCACGGGUCUCUUCCACAUCUCCUACAAUAUAUAGCACAGGCGGGAACCUGCUGAUGCCAGGAUGGGGAUCAAUCAGUAUUUCCGCUUCAGUUCUAUGUCUGCAUAUCCCGAGAGGGCUAAGGUCUUCAUGAGGCUGUACAGACGGUAAGGGAGCCACUAUAUUUAGGCUUCUACAUAGAGAUGGACUAUUUUUUUGCAUCACUUUGUAUAUGUUCUGCAUCGUGGGUGUUCCUGCGGGGGUUGUCACGCCCCGAUCCUCCGAGCGCGCGAACAUCCCACUCUGGUCAAUAAAAAUGCGACUUCCCAGGACACGUCGCCGACCCAUUCAUUUUUAUUGCACAUGCGGAAGCGAAACAAAUCCCCUGACAACAUUUAACUUGGGAUAGAAAAGCAGGCAAUCAAUCACAACCAAACAAGCUUCAUUAUAAACACAUAAGUUUAUAUACAACACUUGAUUGUCUACAAAAUAGACAGGCUCAACAAAAAGGGAACUGUCCUAUGACCAACUUGUCAGACACGUUCGCCGAUUCUUCAGCCUCCACCUUCCGAACUCCAGGACUUCCGGUCCUCCACGACCGUCAUCUAAGGACCUGAAAUAUUAUCUCACAACCGGGAUAAGACUACGUCUCAGCGAGUCCUACCCUCUAAAACUCAAUUAGGAAGAAAAUACGCCUCAGGGCGCUCUAGCCACACAAAUAGGAUAGAGGACUUACCUCGCCUUAGUCCCUUUCCUGCACGUCAGUACAAUUCAUAUUCAAACAAUGCUCGCACAAGCUGAAACUACCGACACUUACAUCGGUCUAUCAAUUCAAUCAAUCCAAUCAUUCGCAAUGAUUCAAUUCCAUCAUACUAUCUAUCUUUCCAUUUCAAUCCGUACUAUCUAUCAACCAUUACUAUCUAUCAUUCAAUACCGUCUAUCAAACCAGUCGUUAAUACGACACAUGCUCUCCAAAGCUGUAAUAUAUAGACGGUAGCUCGCUCAAGCUGCAUAGAUAGAUAGCUCACCAAAGCUGUAACUGAUAGAUAGCUCGCACAAGCUGUAUAGAUAGAUAGCUCACCAAAGCUGUAACUGAUAGAUAGCUCGCACAAGCUGUAUAGAUAGAUAGCUCACCAAAGCUGUAACUGAUAGAUAGCUCGCACAAGCUGUAUAGAUAGAUAGCUCACCAAAGCUGUAACUGAUAGAUAAUAUAAUAGCUCGCCAUAGCUGUAGCUGAUAGAUAAUAUAAUAGCUCGCCAAAGCUGUAGCUGAUAUAAUAGCUCUCAAAAGCUGUAGCUCAUAUAAUAGCUCACUGAAGCUGUAGCAUAUAGAUAGCUCACUGAAGCUGUAGCAUAUAUGUAUAUAAUAUUUGCUCGACCAAGCUGAUACAUAUAUAAACAACUGCUUGCCAAAGCUAUCAAUUCAACAAUAAACCAUAGAACUGGAUAUUCAAUCCAAUAACAACCAACGAUUCAAACUAGUCAUACAAAUUAAUUACGGUGCUAAAAGCCAACACCGGGUAUUUUCAAGUUAAAUACCACAACUUCAUCAAUUUCACACAAUUCCACACUUUUGGAAUUAUUAACCAUAAUCAUCAAUCACUCAAUUUCUCAAUUUAAACAUACAAUUAACACAAACCGACCGCACUGCUGCGAUCAGCGCGAAAUUCUAACGACCGGCCAUCCCGGCAUAAUUUUCGAAAUUAUUAAAUAAUUAAAUUUAAUUCCGAAAAUUAAAUAAUUAAAUAUUAUAUUAUAAUAAUAUAAUUUAAUAAAAUAAUUUUUAUAAAUUCGAAAUAAUUAAUUAAUUAAAAAAUAAUUAAUUAUGGCUUAAACAAGAUUACACUAAUUUAAUCAUACAAUUAGCCUAAUUAAACAUCCAUUAAACUAAGCAUACAACUAAUCUAAUUUACAUUAAAAUAAUCUAAUUUAAUUACAUAAACCUAAUUAGACUAAUCUAAACCCCUUAAGCGUCAUUAACUCACUAAGCAAGAAUUAGAGGAUAAACUCACCUGAUUAACGAUCCGAACGGCUCAAAACGACAAGGACGACGCGAGGGUCGAUAGUCUCCAAGGCGGGCCUAGCUUCCGGGGUCGGGAAGCCGGCCAAAACGGGCCAAAUAGCCGCUGCCAUACCCAUUUUUCCAACUCUCUAUCCGCUGCUGGUUGAGGCCGAAAAUGAGCAGAUCCGAGGCUGGUUGGGGUCGAGAAUGGGCGGAGGAGCUGCAGCGGUGCCGUGCGGCCAACGGCGGGGCCUCACGGUGGUCGGAGGUGGCUGAUCCGAGGCUAGUGCUGUCCGAACAACCUCCUGGAUGCAUGAGCAGAGAUCGACAAAGACGGUCGGGCGUGCAACAGGCGAACGGCGACCAGCGGACUUGGCGGGCUGUUCCGGAAGCUAGACGACGGUAGCAACUACUCAGGCGACUUCAACAACAUUCAGGGGAGCUCGGGAAAUGGCGAAGAGGCCAGGGCGACUGGCGCGAAUGGCUAGGACGCGCGAAUGGCUAGGACGGCGGGCGCGGGAGCUCGCGGGUGGACGGACGGCGGGCAAGCGGUGCGCGACGGCGGUUCGACUGGACUGCUGGCUGCUCCGGCGUCUUCCCAGAUCUGCUGGGACACGAGCAGCAACUGGAGAUGGAGAAGAGAGGGCUUCGACUACGGCUGAAGAGGGAGAGGGAGACGGUUGCGCGCGGUUGGACGAGCGACGGUCUCCGGUGGCUUGCGGUGGCGUUCUGGCGUGAGGCGUGCGACGAUGGGGCUGCUCGGCGGUUCUUCUGGUCUGCUGAGGUCUCGCACAGCAGGGAGAGAAGGAGAGAAGCGACGAAAGAGAGAAUGGGAGGAAGAAGAAGACCGGUUCUCUCUCUCUCUCUCUCUCUCUCUCUCUCUCUUUUUCUCUUUCUCUUUCUCUCUCUCUUUGGCCCCACCAUGACCUCAUGGAUGAUGUCACAAUCCACUCACCCAAUCCUCCACAACCUCUUCCAAUGAUUGCAAUUUCAUUUUCCGCCGGGGUCCAAUUCUUGUACACUUAAUUUAAUCAAUUCUCAACCAAUUCCAUUCAAUUGAAGCUCAAUUAAAUUAACCCAUAUGUCCUCGGCCUUCUCAUGACAUUUCCCCGUCAAAUGAUCCAACUUGCAUCCCGAAGAUUCGAUUAAAAACGGCCCUCUGACAGUCCCGAACAUAAACGGCCUUACUUUGCUUUUCUGCCAAAAAUAUUCCUAAAAUGAAUUGUGACUUGACAGAACUUCCAAUUUCUGUAAUCGGGUUCAAUUUCAAGGUUAAAUUCAAUAUGGUGCGACUUUAGCGCGACCUAAUCUACCGGGUAGCUUUUAGGAAUUUUCUGUGCAAUUGACCUGUGGUUGAUUAUUUUCAAGCCACAAAGUGCAUCUUCGACACAUUGGCGACUCUUGAUUGUCGCAGAAAUCUCGAGGUUUCAAAUACGGACACAGGGUACCAAAACGAUAGAGAAAUCAAUCUAGUGCCGAUCAACAAGAAUUGUGCAAUUAGAUGGAAUCACCCAUACUGAAUUACAUGGUUAUGUUGAAUCGACCUAUCUCCGGUCUCUAAUCGGUCUGUGCCGUAAUGAUCCUUGCAGAUUAGUACGGUCGAGCAGUUGUUUCCUGGUCGAAUUCUCAAGUCUAUUGCGUUUAGAUUCUUUAACGGCUUCACCUGAUAGACUAGUUAUCUCGUGAGUGAUCAGCUCAGAGAAGAAAGCUAUAGACGCGAAGAUGAAAUGCCCGACUUAUUUAAUUGAAACCAGAAUUGGAAAAUCGGGAUGUCACAGGGUUAAUACUUGGACUCGGGAUGGCCUGAUCUGGACUUGUAAUUCUGUUCUGAACAGGUGCACACUGUGUCAAGGCUAGACUUCUUGACUUUGAACAAGAUGAUAUAGGCUGGACUUGUACCUCCAGCGACCUGUUGGUAUCGCCAAGCAGAGAAACAGUCCUUUGAUGUGGUGGCGUUGAACAAGGUUCGGUGCGGAUUUAAGGUAUGAUGGUUAAAGAUAAAUUGGUUGCGAUCCUUCCAUAUGCACCAAAGAACUGUGGCAACCAUUUCAAACUUAUUUGAGUCACCUUGCCUCACAAAAUAUCGACAUAACCAAUCGUCAAAUCUUGUUAAGCCAACUCGAUCUGUGCAUGUUUGCAGGGAUGAGUCAUUCCACACUUGGGUCGUCUAGGGGCAGAGCAGUAAAGUGUGCUCAAUCGUCUCGGGUUCCAACUUGCAUAUUAGGCAUAACGGUUCAGGUACCAUCUUUCUCCUAUAAAGAUUAUCCAAGGUAGGAAGCGCAUUCUGGCAUGCACUCCAUAGAAAUAAUUUAAUUUUCGGUUGUACCACAGAGUUCCAAAUAAGCUUCCAAAUGAGUGGGUCAAAAUGGUGUGAUGAUGUUGGUAUAGAUCUACUAGGAAUGUCUGGUUUCCUAUUUGAAAAGUAGCCGCUCUUUACUGUAUAGGUUCCUGAUUUAUUAUUUGGCCAAACCAACUUGUCUUCGGUAGUUGGGAGUCCGAAGGGUGUUUCCUUAAUUGCUGUUGUUAGGGGUUCAUCAAAUAAGGAUAGCAGUAGAUCUUCCUUCCAAAUUCCAGCUUCAAAAUCGAUCAAAUCAGCAACUUUGGGCGGUUCAUUCGGGCUUGCCAUUCCUCCAAUUCUUCCUAAUUUCAGCCACUGAUCCUCUUUAAUGGAGAUUUUAUGUCCAUUACCCAUAGCCCAAAUAAGUUGGGGAGCAAUUGCAUUUCUUCCAGCCAAUAAACUCUGCCAUCCCCACGACGGAUAAGAGCCUUUUCCUGCUUGCCAAAAGUUACAAUUUGGGAAAUAAAGGCCUUUCAUGAAUUGGGAUAAUAGUGUAUUCGGACCCUGAGACAUCCUCCAAGCUUGUUUCCCUAACAUAGCCGUGUUAAAAGCUUGUAGAUCCUUAAAGCCAAGGCCGCCUUCAUCCUUUCGUUGUUUUAGAGUCUCCCAUUUACGCCAAUGUAGAGCAGAAUUCUUGUUAGAGCUUCGCCACCAGAAAUUAGAGAUUUUCCUCUCAAUUGCUUUGAUAAUGGAAGUUGGGAUUCUGAAAAUUGACAUAGCAUAUUGAGGUAUCGCCUGAACCACUACUUUGAGAAGAAUCUCCUUUCCAGCUCUUGAAAGUAAGUUAUCCUUCCAACUUUCCAAUUUCGAGUUGACCUUGGCCAAUAUCCAUGCGAACAUAUCUUUUUUUGAGGACCCCCAGUCUGAAGGAAUUCCUAAGUAUUUCCCAGUUUUUGUAAUUUCUGGAAUCCGCAUCAUCGAUACCAUGUUACUUAUAAGGCUAUCUGGACACCCUUUGCUGAAAAACAUUCCUGAUUUGUUGAGGUUUAGGGCUUGACCAGAUGCAUAACAGUAGUGGUGGAGUACAGUUGAUAAGUUCUGACAUUCUCGUAUUGUGCCAUCUAUGAAGAAAAUAAAGUCAUCCGCAAAUAAUAGGUGGGACAGGGUUGGACAGGUCCGGUUUAGCUUGAUGCUGUGAAUGUUAUUCUUUGCUAUUGCUUUCUUCAUCAUAUAAGAUAAGACGUUAGCAACAAUAAUGAACAGAUAUGGUGAUAACGGAUCCCCCUGUCGAAUACCUCUAGAUGGCUUGAAAUAGGGUAAAGAUUCACCAUUGAGAUUGAUGCUAUAUGAUAUAGUGGUAACGCAUUGCAUAACCCACUUCACCCAAUCAGCACUAAAUCUCAUUUUAUGUAAACAUGCAUGCAGGAAGUCCCAUUCGAUUCUAUCAUAAGCUUUCUGCAUGUCGAGUUUAAGAAUAGCCUGAAAUUUUUUCCUCCUGUCUUGAGUUCGUAACCGGUGGAUAACUUCUUGAACAAUUAGGAUGUUGUCCUGAAUUUGCCGACUCCCGACGAAAGUGCUUUGCUCCUCAGCAAUGAUGUCUGGUAAGAAAGGUUUGAGUCUAUUUGCGAGUAUUUUAGAGAUGAUUUUGUAGAUAAAGUUACACAGACUAAUGGGCCGAAAUUGAUCUAAACUUUCUGGGUUUGAAUUUUUAGGAAUAAGAGUAAUUCGGGUUCUAUUGAUGUCUGGGUUUAUGAUUCCAGACUCAAAGAAACGCUGAACCUCCCUGAAAACAUCCGCACCUAUGUCUUGCCAAUGCUGAUGGAAAAAUAGGCCAUUCAGACCAUCCGGUCCAAGAGCUUUGGAAGCCCCCAUUUGGUGAGUAGCUGCAUAUACUUCUUCCAUUGUCACCGUUUCUGUUAGUUUCGAGUUCAUAGCUGCAUUAGCUGGUGUUGGGAUAUGGUCAAGAAUAGGCUGGAAAUUUUGCAGUCCGACCGAAGUAUAUAAGUUAUUGAAGUAAUCCACCGUCAUAUUUGUGAGGUUCUCAGAAUUUCUCACCCAAUCUCCUUCAACAUUCAGUAGCAUCGAGAUACGAUUCCUGUUUCUUCGUUGUAUAGUGGCUGCAUGAAAAAAUUUGCUAUUCCGAUCCCCCCAUUUCAGCCACUUAACCCGAGAUCUGAUACCCCAAAACAUUUCUUCCUGACGCCAUAGCGAGUCGAUUUCUUUAUGAAUAUGCCGAAUUCUGCUCUGAUCAUACUCCAAAUUAGAGUUAUUCAUGUGGAACAUAAGUUCAUUUUUCAGCCCCUCAAUUUGUUUGGAAGCAUUAUGAAAACGCUUUUUGCUCCAGGCCGUUAAACGCAUCGCUGCAUUAGAUAAUUUGACAACCAUGUUCUUCCUAUGGGACGCCUCCCAUGUCCGCUUGACAAUUUCCUUACAUUCGUCAUCCUCCACCCAAAAUGGUUCGUAUCUAAACUGUCGCUUCUUGCGUGUUAGAGCAAGUAGAGUUGACAAGAUAAGAGGACUGUGAUCUGAACCAAUGGCUGGUAAAGUUGUAACUUCAGCAUUCGGGUAAGCUAUUCUCCAUUCCAUGGUACAUAAUGCUCUGUCCAGCCUUUCUUUGACAUUUUCUUCACCCUCUCUUCUGUUCGUCCAGGUAAAAGCGCACCUUUUGGCUUCCAAGUCCAUCAGUGAACAUGCAUAUAAGAAGUCCCUAAAUGCGGUAAGGCAACAAUGUUCAGCCAUCCUUUUUCCUACCUUUUCCCAAUGGUAUAAUAUUUCAUUAAAGUCCCUAAUGCAUAUCCAAGGGCAGUGAUUGGAGAGAUUGAUUCUUUGUAGAUCAUCCCAUAGGAUAAGGCGUUCAUGAAAUACAUUAGGAGCAUGGAGGAAGGUAAUUUGCAUAUUCUGGUUAUUUUCAUGCAGAAAACAUUGCACAUGUAUAUAGAAGUUAGAGUGAGAUUCGAUUGAAAGAGAAACCUGGUCAUCCCAAAAGAGAGCCAAACCCCCCGAUAAACCUUCUGGAUUCACAAUAAAGUUGUGUGUAGUCUUAAGCCUUCUUUUCAAACGCUGAACUUUCUCUUGAUUCUUUGUUUCCAUAAGAAAAAUAAUGCUUGGUCUUUCUUGAGUCGCAAGGACUCUUAAGAGCUUGAAUUGUCAGGGGAGACCACAAUCCCUGACAAUUCCAACUCAGGAGUUUCAUGGCUGCACCGGUGGCUUAUUAGGGCCAGCCACCAAAGCCCAUUGAAUAGAUUUCUCUUCCUCCGUGAUCGGGAUUUCUAUGAGUUGUGAGUUGUCAACAUCAAUUGAUAUUGUGGACUGAGCACCAUAGGGGCAGAAUCUUUUUCCUUUCUUGGAUGUAGGACAUUUAGUAGAUUUUGCUUUACCUUUCGCUGAGUUUCUUAUUGUUGCUAACAGGGCUGCUUCUCUCUUGCAGCUUCUUUGAGUUUUCAUCAUGAAGGGUGAGCAUAGAUUCAGCAUCCAAGCAGCUGCUAUCACGUUUUGAGGAGAUUUGCCUUCCAUUAUAGUCAAGGCUCGGGAAGAUACAAGUUGUGCAGCUUGUUGUUCUUCCUCAUAAGAGUGCAGUGAUCGGGGAGGCAAAAGGGCCUGCUUUCCUGCAUUUGAUGGUUCUUGAGUUUCAUGGAUUUCCGCUUGAAGAGGAGUCUCCGGCACCAUUUCUUCUUCUUCAAUGAGCGGGGAUUGUUUUCCAUAGAAGAUUUUUCCAUAUGGGCUUAGUAUCCGUGCUUCCGCUCGCAACCAAUUCCCAAAAUUACCCGGUAUGUCUUCUUCCAAUCUUGUAGAUUCAUAAGGAAUUUCCUUGCAAGCCGAGGCAUAGUGGCCAAUUCUACCACAAGAGUAGCAAUAGUGUGGUAGCCUCUCGUACUUGAACUCGAUCCACAGCUUUUUGCAUCCUAAAUUAACCACUAUCCUUGUCUUGAGAGGUGUAGCUAGGUUGAGCUUAAUCCUGGCCUUCCCAAUCUUAAAUAUGCCGUUUCCUUUGGCUUCCAGCUUCACCUCAAAAACUUCGCCGAUCCUUGAAGCAAUUUCUCUAACUACCUCCGUCGUAACACUGCCAAAGGGGAGGCCAAAUAGAUGCACCCAAAAUGGGCAUUGGGAGAAAUCAUAGCAAAUAUCGGGAAUAUCCGGGUCACACUGUUGAAGCACAAGGAGGUUACUGGAAAAAGACCAAGGGACAACAUCAAGGAUUCUCUGUUUUUCAGCUUCCGAUUUAAAUGUGAAUGAGAAAAUUCCAGGUUCUAAAGUGGUACAGGAAACAUUAUCUGUCUUCCAAGCCCAUGUUAAUAAAUGCCGGGAAAUUAACAUUUGGACGGGAAUAAAGCUUUCCAAAUAAGGUACGUCUACCUUCCGCAAGUUUUUCAGCCGAUAUUCCUUAUGUAACAGUUAUCACAUCAUCCUCAGACCAUAAGUUACCAAGGCUUUUACAGAGCGCCUCUAAUCGGCUCGAUUCUGUACUAGAAUCAACCAUAUGCUCGACUAUAAUAGCACAAGGAGACCUGGGGAAAGCUUAAGAAGCGACAAGGACCUACAAGAGAACCUGUGCAUACUUAACUUAUCUGUUUGGGGUGCAAGCGAACAUCUUCCAGCAUUUGACCAGCAACUAAACAACAGAGGAAGCCCACUUCCGAGCAAGACAUGGAAAUCAUCCGUCGCAAGGGAGAUAGUGGGGUUGAGGCUUGGGUAAAUGGGCGAUGGUGCCGGCCGAAGGAAAUGGAAGGGAAGGGAAAUGAAAAGCGAAGGGAAACCCGAGAAAAGAGAAUCGAGGAAACCCAGAAGAAAAAUCGGACGAAGAGCCCAAAUUAGGGUUCCCGAAUGGAGGAUCGGAAACCAGAGGACAUAGUGGGCGGUCGGUGGAUGUCGAUCAUAGAAACAAAAGAUGGAGGACUUCACCGCGAAGGAGCUGGGUCCAUUAAACGGAAUGAACACAAUCGAAGACCUCCAUGUGGGGAGAUUGAAGCUACCAGACGGUAGAGGAGAACCCGGAUAUUUUGGGAGCUUUUCUAACCAAUUGUACUUUGAAAUUAAGUUAUUUUCCUAGAUAUCAAUGGUGCCAACAACAGUAUACUUUUGUCUGUGGUUUCUAUCCGUUUCAACAUAAACAAACUCAGCAAUAGGAAAAUAGUAGGCAGCAAUGUUAGGCUAAUGCACAAUCCAGACGGCUGUGAUUGUCUAGGAGCAACAAUCUGCACAAGACAAGGGCCAAUUCCAUCUCUAUCUCCCUCUCAAUAAGGGAGACUUCUCAAAAUUCUAAACAAUCUUAAUUUCUUUGAAUGCAUUACACAACGGAAAUUACAUUUGUUAUAAGUGACCAAAGAAAAUGUACAUUUAUCGUAAUUCUAAGGGAAAACAGCAUUAAUAUGACAAACAAAAAGGUCCCACACAGCACAACGGUCGAGUGAAUGAAAGGGGCUAGAUGGGCAACCAAAGUCUUCAAUUUCAACCCUCAAAUCGUAUCAUUUGCCACUGUCCUAUCAAGCAACCAAAGUCUUCAAUUUCGAUCCUCAAAUCGUACCAUAUGCCAUUGUCCACUAUCCACUUUCCUAAUGAGCAACCAAAAUCUUCAAUUUCGACCCUCAAAUUGUACAAUUUGCCACUAUCCACUGUCCUUACGAGCAACGAAAGUCUUCAAUUUCAACCCUCAAAUCGUAUCAUUUGCCACUGUCCACUGUCCUAAGUGUCCUAACGAGCAACUAGAGUCUUCAAUUUCGAUCAUCAAACCGUACCAUUUGCCAUUGUCAACUGUCCUAAAGAGCAAUCAAAGUCUUCAAUUUCGACUCUCAAAUCGUACCAUUUGCCACUGUCCAUUGUCCUAACGAACAACUAAAGUCUUCAAUUUCGACUCUCAAAUCAUACCAUUUCAUAGACUUUUUUUGCCAUUGCCUUAAUAAGCAACCAAAGUCUUCAAUUUUGACCCUCAAAUUGUUCCAUUUCAUGGACUAUAUAUAUAUAUAUAUAUAUAUAUAUAUAUAUAUAUAUAAGGCCAUNNNNNNNNNNNNNNNNNNNNNNNNNNNNNNNNNNNNNNNNNNNNNNNNNNNNNNNNNNNNNNNNNNNNNNNNNNNNNNNNNNNNNNNNNNNNNNNNNNNNNNNNNNNNNNNNNNNNNNNNNNNNNNNNNNNNNNNNNNNNNNNNNNNNNNNNNNNNNNNNNNNNNNNNNNNNNNNNNNNNNNNNNNNNNNNNNNNNNNNNNNNNNNNNNNNNNNNNNNNNNNNNNNNNNNNNNNNNNNNNNNNNNNNNNNNNNNNNNNNNNNNNNNNNNNNNNNNNNNNNNNNNNNNNNNNNNNNNNNNNNNNNNNNNNNNNNNNNNNNNNNNNNNNNNNNNNNNNNNNNNNNNNNNNNNNNNNNNNNNNUUAAAACUAAAUCUGUCAGAAGCAGAUAUGUCAGACUCAGAUGCAAGUCUAUCGCACUCAGACUCAGAUUGUAAAGUCUAUUGCUCUCAGACUUUACAUCCAGAUUCGACAGAACGUAACUCAAGCCCAAUCAUAUAACGGCUAGUGAUCUGGUUUGGAUUCCACAUCAAGAUUGAUUUGAUUGGUUCAAUCUAAUUGAUUGACGAUUGGAUUUUGAAGACAAAAACUUUCUAUACGAAGAAGCUUUACUUAUGGAAACCAAGAUUUCGUUUGUAUGGGCAAUCAGAAUCAAUUUGGGAUUCUACAUUUGUCACUCAACGGCUACCAAAUCUUCUAGAUACAGAGCUGUCCAAUGGGUAUAUUGGAAGACGAUUCUUCGGGAUGCUGUCCAACGGCUAUUUUGGAAGUAGAGGAGUAUUUAAGGAGAUCAUGGACCGAUGAACAAGUAAGAGACGGAGCGUAGAAUUUAUAAUUCCAAAAUCUGAGCGACCUUCGAUCAUAUACUUGUCUCUUGAGAGCUUAAACGUUUGUAAUCAUGAGAGAAAUACCAAAAGAGUUAUUUAGUGAGAUAGUGUGAUCUACUACUAAGUGUUUGCACUCGAAGUUGUAAUCUCUUGUUGAUUGCAUAGUGGAAUCCAGCCAAGAAGGCUGUUAGCGUGGGAGAGUGGACGUAGGCUUGAAUUAAGCCGAACCACUAUAAAUCUUGUGUUCUUAUUCUCUUCCCUAACUCCUUUAUUUUGUUCAUACUAGCACUCACAAUUGGUAUCAGAGCCAAGUGCUCGGUUUAUAAAAGUGUUUUUACUUUUGAGCUAAAGAUUCUUUAUGGCUAGUAUGUUGGCACUAGGACUUAUGGAAGGGCAAAGCAACACAAGGCCACCAUAUUUUGAUGGAAAGGAAUAUGACGUAUGGAAGAACAAAAUGAAAGCAUUCCUAAGAUCCAGAUAUCUCUUACAAUGGGAUGUUGUGGAAAGAGGAAUCAACCCCACUGCUGCGUCUACAUCAAAUAAGAAUGGCAAAGACAAAGAAAGCAAACCCCCGCUCCUAUGUCUCGGAUGGAGAUGUCCAAAAGAGAAGCACUUGAUGCGAAAGCAAUUUAUUUUUUAUAUUGCGCUUUGUCUCCUACUGAAUAUAAUAGAAUCUCUUCAUGUUACAUAUGAAGGGACCGAUCGUGUAAAAGAGACAAAAGUAAACUUCCUGCUCAAUAAAUAUGAAUCCUUCAAGAUGAAGCAAGGAGAGUCAAUUGGAGAUAUGUUCAGCCGUUUUACAGAAAUUGUAAAUGGUUUAGCAUAUCAAGGUCAGCAAAUUUCUACCUCGAUGAAGGUCAACAAACUCUUGCGAGGUCUCUCAAAAGAUUGGAACCAUGUCAAGACCUCAAUCCGGGAGACUCAAAGGAUUAUGACACUCUCCGUUGAUGAAUUGAUCAGCACUCUUCAAUCCUAUGAAGUGGAGCAACUUAACGAUGAAGAUCCCGAAGGUAAGAAGUCCAUCGCUUUAAUAUCUAAUGCUGUUUUUGAUGAAACAGACUCAGAAAAUGACAUGGACGAUGAAGAACUUGCUUUUAUGAUCGAGAAAUUCAAAAAGCUGAGUAGAAAAGAAAAUUUAUGCUUGAUGGCACAUUCAGAAUCUGAGUCUGACUCAGACAUAGACUCAGAAUCAGAGUUUGACUUAGACACAGACUCAGAAUCCGAUGAGGAAAUCGAGGAAAUAAAAGAAAAGAAGAAGUUGGUAAGGAAUGUUUUUGGGCACAUAAUUCUCAUUAUGCUUGAAAUUCGAUAUAUCAUUGAUUGAUUCAGAUUUUAUAAUGAUCAUAUUUUGUUUUAUUGAAGAAAGAAUCGCAUGAUUUAUUUUUGUGAUUCGAAAUUUAAUUUGAUACGUUUGAUCAUUUGUGAUAUCAUGCUUAAAGACAAAAUAAUUUAUUUGGUUUAAUUUUAUACUCUCAGAUUUAUUCAUAUUUUGCAAAGUGAAAAUUUGUUUUACGUGAUAUUAAUUUAUGAUGCAAGAUAUUAUUGUGCAUAAUAUUCUUUCUUUGAAUACUUUGUUAUGAUGAAUUAAGAAAGAAUAUUUGAUUAUGGAGAUUUCAUAUUUUACUCUAACGUCAAGGAAGGAUCCAAAUUGAUGGAUACCAAAAAGGGAAAUGAGUUGAUUGCAGGAAAUUCUUUAAGGGAAGGAUGAUUGCGAAUCUACGCAAAUUUUGGUGCAAUCAGAAAAUAUCUCCUGCGACAAUUGGUAAUGAUUUUUUUUUAAUCAAUGGUAUAUUUGAAACAUAUACCAUGGGUAAGAGAAUAUUUUUCAUCCUACCUUGCAAAUCUCUAUGUGCAUUUAUCAUGAUUUUGGAUGAUUGUUUAUUAUAUUGCGAAUAUCUUUUGUCAUAAAUAUAAGGUAUUGCAAUUUUGGCAAGUGACAGAAAUAUCUAUUUUCCUUUUGCAAAAUGCAUAUCUGAAAUUUAUGCUCAAGGAAAUCUCUUUGAUCUCGAAAUAUAUUAUUGCAUAUUCAUGGAUAUUCUUGCUAUAUUCUUAGAAGAUAUAUUAUAUCUAGCAAGGUUGAUCUGCAAAUCAAAGAAAGAUAUUAUGUGACAUUUUUGCAGAGAUGAUUAUCUAUUAUACAAGAUUUUGCAGGUGACAAUAGAAUCUUCCAUAUGAAUUUUGGAAAGCUCAAUCUGAAAAUUAUGAAUAUUCCAUACUAUCUUUUGGAAGAUCGAAAAUUCCCUUCCUUGUGCAAAAUUUUUGCUUAUUGAGGAAAUCCCUUAUGUACGGAAGGUUGAAUAGUUUUGAAUUUUAAUAUUUGAUAAUUUUAUAUAUGCUAUUCAAUUUAUCCACUUGAAGAAAAGGGUAUUAUAUAUCACGUGAAUAUUAUUAUAGCUUAUUUGUGGAAAAAGUUUGUUAAGUUGAUGCAGGUUGAAUUCGAGAUGAGCUUGGUUAAAGAAAAUAAAAUUUUUGCAUCGAAUUUCAAAAUGCAAGUGAUCGUUGCGGAUGUUGUUGCUACAAAGGAAAUACUGGAAAUAUAUUUUGUUCAACGUGCACAAGCAACAAUUAUUUCUAUUCACAAAUGUUGUCAUGAUGACAGGGGGAGAAAGCAAAUCCAAAAGAUAAGGAAAAGAAUCAUGAUCAUCUCAAAAAGACAACAAAUUGAGGGGGAGCAUUGAUCAAUUAUGGAAAAAUCUUUUUGGAUUGAUCGUGAUCUUAUUAUGGAUGGAAGGAAAGGUAAAUGUGUCAGAAUUUAUUCUAAAAAAUCCUGUUAGUGCAUCUUUUAUUACCUUUUGUCAUUAACAAAUCUCUUAUUGAUAUUAUCAUUUUAUUAUGACAAAAAGGGCACGUGAAUUUCAUGAUGCAUCCGUGAUUUUUAUUGGAUAUUUGCUGAGAUAUAUGAUCGAAGUGAGCUAUAUUGCAUAUCUUUAAUAUUCGAUUUACUUUAUAAAAGCUGAUUUUUGGAAAUUGUGAUUCAUGCAAGAUAUUUGUUAUCAUUCUCUACGUGAAUCCAUUAUUAUCACUUUUUGAUUAUGACAAAAAGGGGGAGAAUAUAUGAAUAUGCAUAUGUGUUAAUUAGUUGAUAUUAUCUAUGGCAUAAUAUUGAGCUGUGAUUAUUAGUCUAUAUAUUGUUAUGCUCAAUUUAUUUACUAUAUUCUGAUAUCCUUUGAUUUAAAUUAAUAUCUUUAAAAGCAUGUUUACAAAUCUGUAUAUUCAGAGAUUGUUUUGUCAUCAUCAAAAAGGGGGAGAUUGUUAGGGAAAUCCCUUAUGAUGUUUUGAAGAUGACAAAAUAAAUCAAAGGUACUAACAUGUUUAAUGGUUAAGUAAUAGACCAUGCAGAUGAUAGAACAUGUAGAGGAUAUUAUCAAAGUCAGAAGACGGCCAGAAGACUGAACGUAACAUAUGUCCAAAGUAUAUUCUGAAGACUGCCAAACUCAAGACUCAAAGUCUGAAGACUGCCAGACUUUAGUGUCAAAGUCUGUUCUACAUCAGAAGUCUGCUCACUCUGACUAAUUCCAGACUGAACGUGAAUGAUGAACCAGAAGACAGACUCUAUGCUGAAGCUAAACUGGGUACAGACCUUAAAGCUAAAUCUGUUCAGAAGCAGAAUAUGUUCAGACUCAGAUUGCAAAGUCUAUCGCACUCAGACUCAGAUUGUAAAGUCUAUUGCUCUCAGACUUUACAUCCAGAUUCGACAGAACGUAACUCAAGCCCAAUCAUAUAACGGCUAGUGAUCUCGUUUGGAUUCCAUAUCAAGAUUGAUUUGAUUGGUUCAAUCUAAUUGAUUGACGAUUGGAUUUUGAAGACAAAAACUUUCUAUACGAAAAAGCUUUACUUAUGGAAACCAAGAUUUCAUUUCUAUGGACAAUCGGAAUCAAUUUGGGAUUCUACCUUUGUCACUCAAUGGCUACCAAAUCUUCUAGAUACAGAGCUAUCCAAUGGGUAUAUUGGAAGACGAUUCUCCGGGAUGCUGUCCAACGGCUAUUUUGGAAGUGGAGGAGUAUUUAAGGAGAUCAUGGACCGAUGAGCAAGUAAGAGACGGAGCGUAGAAUUUAUAAUUCCAAAGUCUGAGCGACCUUUGAUCAUAUACUUGUCUCUUGAGAGCUUAAACGUUUGUAAUCGUGAGAGAAAUACCAAAAGAGUUAUUUAGUGAGAUAGUGUGAUCUACUACUAAGUGUUUGCACUCAAAGUUGUAAUCUCUUGUUGAUUGCAUAGUGGAAUCUAGCCAAGAAGGCUGUUAGCGUGGGAGAGUGGACGUAAGCUUGAAUUAAGCCGAACCACUAUAAAUCUUUUGUUCUUAUUCUCUUCCCUAACUUCUUUAUUUUGUUCAUACUAGCACUCACAAUGCGCACAUUUUCUCUUUAUGUCAAUGUCCAAGCAAAAGUACUCCUACUGAACACUUGAUUCUAAAUUGCCACAGAGAUUCAUCUUCGCCCAGGGUUCACAUCACGAGCUGAUACCCGAUUACAAAUUCCAGUUAAACGAUCAAUAACAAGAUUACGGUGCUCUCAUGACUUAACGCAAUUUAGUAGGCUCUAAUCCGACCUUUGAGGUGACAUUUAAGACACAAUUCGCAUACCGGAACUGUACCAAACGAUUCCCAUGGAAAAACAUUUUGCCGGCAUAAUCUCCGCCUCUCCUCCUUGUUUAUGGGGGUGAUUUCCCAUCUCUAUCGUCAUCUGCCGCUCCGCAUAGCUUCGAGCUCCAAGCCUGCGACGCCAUGAUCACUUGGGAUCGAGAGUCGUUUGAGGAAGUCGACGAGAAGCUCUCGGUUGAGCACAAUUCCCUCCCCACCGCUCGCGUUAACAUAGCAGAAGCAGAGUCCGCAAGAACCCAACAAAACCCUCGCAACCACAAUCACAAGAGCAGCCAUGCCUGAUUUCUCCUACCUUUCCGACACCGACGAUUACCCGGUGAGUUGACUUCGCAGUGGAAGACCUCAUUUCCCAGACCAAGGACCUCGUCGUCCUCGAGCCAAAUCGCUGCCAUCAACUGCUCCUCGGAGGACGCAAUUGCCCCGUUGCCAAAGCGGAAUCCGGACGAGAAAUCGCGUUAGAAGUCCACCACGAAGUUACGAUCCAGACUCUUCGCCGAUGGAUUAUUUCGAUUCGUGGAGGAGGACGAGGUACUGUCGGAUUUGGGGGCUUUCUCCCCUAAAGAGCAGAAGAAACGUUGCUGAAGUAGGCAACGAAGGAGCGGAGAAGAUCGCCAGGAUGGCGAAGCAAAUGGAGGGGUAGGCUGUAACUUAUUCUUACUCAAAUCUUUUCGUUUGUUCGCGCUUCCGCGCUAUUCGUGUGACAUGAUUUGUUGCUUUCUUGGCAGAUGUGCUCUUACAUAUCAGUAAACUUCAUUACUGACUAGUAGUGAUUACAAUCUGGGCCAUAUGUUUUGGUUUCAAUAUAAGGAGCAACUUUUCACAUAACCACGAUUUGGAAACGAAAAUCAAACCAUAGAUGCCGGCAAACUGCUUGGGUACAGCCUAACUAGGUCGAUUUCAAAUUUCUUGUUGAAGUCUUUAAAUGUCAUUGCUUCUAUGCUUUGAAAGAGGGAAUCAGUAGUUUGGCAAAACCACUGCUAGAUCAGAUGAUCUGGUUGAAAUUAAGGUUGAGCUGUGUGGAACUUUAAUGCCUCUCUCAAGUCUCAACUAGGUAGAGUGGUCUUCUUAGGCUCAAAAUCUGGUGACUUCACUCAGGCUGAUGGUUGGAGCUUAACUAGGGAGAAGAAGGCCGAGUUAACUUGGCAUAGGCUAAUUUGGUUUAAUCCAAAUGUGCCGACAUUUUGCUUUGUAUCUUGGCUUGCUAUCCUUACCAAGUUGCAGCAGACUGGUGAUAGAUUUUGCAAAUGGCAGAAUGUGAAUGAUAUUUGUGUCCUCUGUGGAUUGAAGCCCGAAUCAAGGAGACAUUUGUUCUUUGAAUGCUCUUUCUCCUCUGAAAAAUGAAGUAGGCUUUUGCAGCUAUGUGGUGUGGGAGGUUUUGUUGGCGAUUGUGAUGCUGAGUUUAUGUGGGUGUUGCAGACAUCAAAGGGGAGGUCUCUGGAAAGUCUUAUUAAAGAUGGCAUGGAAUGGUGUCAUUUAUUACUCAUGGAAGGAAAGAAAUACUAUAGUUCACAUUUGUAGAGUUCCCUGCGCUGAGAAGGUUUUCGAGAGUAUGUUGUUUGUGCUGAUAAUAAUUCGUGUGGUUUUUUGGGGCAUAUAAAUACCUGAGAUUGGGCAGGAGAAGGAUUAUUCUCUUGUUUCAUAUAAAUACCUGAGCUUGGGCAGGAGAAGGAUUAUUCUCUUGUUUCAUCGUGCUAUAAUGCUUUAGUUGUGUUAGUUUGGUAGCAGGGGAAGUGAAAUUCUUGGGCUUGAUGUUUUUGCUUGACAUCUUGUAUUGAGAUUUAGACCUUAUUGAAGUUGUAGUGGGAAGUGGAUGUCCAAUGGUUUGAUGAUUCAUUGGCGAUGUUGUUACCAUGUCUUAAAUUCCAGAAAUCGUCAGGGAUAUUUUUGUCUGAUGAUUCAUUGGCUACGUUGUUACCUCAUUGUCAAGGUAGUUACCAUGGUGGUCGACGACCGUCCCGGAGCAUGAGCGUGUUGUUUUUUUGUCAUUUAAAUAGUGAUAAGAGCAUUUUCAUUUUACAGUUACCUUGUCAGAAUGAAAUAGUGGAAAUUUUUUGGUUAAAGGUACUAUUUCACUCAAACAUAAUGAAACGUCAUAUAGCCGAGAAGGAAAUCACAUUGCACGUGUCUUUGUGCUUAGUUAAGAUGAAACGUUGUGUAAUUGCACAAUAAAAUGCCGUACCAAAUAGACAAUCGCAAACAUUAUGCUUUGUUUCUACUCAAAUAGGCAAUAUGGAUAUAACAAUCGAGCCCAGACCAAAGUAGAUCCAUCAUUGAAUUGCCUAUGAUGGAUGAUUGAUGAUGGGUUACGAAAAUUUAAGAAAAGUGUCCAAAAAGUCAUAAACUAUUUGUAUUAUUAUCAAUUUAGUCAUAAAUUUUUCAAUUUUAAUAAGCAUUUUCACGUUUUAUUAAUUGAGUACAUUCGUCCAAUUUUGACCAGAAAUGACUAAUGUAAAUACCAACUAUCCUAUGUGAUAUAAUUGGCGAUGAUGCAAAUAUUUUUUAAUAAUAUUUUCAAAUUUUCAAAAUUUUUAUUAAUUUUUUUGUUUUUUUUUUCUCUUUUAUCUUUUUUUCAUGGGCAACAAAGAUCACCAACCUUAGGCAAGGACCACCCUUAUCGACCCCUGGCAAUGGUCGCCCUCACCUAGGUAGGCCGAGGCUUGAGGUCAUGCCUAAGACAACUACCUAUGCUAACUAUCGACGAGGCCUUGUGAAGGGAAAAAGAAAAAAAAAAAGAAUGAAAAGAGAAGAAAAAAAAGUAAAAAAUAUAUAACCCAUGCAUGAUUGCGCUGGUGGAAGCUUGCCCCUGAAUUUGGCCACCACGUCAGGGUUCAACUCCCAGGUAUGGUUUCAUGAUUUAAGCAAGGGGGCCUCGGCAGUAGGUUGCUAGGCCAAUUUUUCCCGAGGUAUAGUCGGUGUUGUACUCCCAUAAGAUAAGUUAGGCCAAAUCCUUGAUAUCAAAAUAAAUAAAUGAAUAAAUAAUAUAUAUUAUUAAAAAUUAUCUACGUCAACGUCGGUCAUACCAUGUAGGACGGCUGGCGUGCCGACACCCACUUCAACAAUUUCCAACCAAAUUUGAUCAGAUGGUUCAAUUGACAAAAUGUGAAAAUAUUUAAAAUUUAAUUAGCAAAAUUAAUAAAUUUAUAACUGAAUUGGCAAAAGUGUAAUAGGUUUAGGAUUUUUUGAAUAACUUUUCCUCCCAUAAAUUUCACCUUUUUUCACUUCGGCAAAUGGGGACCUUGUUUGUUGCAUUGUAAUGCCUGGGGAUGCCAAGAAGGUUAGAACGGAGGAUCUCAAGAAGGUCAAGCGUCUAUGGGUCCAUGUUACCCGGAUUGUUCCCCAUGGCUGGGCCUGGAACUUGCGCUUGAACCUAGGUCUCCGACGCCCAAACUUGGGACUCCGGUUGCACUUGAGACUUGUUCUCAAACGUCUAUUUCCUAAUUUUCCCGUAACUAAUAUCAGCAAAUGGUUUUCCUAUUGUUCAGCAAAUACAGACCAACGUGCCUUUAAAGUAAGUUCCUUCGGAAAAAUUUCUAGCAAAGUUCCUCUUUUUUUUUUUUUUAAAAAAAAAACGGAACUUGAGAUUUGGACAAACUCCCUUGAUUGAAUUUGGGAGUGAAUGUAAUAAAUUUACUGUUCCCUUGUGAACCGAUAAGCAUUGUUUGCACAAUGAAUGAAGGAUCUUGAUGGUGCCAACAACAUAGUUUAGGUUUUCUCUGUUUUCUAUUUAUUUCAGAGACAGAGACAAAACAAACAAGCAAAUGAAAAGUAAAUGCAUUUUUCUGUGAGCAACCAAAGUCUUUAUUUCUCCCCUCGAUUUGUCCCAUUGCAUAGACUUGUUUGCUGUUAUCACGACUUAUAAAAUGCAUACUCUGUCUAGAACAGUGGGGAAAACUUAGUUCUACUUUUGAUUUACUUACAUGUCAAAACAUCCAUUUGGGGUGAAGGUAAAGUGAGCCUAAUUCUGCUUUUAGAUUGCAAAAAUUAUUACAUAUCUAACAUCUAACGUACUCUCACAUCCAGAUCUUAGCUUUCCUCAAAUAGCGUCCCUUCGUUACCGACUCUCGAUGAUGAAACUCAUUGGGAAAGGUUAUCUUUUGCUUUUUUGCUUCUAUUUUCUAGAUCUUAAUGGUGUCAACGACAAUAUAUUUUUUGCCUUCGGUUUCUAUUCAUUUUGGCAUAAACAAAACAAGCACUAGGAAAAUCUUAGGCAACAAUGUUAGGCUAUUGCACCAUCCAAACGUCCGUGAUUAUCUGAUCCCAACAAUUUGCACAAGACAAGGGCCAAUUCCACCUCCAUUGUCCCUCUCAAUAAGUGAAGACUGUUCAAAUUUUUGAACAGUUUUAAUCUCUUCAAAGCAUUACAUCAUGAAAAUUACAUUCAUCAGCAAUGACCAAAUGAAAACAUUGCAAAUCAUGCAAUCAAAUUGAAAAUAACGCUAAUAUCACAAACAAAUGGGUCCAACCCAAAGUCAUUAUUGGGCAAAAGAGAGGGGAUAAAUGAGCAUUCAAAGUCUUUGAUUUCAACCCCCAAUUCAUAACAUUUCAUCAACUUGUUUGCCGCUGUCACAACUUAUGAAUGUGAUACAUUUGUUUAGAAUGGAGGGAAUAAUUUCAAACCUUCUUAUUAACCACACAAGCCCUUCAUCUUAUUUUUCCACGGAGAGACUUUUUGUGAAUGGGACCAUCACAUGUUGCUGUAUGACACCUUCUGGUUUGGAAAUUUUUGAACUAAUCUAUGGCUGACCCAAAGUCUUCCAUGCAAAUACAAACCUAUUUGUCAAUUUGGGCACGAAGCUUUUCCUCGUGUUACCCGGUAGCUAGCCCCACACGGCACUACGCAAGGUCAUCCUCAUGCACCUAAACAUUCAUAUACAUUGCCCGUAUUUUGAGUGUUUUAUCACUGACAAAGUCAUUGAUUUUGAUGCAUCGUAACGUGCGAUGCGGCAUGCUCGCUUACCCCUACGCACCAAGCACCCCGCUUCCUCGGUAGCAUUGCUCUGAACACAGUCAGAAAAACAGCUUUGAGAACAAAAUAGAAUUUCCAACUAAAAAAAAAGAACAAAAUAGAAUUUAACCCACCCAAUAACUUUGGUCAUACAACUAACUAAAAUCUCUAUACACAUAAAGAGCUACGUUUCAAAGUUAAUCAAGUCUUUUAUUUCUAUACAUCCGUUAGAGAUUUAUUGCCAAAUAUGCAUGAGAAUAAGAGAUUUGCUAGGAUUUAAUUAAAAAAAAUACUAAAACUAUUAUUUCUUGCAGAGCGAUUAGAGAACCGUUACCAAAAUAAACAUAAAAAUUAGAGAGUUGCCAAGAUAAGAGAUUUUAUAAAUUGAACAUUAAAAUAAUUGCUACACAAAACUCACAUUUGAAAGUGCCUUGUGGUAUAUGGCUUUUGUGUAUUUUUCUUAUUCUUUUUUGUAUAUUAAUAGUUAUUUAGCCGGAAAAAAAAAAGAAUAGCGACUUCUAAUUUCCAAUUUUCGGUGAUGAACAUUGUUUAGAGAGGUAUUUUAUUUAUAAAUGUUUUGCUUUUAUUCACUAAACUUGUUUUGGAUCUUGAUGGUGCCAACAAUGUAGCUUGUCUCCAAUUGCCAUUCAUUUUGGCAAUAUACUAGAACGAGCGGCAAGAAAAUAUUAGGUGGCGAUACAAAUGUCUAAUUGCUCACAGACAAUCACCUUCAUUCUACCUCUAUUCUCACUCUCAAUGAGAAAGACUGAUCAUAACUCUUAACAGUCAUAAUUUUUUUAAAGGCACUGCAUAAAGUAAGUCACAUUCCUCAUCAGUGACCAAAGGAAGUGUUCACAGAUCAUAAAUUCAAAGUGGAAACAGCACUAACAUCGCAAACAGAAAGGUUCAACGUAGAGUGAUCGUUGAGCGAACGAAAAGGGCUUGACUUAGCAAGCAAAGUCGUCAAUAUGGACCCUCGAUUUGUGCUAUUUCAUGGACUUGUUUGCUGCUGUUGCGACUUACGAAUGGAUUGGUCUAGAAUGGAGGGAAUAACCUUCAACCAUUUCUUAAUCAUACAAGCUCUUUACCUUAUCUCCCCGCAAAGAAGGAUUUUUGUGAAGUGGACCAUGAUGCUGUUGCUAUAUUACUCCUCGCGUACGCAAUUUUUGGACUAAUCGUUCGGCCCAAGUCUUACAUGCAAAUGACAGAUCGAUUGGCUGAAUUUCUAGUUAAUCAAUCAAUUGUCGAUUUGGGCCUGAGGUUUUUCCUUAUGUUCCCAGGUAGGUACACGUUACGGCACUGCACAAAGUCAUGCUCGUGCACCUGAAGAUUCAUAUGUAUUUUCACAAACUUCUGCGUGUUACAUCACGAACAAAGUCAUCGACUUGAUGCAUCAUAGCAGAGAUGAGGCAUGUUUAUGCCCCUAGGCACCAAGCACCGCUAUAAAUCUACUUCACUCUCUCAUACUCUACUCAUCAAAACAAAGUUGUCUUUGUUUGAAACAAAAUGGCUUGCUCGUCAUGCUUCUACAUGUCCAUACACUUGCUUUUCUUGUACUUGUGGUCACAUUCUAUUGGUGCACACAAUCUCUCUCCUUCUCCGAAACCUUUGUGUAUCAAGGACGAAAUGUCUGCCCUACUACAAUAUUAAGAGAUAUACAAAGGGACUCGUUUGGUUUGGCUUUUGGGGAGUGCAUUUGCAAAAACGCAAAUACCUUUGGGUGAAGGGGGUUUUCCGAAAUGCAAAUAUUGUUUGGUAAAAUUUGCAUUGAAAAACAACUUUGGCCAAAAUACUUUUGGCAAAAUUUGCAUUUGUAAUUGACUUUUUUUUUUUUUGGUAAAGGUAAUAAAUAUAAAAAUAAAGUUAAGGCAAUAUACAAAAGAUCGGCACCAAAAACCUACACUCAUUCCUCAAAAAGAGACAAAGUGUAGGGGAGCCAAUGUAAGAGGCCUCAAAGGCAAACAAGGCAGCCACAAGGGCACAGCAACAAAACAAAAAAGCGGGAAAGAGAUAACAACAAGGCUGACCAACCCUCAGCCCCCUAAGGAAGUAGCUAAGAACGGAGAGCCAAGAAAGAUAGGAGCAACUCGUGCAAAGCAGCAACUAAGGAGCACUAGUCAGCCGAGAGAACACUGCAGGGUCGAACCCCCAACCACACUGAAGCCUCUUAUUCCUCGGGGUAGGAGGAACAUCUUUGAAUGUUAUAACUUUAUCCCUCACAACCUUAAUAAGGUGGUUUUUUUAGAGCCGAGACCACUAAGGAUUUGCCCUGAAAUAUAAUCGCAUUCCUCUUUUUCCAAAUAAGGUGACACAUAGCUCCAAACGAGAACCACGCAAUGCAAUGGAAGAAGUCCUUACCAGACAAGAACUUUAAGGCCCAACUGAGGAUAUCUUUCCAACAUCUAUUCCGCCAUGGGAGGUUACACCUGGCGGCCCAAAAGUAGGCCAGAGAAGCCGAGAUGCGACACCCGAAGAAUAAGUGUUCAACAGAAUUUGGAACAUCAUUGCAGAAGGCACAAACAUUAUAGUCGAUCCUACCAUGAGAAAGAAGCAGCAUCUGGGUCGGCAGGCGAUUUUUGGUUAUAAGCCAUAAAUUAAACUGGAACUGCGGGGCUACAGCAUUGUCCCAAACAAAGGACGCCCAAUCAACACGAUCCUUCUUGCCUCUAAUGGAAUUCCAUGCUAAAGUUACAGAGAAUGAUCCAGAAGCGUCACAGCACCAGGUAAACCUGUCACGAGCCGAAGAGAGGACCGGAAGGGAGAUCCCCCAUCUUUCCAAAAAAGAUUUAAAUAAACAACCCAUAGAGGUAAACAGAUCCGCAACAACAGCAUUGUCAGGAAGACACAAGCCUUCACGGAAUGAGCAAGGAAUAAAGGCAUCAAGCGGGCCACAAGAAAGCCAGUGAUCAUGCCAAAGAGACACUGAUAGUCCAUUUGUAAUUGACUUUUAUUAAAUUAAAAAAGCAAAAAUAUAUUUGUAUUUUUUUUUUUGAAGUUCAGCCAUCAGACCGCCGGACCCGGCGUCUGGAUGGCUGGAUCUGGCCCCCGGACGAUCGCCGGGGUCGGGCGACCCCAGGCGAUGGUCGCUCGAGGUCGCGUGACCCCAGGUGGUCGUUGCUUGGGUCGCGCGAACCUAGGCGACAGUCCCCUAGGUCGCGACCCCAGGCGAUUGCGCAACCCAAGUAGCCUUCGCCUAGGGUCGUGAGAUUCAAGCCAUCAGUCAUCUAGGUUACGUGACUCAGGAGUUGCCUGAGGUCCCGCGAUGGUCACCGGGGUCGGGCGACCCUUAGGCUGCGAUCGCUGGCGCGCGCGACCCUUGGCCGGCGGUCGUUGGCCUCUGAUCAGCUUCUCCACCGGCUGCAUGAACAGUGAUGAACAAUAUAACUUGCAUUCUGAAACCUCUACCCCUCCAUUCCCCCAAAGACCUUUGAAGCCCCUUGGAGAUGCAAUUGCAUCUCCCCAAAGUCCUCAAAAAAUUGAACUAAACACCAUAGCAUUCGGCUAAACCCCUUUAGAGCUCGAAAAAGCAUUCCAAAUGCUGAACCAACCGGGGCCAAAAUCGCCAAUGUUUCAAAUGAUCCUCACGCUCAUCCCAAGACUCAAUCUUGGAAAAACAAUCAGGAUUGCUUCUCCUGGGAUGGGAUCGAGUGCGACAAGAACAUUGGCCAUGUAAUUGUUCUCGAUCUAGGAAGCAGUUUUCUCUAUGGCUCUAUCAACAACAACAGUACCCUCUUCCAACUUGCUCGUCUUGUAAAGCUCAAUCUCAGCAACGAUCACUUCAGGUACUCUCAAAUACCGUCCCAAAUUGGAGAUCUAUCGAGAUUGACUCAUCUUGAUGUCUCUUUUCCUUUUUUUUGGGUCGAGUCCCAUCGGAAAUCUUCAAGCUGACAAGGUUGGUGUACCUUAACCUGUGUUGCAAUCUGGAUCCAUUUGGCUCUACGAGGUUGUUGGAAAUGCAACCACUAGGCUUGAGAAGUCUAGCUCAAAAUCUGACCAGCUUGGAAGUACUUUUCCUUGGUGUCGUCAGCAUGUCGUCCAAAGUGCCAAACACUAUGGCGAAUUUGUCUUCCCUAAGAAGGCUGAACAUGGAUGUGUGCGACCUGCAUGGUGUAUUUCCAUCUGCCAUUUUUCAUUUGCCGAAGCUACGAAUCCUCGGGGUGGGUUACAAUGAUCUCACGGGCCAAUUGCCUGACUUUAACUCGAGUAGUCUUCUUGAAUAUCUACGACUGCCUAAAACGAGUUUUUCUGGGCAGCUGCCCGCUUCAAUCGGUAAUCUCCACUCCUUGCAAACAUUGAAUCUUGAUUCCAAGACGUGCAAUUUGACCGGGUCCCUACCCCCGUCAAUAGGAAACCUUCCUUCCUUGAGUUUCCUCGACAUAGGUGGUUGCAAAUUCUCAGGAUCCAUCCCAGCUUCAUUUGCUAAUCUUAGCAACCUCGAAUAGCUGGGUGUCAGCAUGAGCCCAUUCACUGCCCAGACCAUUUCCUCUUUGUCUUGGAUUUGGAAGAUUAAGAAGCUUGCCACUUUCUAUCUCGAGAAAAUCAAUUUAUAUGGCGAGAUUCCACCUUCAAUUUGAAACUUGUCUCAACUAGUGGAGUUAAGCUUUCUUGGCAACCAAUUAAGCGGUACUAUCCCAUCUCAGCUCAAGAACCUCACUCGGCUGACGAGAUUGUGCCUCCGAACUAAUCAACUAUCGGGGUCCAUACUGUCUUGGUUUAUGAGCAUGACUCAAUUGGUCGCACUUGACCUUGCAGUCAAUAACUUCCAUGGCAAGAUACCUUCGUCAAUCUCUCAACUCCAAAAUCUCCAAGUCCUCAUACUUGCGAAAAACAACUUUAGCGGUACUGUUGAACUAGACAACUUUCUCAAGCUCAAAGAAUUGACAGUGCUGCAACUAUCAUCUAAUAGGCUAUCAUGCCGCAGGGUUAGCGCGAAUGUUACUCCUCCUCAACUUCUUGUCUUAGAACUGGCAUCAUGCAAUUUGAACCAGUUUCCUACAUUCUUACAAGACUGCUUUCUUGGCAGAUGUGCUCUUACAUAUUAGUAAACUUCAUUACUGAAUAGUAGUGAUUACAAUCUUGGCCGUAUGUUUUGGUUUCAAUAUAAGGAGCAACUUUUUCACAUAACCACGAUUCGGAAACGAAAAUCAAACCACAGAUGCCAGCAAACUACUUGGGUACAGCCUAACUAGGUCGAUUUCGAAUUUCUCGUCAAAGUCUUUAAAUGUCAUUCCUUCUAUGCUUUGAAAGAGGGAAUCAGUAGUUUGGCAAAACCACUGCUAGAUCAGAUGAUCUGGUUGAAAUUAAGGUUGAGCUGUGUGGAACUUUAAUGCCUCUCUCAAGUCUCAACUAGAUAGAGUGGUCUUCUUAGGCGCUAAACCUGGUGAUUUCACUCAUGCUAAUGCUUGGAGCUUAACUAGAAAGAAAAAGGCCAAGGCAACUUGGCAUAGGCUACUUGUCAAAAAAAAAAAAAAACUUGGCAUAGGCUAAUUUGGUUUAAUCCAAAUGUGCCGACAUUUUGCUUUGUAUCUUGGCUUGCUAUCCUUACCAAGCUGCAGCAGACUGGUGAUAGAUUGUGCAAAUGGUAGAAUGUGAAUGGUAUUUGUGUCCUCUGUGGAUUGAAGCCCGAAUCAAGGAGACAUUUGUUCUUUGAUUGCUCUUUCUCCUCUGAAAAAUGAAGUAGGUUUUUGCAGAUAUGUGGUAUAAGAGGUUUUGCUUGGGAUUCGGACGCUGAGUUUAUGUGGUUGUUGCAGACAUCAAAGGGCAGAUCUCUGGAAAGUCUUGUUAAAGGUGGCAAGGAAUGGUGUCAUUUAUUUCUCAUGGAAAGAAAGGAAUACUAUGUUCACAAUGGUAGAGUUCCAUGUGCUGAGAAGGUUUUCAAGAGUGUCUUGUUUGUGGUAAGGUUGCUGGUUUGCCGCAAGGAGAAAGGAGAAAUGAGCUGCUUUGGCGAGAGCUGAUAACGAUUUGUGUGCUUUUUUGGGGCAUAUAAAUACCUGAGAUUGAGCAGGAGAAGGAUUUAGUCUCUCUUUUGUCUGUUUCAUCGUGCUAUAAUGCCUUAGUUGUAUUAGUUUAGUUGCGGGGGAAGUGAAAUUCUUGGGCUUGAUGUUUUUGCUUGGCAUCUUGUUUCGAGAUUAAGACCUUACAUUGAAGUUGUGGGAAGUAGAUGUACAAUGGUUUGAUGAUUCAUUGGCGAUGUUGUUGAGAUAGCUAGUAUAAACACCUAGAGGGGGGGUGAAUAGGCGCACAAACAAUUUGUCGAAGUACAGAAGCGAUUCUUAACAAACGAUAGAAAGAAAAUUGUCUCUUGAUUAACAAAAUGAAAUACGAUCGAGGUAGAGAGAGAGAGAGAGAAUUGAACNNNNNNNNNNNNNNNNNNNNNNNNNNNNNNNNNNNNNNNNNNNNNNNNNNNNNNNNNNNNNNNNNNNNNNNNNNNNNNNNNNNNNNNNNNNNNNNNNNNNNNNNNNNNNNNNNNNNNNNNNNNNNNNNNNNNNNNNNNNNNNNNNNNNNNNNNNNNNNNNNNNNNNNNNNNNNNNNNNNNNNNNNNNNNNNNNNNNNNNNNNNNNNNNNNNNNNNNNNNNNNNNNNNNNNNNNNNNNNNNNNNNNNNNNNNNNNNNNNNNNNNNNNNNNNNNNNNNNNNNNNNNNNNNNNNNNNNNNNNNNNNNNNNNNNNNNNNNNNNNNNNNNNNNNNNNNNNNNNNNNNNNNNNNNNNNNNNNNNNNNNNNNNNNNNNNNNNNNNNNNNNNNNNNNNNNNNNNNNNNNNNNNNNNNNNNNNNNNNNNNNNNNNNAAUCAGGAUCUCGGUUUCCAUAAGUAGAACCUUCCAAUAAUAUUUAGACAAUCAUCGAAUCUUCAAUCAUUGAAUCAAUCUUGAUCAAUCAAAGGAUUCUGUUACGUCUUCUCCAGCCACGAGAUCUUCUCCAGAUGAUAAGAUUAAAUCCUUAACGGAACAUCCAGUUCUGGAUAACCUUUCUUCAACAGAUUAGAGACUGUCGAUGAGGAUAGACUUUGAGUCUUGAGUCUGGCUGUCCGGAAGUCUUCAGACUUUAAAUAACAGAGUCUGCAGACCUUUAGACUAGACUGAUGGAAACGUUUUGUCAACUUCAAAACACUUCACGAGGAUUUCUCCAACAAUCUCCCCCUUUUUGAUGGUGACAAAACCUUCCUGCAGAUUUGGAUAACUUUGACCUGCAAAACAUUUCUCAAACAGAUAUGCAUAUCUUAUAGAGAUAAAUGGCUAAAAGAAUAACACUAGAAUCUGCAACCACAGAAAAUAGGUUAGUCUAGUAUGUGAUAAAGCCAUCCAUAAGAUAUCAAUACUAGUUUAAUAGAAGCAGUCAAGUCCAAGUCUAGUUCAGUUUUUCAUCCAGACACAAAACAAAGUCAGAGUUUAAAACAACAAACAAUCCAACAAACAGUUAAAAGUUUAAUGAUAAAGUUUGAUCAAAUCAUGCAUCUCUCCCCCUUUUUGUCAUCAUUAAAAAAAUGAGAUGAAGUCAAGAUUGCUUGGGAACGCGGACAAGCUGGAAAUCUUCCAUAGACUGAACGAUGCCUUCCAGCCUUUUAAAGUCUUCAUUCAGCUGUGCAACCUCCUCACUCUUGGCAUUGGCCUGAUUCUGAACAGAGAUGGCUUGCAUUUUAUCAUUCAAUGAACAGGAAGAAGCUUGACUUUCAUUCUUCAAGCUUUGAACUUCGCAUCCCAAGGCAUAAAUUUGACCUCUCAUUUCCAAGAGAAUAUCCAUGAUUCUGCGAAAAUCUGCUCCAUUAUCAGUUUGAGUACUUGCUUCGGCUCGAUCUGAUGGAGUAAAUGCAGAUGACGGUAGAUCAGCAUAAUCUCGCAGGUUUGGCGAUGAAGCUUCAUGACCUUCCUCUAGAAAUUGAGAUGCAUAAACGUCCUCUGGGUCUGCAGGCGAGCGACUGACUCCUUCACUUGCAUCAGGAUGUGAAGACGUCACUCCUUUCUCCUUAUCUCCCCCUGUUUCCAUGCCUACAGGUGGAGAAGAGAUUUCCUCAAGUUCUCCUUCUUCUCUUCUUUCUUCUUCAGGUCUUUCUUCCUCUGCUUCUUGCUCUGCUUCUCUUUCUUCUUCUUCCUUCUCCUAUGCUUCUUUCGUCAUUUGUUCCGAUUCUUUCUGUGGAACAGGACGACUUAAAUUCUUCAAAGCCAUUGCAGAGAUGGUGAUGUCUUCGUCAUCAUCUUCAUCCUCAACGAGGAGAGCUCUUCUUCUCUUUGAUGGAGCAAUCAUGGGCUCCUUCCCUUUUCUCUUAGAUGCAGAAGAGAUUUGAUGAGAUUUUGCAGGAGUCUUCUCCUUGAAUUUUUCCAACUCCUUGCUCAGUUCUUUCAGACGCAUUUUGGUCACCAUUUUCAGUCCUACCACCAUAUGAUCGCAUGGUCGAACACAAAAGAUUUGUGGAGGCUGAAUAUUCAAAUGUCUAAAUAACUUCGUAACAAGGCUUGGGUAAGGGAGUUGACCUCUAUCCUUCAUCACUGCUCUAUACAUGUGAAACAUAACAGUAUGAGGGAGAGAAAACUUCUUUCCACAGAGGAUGGCAUACAUCAACUUUGCCUCAGAGCUUGAAACAUCAGUUUUGGAAGUCGAUUUCGGCCGAAGGCAAUUAAUCACAAUCUUGUGAAGCAAGAUGUUGAAUGCAUUCAUCCUUGAGUAGGUGAUCUUCUCAUCUGUUCUCUUGUCCUUUACCAGUUCAAGUGUGGCCUGAGUAAUGGAAACUUUGAUUGGUUGAUAUCUGCCUCUCUCAACUUCUAACACAUCUGCCAGCAUAUUCAUAUCCACAACAAAGUCUUGUUCUUUAACGCUAAAGGAGAAUCUAUUCGCAUCCAAAAAGCUAAGAUUUGAAUAGAAAUAUGCAGUCAAUUCAGCAUAAGCCUCAGUUGAGUCAGAGCAGAACUUUUCAAGUUGAAGAUAAUUGAACUUUUCCCUCAAGUUCACUUUCACAGCAUCCAGAAAAUCAAAUUCCACACUCCUAGGAUUUAUUACCCCACGCUUCAGCAAUUUUGAGUACAGAUCCUUUUGUUCCUUUGAUCUGAACAAAUCUCCCCUUUUUCCUUGAAUUUCAGCCGCAAUACCCAUUUUCGGUUGAAAUAGAUUGAACAGAUUGUCAUUGUCAUUCCCAUCUACAGGAUUCGGCCCCCAGUCACGAGGAUCACUUGGGAUAUUCGCAAGGGUUUCCUCAGCCACCCCUUUACGAGCGAUUCCCAAACUUUCCAUUUUUCGCAAAAAGAUAUAUUCGUUCUUAUAUCCUUUGUCUUUAAGAAAAUCAUCAACAUAGUUCAAAGGAGUAUGAAUUCCUUUUAAGGCACGAUAUAGCUUGUAAAUAAAAGCGGGCUUUUGAACUCUUACGGGAUUUGCAUCCUCGAUGAUUUCUUCUUGAUGCUGAUGAACAACGCCUUGAGGACUAGAUGGUGGAGAAUAACGCUGCUGAGAAUGUUGUGGGCUUGUUUGCUGUUCUGGAAUCUCUUCCUCCUCAGUAAGAUCGAAGUGCGUAGGCCCCUCACUUAUUUGCCGUGGACCCCUGCUUGCGAUUCUCGAAGAUUUUCUCGAAGAUGACAUCUUUCUCAGUUUUUGGAAGAUUCCUUGCUUGAUUUUCCCAGUAAAGAUGAUAACUUUUUGAAGAUUAAUCAAAGAAGACAAAUGGAAAUGGAGGAUCGAUGCUUCCUAGGGUUUUCAAGAGUGAAGUGAAAAGGAAUCGACAGAGCACGAUCGGUUAAAAAGAGAAAUAAACGAACCGUCACAAAGGAAAUAAAAAAUGCCUUUUCAAAAUAACUGUCUUCUUCCGCAAAAAUAGCUAUUUAAAAAAUAACUUCCUUUUUGAAAAUGAAACGAUGCUAUAUUUGCGUCGAUUAAAUAUAGCAAUAAUUAAAACACAGUCUGACAAUCGUACCUUUUCAAGAUUAAAUUAGAGAGAGAAAGACUUACAGUCUGACGGUCGAGCCAAGACUGUAGAUAAAGUCUUGUAAGCCUGAGUCUGAAAGUUUUUAGACUUUGAUAUCCUCAUACCUCAAAAUGUUGAGUCUGGAACGGAUAGACUCAAAUUGAUUUUUCUCCAAAGGCUUUGUGAAUAUAUCCGCCAGUUGAUUCUUUGAGUCAGCAAACUGAAUUGAAAUCUCUCCAUUUUGAACAUGAUCUCUAAUAAAGUGAUGUCGAAUCUCUAUAUGCUUUGCUCUUGAGUGGAGAAUUGGAUUUUUGGUGAGGUUGAUAGCGUUGGUGUUGUCGCAAUUAAUCUCCGUGCAUGAGUCUUCAAUUUCAAAGUCUCUUAGCUGUUGUUUUAUCCAUAGAAUUUGCGAACAGCAGCUUCCAAGAGCUACAUACUCUGCUUCUGUUGUUGAAAGAGACACAGUGCUUUGUUUCCUUGAAAACCAAGACACUGUCCUGCUUCCAAGCAACUGGCAAGUUCCUAAAGUGCUCUUUCUAUCAACUCUGCAACCGGCCAGAUCUGCGUCUGAAUAUCCCAGAAGAUUAAAGUCUCCCUUCUUAGGAUACCAAAGACCGAUGCUUGAUGAUGAGGCAACGUAUUUAAUGAUGCGUUUUGCAGCACUGAGAUGAGAUUCUCUAGGGUCUGAUUGAAACCUAGCACAGAUGCAAACACUCAACAAAAUAUUAGGUCUAGAGGCAGUAAGAUAAAGAAGUGAUCCAAUGAUGCUCCUGUACAGCUUUUGAUCAACUUUCUUCCCUUCUUCAUCUUUGUCUAUCUUUAAAGAACUUGACAUUGGUAUGUCGGUCUUUUUGCACUUUUCCAGUCCAAACCUUUUGACAAGAUCAUUAACAUAUUUUUCUUGAUAAAUAAAAGUUCCUUCCUUCAAUUGUUUUACUUGAAGACCAAGAAAGAAUGUUAAUUCUCCCAUCAUACUCAUUUCAAACUCAUCCUGCAUAGACUUAGAAAAUUUCUUGCACAGACUUUCAUUAGAGGAUCCAAAAAUAAUAUCAUCCACAUAUAUUUGAACAAGUAAGAAACUUUUGUUUUCCUUCUUGAUAAAUAAAGUCGUAUCUACUUUACCUUUGACAAAACCAUUUUGUAUUAAGAACUUACUUAAUCUGUCGUACCAAGCCCGAGGUGCUUGCUUUAGACCAUACAAAGCCUUUUUCAGUCUGAAGACUGAGUCUGGCUUCUUUGGGUCUUCAAACCCUGGUGGUUGUUCCACAUAAACUUCCUCAUGGAUAAAUCCAUUUAGAAAGGCGCUUUUGACGUCCAUUUGGAAUAACCUGAAAUUCUUAUAACAAGCAAACACAAGUAAUAGUCGAAUAGCUUCUAACCUUGCCACUGGAGCGUAAGUCUCAUCAUAGUCUAUUCCUUCUUCUUGCGUAUAUCCCUUGGCCACGAGUCUUGCUUUAUUUCAUACGACUUUUCCUUUCUCAUUCAUCUUGUUUCUGAACACCCAUUUAGCUCCAAUAACAGCUUUACCUUUUGGUUUGGAUGUCAAUUCCCAGACAUCAUUAAUGCUUAACUAUCUGAGCUCUUCUUGCAUAGCUUCAAUCCAGCUUUCAUCAGAUAAAGCUUCUUCUAUGCUCUUUGGUUCAAUUUCAGAAACGAGUGCCACAGCACUAGACUCUUCUCGCCUUUUGGAUCUGGUGCGAAUUCCUUCAUUAAUUUCGCCAAUUAUAAGAUCUUUGGGAUGACUGGACUUAUGCUUCCAGUUACUUGUUGAUUUGUCUGAUUGAUGAUCUCUUUCUUUAUUUGGAUCUUCACUAACAACCUGAUGCUGGUCUUCCAGAGUCUGAGAUGCUUCUUGAGUUGUAAGCUUUGAAAGGUCUGGAGCAGGUACAGACUCUUCUUGAUGAGUCUGACUUGAUUCAUCUUGCGUUGAGUCUUGAAAUUUGACAUUCAUUGACUCCUCCACAGAUUGGCUCUUCUUGUUAUAGACUCUGUAAGCUUUGCUUGAUGUAGAAUAUCCAAGGAAGAUACCUUCAUCUGAUCUUUCUUCAAACUUACCAACUCGAUCUUUUGCAUUUUUCAAUAUAAAACAUUUGCAACCAAAUACAUGAAAGUAUGAAACAAUAGGCUUCUUAUCUUUGAAUAACUCAUAAGGGGUUUUCUGUAGAAUAGGUCUUAAGAAAACUCUAUUGAUGAUAUAGCAAGCUGUUGAAACAGCUUCAACCCAAAAUCGUGAAGAAAUCUUACUUUCAAUUAAAAGAGUUCUAGCCAUUUCUUGAAGAGAUCUGUUCUUUCUUUCCACAACUCCAUUUUGCUGAGGAGUAUAUGGAGAGGAGAACACAUGCUUAAAGCCAGAUUCAUCACAGAAUUUUGUAAAAUCUUGAUUUUCAAAUUCACCUCCAUGAUCUGUUCUUAUACUAGAGAUAACACAUCCUUUUUCAUUUUGAACCUUUUUAGUAAAUUUUUCAAAAUACGAAAAGGUUUCGGACUUACUUGCAAGGAAAUAUACCCAAGUAAAACGGGAGUAAUCAUCAACAAUUACUAGGCAAUACUUCUUACCCCCAAUACUCUGAGUUCUGGUUGGUCCGAAGAGAUCCAUAUGCAGCAACUGUAGUACAUGAUUAGUAGAGACAUGAUUUAUUGGUUUAAAUGAAUUCCUUACCUGCUUUCCCAGGAUACAUGGAGUGCAUGAAUCAGUCUUUUGGUAUGGCAAUUUGGGUAGACCUCGAACAAGCUGUUUUGAUGAGAUUUUGGCUAAUUGCUUCAUGUUGACAUGACCAAGCUUUUUGUGCCAUAAGCUUGCUUCGUCUUGAAUUGAGAUAAGACAUUGCGAUUCAUUUGGUUUCACAUCCAGAAGAUAGAUAUUUCCAUGUCUUCGACCCAUGAAAGACUGAGUAGAGUCUUUAUUGAUCCCAGAACAUGUUCCUUCUUGAAAGAAGAUCUUGAAACCAGUAUCACACAAUUGACUAAUGCUCCCCAAGCCCUGUAAUUGAGUCCUUCCACUAAGGAAACAUUACUUAUUGUGAGAGUUCUGAUUUUCACGGUUCCAAAUCCCACAAUAUUUCAUUUGCUGUUUCCUCCAAAUGAAACUUUUCCACCAUUUACUUGAGCAAGCUUUAUAAAACAAUUUGAGUCUCCUGUCAUGUGUCUUGAACAUCCGCUGUCAAGAUACCACUUUACCUGUUUCUUGACGGAGACCUGCAUUUAAAAUAAAGUCUCAAGCUUUCUUUGGUACCCAAACUUUCUUGGGUCCUUUGGUGUUAGUAAUAUAAACAGUAUUAGCCCAUACUUUCUUAACAGGUUUCCAUACCAUAGGACACUCUUUUUCAAAGUGAUCCGGACUGUUGCACUUUGAACAUCUGAGAGCAUUUCUACCUACAGGUUUUACAAAAACUUUCUUGAAAUGAUUUUUGUAAGCCUCUUUCGAGGGUCUUUUCUUAAUUCUUUCUUUUACUUUAGGAAAAUCAAUCAAGGGAAUUGAUUCUGCUGACAUACCUAGACUAGACUUAUUGAAGUAAGGUCUUUGAGCUGAAAGAAUUUUUUCAAGUUUCUCAGACCCUAUUGAAAAUUUCUUUGAAAUAUUUGAUAAGUCUGUUUUUAAAAGAGCAUUUUCUUUUAAAAGAUUAUCUUCAUUUUCUUUAAGACUGGAAACAGUCAAGUCUAGACUUUUAACUCUUUCUACUAAAACAUUUUCCUUUUGUUUUAGAGCUGAGUUUUCCUUUUUCAAUUCGGAAAUUCUUUUAAGAGAAGUCUUAAGACUAAAACACAGUUCAUCAAUGUAUUUAGAAACUUUGACAGGAAUUUUAAAAUUACUUGCCUCAAAUUCAUUGUCUGAGUCUGAUCCAGAGUCUGAGUCUGAUUGUGCCAUCAUACAUAGAUUGGCAUAUUCAUUAUCACUUUCUUCACACUCAAUAUCACUCCAGGUUUCAGCUUUGAGAGCUUUUCGGAAUUUUUUAGCUUUUCCUCUCUUCUUCUUUAGAAGAGGACAGUUGGGUCUGAUGUGUCCCUUCUUCUUGCAUUCAAAGCAGACUACAUCUUUAUUUGGUUCCUCAUCAUCAACAAACUUGGUCUGUUGUCUUUGAAAGUUUGUUCUUUGAGUUGAACUUCCUUUUCUAUUCAGUUUUCUGAAUCUCCUUAUCAUGAGAGCAAGCUGCUCAUCGUCCAUAUCAUCUUCAGAAUCUGUAUCAUCAUUUGAUUUUAAUGCAAUGGAUUUCUUACCUUUUGGAUCUUCAUCUUCAUUGAUCCUUUCCACUUCAUAAGACUGAAGAGUUCCAAUCAGCUCGUCGACAGAUAGUGGCAUAAUUCUCUACGUCUCUCUUAUCGAAGUCUUUAUGUGAUUCCAAUCCUUGGAGAGUCCACGCAGUAGCUUGUUUACCUUCAUAGGAUCAAAAAAAAAUUUGUCCUUGAUUCUCAAGACCAUUGACAAUAUCUGUAAAACGGCUAAACAUGUCAUUUAUAGAUUCUCCUGGUUUCAUUUUGAAGGCUUCAUAUUGACCGAGAAGAAUGUUAAUUCUGGUUUCCUUCACUCGAUCUGUUCCUUCAUAGGUGAUAUGUAAUCUGUCCCAGACUUCUUUUGCUGUAACACAAGAAGAUAUUCUAUUAUAUUCAGUUGGUGACAAAGCAUAAUAUAAAGAGUAAAUUGCUUUUGCAUCGAGUGCUUGUCUCUUGUUUAUCUCUUCCUGAGUCAUUCCGCUAGUCUCAACAGUUUCUUUCCCUCUUUCAGAGACUGAUGCAGCUGUAGGAGUAAUUCCUUUUUCUACAACGUCCCAUUCCAGAGGAUCCUUUGAUCGUAGGAAAACUUUCAUCUUGUUUUUCCAGAUGUUGUAAUCCUUUCCAUCAAAGUAGGGUGGUCUGGUAUUGCUUUGCCCUUCCAUCAGCCCUGGUGCUAGCAUACUAGCCAUGGAUCUUUAACUCUGAAGUAAAACACUUCAAACAAAGUGAGUACACAGGCUCUGAUACCAAUUGAGAUAGCUAGUAUAAACACCUAGAGGGGGGGUGAAUAGGCGCACAAACAAUUUGUCAAAGUACAGAAGCGAUUCUUAACAAACGAUAGAAAGAAAAUUGUCUCUUGAUUAACAAAAUGAAAUACGAUCGAGGUAGAGAGAGAGAGAGAAUUGAACACAGGAUUUAUAGUGGUUCGGCUUAUUCCAAGCCUACGUCCACUCUUCCGCACUGACAGCCCACCGGCUGGAUUUCACUAUGAUCAAAAGAGAAGUUACAGCACAGCUUUGCCUUGAUUCCACAGUGUAGAUGUUCUACCACACCUUCUCAAGGUUUCUCACAAAUAUAGACUCUCUUUUGUAUAUAAGUAUUCGCUCAAAAGAAUUGUCUAAACAAAAAAAAGAGCUUCAGACUUUGGAAUUUAUCUAUCGCGCACACCUCGAACAACCAAGAACGUCUUCCUUAUAUACUCCUUUAUGCCAUUAUACCCGUUGGCACUUACCAAAGGAAUUCCUCCAAUCUACCCGUUGGACGGAAUCAAUUAGGAAGAUUGUUCGAGCUAUUAAAGGAACGUGUUGAUAGCCUAUAAAUCCUGUUCGCCCAUACAAUCAGGAUCUCGGUUUCCAUAAGUAGAACCUUCCAAUAAUAUUUAGACAAUCAUCGAAUCUUCAAUCAUUGAAUCAAUCUUGAUCAAUCAAAGGAUUCUGUUACGUCUUCUCUAGCCACGAGAUCUUCUCCAGAUGAUAAGAUUAAAUCCUUAACGGAACAUCCAGUUCUGGAUAACCUUUCUUCAACGGAUUAGAGACUGUCGAUGAGGAUAGACUUUGAGUCUUGAGUCUGGCUGUCCAGAAGUCUUCAGACUUUAAAUAAUAGAGUCUGCAGACCUUUAGACUAGACUGAUGGAAACGUUUUGUCAACUUCAAAACACUUCACGAGGAUUUCUCCAACAGUUGUUACCAUGUCUUAAUUUCCAGAAAUCAUCAGGGAUAUUUUUGUCUGAUGAUUCAUUGGCUACGUCGUUACCUAUAUUCCAGGUGGUUACCACAGUGGUCGACGAACGUCCUAGAGCAUGAGCAUGCUUUUUUGUCAUUUAAAUAGUGAUAAGAGCAUUUCAUUUCGUAGUUACCAUGUUGAAUGAAACAGUGCAAAUUUUCUUCACUUUUGAACCAUUUUAAUUGCAACAAGAAACCAUGUUUUAGAAUCAAAAACAAGAAAAGUUUGAAGAAGGUUUGGAGAUAGAGAAGUGACCCAUCCAGUCCUUUCGAUGUUUAUUAGUCUACACAACGAGUGAAGGAAUUUCUUCUGCGAGAUCUUGUAUCGAAUGGUGCUCACAACACGGGAUAUGUAUGGCACAAUGUUGUGCCGUGCGAUUUAUUUUUGUUAAAGAUACUUUUUUCACUCAAACAUGACGAAACGUUAUAAAGUCAAGAUAAAAAUCAUAUUUCACCUUGUUUUGUGCUUUGUUAAGAUGAAACGUCGUGUUACGUUGACAGUCCCAAACAUCAUGCUUUAUUUCUACUCAAAUGGGUGAGACGGAUACAAGGAUCGAGCCAAAUGCAAAGUGGAUCCAUCAUUGAAUUGCCUACGGAGGAUUGAUGGCCUACAAAAAAUUAGGAAAAUUGUCCAAUAAAUCAUAAACAUUUUGCAUUCUUGUUAAUUCGGUCUUAAAUCUUUCAAUUUUACCGAGUUCUAAGCAUUUUCAUGUUUUGCUAAUCGAACACAUUUGGUCAAUUUUGGCCAAAAAUUGCUAACGUAGAUGAUGCCGACUAUCAUACAUGACAUAAUUGGUGCCAAUGUGGACAUUUUAAUAAUAUUUUAUUUUUUUUGAAUUAUUAUUUUUCCCUCAUUUUUUUCUCUUUUCCUUCUUUUCUUUUUUCCCUUUUCUCUUGUCUUUUUUUUUCUUCUUUCUUUUUUUCUUUUUCCCUUCUUCAACACCACCAAGCCUCGUCAAUGGCCUGCAAAGGUUGCCAACCUAAGGCGUGGUCCGUCCUCAUCAACCCAUAACAAGGGUCACCCUCACUCAAGCAAGCAAGGGCUUGAGGCUGUGCCUGAGGCUAAUGACCUCUACUGGCCAUCAAUGAGGCUUGGCAAAGGGAAAAAAGGGAAAAAAAUGAAAAGAGAAAAAAGAAAAUAUUUUUAAAAAAUAUUAUUAAAAAUUAUUUACGUUAACAUUGGCCAUUCCACAUAGGAUAACCGGGUGUGCUGACACCCACUUCAACAAUUUUCAAUUGAAAUUGAUCAUAUUGACUCAAUUGGUAAAAUUGAAAGAUUUAAGAUUAAAUUGGUAAAAGCGUAAUAAGUUUAGGAUUUUUUGAACAAUUUUAUCCCCAUACAUUUCACUUUAAAAAAAAAAAUUCAGCAAAUGGAGACAUUGUUUGUUGCAUUCUAAUGCGUGAAGAUGCCAAGAAGAUUAAACAAAGGAUCUCAAGAACGCUGACCAUGUAUGGGUCUAUGAUACCCGGAUUGCUCCCCAUGGCCGAGCCUGGAACUAGCACUCAAGCCUAUGUUCCCAAAGCCCAAACUUGGGACUCUGAUUGCACUCAAGACUUAUUAUCAAACGUCUAUUUCAUAAUUUUCCCAUAACAAAUAUCAACAAAACAACUUUCCUAUUGUUUGGCAAAAACAGACCAACAUGCCUUGAAAACAAGUUCCUUUGGAAAAAUUUCUAGGAAAGUUCAUUUUCCAUGAACUAACGAAGCUUGAGGUUUAGACAAACUCCCUUGAUUGAAUUUGGGAGUGAAUGCAAUUAAUUCAUUGUUCCCUUGUGAACUGAUAAGUGUUGUUUGCACAAUGAAUGGAGGAUCUUGAUGGUGCUAUCAACAUAGUUUAGGUUUUCUUUGUUUUCUAUUUAUUUCGGAGACAUAGACUAAACAAACAAGCAAUUGAAAAGUAAAUGCAUUUCUCUAUGAGCAACCGAAGUCUUCAUUUCUCCCCUCAAUUCGGCCCAUUACAUAGACUUGUUUGCUAUUGUCACAACUUAUAAAAUGAGUACUCUAUCUAGAGUGGAGGGGAAAACUUAGUGCCCUUUUUUAUUGCUUACAUCCUGAAAGGGCUAGUAAGAUCACCUAGAGGGGGGUGAAUAGGUGAUAAUGAAACUUUUAUGAAACUUCAAAAUAAUUUGCUAGCAACAUGAACAGCAAUGAACAUUUAUAUAAAGCUGUAAAUUAAAGUAUACAAUGUUUAUAGUGGUUCGGCUUAGAUCAAGCCUAUGUCCACUUUCCCGUGCUGACAACCCACUGGCUGGAUUUUACUAGGAAUCAAAAGAUAUGUUACAGUCUCACGUCCUAGACUUUAUAGUGUAGAGACUCUACUACACUUUCUCAAAAUCUCACAAGUAUUUUAUCUCUCUUUUAAGUACAAAGUAAAGCUUAACAAUUGAUAUAGCAAAGAACUAAGAAGCUUCAGACUUUGAAAUUUUUCUCUAACACACUCACGAACAACCAAUAAGUCAUCCUUAAAUACUCCUCCAUGACUUUACGACCAUUGGCACUUACCAAAGGAGUUCUUCCAAUCUUCCAUUUGGACAUAAUCAAUUAAGGAUAUCUUGAGUCGUUUAAGAAAUAUGAUGAUAGCAAGGUAGGCUCAAGGGAAUCAUCUCGAGCCUCUUCUUCCUCUUCUUCACCUCUUCCUUCUUCUUCCUCUUCUUCUCUUAUUUCUUCCUCUUCCUCUUCUUCUCUUCUUCCUUCCUCUUCUUCUUCCUCUAUUCUCUUUUCUUCUUUACUUCUACUUCCUUCGUCUCUUUUCUCUGUCUCUUCUUUGGUCUCUUAUUCUUCUGCCUCUUGAAAGCUAACAAAACUCUGUAAAUUGUGAAGGGCAAAGGCAAAGAUGGUAACGUCAUCCUCAUCUUCUUCAUCUUGUAGGAUGAAUGCUCUCAUCUUCUUGAUAGGUUCAUUCAUGGGUUCUUUGCCUUUCCAUUUUGAUGCUGCAGAGGUUUGCUUUGCCUUGAUAGGGAAUUUCUCCUUCAUUCACUCUAAUGCCUUGUUGAGCUCCUUCAGACGCAUCUUGGUGACCAUUUUCAAUCCAAUUACCAUAGGAGCAACGCUUCGCAAGCACAAAGGAGCAGGUAAAUGAAUGUUGAAGUGUCUGAAGAUUCUUGUGAUAAGAGCAGAGUAUGGGAGUUGUCUCUUGUCUUUCACCACUGUCCUAUACAUGUGCAUCAGGAUGGCAUGAGGCAGAGAGAACUUGUAUCCAGUAUUGAUGGCAUGCAUCAAUUUCGCUUCAGAAUGAGACACAUUAGUCUUGGAUGUUGAUUUUGGACGAAUGCAAUUGAUCACAAUUUUAUGCAGCAAGAUGUUAGAGGCAUUCAUCCUAGAGUAGGAGAUCUUGCCUUUAGCAAUCCUGUCUCGUACCAAAUUCAGAGUAGCAUGCGCAACGGACACACUAAUUGGUUGAAAACACGCUCUUUCCACCCCCAAUCAAGUCAGCCAAAAUGUCCACAUCGACAAAAAAUUCCUCAUCCUUAACAGUAAAAGAGAAUCUAUUCGCAUCCAAAAAUGAUAGAUUCGAAUAGAAAUAGGCUAUGAGUUCUAGAUAAGCUACUGUUGUCUCAAAACAAAAAUGCUCCAAUUGUAGAAGUGUAAACUUCUCCCUCAGAUUCACUUGCACAUAAUCAAGAAAAUCAAAAUCAACGCUUCUUGUGACACCCCGAACCCUUCGCAGGUCGUCACCAGCGCCGAUGUUACACUUUAUUACCUUUCUUUCUUUCAAACAGGCGUCCUAAUUUACGGACACAUUUUUUUUUUUAAAACGAUCGGUCCCAAUGCGACUCAUAGUGGAAGCAUAUUAAACAUCACCGUCUAUCCCCCUACCAAUCCAUGAUACAAAUACACACCAACUAAACAUCAUGAUUUUAUAAACAACUUCGACACUUUGCUUACAUAUAUAUAUAUAUAUAUAUAUAUAUAUAUAUAUAUAUAUAUAUAUAUAGCAAGAUGAGAUUUCCUUUGGGUUGGUACAAAACAAGGAAAAGCUAGGACUCAGCCACGUCCAGCCUAAAACCUCAAAAAGAAACUCUCGACCCUCAACAUCACACGAGUACGAACCCCCAUCGAAAGUGUCGACUAUCUAUCCCCAAAAAGAAACAGCUCCUACUCGUCACGUGCAGGUCUCACACCCAACCCGGUGCAUCAGGCGGUGGCGGCGGCAACAUCCCUCGCAUAGCUCCAUCCUAACGAACGUGCACAGAAAUGAACUCCUGAAUGACAGGACCCCUAGCCAGGCCCACGUCAUACAUCACUAGACAUCGUACUCGGAUAAAAGUUAGUCCGGGAACAGAAGGACAGUCUAUCUCAACACACUCGACCUCUACAUCGGAUGGUAUCCCGUAAAAUGUACCACGCGUGACGACAGGUAGCGGCAUACUUGCUAAUCUGAAAUGUUAUCCCCAAAAGGGGUGAGUACAACCACUCAGCAGAUAGGGAAAUCCAAUAACAUUCCAAUGCAUCAUGCAUAUCAUUACACGUUGCAAGCAUCACUUACCUUGAAGUCAUGCGUAUCAUGCAUCAUCACAUCAUAUAUAUCAUCAUCAUCAUGGCAUAUCAUACAUCAUUAUCAUCAUCAUGCAUUUCAUCAUGCAUAUCAUACCUUGGAUGAUCAUCAUAUCACGUCACAUGCCAUCAUCAUCAUGCAUCAUCAUGCAUAUAUUAUCAUAGGUGAUCAUCAUAUCACAUCACAUGCCAUCAUCAUCAUGCAUCAUCAUGCAUAUAUUAUCAUAGGUGAUCAUCAUAUCACAUCACAUGCCAUCAUCAUCAUGCAUCAUCAUGCAUAUAUUAUCAUAGGUGAUCAUCAUAUCACAUCACAUGCCAUCAUCAUCAUGCAUCAUCAUGUCAUGAGUUAAUUUUCAUCUUUAUCUUUCAAUUUUGAUCACCAUAUCACCAUCAUCUCUCAAAUCAUCAAUCUCAUCAUCAACCCUUCGGGCAGAAACCUCCGACAGGGCUCCCGGCAAACUCAGCCAUCCCAUGGCCACCGGGCUUCCGGCCCCCCACAUUCCGGGCAUCUCGCAUCUCAACUAGCAUCACGAGGCAUUCCCUUCGGGCAGAAACCUCCGACAGGGCUUCCGGCCUUUACCCUUCUAGCCAGGCAUCCCGCACCCCAAUCCCGGUGUCGCGAGGAACCUCCGGGCAUGUAUCCGAGAUACAACCGGACUUCCGGCCCCCCACAUUCCAGGCAUCCUGAAACUCCCAGGCAAUCUCUGGAAUUACGCCACCAGGCCACCAGACAACAUCCUCCACCACAACCUCUUUCUUAUCCACAUUUAUCCUUUUAUCUCAAUUUAACAUGGCAAUUGGCAUGGCAUCAAACAAAUCACACUUGCAUUUCAAUUCACGUGUCAUAUACAUGCCAAAGCUUAAUCACAUAUGCAUUUCAAUUCACCUGUCAUACACAUGCCAAAGCUUAAUCACAUAUGCAUUUCAACUUAAUACAUGUACAAAGACCUCAUCACACAAGUGCCACACAAAUGAAGUUGAAUCCAUGGCCAAAUACAAAUCUAUUUUAUUAUUAUUUUAUUAUUUAUUAUUUAUUAUUUAUUAUUAUUAUUUUUUCUUUUUUUCUUUUUUUUUUAUCAAUAAUUUCCAAAAUUAUCAAAAUUCAGGAAAUUACUAAAUCAACCCAUAAGAUGACAAUCACUUGGAAAAUUCAUGGCCAAAUUGAAAUUUUUACUUAAUCUCACAAUUUCUUCCAAAAACAUCCUAAAAUUUUCGGAUUUAAACCCAAUGCACAGUUUUCGAAUAAAUUCGAUUAAAAUACUCAUAUGACCUUCAAAAAUUACGAAAUUUUACAGGGUGAUAGACAACACAUUUUCGUGCAUUUCUCAUUAAGAAUUCUAAGACAAAUUAUUUUUAGAUUAAUUUAUACAACCCCACGAAACUUCUGGAACCACUACCGUGACGUCCAGAACACACUCCUCCUAAAUUCUUAGUUUUCACCCAUCUAUUCUCUUUCGUUUCUUCUGAAAUUUGAGUAUGUUAUGUACCAAGAUAUCCUUUACAAGUUUCGUGAAGAGAUCUAGGCCAAAUAACCAGAUUAUGGUCACCAUUUUAGUCCAUGAAGUCUCGGGUGUCUCGAGAUACUUCACCAGAAUCAUCAUUUUCAAGAUCUAACCGAUUCACCGAGCUAUACUUGUUCUUUAUGCUUCAAAUUUGAGUAUGUUGUAGUUUAAGGUGUUUCCUUCAACUUUAAAGAAGACAACAAAGUGAGAUCUCCAACAGAAAUCAACAUGCAAUCAAGAAAUCAACAAGAGGUCAGUGAAAAUUUCGCAGAUCUAAAGUCUCCGUACAAGAGAACUUUUGACCCCUCAAAUCUCCAUAGUUUUCUACUAAUGUUUAGUAUGUCAUAGUAAAAGACGUUAGAUUCAACUUUCAUGAAGACACCGAAGCCAAAAUCAAACUCCAAACACACAUGAAAACUCAAACAAGCUACUGACUCCAACAAACCGAACAAGAACAGUCACACGGUUUACAAAUAACCAACUCUUACCUCGGUUUUUCGCAAGAAUCAUACCUAAAAUCUAACAUGCAAACACCACAACAAACAUGCAAGAGAAGUUAUGGACUCCACUUGCCUUAAAGGUGAACAAGCAACGACGAACGGCGACGGGACACGGUGAUCGGACGGCGAACGAACGGCACACCCCUCCGGCUCCGCCUCCUCUCCUCUCGGUUUCUCCCUUUCUCUCGAGCUCUCUCUCGCACACCCUCUCUUUGGAUGAAAUGAAGCAAAGAACCGGCCAUCUCUCUCUCCUCAUCCCUUUUAUAUCCCCUUAAUCCCAUGAUUAGCAAUGAUUACUUUGCCUACAAACCCACCAAUGCAUGCCAUUCCUUCAUGCCACUUGUCACACUAAUUUUGAAUUGAUUUGGGCUUGGGCUUAGGCCCAUCCGGCCACUCCCUUGGGCUGGUCGAAAUCCUCCUCUUCUUGGGCUCUAAUGGGCCGACAAGCUUGGCCCACCAAGCUUUAGGCUAAUGGGUCCAAGGCCCAUUCCAAUUUAACCUCUUUUUCCCUUCUUUUUUUUUUUUUUUUUGAAAUUUCUUCUAUAAAUAUUUCCAAAUUCAAAUUUCAUCUUGGCCAAAGUCUUGGGACACUUUUUUUAUUAAGAUUUAAAUUUAUAAUCUCAUGGCCAAUUAUUAAUCUAUAAAUUUAAAUACACAAAUCAUCAAAUUAAAAGACAAAUUGGCUAAGGCAUAAGCCAAAAGAAAUUCUAUCACCUAAUUAGGAACUUCAACUCACCUUAUGGCUUGUCAUUAAAUUUGGGAUGCCACACUUCUAGGGUUCAUAACCCCUCUCUUCAUUAGUUUUGAAUAACUUUCUUAUGAUCCUUUGACCGGAAUAGACUCACUCUAUCACUACUCACAUUUGCAGCCACUCCCAUCCUAGGCUAGAAAUGUGUGAACAUUCUUUCACCAUCGUCCUUUCCUUCUGGCUAAUUAAAAGUGCCAAAACGAGGGUCACUAGGAAAGUUGGCAAAGGCCUUUUCAGCCAUGCCCAACUUCUCCAUAUUGCGGAAAAAUAGAGUUUCAUUCUUGUAGCUUCUCUCUCUUAAAAACGCAUCGAUCAAAGACAUAGUAGUCCCUCCUUCUUUUAACUUAGAAUAAAGUUUAAAAGCAACUUGAGGUCUCACCGUUCUUACAGGUUCAAUUUCUUCAAUUAUUUCUUUUUUUGGUUAAGUCGGUGGAGGAGACUGACGCUGUUGAGAAGAUUGUUGUUAACUUGGUCGCGGCUGAUGAAAAGAAUCUUCUUCCUCAAUCAAGUUGAAGUGCAUAGGACCCUCAGGCAUGUGCUAUGAUCUCCUGCUUACGAUUUGGAAGACUUUCUUGAAGACAUUGUCACUUUAUGGGAGAAAUCUCGAACUUGAUCGCCAAAAAGGUGAGAACUUUUUUAUAUAAAUUAGAGAGAAAGUGAGAGCAAGUGGGAUUUUUUUAUUCUAGGGUUUGAGAGUGAGAACGAAGAAGACGAAUCUCGACAGUAUAUAAAGCAAAUGAAGCAGGAUAAACGAAUCGUCAUAAAGGAAAAAGUAAAAACUUCAUUUUAAAAAUGAAAAACUACCCCUUUUGGAAAAUGAAUAACUGCCUUUUCGAAAAUGAAAAAACUGCCUUAAAUUAAAAGCUUGAAAAGACAAUUUCUAAAAAUACAACAAUCAAUUAGCGAUUGAAAAGUAACCGUACCAUUUCAAAAAUAUUAUCCUCAAAUUUAAAUUACUUGUAAAGAAAAAUAACAAUCUUACAGUCGUAACUUGGUUGCUCUAAGUUUGAACACUUUCAGAUUUUACCUUUGAGUCUGAGAUAAGCUUUUCUCCAGUGGCUUUGUAAAUAUGUCUGCUAGCCGAUUCUUCGAGUCAAUGAACUGUAUUAACACUUCUCCAUUCUAAACAUGAUCUCUAAUAAAAUGAUGUCGGAUUUCUAUGUGUUUUGCUCUUGAAAGAAGAAUUGGAUUCUUUGUGAGAUUGAUGGCACUGGUGUUGUUGCAUUUGAUCUUGGUACAUGAUUUUUCAAUUCCAAAGUCUCUUAGCUGUUGCAUUAUCCAUAAGAUUUGAGAGCAACAGCUUCUAAGAGCUACAUAUUCUGCUUCAACUAUUGAAAGAGUUACGAUACUCUGUUUUUUUGAAAACCAGGAUACUAGCUUGUUUCCAAGCAAUUGACAUGUACCAGAAGUACUCUUUCUGUCCACUUUGCAUCCUGCUAAAUCUACGUCUGAAUAUCCAAUGAGAGUAAAAUCUCCUUCUUUGGGAUACCACAGUCAUUACUUCAGAGUUGUUGCAACGUAUUUGAUAAUGCGCUUUGCAACAGUUAAGUGAGAUUCUUUGGGAUUUGAUUAGAAUCUAGCACAAACGCAAACACUAAACAAAAUGUCAGGUCUAGAUGCGGUAAGGUAAAGAAGUGAACCAAGUAUACUCAUGUAUAGCUUUUGGUCUACACUCUUUCGUUCUUUAUCUUUAUCCAGCUUUGAAGAACUUGAUAUAGGUAUUUCAGCUUUUUUUGCAAUUUUCCAAUCAAAACUUCUUGAUGAGAUCUUUCGCAUAUUUCUCUUGGUGAAUAAAAAUUCCUUCAAUUGUUUGACUUGUAAUCCGAGAAAGAAGGUUAAUCCACCCAUCAUGCUCAUCUUGAAUUCAUUCUGCAUAGACUUAGAAAACUUCUUGCAUAGAUUUUCAUUAAGUGAUCCAAAAAUAAUAUCAUCAACAUAGAUUUGAACGAGUAAAAUUUUUUUACCUUCUCUUUUAAUGAACAAGGUAAUGUCUACUUUACCUUUAUUAAAACCAUUUUGAAUUAGGAUUUUACUUAACCUAUUAUACAAAGCUCGAGGUGCCUGCUUUAAUCCAUAAAAGGCCUUUUUUCAAUCUAAAAACUGAGUCUGGCUUUCUUAGAUCUUCAAAACCAGGUGGCUGUUCCACAAAAACUUCUUCUUGGAUAAAUCCAUUUAAGAAUGCACUUUUUACAUCCAUUUAGAAUAACCUAAACAUUUUAUAGCAAGUAAAAGAAAGUAAUACUCUAAUUACUUCUAACCUCGCUACUUGUGCAUGCGUCUCGUCAUAAUCUAUCAUUUCUUCUUGUGUAUAUCCUUUGGCUACAAGUCUUGCUUUGUUCCUAACCACUUUUCCUUUCUCGCCCAUCUUGUUCUUGAAAUCCCAUUUAAUUCCACUAAUAGACUUACCUUUGGGUUUAGGAAUAAGUUCUCAAACAUCAUUAAUGCUGAACUGUCUGAGCUCUUCUUGCAUGGCUUCAAUCUAGCUUUCAUCAACUAAGGCUUCUUCUAUACUUUUAGGUUCUAUUUCAUAAACAAGUGCUAAAGCACUAGACUCUUCACACCUUUUGGAUCUGGUACAAAUUCUUUCAUCAAUGUUGCCAAUGAUAAGUUCCUUGGGAUGACUUGACUUAUGCUUCCAAUUGCUGGUUGAUUUGUGAGUAUGCUAUUCCUCUGUUUUAGUUGAAUCUUCUGGUUCAUCUUCUUGUUGAACUUCUAAACCACUUCAAGAGAAGUAGACUUUGUAGAAUUUGGAGUAGGUUCAGAUUCUUCAAGUUGAGCCUGAUUCAGUUGAUUCUGCAUUGAGUCUUGGAACUUGACGUUCAUAUAUUCUUCCACAAACUUACUAUUCUUAUUGAAUACUCUGUAGGCUUUGCUUGAAGUUGAGUAGCCAAGAAAAAGUCAUUCGCUCGAUCUUUCUUCAAACUUACCAGUUCGAUCAUUUGCAUUCUUUAAAAUAAAACACUUGAACCAAACACAUGGAAAUAAGAAACAAUUGGCUUCUUUCCUUUGAAUAACUCAUAAAAAGUUUUCUCUAAAAUAAGCCUUAAGAAUACUCUAUUAAUGAUAUAACAAGCUGUAGAAACUACUUCAACCCAAAAACGACGUGAAAUGUUAUUUUCAAUUAAAAGAAUUCUAACAAUUUCUUGCAAAGAUCUAUUUUUUCUUUCCACAACCCCAUUUUUUUUUUUUGGUAAAGGUAAGAAUAGAUUCGCUCGAACCAAAACUAUACAAAAGACCGGGACCAAACAAUCACUCAAGGAGCAUAAAGGUCAAAGAGUGAGAGGGCACCGGUGCAAAAGAAACAACAAAGGAAGAAAAGGCACAACCGCCAACAACAAGGAGGACAAAAAAAACACCAAAGCAGCAACCCUCCAAGACCCCAUCAGCAAGCAGAACGAGAGAAUGGUUGGAGCAUAACAAAUGUAGAGACACUUAGAUAAGGCAUACAACACUAAGAAGAAGAAGCAUCCUCGAAGAUAGAAGGGUCAAACCCCCAGGAUCUUUGGAGUCUUCUAUUCCUUGCGUUGUCCGGCACAUUGUGAAACAAGAGAGCUUUGUCUUUAACCACCCUGAUGAUGUGGUUUUUGAUAGCUGAGAUUACCAAGGCUUCAUCCCGAAAUAUAAUGUUGUUCCUUUUCUUCUAGAUGAGAUGGCAGAUAGCAGCAAACAAAAACCGAGCAACACUAUGGAAGAAAUCCUUACCCAAAAGGAACUUCUUCGCCCAAGAGAGGUUGUCUAGCCAAGGCUUAUUCUGCCAAGGGAGGUUACAUCUAGUGGCCCAAAAAAAAAAAAAAACAAUCGUCGCAGAGACAUGGCAAUCAAAAAACAAGUGGUCAACCGAAUCUGGAACCGUAUUGUAGAAGGCACAAAGGCCAUGAUCAUUUAUUCCAUAAGAAAGAAGAGCUGCCUGAGUGGGUAAACGAUUUUUCAUUAUAAGCCAAAGAUGAAAUUGAAAUCUGGGAGCGAGAGAUCUAUCCCAUAUAAAGGAUGCCCAAUCCACCUGGCACUUUUUAGUACGAAUGAUCUCCCAUGCAGAGCCUACCGCAAAGAUACCAGAAGAGUUACCAUGCCAAUAAAACUUAUCCGGGCUAGAAGAAAGAAUCGGUAAAGCAAGGUGCCACUCCUGCAAUAAAAUCCUUGCAACUUGACCCGCAGGUGACAAAAACUCUGCAACAGAAGCAUGUCUGGAGAGACCAAAUCUUUCAAUAAUGGACUCCAGCAAGAACAGGUUCAAAGGGCCUAGAGGAUUCCACCAGUCGAACCACACGGAGAUAGAAACACCAUUCCCCACUUUCCACCUGAAAAGGGACUGAAAUUCCCUCCUCACUUGAAGGAUCUUUUUCCACCCCCACGAGCAAACUACUGGCUUAGGGGCAACCCAAAAGUUAUCUCUUUUUAAGAAAUUGUUAUGAAUCCACCAACACCAGAGCGAUUCUUUAUCAGUAAACAACACCCAAAUGUAUUUCAACAUUGCCGCCCUGUUGCAAUCACGAAGUUUACGAAUACCAAGACCACCUUCUACUUUAGGUUGGCACACAUCGUCCCAUGAGAAUUCUGCCCCACCCCAAGUAAGAGAUGAGCCUUUCCAUAGAAAUUGUCUUAAAAUAUGCUAUAUUUUUUCUAGUACUAAAACAGGUAAAGUGAAUACACUAGCCCAAUAGGCUUGAAUGGAAUGUAGGACUGACCUUAUUAACUGAAGACGCCCUGCGAAAGAAAGAAAACGAUGUGUCCAUGAUUGGACUCUUGCAGUAAUACGGUCUACCAAAAUUAUACAGUCCGCUUUACCCAACUUAGAAGAGAUAAUCGGCACACUUAGAUAUCGAACCGGUAAAUGUCCCUCCUAGAAACCGAAGGCCCAUAGGAUGUUCCUCCUAAGAGAAGGGGAACUACCGGAAAGAAAGACUUCACUCUUGCUCUUAUUAGGAAACAAACCACUCCAGGAGGAAAAGAUAUCUAGUGAUCUCUUGAGCAUCGACACCGAAGGCCAAUCCGCCUGGCUAAACAAGAAUACAUCAUCGGCGAAAAACAAAUGUGAUAGCUUAACCGGUUUGCAUCUCCAGUAAAACUUAAACUCCACGUAUGAAGUGCGGGCAUCCAAAUGCCAGAGAAUAUUUCCAUUACCAACGUAAAUAAGUAAGGGGACAUAGGGUCCCCCUGUCGAAUCCCCCGAGCGGAGGGGAAGAAACCAUGCAAUUCACCAUUAAUAGAAAUAGAGAACUUAGGUGUUCGUACACAAAUCAUAAUCCUACUAAUGAUCCAAGGAGGAAAACCAAAAGCACCAAGGGUGAGCUCCAAAAAGUCCCAAUCGACUCCACAACCCCAGUAAAUGGAGAAAAGAAAAUAUGCUGAAAACCAAAGUCAUCACAAAAUUUUGCAAAGUCUUGAUUUUCAAACUUACCUCAAUGGUCUAUCUUAAUACUUGAAAUAAUAUAUCCUUUUUCAUUCUGAACUUUCUUUGCAAAUUUUGAAAAAUAAGAAAAUGUUUCAAACUUACUUGCCAAGAAGUAUAUUCAUAUAAAACGAGAAUAAUCAUCCACGAUUACUAGACGAUAUCUCUUUCCACCAAUAUUUUGAGUUCUAGUUGGUCCAAAGAGAUCCAAAUGCAUAAGCUGCAAAACUCGAUUAGUAGAAACUUUAUUUAUUGGUUUAGAAGAACUUCUAGCAUGUUUUCCCAAAACACAUGGUGUAUCAGGCUUUUGAUACGUCAAGUUGGGCAAUCCACAAACAAGCUUCUUAGUGGAGAUCUUGGCGAUUUGCUUCAUAUUGACAUGGCCAAGUUUUCUAUGCCAGAGAUUUGCUUCAUCUUGAAUAGAUAUUAAACAUCGAGAACUUUCUGAUUUUAUAUCCAGAAGAUAAAUAUUCCCUUGUCUUCGUCCAGUAAAAGAUUGAGACAAAUCUUUACUAGUUCCCGAACAAAUGCCUUCUUGGAAGUUAAUUUUGAAUCCAGUGUCACACAAUUGACUGAUGCUGAGUAGAUUAUAAUUCAAUCCUUCCACCAAAGAGACAUUGUUGAUUGUAAGACUUCCGAUUUUCAUAGUUUAAUAUCCAACAAUUCUUCAUUUACUGUUUCCACUAUAAGAAAUUUUUCCUCCAUUAAUUUGCAUGAGUUUUAUAAAACAACUUGAAUCUCAUGUUAUGUGUCUCGAGCAACCACUAUCCAUAUACCACUUAAUCUUUUUCUUGAUAGUAACUUGAUUUUAUAAAAAGAACUCAAGUUUUUUUUGGUACCCACAUUUUCUUGGGUCCAAGGGAGUUGGUACGAAAUAAAAUCUUUGCCCAUUCCUUCUUAACAGGUCUCCAAACCAUAGGACUUUAUUUCUCAAAAUGUUCUGAGCUAUUACACUUUGAACAUAUGAGAGUACUUUGGCCAACGGGUUUUACAAAAACUCUUUGAAAAUGAUUUUUGUAAAAUGUUUUUGUAGGUUUUUGUUUAAUUCUUUCAUUUACUUUUAGAAAAUCAAUUAAAGAAAUAGUUUAUGGUGUCACACCCAGACCAGAUUUGUUGAAAUACGGUUUUUGAAUUGAAAGAAUCUUUUCCAACUUUUUAGAUCAUAUUGAAAACCUUUUUGUAAUAUUUGAAAUAUCAUCUUUCAAUAAUGUGUUUUCCUUUGAAAUAGAGUAUGCAUUUUCUUUUAAAACAACAAAAAAUUUAUCUAGAUUUUCAAACUUUUCUUUUAAAAAGAUUUAUUUUUAGUUCAGUUUAGAAUUUUCCCUUUUUAGCUCAGAGAUACUUUUAAGAGAGGUUUUGAGACUAAGACAAAGUUCAUCUAUGUACUUCAAAAUUUUAGCAGGAAUUUUUAAAUUAGGGCAGGUUUGGCAACGUGCCAAAUAGUGCCUGAUUCUGAUUUUUUGUUCCAAGAAUUAGUUUGGGAUGAGAAUCGCGUUUGGUAAAAUUUUUGUUCCUGGGAAUAGAUUGGGAAGAGAAUUAAGAAAAAAAAAAUGUGAUUCUCCGUCCAAGAAUCAAAAAAAGAAUCAAAACAGUGAAAGUCUCAUUCUUCCCUUUCGACAUCCCGCGAUUGCCAUCCACCGCCGCCCGCCGCUGCCGUCCGCUGCCGCUGCCGUCCAUCGCCGAUCGCCAUUCGCCGAUCCGGCAAGCUCGCCGGAGGCUCGCUAGGCCAGGGCGAGGUCCAGUGAGCUCACCAGAGGUAAGCCUAGCCAUCGGCGGGGCUCGGCCUCCCCUAGCCCCCUAGCCCCACCGAGGCUUGCCUGGCCACCGGUGAGGCUCGCACAACCUCAUCAGUGGCCAAGCCGGCCUCGCCCAGCCCCGACGAGGCUAGCUUGGCCACCGGCGAGCCUCGCCGGGGCUUAGCCUCACCAGAUCUGGCAAGGCUGAGCCUCGACGGGGCUGGGCAAGCCUCUCCGAGUUGCCGGUGACGCUCUAGUGAGCAUCGCCAGACCGGUGACCGACCACAUGAAGAAGAAGAAGAAUAGGAAAAAAUGGAGAAAAAAAAGGAAAAAAGAAAAAAAAAAGUAAAAUAGUAAAAAAAUUAUUUAACAAUUAAAAGAAAUUAAUUUGGAAGCACGGUAUCAAACGCAAUUCUAUUCCAGAAUCAAAAAUUUUGGACAGUUACUAAACACGUUUUUUUACUCAAAAUCAGUUAUCGGGAACAUAAUAAAAAAUAAUCAUUUCUAGUCAAAAUUAGCUCCCGAGAACAAUAGUUGGCCAUUAAAUAGUUGGCCAUUAAAUAUAUGCUUCCUUACUAACCUUGAUUUCACCGUCUAAGUCUAAGUCUGAAUCUGUUCCAAAAUUUGAGUCUGAUUCUGAGUUUGCCAUUAAAUAUAUGUUGGCAUACUUUUCAUCACUUUCCUCACAUUUUGUAUCACUCCAUGUCUCUGCUUUGAGAGCCUUCUUGAAUUUCUCAAUUCUUGCUUUCUUUUUCUUCAACAUAGGGCAGUUAGGUCUGACGUGUCAUUUUUUCUUACAUUCAAAACAGACCACAUUUAUGUUAACCUUGUCAUCUUUAGUUGAUUUAUUCUAAAAUUUUUGAGUGCCUUGCUUUUUCCAAUUAAAUCUUCUUCCCUUUUUGUUCAGUUUCCUGAAUCUCCUUAUCAUGAGUGCUAGUAGGGGUGAGCGGUUCCCGAUUCCGGUUCGGUUCCGUCUGGAACCUAGAACCUACCCUCGGGUACAGGUUCCUCAAUUUUUGGAACCUAGAAUCUACUCAUCAAAACCGAGAACCUGGAACCUACCCUGUCACAGGUUUCGGAAUCAGUUCCAAGUUCCAACAGGUUUUUUAUUUUAUUUUGGUUUCAUUUUCGUAGUGAGCGCGAAUAUCCAAAAGCUGAAAUAAUUCAAUAGUUGGCCCUCCAUUUUCGGUACCUGCCAAUACACAGCAAUGUGAAUUUUUUACAUUUAGACGGUCAGCUCUACUUCCAAUUUGCUCCACACUCUAAUACAAAAUCAAAGAGAUUCCUCAGAAGGGGAAAAGGUAGAUUUUAAGAGUGAUAUGACAAUGACACAUACACGUUGGCCAGAAAAAAAAAGAUAAGCAACACAUACAGCACAUGCCUAUCAGAGAAAAUCUAUAUCCUCAUUUCUAUCAAGACUCCUUGAGUAAAAUUGUCUCGUGGCUAAUUCUUAAGAUACAAGCCAGAGAAAUCCUAAGACAGAAAAUGCACAAGAGCCUAUGUUUACAAACAAGAAAAACCGUCCGAAAGCAAUAACAAAUUUGAUCUGGCAAUAAGAAUGAAUAUGCAUGAUAGCAAAGCCCAGUAGAAGGCUAACAUGAAAAAUCCAUUUACCUCUUCCCCAGAGACAUAUACUACUGGAGCCGAUCUCCCAAGAUCAUGCCCUUUAGCAAUCAUUGCAGCCAUCUUCCAGUAUUAAUAUAUGAGAUGGACAAGGUAGGGCACAAUGGUUAGACAGGGAGGUAGAUAUAUACAGAACUUAAAAUAUUUUAUGAAUUUCUAUUGUAUCAUGUAAGUACAUUACCUGCAGCAACAGGGUACUCUUGCCAACACUAGGAUCACCUCCCACCAAAAUUAAGGAACCUUUAGAGCCACAAUGCAGCAAAAUCAAUAGCUUUGAUAAAAUUAAAAUCUUCAAACUUCCAUACAUCUCAAGUGAAAGUUCAAGUAAUGCAGUAGAUUCGUGCGGACCAUACAGCAAAAAAAUAGGUCAAACCUGGCACAAGACCACCGCUUAGCACUCUCGAAACCUCCUCUCCAAAGGGUCCAUACCUAAACAUCAAGCACCCAAAGAGAUCAUUUACUUUAAGGAAUUAGGGCGACAUGCCAUCUGAUUUAUCGAGCCGCGAGCAAGGUUCGCGAAGCCCGGCCACCGGCACUUCGCCAUCGAAUCGUUCGUGGCCAGAUCGAUCUUCGAGGGAAGGUCCGGCAACGGGGGCCAAAAACACGAGUCUCACGGCACCAACGGUGGCACAAAAAAGUGCGGUGAAGACGGGGGGCAGUCGCGGCUCAACCCCCCGGCCCAGGGGGGGAAAAGCUUUGUUUCUUGGGGGAGGCGGUGGGGGUGGGGGGUUCGAAAGCCAACCACAGCCCCGGAAGGCAAAACAAGGCGGGGGCAAAAGGUGGUGAAGGGGGGUUGGAAAACAAUGGNNNNNNNNNNNNNNNNNNNNNNNNNNNNNNNNNNNNNNNNNNNNNNNNNNNNNNNNNNNNNNNNNNNNNNNNNNNNNNNNNNNNNNNNNNNNNNNNNNNNGAAUUAUGACCGGAACCGAGAACCCUGGUUCCUAGAAAAAUGGAACCGGUGUCUUCGGAACCGGGAACCAAACCUAACCCUCUGGUUCGGUUCCCCGGUUCCGGGUUCUACCCGGGAACCGUGCUCACCCCUCAGCGCUAGCUCUUUAUCAUCCAUGUCAUCAUCAGAAUUUGUAUCAUCAGAAUGAUCGUUAGAUUUUAAAGUAAUUGACUUCUGACCUUUGAGAUCUUCUUCUUCAGGAGUUGCUCCACUUCGUCAGAUUGAAGUGUGCCUACAAGAUCAUCAACUAUAAGAGGCAUGAUCCUUUGGGUUUCUCUUGUGGAAGUUUUCACAUGAUUCCAAUCUUUGAAGAGUCAACGCAACAGUUUAUUGACCUUCAUUGGUCCUGAGAUUGGAUGUCCCUGAUAUGAUAGACCAUUCACAAUUUCUGUGAAACGACUAAAUAUUUCAGUAAUAAAUAGUUUCAUCUUGAAGACUUCGUACUAUCUGAACAAGAUAUUAAUUUUUGUUUCUUUAACUCGAUCAGUUCCUUCAUAGGUAACAUGCAACCUAUCCCAAAAUUCUUUGGCUAUUUCAUAAGAUGAAAUUCUGUUAUACUCAGUAGGAGAUAAAGCACAGUAAAAAGAGUAGAUUGCUUUAGCAUCAAGAGCUUAUCUCUUGGUUAUUUCUUCUUGUGCCAUUUCGCCAGCUUCUACAACUUAUUUUCCUCUUUCUGACACUGAUGUAGCUUUAGAAAUAAUUCAUUUUUCUACCGCAUCUCAUUCCAUGGAAUCUUUCGAUCUUAGGAAUGCAUUCAUCUUAUUUUUCCAAACAUUGUGUUCCUUUCCAUUAAAGUAAGGAGGUCUGGUGUUGCUUUGACCUCCAACCAAACCUAGAACCAAAAUACUAGCCAUAGAUUUAUAGCUCAUAAGUAAAAACACUUCAAUAAAAUGGGCACACAAUCUCUGAUGCCAAUUGAAAGAGUUAGUAAGAUCACCUAGAUGGGGUGAAUAGGUGAUAAUGUAAUUUUUACGAAACUUCAAAAUAAUUUGCAAGCAACAUGGACAGCAAUGAACAAUUAUAUGAAGUUGUAAAUUAAAGUAAGGAGUUUAGGGAUAAGAGAACGAAAACAUAAUGUUUAUAGUGGUUCGGCUUAGAUCAAGCCUACGUCCACUUUCCCGUGCUGACAACCCACUGGCCGGAUUUCACUAGGAAUCAAAAGAGAUGUUACAGUCACACGUCUUGGACUUUAUAGUGUAGAGACUCUACUGCACUUUCUCAAAGUCUCACAAGUAUUUUAUCUCUCUUUUGAGUACAAGUAAAGCUCAAUGAUUGAUAUAUCAAAGAACUAAGAAGUUUCAGAUUUUGAAAUUUUUCUCACACUCAUGAAUAACCAAAGAGUCGUCCUUAAAUACUCCUCAAUGCCUUUACGACCGUUGACACUUACCAAAGGAGUUCUUUCAAUCUUCUCGUUGGACAUAAUCAAUUAAUGAUAUCUUGAGUCGUUUAAGGAAUGUGAUGAUAGCCCAUUAAUCAUGUUCACCCAUACAAUCAGGAUCUUAGUUUCCAUAAGUAGAACUUUUCAAGUAUACUUCGCCAUUCAAAAGAUUUGCGUAUCGAAAUUGAUCCAACAAAUAUAAGUAGAUGCUAUAUCCAGCCAUAAGGUCUUUCCAAAAUCAUACAAACCGAAUCCCUUGAAGAUAAAUUCGCAUUUGAUUAAGUCUUCAAUCUUCGGUUUGGAAACUAUCAAUGAGGGCAGACUUUGAGUCUUGAGUCUGGCGGUCUUCAGACUUUGACGACGGAGUCUUGAAAUCUUCAAACUAGACUGAUGAAAACGUUUUGUCAACUUCAAAACAAUAAAGGAGUUUUCUCCAACACAUCCCAAACAUCCAUUAGGAUUGAUGGUAAAGUGAGCCUAAUUCUACUUGUAGAUUGCAAGAUUAAUAUGUAUCUGUCGUACUCUCACAUCUAGAUCUUAGCUUACUCAAACAUCUCUUUGUUACCAGUUCUCAAUGAUGAAACUUGGGUUUUUUUUUUUUUUGCUUUUCUGUACUUAUUUUUUCGAUCUCGAUGGUGCCAACAAAGGUAUAAUUUUUGUCUUUGGCAUAAACAAAACGAGCACUAGGAAAAUAUUAGGCAACAACGUAGGCUAUUAAGCAAUACAAACACUUUAUAACACAAACAAUCACCCCAUGAGCAACAAUCUGAAGAAUGACAAGGGCCAAUUCCACCUUUAUUCUCCCUCUCACUAAAUGAGACUGUUCAAAACUCCGAACAAUCUUACUUUUGAGAUAAGUGGUCUAUAAAUUUUGAACCUAUGUGUAAUGUCCUACCAAUACUUUUAGGGUGAGUUUGGUUCAGUAUUCCUAAUGAACUUUUAGCCUCCAAAGCCCCUUAGGGAAAUAUUGGACCAUUUGAUAACCAUUUUGAACAAGCUUUCAAGUGAAAGUCAGUAUUGGGAAAACUGAAAACCCAAUACUAGUGAGGACUAGUAUUGAGCUUUCAACAUUUGGUCAAAUGCUUAAACUUAUUUCUUUUUCCAAAACUAUCAUCACUCAUUUUUCAAGUUCUUUAUUUUGCCCUUGUUAUUAUUUUUUGUUUAAUAUCCAAAUAAUGCUAAAAAAUUAAAUUUACAUAAAUGCUAAAAAAAUUAAAUAUAUUUUGGUCUUUUUAAAAAAAUAUUUUAUAUAUUUGAUUUUUUAGCAUUAUUGUCGAAAUUUAUAUUUAAAAAGUUGCAUACAUUAUUUUUUUCAAUUUUAAAAAAAUAAAAAUUAAAAAAUUCCGAAGAUGGGUUUGUUUUUUUUUUUAAAAAAAUUAUAUAUAUAUUUGAUUUUUUAGCAUUAUUUUCAAAUUUAUAUUUAAAAAUUUACAUAUAUUAUUUUUUCAAAUUAAAAAAAUAAAAAUUAAAAAAUUUUGACGACGGAUUUGAUUUUUUUAGCAUUUUUGUCAAAAUUUAUAUUUAAAAAGUUGUAUACAUUAUUUUUUUCAAUUUUAAAAAAUAAAAAUUAAAAAAUUACAAUGAAGGGUUUGGUCCUUUUUUUAAUAUAUAUAUAUAUAUGUAUGUAUUUGAUUUUUUAGCAUUAUUGUCGAAAUUUAUAUUUAAAAAGUUGCAUACAUUAUUUGUUCAAUUUUAAACAAAGAAAAAUUAAAAAAUUUCGACGAAGGAUUUGAUCUUUUAAACAAAAGUUAUAUAUUUGUAUUUGAUUUUUUUAUAGCAUUAUUGUCAAAAUUUAUAUUUAAAAAGUUACAUACAUUAUUUUUUUUUCAAUUUUAAGCAAAUAAAAAUUGAAAAAUUCUGAUGAAGUGCUUGGUCUUUAAAAAAAUAUUAUAUAUGUAUUUAAUUUUUUGACUAUUAUUGUCAAAAUUUAUAUUUAAAAAGUUGCAUAAAUUAUUUUUUUCAAUUUUAAACAAAUGGAAUUUAAAAAAUAAUAUUAUUCACCUAAAGGGCUUUUCAAAUGUGUUUUCUAUCAAACGGUAUUUCUUUCAAAGUUGCUUCUCAAAGCAUAGUUUACCAAACAACAUUUAUAUUUGCCUAAAGUCCUUUAGGCUAACCUACUUUGCAUUUUCUCAAUGGGUUUUCAAAAUGCUGAACCAAACGCACAUUUAAUUUGUUCAAUGUAAUUCAUGAACUUUAACCUAGUGUGUACUAUCAUCCCUAAACUUUUAAAUUAAUUCAAUGUGAUUCAUGAACUUUUAAUACACAUUCAAUCUAGUCCAUAAAUUAUAUAAAAAAAUUUUAAUAUUGUCAUUCCGUUAAUUCAAGUUCAUUGAUAAUAUUGAACUUUUCUCUAUAGUUUAGGGACUUGAUUAAAUAUGUACAAAAAAUUUUAUACGCAUUGAAUAAAUUAAAGGUUUAGGGAUAACUAUAGUGCAUUGAGCUAAAGUUCAUAGACUAUUUAUGUAUUUAUCCCUUUUUGCAAAGCAUUACACGAUAUAAAUUACAUUCCUCAUGCAGAUUAUGCAUUCAACUUGAAAACAAUGCUAAUAUUGCAAACAACCAGGUCCAUCCCAAAGCAAUUAUUGAGCGAAAGGAACGGGCUAAAUGAGCAACUAGUCUUUGAUUUCAACCCUCGAUUCGUAACCUUUCAUCAACUUGUUCGGGAUACAUUUCCCUUGAAUGAAGGGAAUGACCUCAAAUGGUCUUAUGAACCACAUAACCCCUUCAUCUUAUCUUCGGACUUUUUGUAAAGGAGACCAUUGUUGUGACCUAAAUUUCGAGUGCACCACCUAAAAUUAGGUUAAUGGACUACUAAGUCUGACUUAGGUCAGGCUCUCUCAGGCCUAUACCAAUUCGCGACUUAGGUUCAAAUAUUUAGCAUGCAAAAAGGAGUCGCCACUAAUUAAUUUAGUAUAAGUCGAUUAGACACCCAAGUAAAAUAAUUAGAGAAUUAUUUUACUUCUAUAAACCAGAGACUUUGGGUACGGGAAUUUGAUUACACUAAACUUUUAUAAUGCCCUUUAAGUACAUUUUUUCUUUUUAUUUCGAAAAAAAUGUUUUGCAAGCAAAUUGAAUUAAUUUUAAUUCACUUCCCUAACAUGUGAGGUGAUCAUGCAGGUGUGCAAAUCACCAAUUUAACACCUAAGAAAGCAAAUAAAAAAAUGCAAUGUUGUUAGAUCAGAAUUCAUAUCAACGGUCCUAGAUAUGAUUUCUAAUUAAUACGCAAUCACUCAAUUUUUGUUUUUACUUAUUUAAUGAGAAUUUGAUCUACAUGCAAUGCAAUGUUACUAAUCUAGUAUGAAAUGAUAUGGCAUGGCAAUAUAACCUAAGCUAUAUGACAUAAGUAAAGUAAUUUCUAAAGAAAUGCAAUAAUUAAAUGUGCAAUCUAAAUUAACCAAAUGACCUAAUUCUAAUGACGGCCAAUUUCUAAUCAAAUGGACCUAGCAACAAUUUCAUGAACCUAAUUCUAGAUGACAUAUGCAUGAUUUUUUUUUUUGUAUUUUUAUAAAAAUUCGAAAUUAAAAAUUGAUAAAAAUAAAAAUCUACCUAAAGCAAGAUAUUAUCUAAUUUAAGUUAAGAUUAUGAAUCCUAUCUUAACUUAGAAAAUUAUCUCAUCAUGCAAUUUAAUCCCAAAAAAAAAAAUAUUAUCUAACCUAGAUACUACAUGCAUUUUUAAAAAAAACUAUUCUACCAUGCAACUUUAUCUAGGAAAUCAAUUCUAAUCAACAUGAUAUGCAAAUGCAAUUUUUUUUUUUUUGUAUUUUCGAAAUAAAUAAAACAAUUAAAAGAUAAACACCAAAUCAUCCAUGGUCAUCAAAAAUAUUAUCCAUUGUUCGAAUUUGGAAACGAUAUUGAUUAUUUCGCUAAUAAAAUCGAUAAAUUGAUUUUAAGUCUUAAAGAUCAAGAUAUCAAUUUUAUUCCCACGCAAUUAAUUAUUCCAUCUAAAGCCUUAUAGAUGGAAGAAAAAAAUUGAUGUGCGGUUGCGGAUUAGGCCAUAAAUCAUAAUUAGGAAUAUGCCGAUAAUUCAAAUAUGCACAUAAGAAAUUGAAAAGCAUAUAUUAGGCAAUAAAAUAUCCUAAUCAAAUUUAGAUAAGAUAAUUGCCUAAUUUCGUAAAUAAUGUUACCAAAUUUGAAUCAAAUGGAAUCCACUCAACGGAUGACUUGGCGAUCAGCUUCUCGGCGUGUCAACGGUGAUGGUUCAUGGAUGAUUUGCAAGAUCACAUAGGGACUCAUGGCUCGGGACUAGAACAGCUUCAUCAUCAAUGAUGCAUGAUGAUGGGUCCCUGAUUUGCGACUUGAUCACGCUUCAGGGACGGCGUGACGAAGGGCCUGGUUCACGGGGGUGCAGCAGGCAAAGGGUUCCGUGCGGGUCACGGACAGCGGUGGUUCAAUGACAGGCUGUUGGUCGUCUCGGCGGGCCUUCUCCUUUGGCACUUUCUGCAUGUUGAAAUCGUCUCCGAGGGUGUAGGGAAGCUCUCUCCUCUAUCUCCAAGUUUUCCUCCUUUGGCCUUUUCUUUUUUAUUUGCAGGACAGCGGAUAAGGUGUCCAUGAACGUGGAUCUUCACAGUGGUCAAGAAAAGCUCAUGAAGACUUCAUGAAUCAUAACUUUCGAAUGUGUUGGGCUUCUCAAUCGUGAAUUGUGUAUUCCUCUGAGAAGGAAAAUCCUCCCUUUCGUCUUUUUUUUUUUAAUUCUUUUCCCUCUAACUUUCUCUCUCUCCCUUCCCCUCACGUCCUCACCUUAUCAGAAUGAGGACAAAGUCCAUUGUUGACCUUGAAUUGGGUUUUGCGGACACGAACUGGAACACAGGGCGGGUAGGGACGUGGUGCUCCUCGCUGGACGGGACUUGCGGGCGUCACUGGAUGACCUGUGGACUGAAAAUCAUUAGAAUUGCUGUGGGGUCUUGCUUGGAGGCUGCGAAGGUCGUCGAAGACUGAUGCGUCACUGCAGCGGACAAUCGGCAGCAGGGUUAGCAUUGAGGGGCAGCCACGAACUCAGCAAAGUCGCGGCCGUGAAGCGGUCUCGACCAUGACUCCUUCAGCUCCCUCUCUUUCACGUAUGUUUUCUAUAUUGUGGCUGUAUAGUCAAUGUGUGGCUCCCCCAAAAACCCUAGGUGUUUUACCUUUUUAUAGGCCAUAGAUUAGGGUUUUAAUUUUUCCAAAUCAAUAUCCACGAAGAUUUCUUUUCCGAACAUAAUAUUUGUUUUUGAUACAAUUCAGGAUUACAAGAGGAUUUUUCUGAAAUUUCAAAUCCUACAAAGUUGAGCUCGCAAUAUUUUUUGUCACGCUUGCCCUAUCCGAAGAUAUUAAAAAAAAAAUCCCCCAACAUAUCCCGGAAAAAUUCAAAAUAUCUAUUUUUCAUGAGAUAAUUUUCGACCAUUAAAAAAAAGGGGCUUGGGCCAAUUUGCUCACUUUGUGGGCUUAACCUGGCCUGUCAAUUUAAAGCUAAGAACAAUCAAUUCAAACCCAUUCAUCACCAGCCCAAUGCAAAUGUAAUAAUAAUAAAUAAAUACAUCUAAAAUUAUAUAUUAUACAAUUAAUUAAUUUUUUUGUAGGGGUAAAAUUUGUUGGAGAAAUCUUCGUGAAGUGUUUUGAAGCUGACAAAACUUUUCUGUUAGUCUAGUCUGAAGAUUUGCAAACUCUACUAUUUAAAGUCUGAAGACCUCCGAACUGCCAGACUUAAGACUCAAAGUCUAUCCUCAUUGACAGUUUCUAAUUCGUUGAAGAAGGUCUAUCCAGAACUGGAUGUUUCAUUAAGGAUGUGACCUUAUCGACUGGAGAAUAUCUCUUUGCUGGAUAUGACAUAACGGAAUCUUUUAUUUGAUCAUGAUUGAUUCGAAGGUUAAGGAUCCGAUGAUUGGCGAAGUAUACUUGAAAGGUUCUACUUAUGGAAACCAAGAUCCUAAUCGUAUGGGCGAGCAGGAUUGAUGGGCUAUUGACAUGUUCCUUUAAUAGCUCGAAUGAUCUUCCUAAUUGAUUCCGUCCAACGGAUAAAUUGGAGGAAUUCCUUUGAUAAGUGCCAACGGUUAUGAUGCAUAAAGAAGUAUAUAAGGAAGACGUUCCAGUUGUUCGAGUGUGUGCUCGAUAGAAGAAUUCUAAAGUCUGAAGCUCCUUGUUCUUAGUCAAUUCAUUUGUAGAGCGAAAUCUUGUACGUAAAAGAGAGUCUGUACGCGUGAGAAACCUUGAGGAAGUGUGGUAGAAUAUCUACACUGUGGAAUCAAGGGAGAGCUUUGCUGUAACAUCUCUUUUGUUCAUAAGGAAAUCUAGCCGGUAGGCUGUCAGUGUGGAAGAGUGGACGUAGGCUUGGAAUAAGCCGAACCACUAUAAAUUUUGUGUUCAAUUUUCUCUUCCCUACUCUCUGCUUUACUUUUAUCGUAAUUCAUUUUGUUAACCAAAUGAAAACUUCCUUUCUAUUGUCUGCUUAAUAUUGCUUGCAUAUCACGAAAAAUUAUUAUACACCUAUUCACCCUCCUCUAGGUGCUUAUACUAGCUAUCUCAAUUGGUAUCAGAGCUUGUGUACUCACUUUGUUUGAAGUGUUUUACUUCAGAGUUAAAGAUCCAUGGCUAAUAUGUUAGCUCCAAGGCUAGUAGAAGGGCAAAGCAAUACCAGACCGCCUUACUUUGAUGGAAAGGAGUACAACAUAUGGAAAAACAAGAUGAAAGCCUUCCUAAGAUCAAAGGAUCCUCUGGAAUGGGACGUUGUAGAAAAAGGAAUCAUUCCUAUAGCUGCAUCUGUCUUAGAGAGAGGAAAAGAAGCUGUUGAAUCUAGUGAAAUGACUCAGGAAGAGAUAAUCAAGAGACAAGCCUUUGAUGCAAAAGCAAUUUAUUCUUUAUAUUGUGCUUUGUCACCUACUGAAUAUAACAGAAUAUCUUCUUGUGUUACAGCGAAAGAAGUUUGGGAUAGAUUACAUAUUAUCUAUGAAGGAACUGAUCGAGUGAAAGAGAGCAGAAUCAACAUACUCCUCGGUCAAUACGAAGCCUUCAAAAUGAAAUCAGGAGAAUCUAUAACUGACAUGUUUAGUCGUUUUACAGAAAUCAUGAAUGGUCUUGAAAAUCAAGGUCAAUCAAUUUCUGAUCCCAUGAAGGUAAACAAGCUACUGCGUGGACUCUCGAAGGAUUGGAAUCACAUAAAGACCUUAAUCAGAGAGACACAAAGAAUCAUGCCACUAUCAGUCGAUGAGUUGGUUGGAACUCUUCAGUCUUAUGAAGUGGAAUGAAUCAAUGAAGACGAAGACCCUAAAGGUAAGAAAUCCAUUGCAUUAAAAUCCAAUGAUGAUUCUGAUGUUACAAAUUCUGAAGACGAUAUGAAUGAUAAGGAGCUUGCUCUCAUGAUAAGAAGAUUCAGAAAGCUGAACAGAAAAUGAAGAAGAUUCAAUCCAAAGAAACAGAGUUUUCAAAAGCAACAGACUAAAUCAGUUGAGGAUGAUAAAUCAAACAAAGAUGUAGUCUACUUUGAAUGUAUAAGAUAUCCAUAUUUGUUUGAGUAAUAUUUUGCAGGUCAAAGUUAUCCAAAUCUGCAAGAAAGUUUUGUCACCAUCAAAAAGGGGGAGAUUGUUGGAGAAAUCUUCGUAAAGUGUUUUGAAACUGACAAAACGUUUCCAUCAAUCUAGUCUGAAGAUUUGCAAACUCUACUAUUUAAAGCCUGAAGACUUUUGGAUUGCCAGACUCAAGACUCAAAGUCCUCAUUGACAGUUUCUAAUCCAUUGAAGAAGGUCUAUCCAGAACUGGAUGCUUUAUUAAGGAUGUGACCUUAUCGACUGGAGAAGAUCUCUUAGCUGGAUAUGACAUAACGGAAUCCUUUAUUUGAUCAUGAUUGAUUCGAAGGUUAAGGAUCCGAUGAUUGGCAAAGUAUACUUGGAAGGUUCUACUUAUGGAAACCAAGAUCCUAAUUGUAUGAGCGAGCAGGAAUGAUGGGUUAUCGACAUGUUCCUUUAAUAGCUCGAAUGAUCUUCCUAAUUGAUUCCGUCCAACGGGUAGAUUGGAGGAAUUCCUUUGGUAAGUGCCAACGAGUAUGAUGGCAUAAAGGAGUAUAUAAGGAAGACGUUCCAGUUGUUCGAGUGUGUGCGCGAUAGAAGAAUUCUAAAGUCUGAAGCUCCUUGUUCUUAGUCAAUUCAUUUGUAGAGCGAAAUCUUGUACGCAAAAGAGAGUCUAUACUCGUGAAAAACCUUGAGGAAGUGUGGUAGAAUAUCUACAUUGUGGAAUCAAGGGAGAGCUUUGCUGUAACAUCUCUUUUGUUCAUAGUGAAAUCCAGCCGGUAGGCUGUCAGUGCGGAAGAGUGGACGUAGGCUUGGAAUAAGCCGAACCACUAUAAACCUUGUGUUCAAUUUUCUCUUCCCUACUCUCUGCUUUACUUUGAUCGUAAUUCGUUUUGUUAACCAAAGGAGAACUUUCUUUCUAUUGUCUGCUUAAUAUUGCUUGCAUAUCACGAAAAAUUAUUAUAAACAUAUUCACCCCCCCUCUAGGUGCUUAUACUAGCUAUCUCAAAAUUAACCCCUGAUUUUUUAAUGCGAUAAACAACUAAACGAGUCACCAAAAUUUAGGUGUCAACAACCAUCACAUGUUGCUAUAUGACUUUUUGUAAAUAAGCAACAAAAGUCUUCAAUAUUGACCCCCAAUUUGUAAUCUUUCAUCAACUUGUUUGUUGCUGUCAUAAUUUAUGAAUGUAUACAUUUCCCUAGAAGGAAGGGAAUGGCCUCAAACGGUCUUAUGAACCACAUAAACCCUUCAUCUUAUCUUCCUAAAGGGGGACCUUUUGUGAAGGGGACCAUCACGUGUUGCUACAUGACCUUUUGUAAAUGAGCAAUCAAAGUCUUCGAUUACGAUCCCUGAUUCGUAACCUUCCAUCAACUUGUUUCCUACUGUCACAACUUAUGAAUGGAUACAUUUUCCUAGAAAGAAGGGAAUAACCUCAAACGGUCUUAUGAACCACAAAAGCCCUUCAUCUUAUCUUCCUACAUAAGGACCUUUUGUGAAGGAGAUCAUCACAUGUUGCUAUAUGACUUUUUGAAAAUGAGCAACAAAAGUCUUCGAUUUUUUACCCCUGAUUUGUAACCUUUCAUCAACUUGUUUGAUGCAGUCAUUUCCCUAGAAGGAAGGGAAUGACCUCAAACGGUCUUAUGAACAUAAGUCCUUCAUCUUAUCUUCCUAUAGGGGAACCUUUUGUGAAGGGGAUCAUCACAUGUUGCUACAUGACCUUUUGUAAAUGAGCAAUCAAAGUCUUCGAUUACAACCCAUGAUUCGUAACCUUUCAUCAACUUGUUUCCUGCUGUCACAACUUAUGAAUGGAUACAUUUCCCUAGAACAAAGGGAAUAACCUCAAACGGUCUUACGAAUCACAGAAGCCCUUCAUCUUAUCCUCCUACGGAAGGACCUUUUGUGAAGGGAACCAUCACAUGCUGCUAAAUGACACCCUUUGGUUUGCAAGUUUUUGGACUAAUUGUUGACUCAAAGUCUUUCAUGCAAAUGCAGAUCUAUUUGUCAAUUUUGGCAGGAAGAUUUUCCUUAUGUUCCCCAAGAGUUAACCCUAUACGGCACUGCACAAAGUCAUUUUCAUGCACCUAAAGAUUCAAGUGCAUUGCCUGUGUCGCAUUGUCCGUGUCUUGUGUGUUUUAUCUCCAGCAAAGUCAUUGAUUUUGAUGCAUCGAAGUGUGCGGCACACUUGCUUUCCCCUGUGCACCAAGCGCCCUACAUCCCUAGUAGCAUUGCUCUGAACACACGCGGGAAAGCAAAUUUGAGAACAAAAAUAGAAUUUAACCUACCCAAUAACUUUGAUCGGACAUCUACUUAGAAUCUCUUUAUACAUGAAAGAAUUAUGUUUUAAUGUUGUCAGGUCUUUUAUUUUCAAUAUAUCGUUAGAGAUUUAUUACCAGAUAUGCAUAAGAACAAGUGAUUUGCUUGGAUAUUAUUACAAAAAUAAAUAAAUCUACUAUUUAUUGCUUAGUGAUUGGGGAUCUGUUACCAAAUUAAGCAUAAAAGCAGAGAUUUGCUAGUAUAAGAGACUUUACAAAGCGAACAAAAAAAUAAUGGCUAUGCAAAACUCACACUUCAGAGUGCCAUGUGGGACUCUGUCAAGCCUUCACUUUCAUAGACCUUUUUCCCCUUGUCACAACUUGUGGAUGGAUACAUUUGCCUAUGAUGGAGGGAAUGACCUCUAACUCUCUAUUAACCAUGCAGAUUCUUCAUCUUGUCUUCUCAGUGAGAUACUUUUUGUAAAGGGGGCCAUCUUACUAACUGCCGACCCAAGUCUUCCAUGCAAAUACAAAUCUAUUGGCUGAAUUUUCAGUCAAUCAACCAUUUGUUUAUUCGGCCUGAAGUGUUUUCUUAUGUUCCCCGGUAGCUACACGUUACGGCACUGCACAAGUCAUGCUGUCAUGUGCUAAAAUAUUCAUAUGCAUUGCCCAUAUUUUGCGUCUUUUGUCUCUAGCAAAGUCAUUGAUUUUGAUGCAUCAUAGUGUGCUAUGCGGGAUGCUCUUACCCCCUAUGCACCAAGCACCACCUAUAAAAUCUACUUCCCCAGUAGCAUUGCACUACACAAAGUCAGAAAGACACAUUUGAGAAUAAGAUAGAAAUCCAUAAAAUUUGUUGGGUAAUCUAAUUACAAUCGCUAUACAAAACAAGAAAACUAAUGUUUUUUUUAAAUGUUUAUCACCAAAAAUGCAUCUCUUUUAUUUCUCAUACAUGGAUUAGAGAUUUAUAACCGAAAUAUGCAUAAGAAUUGAUGGUGCCAACAACAAAGUUAUUUUGUUUCGGAAUAUACAUAGAACAAGCAGUAAGAAAAUAUUAAGCAACAAUACAAAUGUCUAACUGCUUAUACACAAUCAUCUUUUAUGCUUAGUUAAGACAAAACUUCGUGUAUUGCACGAAAAAAUGUGGUACCGCAUACACAAUAGCAAACAGUUUGCUCUGGUUCUGCUCAACUAGGCGAUAUGAACAUAAUGGCUAAGCCCAAGGAAAAGUAGAUGCGUCAUUGAAUUGCCUGUGGAUGAUUUAUCUUCAACAUGUCUAUUUGAGUUUAAUAAAUCUUGACACGAAGUUAAGACUUACGGAGAAAGAAGAAAUGCAUGAGUGCCUAUUUUGUUCCUUGAAUUGCGUUCAAAAGAUUUAAGACAUCUCAAGUUUUUUUUCCCUUUGAUCACGGCAAUGCAAGCUUGGUUGCACCUUUGUCGAGAUGCCCGGAUUUCCGUUCAGGUACUUUAUCUGGUUUUUAAUUCUAUUUGUACUGAGAUCACGUAAGAAAUACCGAACUGUCACUACCUUAAGUACAAAUUUUAGAGGCUUAAUUCACGUUCGUCCGGUUAAGUAUUAUAGCCUAUGACUGGAUCGCCACUGAUGAGGUCUUUAGUGCUAUAAGAGGUUUAACUCCACGUAUCAUAAGUAUUAUAGUCUGAAAAACUCGUGUUUUAUUCAUCGGCAAAUGGGGACCUCGUUUGCGGUAUGGUAAUGCUUGUAGAUGCCAAGAAGACUGAAAGAGAGGAUCUCAAGAAGGUUGAGGCGUUCAUGCAUCCAUGUUGUCAAAAUUUUUACCCCAAGGCCGGGCUAGGGAUUGGUGCCCGGGCCUGGGUUUCUGGCGCCCGAACUUGGGACCAGGGUUGCACUCGAGACUUAUUCUCAAAUGUGAAUUUCAUUAUUUUCCUACAACAAACGGAUUUCCAUAUUAUUUGCAAACUACAACCAAACAUACUUUGAAAUUAAGUUCUUUUCUAGAUAUCAGUAUAUUUUCUGCUUUCUAUUAUUUUUGGCAUAAACAAACCAAGCAAUGGGAAAAUAUUAGGCAACAAUGUUAGGCUAAUGCACAAUCCAAACGCCUGUGAUUGUUUGGGAGCAACAAUCUACACAAGACAAUGGCCAAUUCCGCCUCUCUCUCCCUCUUGAUAAGGGAGACUGUUCCAAAUUUUGAACAAUCUUAAUUUCUCUAAAAGCAUUAUACAAUAGAAAGUACAUCCCUUAUUAGUAACCAAAGGAAAUAUUCACCGAUUGUGAAUUUGAAGUGAAAAUAGCACUAAUGUUGCAAACAAAAUGGUCACACCCAAAGCAACUAUUGGGUGAACGAAACGGGCCAAAUAAGCAAUCAAAGUCUUCAAUUUCGCCUAUGAUGGAGGGAAUGACCUCUAACUCUCUAUUAACCUUGCAGAUUCUUCAUCUUGUCUUCUCAGUGAGAUACUUUUUGUAAAGGGGGCCACCUUACUGUUGUUAUAUGACCCCUCGAUUUGCCAUUUUUGGCCCAACUGCUGACAAAGUCUUCCAUGCAAAUACAAAUCCAUUGGCUGAAUUUUCUGUCAAUCAACCAUUUGUUUAUUCAGCCUGAAGUGUUUUCUUAUGUUCCCCAGUAGCUACACGUUACGGCACUACACAAGUCAUGCUGUCAUGCACUAAAAUAAACCAAAGUCUCUUUUCCCGUUGUCACAACUUGUGGAUGGAUACAUUUGCCUAUGAUGGAGGGAAUGACCUCUAACUCUCUAUUAACCAUGCAGAUUCUUCAUCUUAUCUUCUCCGUGAGAUACUUUUUGUAAAGGGAGCCAUCUUACUAUUGCUAUAUGACCCCUUGAUUUGACAUUUUUGGCCUAACUACUGACCCAAGUCUUCCAUGCAAAUACAAAAAUCUAUAGGCUGAAUUUUCAGUCAAUCAACCAUUUGUUUAUUCGGCCUGAAGUGUUUUCUUAUGUUCCCCGGCAGCUACACGUUAUGGCACUGCACAAGUCAUGCUGUCAUGCACUAAAAUAUUCAUAUGCAUUGCCUGUAUUUUGCGUCUUUUGUCACUAGCGAAGUCAUUGAUUUUGAUGCAUCAUAGCGUGCUAUGCGGGAUGCUCUUACCCCCUAUGCACCAAGCACCGCCUAUAAAAUCUACUUCCCCGGUAGCAUUGCACUGCACAAAGUCAGAAAGACACAUUUGAAUAAAAUAGAAAUUUGCCUUAAAAGAAACAAGAACUAAUGUUUUUUUAAAUGUUUAUCACCAAAAAUGUAUAUCUCUUUUAUUUCUCAUACACGGAUUAGAGAUUUAUAAACGAAGUAUGCAUAAGAAUUGAUGGUGCCAACAACAAUAUUAUUUUGUUUCCGUUUUCCAUUUUUUUCGGAAUAUACAUAGAACAAGCAAUAAGAAAAUAUUAAGCAACAAUACAACUGUCUAAUUGCUCAUAGAUAAUUGUCUUUUUUCUACCUCUGAUAUCACUCUCAAUAAGUAAGACGGUUCAAAACUCUUAGCUGUCAUAGUUUCUCUAAACGCAUUACAUAACAUAAAGUUAUAUUCCUCAUCAGUGACCAAGGGAAGUGAUCACAAAUCAUAAAUUCAAAGUGGAAACAGCACUAACGUUGCAAACAGAAAGGUCCAAUGCAGAGUGAUCAUUGUGUGAACGAGAGGAGCCAGAUGACCAAUCAAAGUCUUCAAUUUUGACUCUCUAUUCGUACCAUUUCAUUGACUCAGAUGUAUUACACAUAUUUCUACGUAUUACGUCACUCGCAAAGUCAUCAAUUUGACGCAUUAUAGCAUGAGAUGAGGCGUGUUCAGACCCCUAGACUCCAAGCACCGCCUAUAAAAUCUGCUUCAUUCUCAUAUGCUCUGCCCAUCAAAAUAGAGUUAUCUUAUUUGAAAUAAAAUGGCUCGCUCCUCGUGCUUCUGCAUGUCCAUAAACUUGCUUUUCUUGUACUUGUGGUCACAUCCAAUUGGUGCUCACAAUCUCUCUCGUUCUGUAAAACCUGUGUCUCGAGAACGAAAUAUCUGCACUGCUGCAGUUUAAAGAGAGAUACGACAUCGCCAAUAUUUCGAGUGGUCCUCUCGCUCGUCCCAAGACUCUAUCCUGGAAUAAAGGUCGGGAUUGCUGCUCCUGGGAUGGAAUCGAGUGUGACAAGAACACCGGCCAUGUAAUUAUUCUCAACUUGAGAAGUAGUUUUCUCUAUGGUUCCAUCGACAACAACAGUACCCUCUUCCAGCUUGUUCCCAAGUUUGUUCCCCAUGGCUGGGCCCAGGUCCAAUGCUUGAGCCUGGGUCCCCGACGCUCAAACUAGAGACUCCAGUUGCACUCAAGACCUAUUCUUAAUUAUCUAUUUCGUAAUUUUCUUGUAACAAAUAUCAGUAAAUGACUUUCCUAUUGUUUAGCAAAUAAAGACCAACAUGCCUUGAAAAUAAGUUCCUUUCGAAAAAUUUCUAGCAAAGUUCAUUUUUCGAGAAAUAAACGGAACUUGGGGUUGGAACAUAUUGCCUUGGUUGAAUUUGGGACUGAAUGUAAUAAAUUUGUUGUUCCGUGUGAACCGAUGAGCAUUGUUUGCACAAUGAACGAAGGAUCUUGAUUUUUUUUUUUUUUUUGGUAAGGACGAAGGAUCUUGAUGUUGCCAACAACAUAGUUUAGUUUUCUUUGUUUUCUAUUUAUUUCAAAGACAGAAACAAAACAAAAAGGCAAUUGAAAGUGGAUGCAUUUUUCUAUGAUUCAGUAUAGCCACAGAAAGUGCUAGUGCUGCAAACAAAAGUCCAAGACUGAUCCGUCAUCCCAGCAAUCUAGUGGGGCUAUAUGAGCAACCAAAGUCUUCAUUUCUUCCCUCAAUUCAUCCCAUUGCAAAGACUUGUAUGCCGUUGUCACAACUUAUGAAUGCAUACUCUUCGUAUAGACCAGAGGGGAAAACUUAGUGUCAUUUUUUAUAACUUACAUCUCAACAAUCCAUUUGGGUUGAAGUAAAGUGAGCCUAAUUAUACUUUUAGAUUGCAAGAUUAAUACGUAGCUGCCAUACUCUCACAUCGAGAUCUUAGCUUCCUUAGACAACGUCUCUUCAUCACCGCCUCUCAGUAAUGAUCAUUUACAAAGGUAUUUUUUGCUUUUUUGUAUUUAUUUUCUAGAUCUGGAUGGUACCAAUGAUAGUAUAUUGUUUGUCUCUGGUUUCCAGUCAUUUUGGCAUAAACAAAAUGAGCACUAGGAAAAUAUUAGGAGACCAUGUUAGGCUACUGCACCAUCCAAACACCUAUGAUGGUCUGGUACCAGCAAUUUCCACAAGGCAAGGGCCAAUUCCACCUCUAUUGUCCCUCUCAAUAAGUGAAGACUGUUUAAAGUUUGAAUAGUCUUAAUCUCUCCAAAGCAUUACAUCAUUUACAUUCCUCAUUAGUGACCAAAGGGAAAUGUUCUCAGAUCAUGCAUUCGAAGGGAAAACAGUACUAAUAUCACAAACAAAUAGGUCCAACCCAGAGCAAUUAUCAGGCGAACGAGAGGGGCCAGAUGAGCAUUCAAAUUUUUCGAUUUCGACCCCGAUUCAUAUCCUUUCAUUGACUUGUUUGCUACUGUCACAAUUUAUGAAUGGAUACAUUUGCUUAGAAUUGAGGGAAUAACAUCAAACAUUCUUAUCAACUACACAAGCCAUUCAUCUUAUAUUCCCACGGAGGGACUUCUUGUAGGGGACCAUGACAUGAUGCUAUGCGACACCCUUUGGUUUGCAAUUUUGGACUAACUGUUUGUUGACCGAAAGUCUUCCGUGCAAAUACAAAUCUAUUUGACAAUUUUGAUUGAACAUUCUUAAUCUCUCCAAAGCAUUACAUCAAGGAACUUACAUUCCUCAUCAGUGACCAAAGGGAAAUGGUCUUAGAUCAUGCAUUCAAAGGAAAAACAGUGCUAAUAUCACAAAUAGGUCCAACCCAGAGCAGUUAUUGGGCAAACAAGAAGGGCCAAAUGAGCAUUCAAAUUCUUUGAUUUCGACCUCCAAUUCAUACAAUUUCUUUGACUUGUUUGCUGCUGUCACAACUUAUGAAUGUGAUACAUUUGCUAAGAAUGGAGAGAAUAACCUCAAACCUUCUUAUUAACCACACAAGCCAUUCAUCUUAUCUUCCCACGGAGAGACUUUUUGUGAAGGGGACCAUCACAUGUUGCUGUAUGACACCCUCUGGUUUGGAAAUUAACUCUUGGUUGACCCAAAGUCUUCCGUGCAAAUACAAACCUAUAUGUCAAUUUGGGCCAGAAGCUUUUCCUUGUGUUCCCCGGUAGCUAACCCUAUACGGCAGUGCGCAAAGUCAUCCUCACGCACCUAAAGAUUCAUUUGCGUUGCCCAUACUUUGAGUGUUCUAUCACUGCAAAGUCAUUGAGUUUUUGCAUCGUAGCGUGCGAUGCAACAUGCUUGCUUACCCCCUACGCUCUAAGCGCCCUACUUCCCUGUUAGCAUUGCUCUGAACAGUCAGAAAAGCAGCUUUGAGAACAAAAUAGAAUUUAACCUGCUCAAUAACUUUGAUCAUACAUCUGACAUCUCUAUACACAUAAAGAGUGAUGUUUUAAUGUUUAUCAGGUCUUUUAUUUUUUAUACGCCGGUUAGAGAUUUAUUAUCAAACAUCCGUGAGAAUAAGAGAUUUGCUAGGAUUGGAUAACAAAAAUACAUAAAUCUAUUACUUAUUGCAGAGCGAUUAGAGAUGUGUUACCAAAAUAAGCAUAAAAAUUAGAGACUUACCAAGAUAAGAGAUUUUAUAAAGUGAACAUAAAAUAAUUGCUACACAAAACUCACUCUUGAGAGUGCCAUGUGGUAUACGGCUUUUGUGCAUUUAUCUUCUUCUUCUUUUAUAUGUAAGUAGUUACUUAGCCGGAAAAAUAGAAUAGCGACUUCUCACUUACAAUUUUCAGCGAUGAACAUUGUUUAGAGAGGCAUUCUCAAGACAAAUAUUUCACUUUUAUUUGCUAAAUUUAUUUUAGAUCUCGAUGGUGCUAAUAGUGUAGUUUGUCUCCAAUUGACAAUCGUUUCGGCAAUAUACAAAGAACAAGCGAUGAGAAAAUAUUAGGCGACACUACAAAUGUCUAAUUGCUCAUAGACAAUUGCCUUUAUGCAACUUCUAUACUCACUCUCAAUAGUGCAGAGUGAUUGUGGAGUGAAUGAGAGGGGGGAGGGGGGGGACCAAAUAGCAAGUGAAGUCUUCAAUUUCGACCCUCAAUUUGUACCAUUUCAUGGACUUGUUUGCUGCUGUCAUAACUUAUGAAUGGAUAUAUUUGGUAUAGAAUGGAGGGAAUAACCUCAAACCAUUUCUUAACCAUACAAGCUCUUUACCUUAUCUUCCUGCGAAGGAUUUUUGUGAGGUGGACCAUCAUGGUGUUGCCAUGUCACCCCUUGCGUAUGCAAUAUUUGGACUAACCGUCACCCAAGUCUUCCAUGCAAAUGACAGGUACACCGGCUGAAUUUCCAGUCAAUCAAUCAAUGGUCGAUUUGAGCCUGAGGUUUUUCCUUAUGUUCCCGGGUGAGUACACGUUACGCCACUGCACAAAGUCUUGCUCAUGCACCUAUAGAUUCAUAUGUAUUGCACAUAUUUUUUGCAUGUUACAUCAUUCAUAAAGUCAUCAAUUUGAUGCAUCGUAGCAAGAGAUGAGGCAUGUUCUUACCCCUAGCCACCAAGCACUACCUAUAAAAUCUGCUUCACUCUUCUCAUACUCUACUCAUCAAAACAAAGUUCUCUAUUUGAAACAAAAUGGCUUUACCAUACAAGCUCUUUACCUUAUCUUCCCGCGAAGGAUUUUUGUGAGGUGGACCAUCAUGGUGUUGCCAUGUCACCCCUUGCGUAUGCAAUAUUUGGACUAACCGUCCGACCCAAGUCUUCCAUGCAAAUGACAGGUACACCGGCUGAAUUUCCAGUCAAUCAAUCAAUGGUCGAUUUGGGCCUGAGGUUUUUCCUUAUGUUCCCGGGUGAGUACACGUUACGCCACCGCACAAAGUCUUGCUCAUGCACCUAUAGAUUCAUAUGUAUUGCACAUAUUUUGUGUAUGUUACAUCAUUCAUAAAGUCAUCAAUUUGAUGCAUCGUAGCAAGAGAUGAGGCAUAUUCUUACCCCUAGCCACCAAGCACCGCCUAUAAAAUCUGCUUCACUCUUCUCAUACUCUACUCAUCAAAACAAAGUUCUCUAUUUGAAACAAAAUGGCUUGCUGCUUGUGCUUCUAUAUGUUCAUAUACUUGCUUUUCUUGUACCUAUGGUCACAUCCUAUUGGCGCUCACAAUCUCUCUCGUUCUGUGAAACCUCUAUGUCUUGAGGACGAAAUGUCUGCACUAUUGCAGUUUAAAGAGAGAUACGAAAUCGCCAAUGUUUCUGAUGAUCCUCUCUCUCGUCCCAAGACUCUAUCUUGGAAAAACAAUUUGGAUUGCUGCUCGUGGGAUGGGAUCAAGUGCAACGAGAACACAGGACAUGUAAUUGUUCUCGACCUGGGAAGUAGUUUUCUCUAUGGUUCCAUCGAUAACAACAGUACCCUGUUCCAGCUUGCUCAUCUUGAAAGGCUCAAUCUCAGCUUCAAUCACUUCAACUACUCUCAAAUACCAUCCCGAGUUGGAGAUCUGCCGAGAUUGACUCAUCUUGAUGUCUCUUUUUCUGUUUUUUCCGGCCAGGUCCCAUCAGAAAUUUUCAAGCUUAGGAGGUUGGUGUACCUCAACCUGUGUUGCAAUCUGGAUCCGCAUGCUUCUACACUUUUGUUGGAAAUGAAACCGCCGGGCCUGAGAAGGCUAGCUCAAAAUCUGACCAGCCUGGAAGUACUUCAACUAGGUGCCGUCAACACGUCGUCCAAAGUGCCCACCAAUCUGGUGAAUCUGUCUUCCCUGAGAGAGUUGAACAUGGAUGUGUGCAGCCUGCACGGUGUAUUUCCGUCUGCCAUUUUCAAUUUACCGAAGCUACGGCUUCUUGGGGUGGCUGACAAUGAAGCUCUCACGGGACGAUUGCCUGACUUUAACUCAAGUAGUCCUCUUAAAAAGCUGCGAAUGCUUGGCACGAGCUUUUUUGGAGAGUUACCCGCUUCAAUCGGUAAUCUCCGUUCCUUGCAGAUAUUGGAUCUUGACUCCGAAACGUGCAAUUUGACAGGGUCACUACCCGCGUCGAUCGGAAACCUUCCUUCCUUGAGUUAUCUCGAUAUAGGUGGUUGCAAAUUUUCAGGAUCUAUCCCGGCUUCAUUUGCUAAUCUUAGCAACCUCAAGAACUUAGACGUCUCGAUGAACCCAUUCACUCCCCAGUCGAUUUCCUCUUUUUCUUGGCUUUGGAAGAAUAAGAAGCUAGCCCGUUUGAAUCUCGAACAGAUCAAUCUUUAUGGCGAGAUUCCACCUUCAAUCGGAAACUUAUCACAACUUGCAACGUUAAGCUUUGCUGACAACCAAUUAACAGGUACCAUCGUAUCUCAGCUCAUGAACCUCACUCAGCUGACUGAUUUGUACCUCCAAAGCAAUCAACUGUCAGGGUCGAUACCGUCUUGGCUUAUGAACAUGACCGGACUUGUAGUGCUUGACCUUGUGGAAAAUAAAUUCCACGGCGAGAUACCUUCUUCAAUCUCUCAACUCCAAAAUCUCCAAGUCCUCGCCCUUGCUAAAAACAACUUCAGCGGUACUGUUGACCUAGACAACUUUCUCAAGCUCAAACAAUUGGGAGUGCUUCACCUAUCAUCUAACAGGUUAUCAUGCCGCAAGAGUAGCAUGAAUGUUAUUCCUCCUCAGCUUCAGGUCCUAGGACUGGCAUCAUGCAAUUUGAGCGAGUUUCCAGCAUUCUUGCAAAACCAAGAAGAUAUGAAUUGGUUGGACCUGUCGGAUAACAACAUUAGGGGAGUUCCCUUUUGGGUGUGGAAAGGUACUUUUAAAUACAUGCAAUACCUGAAUCUCUCACGUAACUUAUUAACUGGUCUUGAUCGAUAUUACCCAAUCAAUCCUUUACUUAUGUACACGAUAGACCUAUCUCACAACUUGUUGAAAGGACCACCCCCUGAAGCACCACCGUCAAUAUUGUCCUAUAUAGUAUCCAACAAUAGCCUAACAGGAGCAUUGCCACCAUGGAUCUGCAAUUUGAGUUCAGCAAUCACACUAGACUUGUCUUCAAACAAUUUGACUGGUGUGCUUCCGGUUUGUUUGGGCAAUAUCAGCAAAUCUCUCAUGAUAUUGAACCUAAAGGGCAACAAUUUCCACGGAAGCAUCCCUGAGCUAUUGGUGACGGGGACAGACUUGACGAUGCUUGAUUUGAGUGACAACCAGUUGCAAGGCAAAUUACCGAGGUCCUUGGCCAACUGUAAAAUGCUUGAGUUCAUCAACUUUGCAAACAAUCAUAUCGUGGACACCUUCCCGUCAUGGUUGGGAUCUCUAUCGAAGCUUCAUGUCCUUAUUUUGCGAGCCAAUAAAUUACACGGUGUCAUAGAGAGGCCUAAAUCUAGUCCCACAUUCUUUAAGCUGCGGAUCCUUGACCUCUCUAAUAAUGCGUUCACCGGCAAGUUGCCCAUAGAAUUCUUUCAAUCUUGGAAUGCCAUGAAAUCCAAGACGGGAAAAUUUACGUACAUGCACAGAAAUCUACGGCCACGUAGAUACCUCUCAUUUACCUACUAUGGCUAUUACGAUUUCUCCAUGACAGUGUAUUACAAAGGGCUUAAAUUGUAUUACCCAAAGAUAUCAGAAGUCUUCGCAGUCAUCGACCUCUCCAACAAUUUGUUCAAAGGAGAGAUCCCAGGUGCCAUAGGUGAUCUCAAAGGACUACAGGGACUGAACCUUUCUUUCAAUUUUUUCAAUGGUCACAUUCCAACGUUGUUAGGGAAUCUCACAGCACUUGAGUCACUAGAUCUUUCUUGGAACAACUUCUCAGGAGAGAUCCCCCAAAAGCUAAUAGAACUCGGGUUCCUUUCGUUCUUGAACAUGUCUUACAACAAUCUAACCGGGUCUGUGCCUAGAGGGAAACAAUUUGAUACAUUUUCAGACGAUUCUUUUAAAGGGAACCCGGGACUCUGUGGGGAAUUCAUAUCCAAGAAAUGUCAAGAUUCAAGACAUGCAUCAGGACAACCUUCAGCCCACCAAGAAGAAGACUUGGGAUUGCCCAUUGAACUCAACUGGAAAAUUAUUCUAACGGGAUAUGGGAGCGGCUUAGUGAUAGGAGUGGUCGUUGCAAAUGUGUUCAUCUCUUGGAAACAUGAUUGGUUUGAAGGAAAUUCCAGGACAAGGCAACGGCCUAGUCGAAGGCAGCCUAGGAGGGGUAAGAACUCCUGGUCAGGCAAGCUUUUAAAAUUCUGCAGGUUUUAGAACUUACCUGAAAAAUGAGCUAGUUUUUUCUUAAAUGUACUUGUUUCUUCAUAGUAUCUUUUAGUGUUAUUUAUGUCAAACCUUCACUUUUUUCAGUUGAUCUCUCAUCACAUCUGUUUACCACCUCUCUAACCUGCACUUUUUGUUUUUUUGGAUAAUGCCAUUGUCAGCCUGUAAACCGAGCUCAUGUGCACCGUUUUCUAUCAAUGCUCAAGCAAAAGUACUCCUUUUUAACAAACAAAUCUAAAUUGCCACAAGGAUUCUUCUUUGUGCAAGGUUCAUUCCACAGCUGGAACCCGUUUACAGAUUCUAGUAAAGCAAACAAUAGCAAGAGCACAAUAUCCUCAUAACUUUAUGCAAUUCUAAGCUCUCAUCCUUGCUCCAAUCAUUUGCUUUCGUCGUUUGUCACCUCGCAAAAAGACAACGGUUGCAUUGUCAUUUGAAACAAAUUUUGCAUUUGGAGGUUGAUUGGGCAAUACGUGUGACAAAUGAUUCUAGUAAAAAUUUGAAUAUCAGUUUUGCUUUUCGGAUCUUCUUUUACAUGUACGUGCGGUAGGAAAUAGAAUUAUUUGGGAAAACAUUCUUUUUUAGAUGAUAACUUGUAUCACUUAAAAAAUGAAUGAAUGAAAAAUAUCACCUUCUUCCUCAAUAAAUUAUUGUUGGUAAUAAAAAUAUUUUUCAUUUAAUUAAUUAUUUUGAGCGAGCGAUCAAUUUUAGAAAAAAAAAUAUUCAAACCAUUCGUUUUUCAUGAAAUAAACGGAACCCUAAAUAUAGAUUGAGUGUAAAUUUUACAUAAUUGAGCUUCUGCUAUCAAUUUGAACUCAUUGUGUUGCUUUGGCGAUGAUAUGGAGAUGAAUCGUUGACAUAUUACUGUGCGUAGAUCGUUAGAUUAAAAUGUCAGCACUGCUUAUUCUGUGAAGCCUCUGUGUCUCCAGGUUUAAAUGUCUUCAUUGCUAAAAUUUAAAGAGUGAUACGAAUUCACCAAUGUCUCGGGUAACCCUCUUGCUCAUCCCAAGACUCUAUCCUGGAAAAACCAAGCUCACGUGUGCCUUUUUCUAUCAAUAUUCAAGCAAAAGCACUUAAAGUACUCCUAUUGAACUCAAAUCUAAAUUGCCUCAAGGAUUCUUCUUUAUCCAGGUUUCACAUCACAAGCUGAAACCCAUUUACAAAUUCUAGUAAAGCGACCAAUAACAAGGUUACAGUGUUUCUCAUAACCUAAUGCAAAACUAGGCUCUCAUCCGCGCUUCGAUCAUUUGCUGUGUUCGUUUGUCACCACACAAAUUGUCCGGACAACCUUGGUAUUGACAUUUGAGACACAAUUCGCAGUUGUAGGUUGACAGGACAACGACCGUAACAGAUGGUUCUCAUGGAAAGCAUUCUGCAGGUGGACCACGUAAAGAAACCGUGUCUUUACUAGCUUCACCUGCCUUAAGGGAUAUAAAUGCAUUCAGUUUUACUUAUGGGAUCUUCUUUCAUAUUUAUGCAGUAAUGUUAUCCGGAAUUUACAUAGUUAGAGGCAUUUAGAUCGCUUUGGAAAAUGAUUCAACGAAAAAUCUUUCUAUAGUCAAUGAAAAACACCUGUCUAAAAAUUCAGGAAAUUGAUUUUUUCUUUUUAAAAUAAAAAAUCAUUUUCCACAUUAUAACGAGACAUCUACACUUGACCAGAAACUUUGGCUCUUGAACACAGGAACCCAACACCCAUGCCUAGGUCCUUAAUGCUCACAAAGGUUGGGACUAGGGUCCCGAUGCCCGGACCCAUGACAACCAUGCCCUAGACCUUGACGUUCAUGCCCAAGGUCCCCACAGACCUUUCAAACAAGUGGGCAGGGUCAAGUUUGGGCCGGCUCUAGAUUGGAUCAUAAAUGGUCUUGCCUAAAUUGACUCAUUAACCUAUUUAUGACCAUUUAUUAGUAAUAUAAAUUUAUUGACCCAUACUCGACCUUACCCAACCCAACCCAUAUAAAAUACUUUCAUAUUUAAUCAAAUCUAAACAAAAAAAAAUUCUUAUGAUUUAAAAAAUAUAUAUUGUUAAAAUAUUUAUAUACAAUUAUAAAUUUAAUUGAUAAAUUUUACAAAAAAUAUGGUAUUUCUAAAAAUGAUAAUAUUUUUCGGUAUUUGGUUGAAACUUGAAAAUAAAUUAGAAAAUAUUUUUCACUUAGUAUAGAAAAUCUAAUUUGAUUUUCUAUCAAUUCCUUUUAACUAUUUUAUUUUUAGUUUUAUUUUUAUUUUUAUUUUUAUUUUUAUUUUUAUUUUAAAUAAUAUAAUAUUUUUUUAUAUUUUAUUUCAUUUUUCAUUUUUCAUUUUUCAUUUUUCAUUUUUCAUUUUUUUUUCUUUUUUUUUUCUUUUUCCUCCUUCUUCUCCCAGGCUAUGGAGGCCAUGGGCCAAUAACAAGCUAGCUCAAGCCUCACCACAAGCUAACAAGGCUUGAGCUUGCCCAAUUCUAACGAGCAGAUCCGAGCCAAGCUGAGCCAACCUCGGGUGAGGCUCUACCUUGUCAAAUCUGGCGAGGUUGUGCUCGCUCACAUUAGCGAUUAGGCACACUGGCAAGGGCCACAAGGCCCUCGCCCACCACCGCAAUGGUUGACCAUUGGAAAUCGUAGGGGGAAAAUGGUAAAAGAAAGAAAGAAAGAAAAAAUAAAAAUAGAAUAUUUAAAUAUCUAAAAAUUUUAAAAUUUUAAAAUAAUAAUAAUAAUAACUAUUCAGGAGAAUGAUAUCUCAUUAAUGGGUUAAACUCAACUAAUAACCUUUGUAAGUUAAAUUGACAACUCCAUUUACAAUCCAUGUAUCAUUAGAUUUACACACAACACAAACCCAUUGAUAACUAAUUUAUUAAAACUUAGUUAACCCAUAUCUGACCCAUCUCAUUUUAAAUGGGUACACUUUACACACAACCAUGCUCAUGUACUUAGCUUUGGGCCCAAGUCCAUUAAGGCCGUGAGAGGUUGCUCAACAAUCGAACUUGGGUCCACAAAUGCUGGGCCCAAGUUCCUUGAGGCUAGACAAAGAUCCCAAUUCCUAUGGCUAGGUACCUAGCUCCUAUGCUCAAGUCACUAACGCCCGACCUAAGUCCGUCAAACCUUGGAGUGAGACCCCAAUACUAUACCUAAUCCCUCGCCCAAGGCACUAACACCCUAGCCUAGGUCCAUAGAAGCCAAACUUGGGAUCCCAAUGCCUACGCCAAGUUCCCCAACAUCCAUGCUCAAGUACCUAAGACCUGCCAAUUCAUCAACGCCAUAGCCCAAGUCCAUCAAUGCCUAGGCCAAAGUCCAUGGAGGCCAAGCCCAUGACCCUAAUGCCUAUGCCUACAUCCCGAAUGGCCAUUCCCAAGUAUUCGUGUCACGCCCCGAAACUCGAGCGCACGCACAACCCUCGGUGGUCGAUAGAAUUUCGCAACGUUCCUAGGACUCGUUGCCGACCAUUUUCAUUUUAUUGUACAUGCGGAAGCGAAUUAACUAAUCCCUUGACAAUGACAAACAUGGGAUAGAAAAGCGGGACAACCAACUUCAAAUCAAAUACACUUUUAUAAAUAUUUCAAGCUUCUACAGAAGGUCUAUGUCAUAAAGAACUACUGUGUUACCUAUGCUCCUGACCCUUACGCUUCAAGCUCCUGGCUCUUCACACUAAGGACCUAAAAAUGGUUAUUCAAUAACCAGUGAGAUAUAAAUCUCAGCGAGUUUCACCCCUAAGCCCCGAUUAGUACACCAACUCAACUCAGGGUAUCUAUCCAGAACUACCCCACCACAAGCAACAACCAACAGUCGAUUCGCAUACAACCUUACCUGGUAUGCCAUACCAUGCACGUUGUAAUUUAGCAUGAUACACACAAUGCACAUGGCCAUUAGAUGAUACAUUUCAUCAAUUACAUACGAGUCGCAUCACAAGCGAUCUCACAUAGCCAUUGCCACACCCUACAUGUUAUCGAUUCAUGCAUGCGUACCAUAAACAAUGUUCUUAACUCAUGCAUGACCGAAAUCAAUAAUGCCAUGAUUCUCAUGCGUUCUUGCACAUUAGCACAGUUCAACAACAUCAUGCAUAUAUUCAAUGCAUACAACAAUUGAAACGUCUUAUCCACUCGAUUAAUCACAGGGGUCUCAACCCAAUCAACUCAAACAAUCAUGCGUUCCAAUUUUUAUUCACUGCCACUCAAGGGCAUAGUCUACUCGCAGUUCGGCUAUCUACUGACAUUAAUGCUAGGCAUCGUCUCCGCCCAUGGAGCACGGCUUCGUCACUACGUCGACGGCAUUCCCGAAGGAGCAUCGUCUCCCCCCCCCCUUGGAGCACGGCUUCGUCACUACAUCGACGGCACUCCCGAAUGAGCAUCGUCUCCCCCCCUUGGAGCAUGGCUUCGUCACUACGUCGACGGCAUUCCUGAAGGAGCAUCGGUCCAGUCGGCCCAACCUCUACUGCGACCGUCAUCCAUUGCGAGGGCAUCCCAUAUAGGAGCACAUCCAGUUCAACAGCCCGAGACGGUUUCCUCUUAACCAACACACGACAAUUCAAUAUCGGCCCAGGACACUUUGCAUUUCACUCAAAUGCCCCGAUUAAAAUAGUAAUCCUGGCCUCUUUCCUUCGUAUUAAAAACAUCUGAGAAAGUAGUCGUGCGUGGGCACGCAUUAAUUCAAACCAGAAAAAUGAUACUUUCCUUUGUCAAACCCCACUGUUCGAUAUAAUACUUAAAAUCCAUUUUCAGUGUCAAAACCUGACACCCGGGAUUUUCUGAAUGAAUACCAAAUUUCUAAUCACCACACAAUUGCACAAUCAUCACUCAAUUCAUAUAGAUGCCCAUGCAUUUUCACAUCCAUUUACUUUAUAGAAUCAACACAUAUGAAUUUUAUACACUUUUCGCAUUCUGGAUGAAUAGUGCACGUGAACAGCACUCGGUGAACAGUGUUUCGUGAACAGUAAAUCCUGAAUAGUGUCUCAUGAACAAUAAUUUUCUAGAAUUUAAUAAACUAUAAAUUAAAUUCAGAAAUCAUUAAAAGCAUUAAUUAAAGCAACCAUCAAUUAAUUAAAGCCAAGCAUACUUAAUUAACCACAUAAACCACAUUAAGCAAAUAAAGCAAGAUUAAGCUAGACUAAUCUAAUUCAUCCAUCUAACCACCUAUCUUAGGGCUAAUACAACUUAAUUAAAUCACUUAAACUAGAAUUAAAUCUAACUAAACCAACCCUAAGCAAGUUUAGGCACUAAUCGAAUUAUUAGGAGCUAAACUCACCCGUUAAGUGGGCAGGAAACACCGACGCGGCGGCGACGACGGAGGCGACGCUCUGGGACCUCUACCACGACGAUCCAAGGCAGUCACAAGCUCAACACAGCAACCACAGCUCAGACUCCCUUUGAAAUUCUGGAAAAACAGCACUGCUGGAGAAGAAACUGAGUUCAACGGCUUGACCGGAGCUCCGGCGAUGGGUUUGUCCAGCAACCAGUGGCUCCCGGGGGUCUUGGGAAUCUUGUUGGUGGUUGGGAUGGGUGGAGGAAGGACCGGAAUGGGAGAAAAAUGGCCAAAAACGCGAAACAAUGCAGGCUGCAGGCGGACCAAUGGACCGGCAACCGGUUCCUUCACGGCGGCGCCCAAGACGGACGGAGGCUCCGUUCGGCGUGAAGUUAGGCCCAUUGGAAUGGUAUGUUUCUCCUGGUCACGGUGAUAGGUGGCUCGUUGGCCGAUUCAUCCGGGAAGACCACUUUUGACUCGAUUCUUUGACGAAGGUUCAACUAGAGCAGAAACUAGAGGAGGGGGAGACCGAGGAGAGAGAGAGAGAGAAGCUUCGACCAGUUUGGGGCCGAAUGGGGGAGAGAUAGAGUGAUGGGAGGGCUAAGAGCACUCCUCAUUAAGGCCAUUCAAUGGCCACUUCAAGUCCCCAUGCAUGACAUCAUCAAUUUCUCUCUCCUCAUUUGCCCUUAUCCACUUGCUUUUGGGGGCAAAUAGUCAUUUCACUUUGCACCAAUUUACCAAUCUGACCUUGGGUUGAAAUUGGUGGAUGGGCCUAGAUUGGGCUUGGCCAUGAAUAGGAAUGGGCUUGGAAUUGGUUGGGCUGAAAUGGCCAAGAAUUGGCCCAUGGCUUAAAAGAUUAUAGUGGAUUGGGCCCAAUAGGCUCACUUGCUUGCUUUGAGCCCAUCAUGGGCUGUCCCACCUUGGGCCUAAGGCCCACACUGACUUGGCCCGGCCCAUGUCUUCAUGGACUCGCUUCCUUGGUACGAAAAUCCCAUUUCCAACUACUCGGCUUAACUGACGCUGUCGACUAUUUGAAGUAGCUUCAUCCAAAGUCUGAUCCGGACAUUCCCGACAAUUCGAAGCUCAAUCCUAAGUUCUCUUGCCAUGUCAAUUUCGCCAAAUGCCAUUUUGGUAACAACUCAGACUGACGAGUGGCUUUGAGAAUUCACGCGUGACCAACUCGUGCCAAACCACAGUCAAGAUAUCUCGACGCAUGGAUAUCCUUGACUAUAUGAAAUUACAGAAGAUAGAUUCUUAUUCCAAAGUACAUGAUUACUGAUGAUCGACAUAAGGUCAUUCGUGGAUUCAAUAACAGUAAAUGGAACCACCCGUCAUUCCAUUAUCUUAUGUCCACGAAUCGACUUUUAGUCGUCCUUAGAAUCAGCUUGCUUAUCUACAGGAUCAUCCUCACACAAAUCUCAUGGUCAAGUCAUUUUCCGAGGUCGAGUCCUUUAGUCGUACAGGUUCUGUCCUCAUUAGCAUUUCCCCUCAAGGUCAGUAUCUCAGGAGUAAUCAAUUCCGAGUGAGAUCAACCAAUAAUGCAUUGACGAAAUUCACAUCCAUUCAUUCCUCAGAGGACUCGAAUUUCAGGAUGUCUCAAUUCAUCUCCCGUGUCAAAGUCACCAACCCUCGAGCCCAAGUCCAAGAUGUUGAACUCAAGACCUAGGUGCUUGUGCCUAAGUACUCAACUCGCACACCCAAGUCACUAGCGCUCAGCCCCAAGUCCACUCACAACGGCCAAGCUCAACCCUUUGGUGCCCAUGCCCAUGCUCAAGUACUCGACUCUUGCACCCAAGUCACCAGUGCGUGAGCUUGAUUCCUCAAUAGGUCGACCGACCAAUCCCAAGUCCUUUAAGACUUGGCCCAAGACCUUGGUCCCACACUUGAGUUACCAAAGAACAAGGCUAGUAGUCCUAUUAAGGUCAGGCUUGAGAACUCAAUGACCAUGUUGAAGUCCCCAGUGGCUAUGCCUAAGACUCUGAACCAAUACCUAGGUCUAAGGGUGAGCAUGGUUCAGGUUAAGCCAAUCCACCCCCUAACCCUAGAACCAACCCGCAUAGUGUGAUAUCCUGAAUUUUCAAAUGUUAUUUUCGAUUAAAUGAAUUGGGCCUUUCAUCGACGUGCUUAUAGUGCCAUUCUCUGAGCUAAUUACUCAUAAGAUAACUAGACUAUCGGGGGAAGCCAUUAAGAGAUUUUAACACAAUAGACUUGAGAAUUCGACCACGAAUCGAUUACAUAGCCGUGUUUAUUCAAUAGUUGGCCCUCCAUUUUCGGUACCUGCCAAUACACAGCAAUGUGAAUUUUUUACAUUUAGACGGUCAGCUCUACUUCCAAUUUGCUCCACACUCUAAUACAAAAUCAAAGAGAUUCCUCAGAAGGGGAAAAGGUAGAUUUUAAGUGUGAUAUGACAAUGACACAUACAGGUUGGCCAGAAAAAAAAAAAAAAAAAAAAAAAAAAAAAAAGAUAAGCAACACAUACAGCACAUGCCUAUCAGAGAAAAUCUAUAUCCUCAUUUCUAUCAAGACUCCUUGAGUAAAAUUGUCUCGUGGCUAAUUCUUAAGGUACAAGCCAGAGAAAUCCUAAAACAGAAAAUGCACAAGAGCCUGUUUACAAAUAAGAAAAACCGUCCGAAAGCAAUAACAAAUUUGAUCUGGCAACAAGAAUGAAUAUGCAUGAUAGCAAAGACCAGCAGAAGGCUAACAUGAAAAAUCCAUUUACCUCUUCCCUAGAGACAUAUACUACUGGAGCCGAUCUCCCAAGAUCAUGCCCUUUAGCAAUCAUUGCAGCCAUCUUCCAGUAUUAAUAUAUGAGAUGGACAAGGUAGGGCACAAUGGUUAGACAGGGAGGUAGAUAUAUACAGAACUUAAAAUAUUUUAUGAAUUUCUAUUGUAUCAUCUAAGUACAUUACCGCAACAACAGGGUACUCUUGCCAACACCAGGAUCACCUCCCACCAAAAUUAAGGAACCUUUAGAGCCACAAUGCAGCAAAAUCAAUAGCUUUGAUAAAAUUAAAAUCUUCAAACUUCCAUACAUCUCAAGUGAAAGUUCAAGUAAUGCAGCAGAUUGGUGCGGACCAUACAACAAAAAAGUAGGUCAAACCUGGCACAAGACCACCGCCUAGCACUCUCGAAACCUCCUCUCCAAAGGGUCCAUACCUAAACAUCAAGUACCCCAAGAGAUCAUUUACUUUAAGGAAUUAGGGCGACAUGCCAUCUGAUUCAUCGAGCCGCGAGCGAGGUUCACGAAGCCCGGCCACCGGCACUUCGCCAUCGAAUCGUUCGUCGCCAGAUCGAUCUUCGAGGGAGGUCCGGCAACGGCGGCGAAGACACGAGUCUCACGGCACCAACGGUGGCACAGAUAGUGCGGUGAAGACGGCGGCAGUCGCGGCUCAACCCACGGCCAAGGGGGGAAAAGCUUGAUUCUGGUGGAGGCAGUGGUGGUGGUGGUUCGAAGCAACGACAGCCCGGACGGCAGAGCAAGCGGUGGCAAGAGGUGGUGAUGGUGGCUUGGAGACGAUGGCAGCGGCUCACGGAGGCAAGGGGUAACGCGGACGGCGCGACAACUCGUCAGGCUCAACGACGAGACAGCUUGUCGGACGAGUGGUGGGUGGUGGUGGUUCGGUGGCCAAGAGAUGGCGGUGAGUAGAGUAUGGGGCGGCGGUGUGGUGGUGGGUGAAGCAGCAGCCAGCAAGAGGAAGAAGAAGCACAAGACGAAGAAGAAGAAGAAGAAGAAGAGGUGGGGUUUCGGUCGAGAGAGGGGAAAAGAGGAGAGAGAGAGAGAGAGAGAAGAAAAGAAAAAAGUUGGGGGGGCAGGAAGUGAUGUGAGGAGUGAAAAGUGGAGAAAAGAAAGAGAGAGAGAGGAAGGGGGGAAGAAUCGCAGAGGCGAGAAAUCACGUGGGGAAAGCUAGCUUCUUUUUUUUUUUUUAGAAUUAUGACCGAAACCGAGAACACCGGUUCCUAGAAAAAUGGAACCGGGAACAGGAACCGGUGUCUUUGGAACCGGGAACCAAACCUAACCCUCCGGUUCGGUUCCCCGGUUCCCGAUUCUACCCGGGAACCGUGCUCACCCCUAAGUGCUAGCUCUUUAUCAUCCAUGUCAUCUUCAGAAUUUGUAUCAUUAGAAUUAUCGUUAGAUUUUAUAGUAAUUGACUUCUUACCUUUGAGAUCUUCUUCUUCAUUGAGUUGCUCCACUUCGUAAGAUUGAAGUGUGCCUACAAGAUCAUCAACUAUAAGAGGCAUGAUCCUUUGGGUUUCUCUUGUGGAAGUCUUCACGUGAUUCCAAUCUUUGAAGAGUCAACGCAGCAGUUUAUUGACCUUCAUUGGUCCUGAGAUUGGAUGUCCCUGAUAUGGUAGACCAUUCACAAUUUAUGUGAAACGACUAAAUAUGUCAGUAAUGAAUUCUCCUAGUUUCAUCUUGAAAACUUCAUACUAUCUGAACAAGAUAUUAAUUUUUGUUUCUUUAACUCGAUUAGUUCCUUCAUAGGUAACAUACAACCUAUCCCAAACUUCUUUGGCUAUUUCAUAAGAUGAAAUUCUAUUAUACUCAGUAAGAGAUAAAGAAUAGUAAAAAGAGUAGAUUGCUUUAGCAUCAAGAGCUUAUCUCUUGGUUAUUUCUUCUUGUGCCAUUUCGCCAGCUUCUACAACUUAUUUUCCUCUUUCUGAGACUGAUGUAGCUUUAGAAAUAAUUCAUUUUUCUACCGCAUCUCAUUCCAUGGAAUCUUUCGAUCUUAGGAAUGCAUUCAUCUUAUUUUUCCAAACAUUGUGUUCCUUUCCAUUAAAGUAAGGAGGUCUGGUGUUGCUUUGACCUCCAACCAAACCUGGAGCCAAAAUACUAGCCAUAGAUUUUUAGCUCAUAAGUAAAAACACUUCAAUAAAACGGGCACACAAUCUCUCAUGCCAAUUGAAAGAGUUAGUAAGAUCACCUAGAUGGGGUGAAUAGGUGAUAAUGUAAUUUUUACGAAACUUCAAAAUAAUUUGCAAGCAACAUGAACAGCAAUGAACAGUUAUAUGAAGUUGUAAAUUAAAGUAAGGAGUUUAGGGAUAAGAGAACGAAAACAUAAUGUUUAGAGUGGUUCGGCUUAGAUCAAGCCUACGUCCACUCUCCCGUGCUGACAACCCACUGGCUGGAUUUCACUAAGAAUCAAAAGAGAUGUUACGGUCACACGUCUUGGACUUUAUAGUGUAGAGACUCUACUGCACUUUCUCAAAGUCUCACAAGUAUUUUAUCUCUCUUUUGAGUACAAGUAAAGCUCAACUAUUGAUAUAUCAAAGAACUAAGAAGUUUCGGAUUUUGAAAUUUUUCUCACACUCACGAAUAACCAAAGAGUCAUCCUUAAAUACUCCUCCGUGCCUUUACAACCAUUGGCACUUACCAAAGGAGUUCUUUCAAUCUUCUCGUUGGACAUAAUCAAUUAAUGAUAUCUUGAGUCGUUUAAGGAAUGUGAUGAUAGCCCAUCGAUCAUGUUCACCCAUACAAUUAGGAUCUUAGUUUCCAUAAGUAGAACUUUUCAAGUAUACUUCCCCAUUCAAAAGAUUUGCGUAUCGAAAUUGAUCCAACAAAUAUAAGUAGAUGCUAUAUCCAGCCAUAAGGUCUUUCCAAAAUCAUACAAACCGAAUCCCUUGAAGAUAAAUUCGCAUUUGAUUAAGUCUUCAAUCUUUGGUUUGGAAACUGUCAAUGAGGGCAGACUUUGAGUCUUGAGUCUGGCGGUCUUCAGACUUUGACGACAGAGUCUGGAAAUCUUCAAACUAGACUAAUGAAAACAUUUUGUCAACUUCAAAACAAUAAAGGAGUUUUCUCCAACACAUCCCAAACAUCCAUUAGGAUUGACGGUAAAGUGAGCCUAAUUCUACUUGUAGAUUGCAAGAUUAAUAUGUAUCUGUCGUACUCUCACAUCUAGAUCUUAGCUUGCUCAAACAUCUCUUUGUUACCAGUUCUCAAUGAUGAAACUUGGGUUUUUUUUUUUUUGGCUUUUCUGUGCUUAUUUUUUUAAUCUCGAUGGUGCCAACAAAAGUAUAAUUUUUGUCUUUGGUUUCUAUCUAUUUUGGCAUAAACAAAACAAGCACUAGGAAAAUAUUAGGCAACAACGUAGGCUAUUAAGCAAUACAAACACUUUCUAACACAAACAAUCACCCCAUGAGCAACAAUCUGAAGAAUGACAAGGGCCAAUUCCACCUUUAUUCUCCCUCUCACUAAAUGAGACUAUUCAAAACUCCGAACAAUCUUAAUUUUGAGAUAAGUGGUCUAUAAAAUUUGAUCCUAUGUGUAAUGUCCUACCAAUACUUUUAAGGUGUAUUUGGUUCAGUAUUCCAUAUGAACUUUCAGCCUCCAAAGCCUCUUAGGGAAAUAUUGGACCAUUUGAUAACCAUUUUGAACAAGCUUUCAAGUGAAAAUCAGCAUUAGGAAAACUGAAAACCCAAUACUAGUAGGGACUAGUAUUGAGCUUUCAGCAUUUGAUCAAAUGCUUAAACUUAUUUCUUUUUCCAAAACUAUCAUCACUCAUUUUUCAAAUUCUUUAUUUUUCCCUUGUUAUUAUUAUUUUUAAAUAUCCAAAUAAUGCUAAAAAAAACAAAUUUACAUAAAUGCUAAAAAAAUUAAAUAUAUUUUGGUCUUUUUAAAAAAAUAUUUUGUAUAUUUGAUUUUUUUAGCAUUAUUGUCUAAAUUUAUAUUUAAAAAGUUGCAUAUAUUAUUUUUUUCAAUUUUAAAAAAAUUAAAAUUAAAAAAUUCCGAAGAAGGGUUUGUUUGUUUUUUUUAAAUUAUAUGUGUGUGUGUGUGUGUGUGUGUGUGUGUGUGUGUGUGUGUGUGUAUUUGAUUUUUUAGCAUUAUUUUCAAAUUUAUAUUUAAAAAUUUACAUAUAUUAUUUUUUCAAUUUUAAAAAAUAAAAAUUAAAAAAUUUUGACGACGGAUUUGGUUUUUUUUUUCAAAUUGUAUAUAUGUAUUUGAUUUUUUUAGUAUUAUUGUCCAAAUUUAUAUUUAAAAAGUUGUAUACAUUAUUUUUUUCAAUUUUAAAAAAUAAAAAUUAAAAAAUUCCAAUGAAGGGUUGGUCCUUUUUUUAAUAUAUAUAUGUAUUUGAUUUUUUAGCAUUAUUUUCAAAUUUAUAUUUAAAAAGUUGCAUACAUUAUUUGUUCAAUUUUAAACAAGUAAAAAUUAAAAAAUUCCGACGAAGGAUUUGAUCUUUUAAACAAAAAUUAUAUAUUUGUAUUUGAUUUUUUUUAGCAUUAUUGUCAAAAUUUAUAUUUAAAAAGUUACAUACAUUAUUUUUUUCCAAUUUUAAGCAAAUAAAAAUGGAAAAAUUCCGAUGAAGUGUUUGGUAUUUUAAAAAAAAUUAUAUAUGUAUUUAAUUUUUUUACUAUUAUUGUCAAAAUUUAUAUUUAAAAAUUUGCAUAAAUUAUUUUUUUUCAAUUUUAAACAAAUGAAAUUAAAAAAAUAAUAUUAAUCACCUAAAGGGCUUUUCAAAUGUGUUUUCUACCAAAGGGUAUUUCUUUCAAAGUUGCUUCUCAAAGCAUAGUUUACCAAACAACAUUUAUAUUUGCCUAAAGUCCUUUAGGCUAACCCACUUUGCAUUUUCUCAAUGGGUUUUCAAAAUGCUGAACCAAACGCACCUUUAAUUUGUUCAAUGUAAUCCAUGAACUUUAACCCAGUGUGUACUAUCAUCCCUAAACUUUUAAAUUAAUUCAAUGUGAUUCAUGAACUUUUAAUACACAUUCAAUCUAGUCCAUAAAUUAUAUAAAAAAAUUUUAAUAUUGUCAUUCCGUUAAUUCAAGUUCAUAGACAAUAUUGAACUUUUCUCUAUAGUUUAGGGACUUGAUUAAAUAUGUACAAAAAAUUUAGAUACGCAUUGAAUAAAUUAAAGGUUUAGGGAUAACUAUAGCCCAUUGAGCUAAAGUUCAUAGACUAUUUAUGUAUUUAUCCCUUUUUGCAAAGCAUUACACGAUAUAAAUUACAUUCCUCAUGCAGAUUAUGCAUUCAACUUGAAAACAAUGCUAAUAUUGCAAACAACCAAGUCCAUCCCAAAGCAAUUAUUGAGCGAAAGGAAGGGGCUAAAUGAGCAACUAGUCUUUGAUUUCAACCCUCGAUUCGUAACCUUUCAUCAACUUGUUUGGGAUACAUUUCCCUAGAACGAAGGGAAUGACCUCAAACGGUCUUAUGAACCACAUAACCCCUUCAUCUUAUCUUCGGACUUUUUGUAAAGGAGACCAUUGUUGUGACCUAAAUUUCGAGUGCACCACCUAAAAUUAGGUUAAUGGACUACUAAGUCUGACUUAGCUCAGGCUCUCUCAAGCCCAUACCAAUUCGCGACUUAGGUUCAAAUAUUUAGCAUGCAAAAAGGAGUCGCCACUAAUCAAUUUAGUAUAAGUCGAUUAGACACCAAGUAAAAUAAUUAGAGAAUUAUUUUACUUCUAUAAACUAGAGACUUUGGGUACGGGGAUUUGGUUACACUAAACUUUUCUAAUGCCCUUUCAGUACAUUUUUUCUUUUUAUUUCGAAAAAAUGUUUUGCAAGCAAAUUGAAUUAAUUUUAAUUCACUUCCCUAACAUAUGAGGUGAUCAUGCAGGUGUGCAAAUCACCAAUUUAACACCUAAGAAAGCAAAUAAAAAAAUGCAAUGUUGUUAGAUCAGAAUUCACAUCAACAGUCCUAGAUAUUAUUUCUAAUUAAUACGCAAUCACUCAAUUUUUGUUUUUACUUAUUUAAUGAGAAUCUGAUCUAUAUGCAAUGCAAUGUUACUAAUCUAAUAUGAAAUGAUAUGGCAUGGCAAUAUAACCUAAGCUAUAUGACAUAAGUAAAGCAAUUUCUAAAGAAAUGCAAUAAUUAAAUGUGCAAUCUAAAUUAACCAAAUGACCUAAUUCUAAUGACGGCCAAUUUCUAAUCAAAUGGACCUAGCAACAAUUUCAUGAACCUAAUUCUAGAUGACAUAUGCAUGAUUUUUUUUUUUUGUAUUUUUAUAAAAAUUCGAAAUUAAAAAUUGAUAAAAAUAAAAAUCUACCUAAAGCAAGAUAUUAUCUAAUUUAAGUUAGGAUUAUGAAUCCUAUCUUAACUUAGAAAAUUAUCUCAUCAUGCAAUUUAAUCCAAAAAAAAAAUUAUCUAACCUAGAUACUACAUGCAUUUAAAAAAAAACUAUUCUACCAUGCAACUUUAUCUAGGAAAUCAAUUCUAAUCAACAUGAUAUGCAAAUGCAAUUUUUUUUUGUAUUUUUGAAAUAAAUAAAAUAAUUAAAAGAUAAACACCAAAUCAUCCAUGGUCAUCAAAAAUAUUAUCCAUUGUUCGAAUUUGGAAACGAUAUUGAUUGUUUCCCUAAUAAAAUCGAUAAAUUGAUUUUAAGUCUUAAAGAUCAAGAUAUCAAUUUUAUUCCCGCGCAAUUAAUUAUUCCAUCUACAGUCUUAUAGAUGGAAGAAAAAAAUUGAUGUGCGGUUGCCGAUUAGGCCAUAAAUCAUAAUUAGGAAUACGCCGAUAAUUCAAAUAUGCACAUAAGAAAUUGAAAAGCAUAUAUUAGGCAAUAAAAUAUCCUAAUCAAAUUUAGAUAAGAUAAUUGCCUAAUUUCGUAAAUAAUGUUACCAAAUUUGAAUCAAAUGGAAUCCACUCAACGGAUGACUUGGCGAUCAGCUUCUCGGCAGCGUCAACGGUGAUGGUUCAUGGAUGAUUUGCAAGAUCACAUAGGGACUCAUGGCUCGGGACUAGAACAGCUUCAUCAUCAAUGAUGCAUGAUGAUGGGUCCCUGAUUUGCGACUUGAUCACGCUUCAGGGACGGCGUGACGAAGGGCCUGGUUCACGGGGGUGCAGCAGGCAAAGGGUUCCGUGCGGGUCACAGACAGCGGUGGUUCAAUGACAGGCUGUUGGUCGUCUCGGCGGGCCUUCUCCUUUGGCACUUUCUGCAUGUUGAAAUCGUCUCCGAGGGUGUAGGGAAGCUCUCUCCUCUAUCUCCAAGUUUUCCUCCUUUGGCCUUUUCUUUUUUAUUUGCAGGACAUGCGGAUAAGGUGUCCAUGAACGUGGAUCUUCACAGUGGUCAAGAAAAGCUCAUGAAGACUUCAUGAAUCAUAACUUUCGAAUGUGUUGGGCUUCUCAAUCGUGAAUUGUGUAUUCCUCUGAGAAGGAAAAUCCUCCCUUUCGUCUUUUUUUUAUUCUUUUCCCUCUAACUUUCUCUCUCUCCCUUCUGCUCACGUCCUCACCUUAUCAGAAUGAGGACAAAGUCCAUUGUUGACCUUGAAUUGGGUUUUGCGGACACGAACUGGAACACAGGGCGGGUAGGGACGCGGUGCUCCUCGCUGGACAGCGGGGCUCGCUGGACGGGACUUGCGGGCGUCACUGGAUGACCAGUGGACUGAAAAUCAUUAGAAUUGCUGUGGGGUCUUGCUUGGAGGCUGCGAAGGUCGUCGAAGACUGAUGUGUCACUGCAGCGGACAAUCGGCAGCAGGGUUAGCAUUGAGGGGCAGCCACGAACUCAGCAAAGUCACGGCCGUGAAGCGGUCUCGACCAUGACUCCUUCAGCUCCCUCUCUUUCACGUAUGUUUUCUAUAUUGUGGCCGUAUAGUCAAUGUGUGGCUCCCCCAAAAACCCUAGGUGUUUUACCUUUUUAUAGGCCAUAGAUUAGGGUUUUAAUUUUUCCAAAUCAAUAUCUACGAAGAUUUCUUUUCCGAACAUAAUAUUUUUUUUUUUUUGAUACAAUUCAGGAUUACAAGAGGAUUUUUCUAAAAUUUCAAAUCCUACAAAGUUGAGCUCGCAAUAUUUUUUGUCACGCUUGCCCUAUCCGAAGAUAUUAAAAAAAAAAAUCCCCCAACAUAUCCCGGAAAAAUUCAAAAUAUCUAUUUUUCACGAGAUAAUUUUCGACCAUUAAAAAAAAGGGGCUUGGGCCAAUUUGCUCACUUUGUGGGCUUAACCUGGCCUGUCAAUUUAAAGCUAAGAACAAUCAAUUCAAACCCAUUCAUCACCAGCCCAAUGCAAAUGUAAUAAUAAUAAAUAAAUACAUCUAAAAUUAUAUAUUAUACAAUUAAUUAAUUUUUUUGUAGGGGUAAAAUUUGUUGGAGAAAUCUUCGUGAAGUGUUUUGAAGCUGACAAAACGUUUCCAUCAGUCUAGUUUGAAGAUUUGCAGACUCUACUAUUUAAAGUCUGAAGACCUCCGGACUGCCAGACUUAAGACUCAAAGUCUAUCCUCAUUGACAGUUUAUAAUCCGUUGAAGAAGGUCUAUCCAGAACUGGAUGUUUCAUUAAAGGAUGGACCUUAUCGACUGGAGAAGAUCUCUUGGCUGAAUAUGACAUAAACGGAAUCUUUUAUUUGAUCAUGAUUGAUUCGAAGGUUAAGGAUCCGAUGAUUGGCGAAGUAUACUUGAAAGGUUCUACUUAUGGAAAUCAAGAUCCUGAUUGUAUGGGCGAGCAGAAUUGAUGGGCUAUUGACAUGUUCCUUUAAUAGCUCGAAUGAUCUUCCUAAUUGAUUACGUCCAACGGGUAGAUUUGAGGAAUUCCUUUGAUAAGUGCCAACGGGUAUGAUGGCAUAAAGGAGUAUAUAAGGAAGACAUUCCAGUUGUUCGAGUGUGUGCUCGAUAGAAGAAUUCUAAAUUCUGAAGCUCCUUGUUCUUAGUCAACUCAUUUAUAGAGCGAAAUCUUGUAUGCAAAAGAGAGUCUAUAUGCGUGAGAAACCUUGAGGAAGUGUGGUAGAAUAUCUACACUGUGGAAUCAAUAGAGAGCUUUGCUGUAACAUCUCUUUUGUUCAUAGUGAAAUCUAGCCGGUAGGCUGUCAGUGCGGAAGAGUGGACGUAGGCUUGGAAUAAGCUGAACCACUAUAAACCUUGUGUUCAAUUUUCUCUUCCCUACUCUCUGUUUUACUUUGAUCGUAAUUCGUUUUGUUAACCAAAUGAGAACUUCCUUUCUAUUGUCUGCUUAAUAUUGCUUGCAUAUCACGAAAAAUUAUUAUACACCUAUUCACCUCCCCUCUAGGUGCUUAUACUAGCUAUCUCAAAAUUAACCCCUGAUUUUUUAAUGCGAUAAACAACUAAACGAGUCACCAAAAUUUAGGUGUCAACAACCAUCACAUGUUGCUAUAUGACUUUUUGUAAAUAAGCAACAAAAGUCUUCGAUUUUGACCCCCAAUUUGUAAUCUUCCAUCAACUUGUUUGUUGCUGUCAUAAUUUAUGAAUGUAUACAUUUCCCUAGAAGGAAGGGAAUGGCCUCAAACGGUCUUAUGAACCACAUAAACCCUUCAUCUUAUCUUCCUAUAGGGGGGCCUUUUGUGAAGGGGACCAUCACGUGUUGCUACAUGACCUUUUGUAAAUGAGCAAUCAAAGUCUUCGAUUACGAUCCCUGAUUCGUAACCUUCCAUCAACUUGUUUCCUACUGUCACAACUUAUGAAUGGAUACAUUUUCCUAGAAAGAAGGGAAUAACCUCAAACGGUCUUAUGAACCACAAAAGCCCUUCAUCUUAUCUUCCUACAUAAGGACCUUUUGUGAAGGAGAUCAUCACAUGUUGCUAUAUGACUUUUUGAAAAUGAGCAACAAAAGUCUUCGAUCUUUGACCCCUGAUUUGUAACCUUUCAUCAACUUGUUUGAUGCGGUCAUUUCCCUAGAAGGAAGGGAAUGACCUCAAACGGUCUUAUGAACAUAAGUCCUUCAUCUUAUCUUCCUAUAGGGGGACCUUUUGUGAAGGGGAUCAUCACAUGUUGCUACAUGACCUUUUGUAAAUGAGCAAUCAAAGUCUUCGAUUACGACCCAUGAUUCGUAACCUUUCAUCAACUUGUUUCCUGCUGUCACAACUUAUGAAUGGAUACAUUUCCCUAGAACAAAGGGAAUAACCUCAAACGGUCUUAUGAAUCACAGAAGCCCUUCAUCUUAUCCUCCUACGGAAGGACCUUUUGUGAAGGGAACCAUCACAUGCUGCUAAAUGACACCCUUUGGUUUGCAAGUUUUUGGACUAAUUGUUGACUCAAAGUCUUUCAUGCAAAUGCAGAUCUAUUUGUCAAUUUUGGCAGGAAGAUUUUCCUUAUGUUCCCCAAGAGUUAACCCUAUACGGCACUGCACAAAGUCAUUUUCAUGCACCUAAAGAUUCAAGUGCAUUGCCUGUGUCGCAUUGUCCGUGUCUUGUGUGUUUUAUCUCCAGCAAAGUCAUUGAUUUUGAUGCAUCGAAGUGUGCGGCACACUUGCCUUCCCCUGUGCACCAAGCGCCCUACAUCCCUAGUAGCAUUGCUCUGAACACACGCAGGAAAGAAAAUUUGAGAACAAAAAUAGAAUUUAACCUACCCAAUAACGUUGAUCGCACAUCUACUUAGAAUCUCUUUAUACAUGAAAGAAUUAUGUUUUAAUGUCGUCAGGUCUUUUAUUUUCAAUAUAUCGUUAGAGAUUUAUUACCAGAUAUGCAUAAGAACAAGUGAUUUGCUUGGAUAUUAUUACAAAAAUAAAUAAAUCUACUAUUUAUUGCUUAGUGAUUGGGGAUUUGUUACCAAAUUAAGCAUAAAAGCAGAGAUUUGCUAGUAUAAGAGACUUUACAAAGCGAACAAAAAAAUAAUGGCUAUGCAAAACUCACACUUCAGAGUGCCAUGUGGGACUCUGUCAAGCCUUCACUUUCAUAGACCUUUUUCCCCUUGUCACAACUUGUGGAUGGAUACAUUUGCCUAUGAUGGAGGGAAUGACCUCUAACUCUCUAUUAACCAUGCAGAUUCUUCAUCUUGUCUUCUCAAUGAGAUACUUUUUGUAAAGGUGGCCAUCUUACUAACUGCUGACCCAAGUCUUCCAUGCAAAUACAAAUCUAUUGGCUGAAUUUUCAGUCAAUCAACCAUUUGUUUAUUCGGCCUGAAGUGUUUUCUUAUGUUCCCCGGUAGCUACACGUUACGGCACUGCACAAGUCAUGCUAUCAUGCGCUAAAAUAUUAAUAUGCAUUGCCCAUAUUAUGCGGGAUGCUCUUACCCCCUAUGCACCAAGCACCGCCUAUAAAAUCUACUUCCCCGGUAGCAUUGCACUGCACAAAGUCAGAAAGACACAUUUGAGAAUAAGAUAGAAAUCCAUAAAAUUUGUUGGGUAAUCUAAUUACAAUCGCUAUACGAAACAAGAAAACUAAUGUUUUUUUAAAUGUUUAUCACCAAAAAUGCAUCUCUUUUAUUUCUCAUAUAUGGAUUAGAGAUUUAUAACCGAAAUAUGCAUAAGAAUUUAUGGUGCCAACAACAAAGUUAUUUUGUUUCGGAAUAUACAUAGAACAAGCAGUAAGAAAAUAUUAAGCAACAAUACAAAUGUCUAAUUGCUUAUACACAAUCAUCUUUUAUGCUUAGUUAAGACAAAACUUCGUGUAUUGCAAGAAAAAAAUAUGGUAUCGCAUACACAAUCGCAAACAGUUUGCUCUGGUUCUACUCAACUAGGCGAUAUGAACAGAACGGCUAAGCCCAAGGAAAAGUAGAUGCGUCAUUGAAUUGCCUGUGGAUGAUUUAUCUUCAACGUGUCUAUUUGAGUUUAAUUAAUCUUGACACGAAGUUAAGACUUAUUGAGCAAGAAGAAAUGCAUGAGUGCCUAUUUUGUUCCUCGAAUUACGUUCAAAAGAUUUAAGACAUCUCAAGUUUUUUUCCCUUUGAUCACGGCAAUGCAAGCUUGGUUGCGCCUUUGUCGAGAUGCCCGGAUUUCCGUUCAGGUACUUUAUCUGGUUUUUAAUUCUAUUUGUAGUGAGAUCAAGUAAGAAAUACCGAAGGGUCACUACCUUAAGUACAAAUUUUAGAGGCUUAAUUCACGUUCGUCCAGUUAAGUAUUAUAGCCUAUGACUGGAUCGCCACUGAUGAGGUCUUUAGUGCUAUAAGAGGUUUAACUCCACGUAUCAUUAGUAUUAUAGUCUGAAAAACUCGUGUUUUAUUCAUCGGCAAAUGGGGACCUCCUUUGCAGUGUGGUAAUGCUUGUAGAUGCCAAGAAGACUGAAAGACAGGAUCUCAAGAAGGUUGAGGCGUCCAUGCAUCCAUGUUCUCAGAAUUUUUACCCCGAGGCCGGGCUAGAGAUUGGUGCCCGGGCCUGGGUUUCUGGCGCCCGAACUUGGGACCAGGGUUGCACUCGAGACUUUUCUCAAAUGUGAAUUUCAUUAUUUUCCUACAACAAACGGAUUUCCAUAUUAUUUGCAAACUACAACCAAACAUACUUUGAAAUUAAGUUCUUUUCUAGAUAUCAGUACAUUGUCUGCUUUCUAUUAUUUUCGGCAUAAACAAACCAAGCAAUGGGAAAAUAUUAGGCAACGAUGUUAGGCUAAUGCAUAAUCCAAAUGCCUGUGAUUGUUUGGGAGCAACAAUCUACACAAGACAACGGCCAAUUCCGCCUCUCUCUCUCUCUCUCUUGAUAAGGGAGACUGUUCCAAAUUUUGAACAAUCUUAAUUUCUCUAAAAGCAUUAUACAAUAGAAAGUACAUUCCUUAUUAGUAACCAAAGGAAAUAUUCGCCGAUUUGAAUUUGAAGUGAAAAUAGCACUAAUGUUGCAAACAAAAUGGUCACACCCAAAGCAACUACUGGGUGAAUGAAACGGGCCAAAUAAGCAACCAAACUUUCAAUUUCGCCUAUGAUGGAGGGAAUGACCUCUAACUCUCUAUUAACCUUGCAGAUUCUUCAUCGUCUUCUCAGUGAGAUACUUUUUGUAAAGGGGGCCACCUUACUGUUGCUAUAUGACCCCUUGAUUUGCCAUUUUUGGCCCAACUGCUGACCAAGUCUUCCAUGCAAAUACAAAUCCAUUGGCUGAAUUUUCUGUCAAUCAACCAUUUGCUUAUUCAGCCUGAAGUGUUUUCUUAUGUUCCCCGGUAGCUACACGUUACGGCACUGCACAAGCCAUGCUGUCAUGCACUAAAAUAAACCAAAGUCUUUUUUCCCGUUGUCACAACUUGUGGAUGGAUACAUUUGCCUAUGAUGGAGGGAAUGACCUCUAACUCUCUAUUAACCAUGCAGAUUCUUCAUCUUAUCUUCUCAGUGAGAUACUUUUUGUAAAGGGAGCCAUCUUACUAUUGCUAUAUGACCCCUCGAUUUGACAUUUUUGGCCUAACUGCUGACUCAAGUCUUCCAUGCAAAUACAAAUCUAUUGGCUGAAUUUUCAGUCAAUCAACCAUUUGUUUAUUCGGCCUGAAAGUGUUUUCUUAUGUUCCCCGGUAGCUACACGUUAUGGCACUGCACAAGUCAUGCUGCCAUGCACUAAAAUAUUCAUAUGCAUUACCCGUAUUUUGCGUCUUUUGUCACUAGCAAAGUCAUUGAUUUUGAUGCAUCAUAGCGUGCUAUGCGGGAUGCUCUUACCCCUAUGCACCAAGCACCGCCUAUAAAAUCUACUUCCCCGGUAGCAUUGCACUGCACAAAGUCAGAAAGACACAUUUGAAUAAAAUAGAAGUCUGCCUUAAAAUUUGUUGGGUCAUCUAAUUACAAUCGCUAUACGAAACAAGAAAACUAAUGUUUUUUUAAAUGUUUAUCACCAAAAAUGUAUAUCUCUUUUAUUUCUCAUACAUGGAUUAGAGAUUUAUAAACGAAGUAUGCAUAAGAAUUGAUGGUGCCAACAACAAUGUUAUUUUGUUUCCGUUUUCCAUUUGUUUCGGAAUAUACAUAGAACAAGCAAUAAGAAAAUAUUAAGCAACGAUACAAAUGUCUAAUUGCUCAUAGAUAAUUGUCUUUAUUCUACCUCUAAUAUCACUCUCAAUAAGUAAGACGGUUCAAAACUCUUAGCUGUCAUAGUUUCUCUAAACGCAUUACAUAACAUAAAGUUAUAUUCCUCAUCAGUGACCAAGGGAAGUGAUCGCAAAUGAUAAAUUUAAAGUGGACACAGCACUAACGUUGCAAUGCAGAGUGAUCAUUGUGUGAACGAGAGGAGCCAGAUGACCAAUCAAAGUCUUCAAUUUUGACUCUCGAUUCAUACCAUUUCAUUGACUCAGAUGUAUUACACAUAUUUCUACGUAUUACAUCACUCGCAAAGUCAUCAAUUUGACGCAUUAUAGCAUGAGAUGAGGCGUGUUCAGACCCCUAGACUCCAAGCACCACCUAUAAAAUCUGCUUCAUUCUCAUAUGCUCUGCCCAUCAAAACAGAGUUAUCUUAUUUGAAAUAAAAUGGCUCGCUCCUCGUGCUUCUGCAUGUCCAUAAACUUGCUUUUCUUGUACCUGUGGUCACAUCCUAUUGGUGCUCACAAUCUCUCUCGUUCUGUUAAACCUCUGUGUCUCGAGAACGAAAUAUCUGCACUGCUGCAGUUUAAAGAGAGAUACGACAUCGCCAAUGUUUCGAGUGGUCCUCUCGCUCGUCCCAAGACUCUAUCCUGGAAUAAAGGUCGGGAUUGCUGCUCCUGGGAUGGAAUUGAGUGUGACGAGAACACCGGCCAUGUAAUUAUUCUCAACUUGAGAAGUAGUUUUCUCUAUGGUUCCAUCGACAACAACAAUACCCUCUUCCAGCUUGCUCACCUUGAAAAGCUCGAUCUGAGCGACAAUCACUUCAACUAUUCUCAGAUACCGUCCCGAAUUGGAGAUCUAUUGAGAUUGACUUAUCUCAAUGUCUCUUAUUCCGUAUUUUCCGGUCGAGUCCCAUCAGAAAUCUUCAAGCUGACAAGGUUGGUGUACCUUGACCUGUGUUGCAAUCUCGAUCCAUAUACUUCUACACGUUUGUUGGAAAUGCAACCACUAGGCCUUGUUGUUAUUGAUCAAAACAGUAAACUAGAAACAGAAAAUCAGAAGCUAUAGUUUUUGAAUGAGGAAGAGAAGCACAGAGAAACAGAACACAAACUUGCAUAUGUCUGUUCUAAAGAAACUGUCAAGUACAGCCACUAAACACAAAACAAAAACUGCUCACGUACGUGAAACACAUAACUGCAUACAAACAUGCUAUUAACUUCCUAGAAAAUAACAAAAAACACUAAAUGCAUAACUAAAUGAACUUGGCUGUUUUUUAAUUAAAAAACAGAGUAAAAAAAAAAAUAGAAAACAGCAACUGAGACAUUAUUAAUCCAACAGGCCUGAGAAGCCUCGCUCAAAAUCUGACCAGCCUGGAAGUACUGUCCCUUGGUGUCGUCGCUAUGUCGGCCAAAGUGCCCAACACUUUGGCCAAUCUGUCUUCCCUAAGAGCGCUGCAAAUGGAUGUGUGCGACCUGCACGGUGUAUUCCCGUCCGCCAUUUUCAAUUUACCAAAGUUGAUAUAUCUCGAGGUGGCUGACAAUAUAGCUCUCAUAGGACAAUUGCCUUACUUCAACUCAAGUAGUCCUCUUAAACUACUGCGAGUGCCUGGCACGAGCUUUUCUGAAAAGCUACCCGCUUCAAUCGGUAAUCUCCGUUCCUUGGAAUUCUUGGAUCUUAAGUCCGAAACAUGCAAUUUGACAGGGUCGUUACCCGCGUCAAUUGGAAAACUUCCUUCCUUGAGUUAUCUUGACAUAAGCGGUUGCCAAUUCUCAGGGUCAUUACCCUCAUCAAUUGGACACCUUCCUUCCUUGAGUCACCUCAUCAUAAGUGGUUGCAAUUUCUCAGGAUCUAUCCCGGCUUCAUUUGCUAAUCUUAGCAACCUCGAAUACCUGGCUGUCAGCACGAGCCCAUUCACUGCCCAGACCAUUUCCUCUUUGUCUUGGAUUUGGAAGAUUAAGAAGCUUGCCUCUUCGUAUCUCGAGAAAAUCAAUUUAUAUGGCGAGAUUCCACCUUCAAUUAGAAACUUGUCUCAACUAGUGCAGUUAAGCUUUCUUGGCAACCAAUUAAGCGGUACUAUCCCACCUUCAAUUGGAAACUUGUCUCAACUAGUGGAGUUAAUCUUUCUUGGCAACCAAUUAAGCGGUACUAUCCCAUCUCAGCUCGGAAACCUCACUCGGCUGACGAGAUUGUGCCUCCGAAUAUAUCAACUAUCAGGGUCCAUACCGUCUUCGCUUAUGAGCAUGACUCGAUUGGUCAUGCUUGACCUUGCGGUCAACAAAUUCCACGGUGAGAUACCUUCAUCAAUCUCUCAACUGCAAAAUCUCCGGAGCCUCCUCCUUGUUAAAAACAAUUUCAGCGGCACUGUUGAGCUAGACAACUUUCUCAAGCUCAAACAAUUGUUAGUGCUGCAACUAUCAUUUAACAAGCUAUCAUGCCGCACUAGUAGCACGAAUGUUAAUCUUCCUCAGCUUUGUGCCCUAGGACUGGCAUCAUGUAAUUUGAGCAAGUUUCCGGCAUUCUUACAAAACCAAGAGAGCAUGAAUUGGUUGGACCUAUCGGAUAACAGCAUUAGGGGAGAAGUGCCCUUUUGGGUGUGGAACGGCAAUUUUAAUAGGAUGCAAUACCUGAAUCUCUCUCAUAACUUUUUUACUGGUCUUGAUCAAUAUUACCCGAUGAAUCCUUUAUAUAUGUACACAAUAGACCUAUCUCAUAAUAUGUUGCAAGGACCACCCCCAGAAGCACCGCCGUCCAUAAUGUUCUAUCUAGUAUCCAAUAACAGGCUGACGGGAGCAUUGCCACCAUGGAUAUGCAAUUUGAGUUUAGCAAUCGCACUAGACUUGUCUUCUAAUGAUUUGACUGGCGUGCUUCCAGUUUGUUUGGGUAAUAUCAGCGAAUCUCUCAUGAUAUUGAGCCUAAAAGGCAACAAUUUUCGUGGAAAUAUUUUGAGCUAUUGGUGAAGGGGACACAACUGACGAUGCUUGAUUUGAGUGACAAUCAGUUGCAAGGCAAUUUACCAAGGUCCUUAGCCAAUUGCAAGAUGCUCGAGUUCAUCAACUUUGCAAACAAUCUUAUUGUGGACAGCUUCCCAUCAUGGUUGGGAUCUCUACCAGAGCUUCGUGUCCUUAUUUUGCGAUCCAAUAAAUUCCACUAUGUUAUAGAGAGGCCUCAAUCUAAUCAGACGUUCCUUAAGCUACAAAUACUUGACCUCUCUAUUAAUGCAUUUGCCGGUAAGUAGCCUGUGGAAUUCUUUCAAUCUUUGAAUGCCAUGAAAUCUGAGACGGGAAACUUUACAUAUAUGCAUAGAAACCUACAGCCAAGAUGGUACCUUGACCUCACCUACUAUGGCAAUUACGAUUUCUCCAUGAUAGUGAUUUAUAAAGGCCUUAAAUUGUAUUACCCGAAGAUAUCAAAAGCCCUCAUAGUCAUUGACCUCUCCAGCAAUUUGUUUGAAGGAGAGAUCCUGGGUGCCAUUGGUGAUCUUAAAGGACUACGGGGAUUGAACCUUUCAAAUAAUCUCCUCACUGGUCACAUCCCACCAUCGUUAGGGAAUCUCAAAGCACUUGAGUCAUUGGACCUUUCUUUGAACAAACUCUCGGGACAGAUCCCCCAGAAGCUAACAGAACUCGGGUUCCUUUCUUUCUUGAACAUGUCUUACAACAAUCUAACUGGGUUUGUGCCUAAAGGGAAACAAUUUGAUACGUUUUCGAAUGAUUCUUUCGAAGGAAACUUGGGACUAUGUGGAGAAUUCAUAUCCACAAAUGUCAAGAUUCAAGGGAUAAGUCAAGACAACCUUCAACCCACCAAGAAGAACGCCUGGGAUCGCCAAUUGAACUUGAUUGGGAAAUUGUUCUUUUGGGUUAUGGGAGCGGCUUGGUGAUUGGAGUGGUCAACGGAAAUGCAUUCAUCUCCUGGAAACAUGAUUGGUUUGAAGGAAAUGCCAAGAGAAUGCGACAGCCUAGGCAACCUAGGAGGGGUAGGAACUCUUGGUCUAGCAAGUUUUUUAAUUUCUGCAGAUAUUAGAACUUCCCUAGAAAAAAUGAGCUAGGUAUUUCCUUCUCUUUCUCAAAUGCAUUUGUUUCUUCAUAGUAUUUUUAUAAUUAUUUAUGUCGAACUUCAUUUUCUUCAUCUAAUCUCUCAUCACGUCUAUUUAUAAAGCCAUUAUCAACUUGAAAACCCAGGUCAUUUGCGCCUUUUCCUAUAAAUGUAUAAGCAAAAGUACUACUGUUGAACACUCAAAUCUGAAUUGCCAUAAGGAUUCUUCUUUAUCCAGGGCUCACAUCACUAGCUGAAACCCAUUUAUGGAUUCUCAUAAAACAAUGAUACAAUGUUCUCACAACUUUAUGCAAAUCCUAGCUCUCAUCCAUGCCUUGAUUAUUUGCUUUGGUUGUUUGUCACCUCACAAAUUGUACAGACAAUGGUUGUAUUGACAUUUGAAACAAAAUCCGCAUUUGGAGAUUCAUUGGACAAGAACCGUGACAAAUGAUUCUUGUGAAAAAUAUACAUAUCAGUUUUGCUUUUCAGAUCUUCCUUUAUGUUCAUGCGGUAGGAAAUCGAAUUCUCUUUCAUAAAACAGCAUAUUAUGCUGAGAACCAACAUGGCAAAGUUGAAUUUACUAAAGUUCUUACUAUGCUUGCUAGUCAUUUUCUUGGUUAAUGUCAUUUGAUUUAUGUGUUUAAUCUUUUCUUUUUUUCUCAAAGAAGGAUCAUUUGAUAUGGUGACUUAUUGUUGACAACUGAAUUUUGGCAGAUAAAUCAAGUUUCUGUCUUUGUAAAACCAUGAAAAAAUAAAUAAAUCAAUAAACGAAAGAGUCCAAUUCGGCCAUUCGUGUAAGGACCUAAUCCCAUUUGCCUCAGCCCAUUUAUUAAGUCUAACUUGCUCAAGUUCUCCCAGUCCACCAACCCAAACCACUAGCCAAGCCCAUCAGGAAUUUGACCAGCCCGUCAGUCUAGCCCAUGAAGCCCAAAUUUAAAAUCGCAUUAAGCGACUUCUGCACAGGCCCACAUUCACAAGUUUAAGUCGGAGCCUCUAAAGCCUGUGAGAGCUUGGCCCAUAAAGCGCGCAUGUGCAGGAACUGAGGAGCGAAGGAAUUCUGGCAAGGGGACUAUGUUACACCAUAUACUUAUAGCACCUCACGGACUGACAGAGUUCCCUUCUCUCUAGAAUUCGUAGCCCAUUCUUCUUCUCCGGACAUCGCUCGCCGUCGCCGCCGUCGAUCGUCACUUCAAUCCAUCUCGACCGCCGCGAGAUAAAGACUCUGUUCCCCCUGUUCUCAGUCAUUGGUCGUUGAAGAGCUUGAGCGGCAGUUCGCCAUUUACUCUUUCGCUGAUUCCUCCUGUCUUCGAAGUUUGCUUCUGUGACUGUCUUGCUUUGGUCCGAUCGAUAAUCAUUGCAGGCAAACACCCUUAGUUUACGAACCGUAUCUGCUCUAUUUUUGCUAAAAAGAGAGAUCGAGAAUCCUACGUACUGACUGUGUCUGAAUCUUAUGUAACCGAGCUUCUGCUAGCGGUUUGAACUCCUCGUGUUUUGUCAUAUUCCUGCGUUUAGAUCAUUAGAUUAAAAUGUCUACCAUGUGCUUGACAAUUUUUUUAGUGAAACCUACCUGUGAAUUUGAGUAAAAUUCUUGCAUAUUGACAUUUGGUUGAUUCUUACGUCUUCAGAAUAAGACGUCUGUGUUUGACCUCUCAGGGCACCGUUGAAUUGACCUCCUGUGAUGCUCAUCCGAGACGUUGCCUGCCCAGUCUUUGCUUAUUUCAGCCUUGGUUUCAGUCCAUUUCGCUAGUCUUAUUGUCAAAGGUAAAUAUAUGUCGAUUGAUCUUUAGAGGCCACUCAAAAUAACCAAUAUGAAAAUUGAUAGAAUAAUUAAAUAUUAACCUACGCUUUCAUUUAAAAAUUUAACUUUUUAAAUAGUUGAUAGUCUCACAAAAUCUCACAAAAAUAAAAUAUAUGAAUAUAUAUAUAUAUAUAUAUAUAUAUAUAUAUAUAUCGAUAACAGGUUGUUGAUCGUUAUGUUUGAAACUGUGCCAUUUGGAUAAAAGGACUACCAUGUCAUUGCACCUAUACUUGUAAAGUUGGGGGUGUGAUGGUAAUUUGGAAAAUUACCAAAAAAGUCCUAAAUCAACCGAUGUCCACAUCAGCACUGGUCGGUGGACUAAAUUGGCAUAAAUACGAAAAGUUUUGGACUAAAUUGGCAAAAAAAUAUAUAUAUAUAUGAUUAAAUUGAUACAAUUGUAAUAAGUUUAGGAUUUUUUUUUUAAUAAUUUUCAUUAAAUAAACAUACAUAGGAUUUUUAUUUUAUAUUUUUUAUGAGUGAAUAUUUGCUUUGGAGCUGGUAAAAUGUUGACAAGACCCCUCCUUAAAAAAAUCGAUAUGUAAUGUAUUUAAUCAAGGUGUCAAGUGUACAAAUUUUUACGGCCUCCACGUUUGUGAUCAGAUUAACCAUUGUGAACGAGGAAAAUUCAAACGGGGAAAGCACGUGCCUUGGUGCUUGACUUUUGCAGAAUUGAGUGGACCCGUUAUUGAGACCUUGCAUUAUGCACAGUAGACUGGCUGGAAGCACUGCUUUGGCCCAGUCCUAGAAAUAUCCUGCAUGGCUAUUUGAAUGAUAUGAUCGAGUAAAAAAUUAUUGAAUACGAGAUCUCGACCCCACGAGUUGGCUUAACGGUCGAGGCCUAGACAUGUGUAUGCUGUUACAAUCUUCCUAGGACCACAUCAUCAUGUGGAUGAUCGACAACGCGUAGGUGAAAAGUCUAGAGAAUCAAGAGAAAAAGUCCUGAAAGUGGUAGCUAUUGACAAAUCAGAGGAACGUAAUGUCAAAUGACAAAUUGCGGAUAAGAGUCUCAAAAGCAUUAGGAGGUGAGCCUCUGUUGAUGGGUGGUAAAACUAGGCUUGCAGCAUUCAUUGGAUUCUAUUCGACAAGUAUUCUCUAUCUUUAUGACCACGAGUUCCAAGUACCUUGAUGACUAAGGCACAAAGAAAAUUGUGGCUAUUCUUAUUCUAUUUGUAGCAUUGGCCUCCAAAUGUAGCCCUGGAGAGACUUGGGGGGUUCACAUCUCCUGUGAAGCCAUGAAGGCUACUUCUGGAUCGUUGAAUUUGAAAAGGAGUUUGCCAUGUCCCCUUCAUGUAAAUAUAAAAGGGAUAUGUUCAUCACAAAUCCUAAAAUUUGUUACAAAAAUAUAAUUGAAUAUUAAAAUUUAUAAAAAAUUUAAUCAAGUCCUAAAACUUAUCAAAUUUAUGCAAUCAAGUCCUAAAAUUAAUAUUGUCAAUUUAACUAGCAGAAAACACUAAUGUAAAUUUUUAAAAUUCCACAUGACAUUUUUUAAAUAAUUUUUAGCCAAUUUUUUUAAAUUAGAUUAAAAUAAUAAAAAAGCUAAAAAAUUAUUUUAAAAGGCAAAACUGAAAAGAAAAGGGAAUCCGGACGAGAAAUCGCGUCGGAAGUCCACCACGAAGUACGAUCCAGACUCUUCACCGAUGGAUUAUUCCGAUUCGUGGAGGAGGACGAGGUACUGUCGGAUUUGGGGGCUGUCUCCGCUAAAGAGCAGAAGAAAAGUUGCUGAAGAAGGCAACGGAGGAACGGAGAAGAUCGCGAGGAUGGCAAUUCAAAUGGAGGUGUAGGCUGUAAUUUAUUCUUACUCAGAUCUCUUCGUUUGUUCGCGCUUCCACGUUAGUCGUAACAUGAUUUGUUGCUUUCUUGGCAGAUGUGCCCCUAAAACUACUUCAUUACCGAAUAGUAGUGAUUACAAUCUCGGCCUUAUGUUUUGGGUUUCAAUAUGAGGAGCAACUUUUUCGCAGAACCGUGAUUCGGAAACAAAAAUCAAACCAUAGAUGCCGGCAAACUGGGUACGGCCUAACUAGGUCGAUUUUGAAUUUCUCGUCGUCGAGAUCUUUAAAUGUCAUUACUUCUAUGUUUUGAAAGAGGAAAUGAGCGUGAAGUAGCAAUAAGAGGAAACUGAGUGUUUGGCAAAACCUCUGCUAAAUUAAAUGAUCUGGUUGAAACUCAAGCUGAGCUGUGUGGAACUUUAAUGCCUCUCUCAAGUCUCAACUAGAUAGAGUGGCCUUCUGAGGCUCUAAAUCAGGUGAUUUCACUCGGGCUGAUGCUUGGAGCUUAACUAGGGAGAAAAAAGGCUAAGGUAACUUGGCAUAGGCUAAUUUGGUUUAAUCCAAAUGUGCCGAGAUUCGGCUUUAUAUCUUGGCUUGCUAUCCUUACCAAAUUGCAGCAGACAGGUGAUAGAUUGUGCAAAUGGCAGAACGUCAAUGGUUUUUGUGUCCUCUGUGGAUUGCAGCCCGAAUCAACGAGACAUUUGUUCUUUGAUAGUUCUUUCUCCUCUGGAAAAUGAAGUAGGCUUUUGCAGCUAUGCGGUAUAAGAGGUUUUGUGGGAGAUUGGGACUCUGAGUUUAUGUGGGUGUUGCAGACAUCAAAGGGGAGAUCUCUGGAAAGUCCUAUUAAAGGUGGCAAGGAAUGGUGUCAUUUAUUUCUCAUGGAAGGACAGAAAUACUAUAGUUCAAAAUAGGAGAGUUGCAUGUGCUGAAAAGUUUCCGAGAGUAUCUUGUUUGUGGUAAGGUUGCCGUGCAAAUUUUUUUUUCAUUGAAAGUACUUUUUUCACUCAGACACAACGAAACGUCAUAUAGCUAAGAAAGAAAUCACAUCAUACCGCAUUUUUGUGCUUAGUUAAGAUAACACGUCGUGUAACUACACAGUAAAAUGCCGUACCAAAGAGACAAUCACAAACAAUAUGCUUUGUUUCUACUCAUAGGCAAUAGGGGUAUAAAGAUUGGGCCUAAAGAAAGGUAGAUCCAUCAUUGAAUUGCCUAUGGAUGAUUGAUGGGCUACAAAAGAUUGGGAAAAUUAUCCAAAAAGUCAUCAACCUUUUACACUUUUAUUAAUUCAUUCUAAAUCUUUCAAUUUUAUCAAUUAAGUCUUAAAAAUUUUCACACUUUAUCAAUUAAAGUGCAUUCAACUAAUUUUAGAUAAAUACUGCUAACAUAGACGCCGAUCAUCUUACGUGACAUGGUCCAUGAUAACAUGAACAUUUUUUAAUAAUAUUUAAAUAUUUUUCGUCUUUUUUUUUUCUCUUUUCUUUCUUUUACUUUUUCCUUUUCUCUUCUCUCUAUCUUUUUUUUUUUUUCCUUUUUUCCUUCAUUCCUUUUUCCUUUUUCCCUCCAUCGGCCACUACCAAGACUCAUUGAUGGUUUGUUGAAGUCACCAGCCUCAGGCUAGGGCCGCCCUCAUCAACCCUUGGCAAAUGUCAACCUCGCCAAGGUAGGCGAGGACUUGAGGCACACCAAAGGCCAGCGACCUCCACUGGCUUGGUGAAGAGAGAAAAAGAAAAUGAAAAAAGAAAAGAAUGAAAAGUGAAGGAUUAAAAUAUAAAAAAUAUUUUUUUUUAAAUUGUCAAUGUCAAUGUCAAUUGUACUACAUAGGAAUGGUUGGUGUGCCAACACUCACUUAAGCAAUUUACAACCAAAAUUAGCCAAAUUAACUCAAUAAGCAAAAUAUGAAAAAUGUUUAGAUCGGCAUGCCAACGCCAACUUAAGCAAUUUGUAGCCAAAAUUGACCUGAUUAACUCAAUGAGCAAAAUAUGAAAAAUAUUUAAAACUCAAUUGGUAAAAUUAAAAUAUUUAUGACUAAAUUAGCAAAAUCGUAAUAGAUUUAAGAUUUUUUUAACAAUUUUCCACCCAUAGAUUUCAUGCUUUCUUACUUCAGCAAAUGAGGACCUUGUUUGCUACAUUGCAAUGCGUGGAGAUGUCAAGAAGGUUAAAAUAGAGAAUCUCAAGAAGGUUAAGCAUGUGUGGGUCCAUGUUCCCAAGAAGUUUGUUCCCACGGCUGGGCCUAAGACUAGUGCUCAAGCCGAGUCCCGGCACUCAAACUUGGGACUCCAGUUGUACUCAAGACUUAUUCCCAAAUGUCUAUUUCGUAAUUUUCUUGUAAUAAAUGACUUUCCUAUUGAUUGGUAGAUACAAACCAACAUGCCUUUAAAAUAAGCUCCUUUCGAAAAAUUUCUAACAAAGUUCAUUUUUUGAGAAAUAAAUUAAACUUGAGUUUAAACAAACUGUCUUGAUUGAAUAUGGGACUAAAUGUAAUACAUUUGUUGUUUCUUGUGAACUGAUGAGUAUUGUUUGCGCAAUGAAUGAAGGAUCUUGAUGUUACCAACAACACAAUUUAGUUUUCUUUAUUUUCUAUUUAUUUCAAAGACAGAAAUAAGACUGUUCCAAACUCUAAUUAAUCUUAAUUUCUCCGAAUGCAUUACACGGCGUAAAUUACAUACCUAAUCAGUGACUCAAGGAAAUGUAUACAGAUCAUGAAUCCAAAGUCGAAACAGCACUAACAUUGCAAACAAAGAAGUCCAACACAGCGCAACCCAAGUCUUCAACUACCCUUUAUUAUUUUUUAUUACAUGUACUUUAUUGCUGCUUUCAAUAUGGUUGACCCAAGUCUUCCAUGCAAAAUGCAAAUAUAUAUAUAUAUAUAUAUAUAUGUAUGUAUGUAUGUAUAUGUAUAUGUAUAUAAUAUAAUAUGAUAUAAUAUAUAUGUGCUUUUUGCUGCUUUCUCCACGGUUGACUCAAGUCUUCCAUGCAAACGGAGAUCGAUUGGCUGAGUUCAGAGUAUGUGCACAGCAGCUACCUGCUACGGCACUGCGGAAAGUAAUGCGCAUGCGCAUAAAAUAUUCAUUGGUGCUGCGCGCGCGCGCACAUUUACAUAUAUAUAUAUAUAUAUAUGCUUUUUUGCUGCGUUCUCCAUGAUUGACCCAAGUCUUGUACGCAAAUGUAGAUCGAUUGGCUGAGUUCUGAGUAGGUGCCCGGCAGCUACCAAUUACGACAUUGCGGAAAGUAAUGCGCAUGCACAUAAAAUAUUCAUAGGUACUGCACACUGUGCGUUUCACCACACGUAGAGUCAUUGAUUCAAUGCAUCGUAACACGAGAUGAAGCGUGUUUAUAUCCCCAGGCACCCAGCGCCACCUAUAAAAUCUGCUUUGCCCUUUCAUACUCUGCUCAUCAAAACAAAUUUGUCUCUAUUUCGAACAAAAUGGCUUGCUCGCCGUGCUUCUACAUGUGCACACACUUUCUUUUCUUGUACUUGUCGUGCCAGCCUAUUGACGCGCAAAUCCUCUCUCGUUCUAUGAAACCUCUUUGUCUCAAGGAUGAAAUGUCUGCACUGCUACAGUUUAAAGAGAGGUAUGAAAUCGCCAAUGUUUCAGGUGGUCCUCUCGCUCAUCCCAAGACUCUAUCCUGGAAAAACAGUCAGGAUUGCUGCUCCUGGGUUGGGAUAGAGUGCGACAAGAACACGGGCCAUGUAGUUGUUCUCGACCUAGGAAGUAGUCUUCUUUAUGGUUCUAUCGAAAACAACAGUACCCUCUUCCAGCUUACUCAUCUUGAAAAGCUCAAUCUCAGCGGCAAUCACUUCAACUACUCUCAAAUACCAUCCCGAGUUGGAGAUCUCUCGAGAUUGACUCAUCUCGAUCUCUCUGCUUCUGUUUAUUCUGGCCGGGUCCCCACAGAAAUCUUCAAGCUGACGAGGUUAGUGUACCUCAACUUAUGUUGCAAUCGGGAUCCAUAUCAUUCUAGACAUUUGUUGCAGAUGAAAGCACCGGACCUGAGAAGCCUAGCUCAAAAUCUGACCAGCAUGGAAGAACUUCUCCUUGGUUUUGUCAAAAUGCCGUCCCAAGGGCCCAACACCUUGGCGAAUCUGUCUUCACUGAGAAGGCUGAACAUGGAUGAGUGUGACAUGCAUGGUGUAUUUCCAUCUGCCAUUUUUCAUUUACCGAAACUGCGAUAUCUUGGGGUCGGUUACAAUAAAGCUCUCACGGGCCGCUUGCCUAACUUCAACUCAAGUAGUCCUCUUAAAGAGCUGCAACUGGGAGGCACAAGCUUUUAUGGGGAGCUACCGGCUUCAAUCGGUAAUCUCCGCUCCUUGGAGAUGUUGGAUCUUACUUCCUGCAAUUUGAUAGGGUCCCUACCUAUGUCAAUCGGAAACCUUCCUUUGUUGAGUUAUCUUGACAUAGUUCUUAACAACUUCUCAGGAUCCAUCCCGGCUUCAUUUGCUAACCUUAGCAACCUAAAAUACCUAGAUGUCGGAAUGAACGCAUUCGCUACCCAGUCCGCUUCCUCUUUGUCUUGGGUUUGGAAGAUGAAAAAGCUUGCCACUUUGAACCUCUGGAGGAUCAAUUUAUAUGGUGAAAUUCCCCCUUCAAUCGGAAACUUGUCUCAACUUGUGGAGUUAUCCUUUUUUGGCAACCAGUUAAGCGGUACCAUCCCAUCUCAACUCAUGAACCUCACUCAGCUAACUCAUUUGGAACUCCUAACCAAUCAACUAUCAGGUUCUAUACCUUCUUGGCUUGUGAACAUGACUCAACUAGUUGUGCUUGACCUUUCACGCAAUAAAUUCCACGGCCAGAUACCUUCAUCAAUCUAUCAACUCCAAAAUCUCCAAGUGCUCCGCCUUUUCAAAAACAACUUUAGCGGUACUGUUGAACUAGACAACUUUCUCAAGCUCAAACAAUUGGAGGUGCUCCAACUAUCAUCUAACCGGCUAUCAUGCCGCACGAGUAGCGCAAAUGUUAUUCUUCCUCAACUUGAGGCCCUAGGACUGGCAUCAUGCAAUUUGAGAGAGUUUCCGGCAUUCUUGCAAACCCAAAAGGAUAUGAAUUGGUUGGACCUAUCGGAUAACAACAUUACGGGAGAAGUGCCCUUUUGGGUAUGGGACGGAAGAUUUCAAAAUAUGCAGUACCUCAAUCUCUCCCAUAACUUCUUAACUGGCCUUGAUCGAUAUUACCCGAUCGAUCCUUUGUAUAUGUACACGAUAGACCUAUCUCAUAACAUGUUAAAAGGAUCACUCCCUGAAGCACCGCUGUCCAUAGUUUCCUAUAUAGUAUCCAACAACAGGCUGACGGGAGCAUUGCUACCAUGGGUAUGCAAUUUGAGUUCAGCAGUCACACUAGACUUGUCUUCUAACAAUUUGACUGGUGAGCUUCCGAAUUGUUUGGGCAAUAUUAGCGGAUCUCUCAUGAUAUUGAACCUAAAAGGCAACAAUUUCCACGGGAGCAUUCCCGAGGUUUUGUUGAGGGGGACGCAACUAACAAUGAUCGAUUUGAGUGACAACCAGUUGCAAGGCAAGUUACCGAGGUCCUUGGCCAAUUGCAAAAUGCUCAAGUUCAUCAACUUUGCAAACAAUCUUAUCGUGGACACUUUUCCAUCAUGGUUGGGAUCUUUACCGGAGUUUCAUGUCCUUAUUUUGCGAUCCAAUAAAUUCCACGGUGUUAUAGAGAGGCCUAAAUCUUGUCCUACUUUCCUUAAGUUACGGAUACUUGACCUCUCUAUUAAUGCAUUUGUCGGUACGUUGCCUGUGGAAUUCUUUCAGUCUUGGAAUGCCAUGAAAUCUAAGAUGGGGAACUUUUCAUACAUGCACAAAGAUCUACAUCCAUCAGCGUGGCUUUCAUACACCUACUAUGGCGAUUAUGAUUUCUCCAUGAUAGUGAUUUACAAAGGUCUUAAAUGGUAUUACCCAAAGAUACUAGAUGUCUUCACAGUCAUCGACCUAUCUAGCAAUUCGUUCGAAGGAGAGAUCCCUAGUGCCAUAGGUGAUCUCAAAGGAUUGCACGGACUAAACCUUUCCAACAAUUUCCUCACUGGUCACAUCCCAUCGUCAUUAGGGAAUCUCACAGCACUUGAGUCGUUGGACCUUUCUCGAAACAAACUCUGGGGACGAAUCCCCACGAAGCUAAUAGAACUCAGGUUCCUUUCUUUCCUAAAUUUGUCUUGCAAUAAUCUGAGGGGAUCUGUGCCCAAAGGGAAACAGUUUGAUACGUUUACGGAUGAUUCCUUUAAAGGGAACACAAGACUGUGUGGGGAAUUCAUAUCCACGAAAUGUCGAAAUUUAUGGAAUGCAUCGGGACAACCUUCAACCCAACAAGAAGAAGAUUUGGGUUCACCAAGCGAACUCAAUUGGAAAAUUGUUUUGAUGGGGUAUGGAAGUGGCAUAGUGAUUGGAGUGGUCAUCGGAAUCUCCUAGAAACAUGUUUGGUUUGAGGAAAAUAAUAGGAGAAGACGAUGGUCUAGUAGGAGGCAACCUAGGAGGGGUAGGAUUUCCUGGUCAGACAAGUUUUCUAAAUUGUGCAAAUAUCAGAAUUUCCCUAAAAAGUAAACUAGGUAUUUUUUUUUCUUAAAUGUACUUGUUUCUUCACGGUAUCUUUUCCGUUAUUUAUGUCAAACUUUCACUUUCUUCGGUUAGUUCCUCAUUACGUCUAUUUACAACCUCUCUAACAUAAACUUACACUUUGUCUUUGUUGGGAAAACAUCAAUAGGGGAAAAAUGAAAUCAAAUUAUGAGCCGUGAAUAUAAUAUCUUUAAGAAAUUAUUUAUUCCACAAAGUUGCUAAUAAAAACUAGUAAAAAUCCUUUAGGAUAUAAUAAAGUCUCAAAUGAGAAUACUAUAUAGGAACUUUAAUAUUUCUCCAAGAACUCUAAAAAAAAGGGAAAUAAUUGAAUGGCUAUAUUUCUUUUAAGAAAAGGAAAUUUGAGAAGUAAAAAUUAUUAAGACGGAAUUGAAGAAUUUAUAAUGGUGUUUUAGAAUAGAUACAACCUUUCCUCGGAAAACGUUGGAUUUUUAAUGGAUACUAUUUCAAAGGACAAACUGCAAAUUCAGACAAAAACUAAUAAUAACCGUUUUUUUAUUUGUAAAAUCUGAAUUUUAUAACUUUUGAAAAGAUAAAACCCUCCAGAAGCUAACCCACGUAGCUCAUAAUAUUCAAUUGUUAGAAAACUUCCACACUUAUAUAAUGGACCAACACUCCCAGUGGGACAAUGCACUUUUUAUUUGUUUUGCAAACAAACCAUCAACGGUCUUUUUUCUUUAUAUAAAGCCACUGUCAGCUUGUAAAUCAGGCUCGCGUAUGCCUUUUUCUAUCAAUGUUCAAGCAAAAGUGCUCCUUUCGAGCACUCAAAUCUAAAUUGGCAUAGGGAUUCUUCUUUAUUCAGGGUUUACAUCAUAAGCUGAAAUCUGUUUAACAAUUCUAUUAAACCAAUCAAUAGCACGGGUACAAUAUGUUCAUAGCUUUAUGCAAAUCUAGGCUCUCAUCUACGCUCCAAUCAUUUGCUUUGAUUGUUUGUCACCUCUCAAAUUGUGCAGACGGCAGUUGCAUUCAAAUUUUAAACGAACUUCGCAUUUGAAGAUUGACUUGCCAAGAACUAUGACAAAAGAUUCUCGUGAAUAUAUAUAUAUAUAUAUAUAUAUAUAUAUAUAUAUAUAUAUAUAUAUAUCAGUUUUGCUUCACAAUUUUUGUAAUUUGUGUGCGGUAGGAAAUAGAAUUCUCUCUCAUAGAGAAGCAGACAUACAAAUAUACAUAUGCAGAGAACCCCUAUGUUACAGUUGAAUUUCUUAGAGUUCUUACUAUGCUUACUAGUCAUGUAUUGCGUCAAUGUCGUUUGAUAUUUCUGUAUAAUCUUUUCUUUUUUCUCAAAGAAGGAUCACUUGAUAUGGUGGCUUCUUGUUGACACGAAAUUUUGCCGAUAAGAUUUCCGUCUCUGUAAAAACAAAGAAUAAUAAUAAAUCAAUUAAUGAGAGAGUCCAAUUCGGCCAUUUAUGCAAGGACCCUAAACCCAUUUGCCUUAGCCCAUCCAUUAAGUCUAAUUCGCUCACUUCACUCAGCCCACCAACACGUACCGAUCACCGCAGCCCAUGGGCCCAAAUUUGAAUUCGCAUUAAGCCACUUCGGACAGGCCCAGAUUUACAAGUUUAAUUCAGAGCCCAUAAAGCCCGUGAAGUUUGGGCCAUAAUCCAACCAUCUCUCCCUCUCUCACUCUCCAUCCGGAGGUUCAAAGAGGAAGUGAGAUGAGCGAAGGAAUUCUAGCAAGGAUGCGCGAAGCGGCACGUUUGCGGCAGAACCGACUCUCUCUCUCUCUCUAGCUUUCUCUUAACAGCAGAUGAUACACCAGAGAGCACCUUAUGGUCUGACCUCACCGGAAGUUCUUCUCUCCAGAAUUGAAUUCCAAAGAAUUCCUAGUCAACUGACUUCUCCAGACGUCGCUCACCGCCGUUGAUCGUCGCUUCAAGCCAGCUGUGAGCAAAGGCUCUGUCGCUGAAGAGCUUGAGCCGUGUUCGUUAUUUACUCUUUCGCUGAUUUUCAGUCUUCGAGUAGCUUCUAUGACUGCCUUGUGCUGGUUGGAUCUGUAUGUUUUGAUCGAACCAAUCUGCUCUGGUUUUAGCAAAUCAGAGGCAGCAAUGAAAGUGUUUUUCUUUGAUUAAUUAUUUCAAACGACAUGUUAUUUUCAAGAACAUAUUUUUCAAAAUCAUUCAUUUUAUACCGAGUAAUGUUGUACUUUCUAAUUUUUCCUUAAAGUUACUUUUUCACUUGGACAUAAUGAAAUGUCACGUCAUCAACCAAAAAAAAAAAAUCACAUUAUGCCACAUUUUGUGCUUAGUUAAGAUGAAACGACAUGUAAUUGCAUGAUAAAAAGUCACACCACAUAGACAAUUGCAAACAAUCUACUCUGUUUUUACUCAAAUAGGCAAAUAUCAAUAGAACAAUCAAGCUCAAAACAAAGUAGAUCCACCAUUGAAUUGCCUAUGGACGAUUAAUGUCCUACAAAAAUUCGCUCCGAUGGGCAACAAACAUAAUAUCAUAAUGAAUUGAAAUUAUCUUCAACAGUUUGCUUGAGCAUAAUUUAUCUCGACACAAAAUUAAGAUUGAUUGAACAAGAAGAAAUGUAUGACUAGCUCAUUGGAAAAUGUAUCCCAAAAUUUCCAAGAGAAAUCGGUGAGAAGAAUGGUUACUUUGUUCCUUCGGUCCCGUUCAAAACAUUUAAAACAUCUCCAGUUUUGUUCCUUUGAUCAUGGCAACGCAAGCUCGGUUGCACCUUAGCCUGACAUUUUAGGAUUUGUCAUUGAGUACUUACUUGGUUUUUUGGUUCGAUUUGUACUGAGAUCACGUAUGAAACCCCAAAUUAGAUGAUCAUGGGAUUUUUUAGAGGCUCAACUCAUGUCCGUCCGGACGAAUCAGGUCAUUAUAGAUAGUAUCAAAGCCGGCAAACAGGCACGAAUCGUGGGAAUUUGUCCUACCUCCUUGGUGUGGUUUUCAGCUCCAUGGCUGGAUCGCCACUGACGUCCUCGUCGGUACUAUGACAGGUUAAACUCUUAAGUAAAUUCAAGUAUUACUGAAAAUUUCAUGUUUUUCCCUUCGGCAAAUGGGGACCUUGGUUGCUGUAUUUUAACGCGUGAAGACGCCAAAAAAAGGUUGAAACAAAGGACCUCAAGAAGGUUGAGGCAUGCGUGGGUUGAUGUUCUCAGGAUUGUCCCUCGACCCGGGCCUGGAACUCACGCCCGAGCCCCAGUCUCCGGCACCCGAACUUGACACCCGGUUUGUACUUCAGACUUAUUCUCAAAUGUGUGCUUCAUAAUUUUUUAUUAACAAAUAUCAGAAAAUGACUUCGGUAUUAUUUGCAUAAUACAGCCAAACAUGCCUUGAAAAUAACAUCCCUCGGAAAAGAAAUUCCAACAAAGUUCAUUUUUCACAAAAUACAUAAAGCCUAAGGCUCCCUUUAUUUCAUGGAAAAUGCGAUAUUUUCAAAAGUCAUUUUCCAAGAAAAUAAUAAAUAUUUUCCGAUACUUGACUGAAACCUAUAAAUGAACUAGAAAACAUUUUCUUCCAUUUGGUAUAAGAAAACCCAAUUUGAUUUUCUUGGAGAAACUUAUCAAACCAUUCGAAUUUUUAACUAUAUAUAUAUAUAUAUAUAUAUAUAUAUAUAUUUUUUUCUUUCUUCCUCUACCAGUCACUGACCACCGCAAUGACCGACAACUUGCCAUAGGUGAGGGAUGAGCUCGCUCAAAGUUGAUAAGGGUCAAACUCGAUGGAUUCUAGUAAGCUGAGUCGAGCCAAGCCAACAUCAAGCGAGGCUCCACCUUGCCAAAUCUAGCGAGCUCGAGCUGUGCUAUUCUUGGGCUAGCUCAUCCUUCAUCCGUGGCUGGUCGUUGGCCAUCAUCGUGGUCAACUGAAGAAGAAGGAAAAUGAUAAAUAAUAAUAGUAAUAAUAAUAAUAAUAAUUUUGAAUUAAAAAAAAGAUGAAGAAGAAAAAGAUGAGUGAAAAUGAGUGGACUAGGCGAAAGAAAGAUGAGGAAAUAGGAACCAUUUUACCCAUUUUUGAAGGUGUUUUUUCCACUAACAAAAAAUGUUUUUCUCGACUAGUUUAUUUUCUAUGAACUGAAUAACGGACUUGGAAAAAAAUUUCCUAAAAGUUGUUUUUCAUGAAACAAACAGAGCCUAAGAUUUAGGCAAGCCCCUUUGAUUGAAUUAUGAAGUGAAUGUAAUGAAUUUGUUGUUCCCAAACUAUGUAUUUUGUAGUAAAUAUAGCGCUAAUAUUGCGAACAAAAGUUCAAGAUAGAGCAGACACAAGGCAAAUUAGAGGGACCAAAUGAGCAACCAAAGUCUCCAAUCUCACCCUUCCAUUUGUCGCAUCACAUAGACUUGUUUGCUGUUGUCACAACUCAUAAAAUGCAUCCUUUGUCUAUGAAUGUAGGGAAAACUUAGUACAGCUUUUUUAUUGCUUACAAAUUAAACAUCCAUUUCGGUUGAAGGUAAAGUGAGCCGAAUUUUACUUUUAGAUUGCAUGAUCCAUUCAUACAUAUCUAUCAUACCUCUUGCAUCCAGAUCUUAGCUUGCUCAGAUAAAAUCGCUUAAUUACCAUUUCUCCACGAUGAAACUCAUUGAGGUACCUUUUGCUUUUGUGUAUUCAUCUUUUAGAUCUUGAUGGUGCCAACGAUAUUGUAUUUUUGUCUCUGGUUUCUAUUUGUUUCAGGCAUAAACAAAACAAGAAAUAGGGAAAUAUUAGGUGACAACGUUGGAUUAGUGCACGAUACAAACACGCUAUUACACAGACAAUCACCCUUAUAAGUGAGACUGUUCGAAAUUCUAGGAGCAACAACCUGCACAAGAUAGGGGGCCAGUUCCACCUCUAUUAUCCCUCUCAAGAAGCCAUACUAUUCAAAAUUUUGAACAAUAUUAAUUUCUCCAAAUGCACUGCACAACAGAAAUUUCAUUCCUCAUCUGUGACCAAAGGAUAUGUUCACCAAUUAUGCAUUCAGAGUCAAAACAACACUAAAAUUGCAAACAAAGAGGUUCCGCUGAGAGCAACCAUCUGGAGAACAAAAGGGGUCAAAUGAGCAACCAAAGUCUUUUUAAUUUUCGACACUCAAUUCAUACCAUUUCAGACUUAUUUUCCACCAUCACAACUUAUGAAAAGAUACAUUUGACUAGAAUGGAGGGAAUAACCUCAACCCAUCUCUUAACCAUACAAACUGUUCAUUUUUUCUCCCCACAGAAGACUUUCUUGCAAAUUUUUUGACUAACUGCUCACCCAAGUCUUCCGUGUAAAUAUAGAUCUAUUGGCUGAAUUUUCGGUCAAUCAAUUAUUUGUCGGUUCGGGGCCGAAUUUUUUCCUUAUGUUUUCGGGUAGCUAUCAUGUUACGGCACCGCACAAGGUCAUGCUCAUGCACCUAAAGAUUCAUAUGCAUUGUCAAUAUUUUUUUGUGUUUUAUCACUGUCAAAAUCAUUGAUUUGAUCUUCACCAAAAAAAAAAAUCAUUGAUUUGAUGCAUCGUUGUGCGUUCGUGUGGCAUGCUCACCUAUGCACGGAGGGGCCACCUAUAAAAUUGCUUUCCCAGUAGCAUUGCUCUGCACACAGUCAAAAAAGCAUAUUUAAGAACAAAAUGGAAUUAUACCUCUCGAAUAUCUUUGAGUCAAAUUGCACAGAGCAACCGUCGAGCGAACGAAAGGGUCAAAUAAGCAACCAGAGUCUCUAAUUUCAACUCUCAAAUUGCACCAUUGCAUAGACUUUUUUUACCAAUGUCACCACAUACAAACUCUUCAUCUUAUCUUCCCAGAGAGGGAAUUUUUAUGAAGGGGCCAUCAUACUGUUACUACAUGACCCCUUUGGUCUGCAAGCUUCCAUGCAAAUAGAGAUCUAGAGGCUGAAUUUUCAGUCAAUGGAGCGCUUGUCAAUUUGACCCUGAAGCUUUUUCUUAUGUUCCUUGGUAGCUACACACUACGGCACAGCACAAAAUCAUGUUGUCAUGCACCUAAAGAUUCAUAUGCAUUGCCCAAGUUCUAUGUGUUUUAUCACCAAAAUAUGCAUAAGAAUAAGAGAUUUGUUAGGAUUUGAUUAUAGAAAUAUUCGUAAAGUAUUUUUUUUUUUUUAAAGUCGAGAAUCCAGCCUAGCUUAGCUUACGGGAGCACAGCACCGACUAUACCUUAGGGGAGACUAGCCCAACAACCCACCAACCGGGGGCCCUCGCUUAAGUCACAGAACUACAUUGGGAGUUGUGGCGGACUCUAAGAGUCAAACCUCUGACCUGGCAGUCUGGACGCCAAGCCUCAACCAGCAUGGUGGGUGGGUAAUAUUCGUAAAGUAUCAUCUCUUCAAUUUUUAAAUCAUUCAUUUUCCACGAAAUAAACAGAAUUCUAAGUAUAAAUUGUGUGUAAAUCUUAUAUAACUGAGCUUUUGCCAUUUUGAACUCAUUAUGUUGCUUUGGAGGUGAUAUGGAGUCAAAUCGUUGAUAUAUUACUAUGCGUAGCAUUAGAUUAAAAUGUCAGCUACGUGUUUGAUGAUUUUUUGAGGGAAUCUAUGUACGAAUUUGAGUAAAAUUCUUGCACAUGAGUGUUUGGUUGAUCGUUACAUGUUCAGACUAAGACGUAUAUGUUUGAUCCUUUCAAUUGCAACUUUGAAUUGAUCUGCCGAGACCUCCUAUCUUGCCUACUCAAUGUCAUACGUGACUAUAUGUGAAUUCAUCCAUUUAUUUUUAUUUUUUUUGUGAUAAUUACUUGUAGUAUUAUACAACGAACCACAUUGAUAGUGAUAAGUAUUUAUCAUAUAAUAAAACCUUGAUGUAGGACUUUAUUCUCAUUUUAGUAAUAAGAAUUUUCUCAUGUGAUAUAACUUAAAUUCAGAAAAAGAGAUGUGAGAAUAAAAUAGCAUUUAACCUUUAACCUGCCUUUGAUCUUAUAUAUAUAUAUAUGGUCAUUGGUCAAUCACAUUCAAAUGUUAAUUACCACAAUAUGUGUGAAGCUACUGUUUUGUACAUCAAUUAGAUUACCAAAAUACGUAUAAGAAGUAGAGAUUUUAUAGCAUUAGAGAUUUUAAAGUCAUUAAAAAAAAAUUUCUAGGGAAAAUUCAGAUGUGAGAGUGGCACAUCAUUCAACCACCGUGCGAACUUUACCCACUUACAUGUUUGUAGGUAUGUAUGUAUGUCCAUAAGUAUGGGCGAUAUGGGCGACCUUUUUAAGAUUUUGAUGGUUACAUAGCGGAAAAAUGAAAAUAGAGACUUUUCGUUAGUAAUGGAACUUAUUUGGAGAGGUAUUUUAAAAAUAUACAUUUCAGUUUUGUCUGUUUACUUUGUCUUAGAUCUUGAUGGAACCAACAAUAGUCUAGUUUUUAUCUGUGGUUUCUAUUCAUUUCGACGAUAUAGAUAGAACAAGCAACAAGAAAAUAUUAGGCAACAAUAGUUGUUUAUCAUACAAUACAAUGCCCUAUUGAACAUCGACAAUCGCAUUUAUUUUACCUUUCUUCUCGCUCUCAAUAAGACUGUUCCAAGUACUAAACAAUCUUAAUUUCUCCAAACAUUGUAAACAGUGUAAAUUACAUUCCGCAUCAGUGACCUAAGGAAAUGUCCCCAAAUCACGAAUUCAUAGUCAAAAUGGCACUAACGUUCCCGAACAAAGAAGUCCAACACGGAGCAACCUAAGUCUUCAACUUCGACCCUUAACUAUUAACAUUUCAUAUACUUUUUGGCUGCUUUCUCCACGGUUGACCCAAGUCUUCCAUGCAAAUGUAGAUUUAUUGGCUUGAGUUCUCGUUAUGUUCCCUGGCGGCUACUCGUUAAGUCACUGGACAAAGUAAUGCGCCCGCACCUAAAUAUUCAUAGGUACUGCACAUAGUCGGUGUGUUUCAUCACUCUAAAAGCCAUUGAUGCGACGCUUCCUAGCUUGAGAUGCGGCGUGUUCAUAUCCCUAGGCACCAAGCUCCACCUCUAAAAUCUGCUUCACUCUCUCAUAGUCCGGUCAUCACAAACUAAGUUGUCUAUGUUUGGAACAAAAUGGCUUCCUCAUCGUGCUUCUACACGUCCAUACACUUUCUUUUCUCGUAUCUAUCAUAUCAGCCAAUCGGUGCACACAAUCUCUCUCAUUCUAUAAAACCUCUUUGUCUCGAGAACGAAAUGAAUACCCUGCUGCAGUUUAAAGAGAAAUAUGAAAUCGCCAAUUUUUUGGAUGAUCCUCUCGCUCGUCCCAUGACCCUGUCCUGGAAAAAUAGUCAGGAUUCCUACUCUUGGGAUGGGAACGAGUGCUACAAGAACACGGGCCAUAUAAGUGUUCUUGACCUGGGAAGGAGUUUUCUUUAUGGUUAACAACAACAGUAUCCUCUUCCAGCUUGCUCAUCUUGAAAAACUCAAUCUCAGCAGCAAUCACUUCAACUACUCUCAAAUACCAUCCCAAGUUGGAGAUCUCUUGAGAUUGACUCAUCUCGAUCUCUCUGCUUCCGUUUUUUUUUUUCGGCUAGGUCCCAAUAGAAAUCUUCAAGCUGACGAGGCUGGUGUACCUCAACCUAUGUUGCAAUGAGAAUCUAUAUGGUCCACAUCAUUUUAGUUAUAAACAUUUGUUGGAGAUGAAAGCGCCGGGCCUGAGAAGCCUAGCUCAAAAUCUGACUAGCCUGGAAGAACUUCUUCUUGGUUCCGUCAAAAUGCCGUCCCUACCCAAUACUCUGGCGAAUUUGUCUUCACUGAGAAGGAUGGUCAUGGCUGUUUCCUACCUGCACGGUGUAUUUCCGUUUGCCAUUGGGGGAGUCACCGAAGUUGCGAUAUCUUGGGGUGGGUAACAAUUGUGUUCUCACAGGCCGACUGCCGGACUUAAACUCAAGCAAUCCCCUUGAAGAGCUACAACUGCCACUCACGAGCUUUUCUGGAGAGCUACCCGCUUCAAUCGGAAUCCUUCCUUCCUUGAGCUAUCUCGACGUAAGUAAUUGCAAAUUCUCAGGAUCCAUCCUGGCUUCACUUGCUGAUCUUAGCAAUCUCAAAUACCUAAAUGUCUCAAUAAACCCAUUCACUGCCCAAUCCAUCUCCUUUUUUUCUUGGGUUGGGAAGAAGAAGAAGCUCACAACUUUGGCACCCGAAAAGAUCAAUUUAUAUGGCAAGAUUCCACCUUCAAUCGGAAACUCGUCUCAACCUAUGGAGUUAAACUUUGCUGACAACCAAUUAAGCUGUGCCAUCCCAUCUCAGCUCAUGAACCUCACCCAGCUGACUUUUUUAGUCCUCGCAAGCAAUCGAUUAUCGGGUUCUGUUCCGUCUUGGUUUAUGAACAUGACUCGACUGGUCAUGCUUGAACUUGCAGUCAAAAAAUUCCACGGCGAGAUACCUUCAUCAAUCUCUCAACUUCAAAAUCUCAAGGUCCUCCACCUUUACGAAAGCAACUUCAGAGGUACUAUUGAGCUAGAUAACUUUUACCCGAUGCAUGCUUUAUAUACGUACACCAUAGACCUCUCUCAUAACCUGUCGAAAGGACCACCCCCGAAGCACUAUCGUCAACAAUGUCCUAUGUAUAUCCAACAACCACCUAACGGGAGCAUUGCCAGCAUGGAUUGCAAUUUGAGUUCAGCAAUCACACUAGACUUGUCUUCUAAAAAUAUGACUAGUGUGCUUCCUAUUUUGUGGGCAAUAUCAGCGAAUCACUCGUUAUUGAACUUGAAAGGCAACAAUUUCCACGGAAGCAUUCUAGAGCUCUCGAUGAGGGGGAUGCAAUUGACGAUGCAAUUGACAAUGCUUCAUUUCAGCGAUGACCAGUUGCAAGGCAAUUUAUCAAGGUCCUUGGCCAAUUGCAAAAAGCUCAAGUUCAUCAACUUUGCAAACGUUCUUAUCAUGGAUACCUUAGAGCUUCGUAUUCUUAUUUUGUGACCCAAUAAAUCCCACAAUGUCAUAGAGGGGCCUAAAUCUAGUCAUGCGUUCCUUAAGUUGCAAAUACUUGACCUCUCUUCUAAUGCAUUUAUUGGUAAGUUGCCCAUGGAAUUCUUUCAAUCUUGGAAUGCCAUGAAAUUCGAGACGCGGAACUUUACAUACAUGCACAGAGAUCUAUAUCUGCCAAUAUACCUUGUGGGCACCUACUAUGGCUAUUACUAUUUUUUCCAAAGCAGUGAUCUACAAAGGGCUUAAAUGGUAUUACCCAAAGAUAUCAGAAGUCUUCACGAUCAUCGACCUCUCUAGAAAUUUGUUAAAAGGAGAGAUCCCUAGUGCCAUAGGUGAUGUCAAAGGGCUGCAAGGGCUGAACCUUGCCAAUAAUUCCCUCACUAGUCACAGCCCAUCAUCGUUAGAAAAUCUCACAACACUUGAGUUAUUGGACCUUUCUUGAAAUAAAGUCACUAGACAAAUCCCCCAAAAGCUAACAGAACUCGGGUUCCUUUCUUUCCUAAACGUGUCUCACAACAAUCUGACCAAGUCUAUGCCUAGAGGAAAACGGUUCGAUACGUUUUUGAACGGUUCUUUUGAAGGAAACUAAGGACCAUCUGGGAAAUUCAUGUCCCCAAAAUGUAGAGAUUCAGCAAAUAAGUUAGGACAACCUUCAACCUACCAAGAAUAAGACCUGGGAUCACCAAUUGAACCUGAUUGGAAAAUUGUUCUUUUGGGGCAUGGGAGUGGCUUAGUGAUUGGAGUGGCCAUUGAAAAUGCAUUCAUCUCUCGGAAACAUGAUUGGUUUGAAGGAAAUGCCAAGAGAAAGCGAUGACUUAGUCGGAGGUAGCCCAAAAGAGGUAGGAAAUCCUAGUCAUGCAAGUUUUUUAAUCUAUACAGAAAUUAGAACUUCCUUAAAAACUUAGUUGGGUAUAUCCUUCUUUUUCUCAAAUGUACAUGCUUCUUCGUAGUAUCUUUACAGUUAUUUAUGUCAACCUUCAUUUUCUUCAACUAAUCUCUCAUCGCAACUAUUUAUAGAGCCAUUGUCAACUUAUAAACCUAGCUCAUGUGCACCUUUUCCAAUCAAUGUUCAGGCAAGAGUACUACUGUGACAUCCUGAAAUUCGAGCCCUAUAAGGGAUGAAUGAAUGUGAAUUUCGUCAAUGCAUUGUUGGUUAAUCUCACUCGGAAUUGAUCACUCCUGAGAUACUGACCUUGAGGGGAAAGACUAAUGAGGACAAAACUUGUACGACUAAAGGACUCGACCUGGGAAAACGACUUGACCAUGAAACUUGGGUGAGGAUGAUCCUGUAGAUAGGCAGGCCGAUUCUAAGGACGACUAGAAGUCGAUUUGCGGACAGAACAUAAUAGAACGACGGGUGAUUCCGUUUACCAUUAUCGAACUCGCGAAUGACCCUAUGUCGAUCCUCAGUGAUCGUGUACUUUGAAAUAAGAAUCUAUCCUCCGUAAUUUCGUGCAGUCAAGGACGUCCAUGCGUCGAGAUGUCUUGAACGUGGUUUGGCACAAGUCGGUUACGCGUGAAUCCUCGGAGCCACCUGUCAGUCUGAGUUGUGAUCGAAAUGGCAUUAGGCAAAAUUGACAUGGCUUGAGGACUAAAGAUUGAGCUUCGAAUUAUCGGGAAUGUCCGAGACAGACAUUAGAUGAAGCUGCUUCAACAGUCGACAGAGCCAGUGAAGCCGAGCAAUUGAAAAAGGGAUUUUCGGACCGAGGAAGCAAGCCCGUGAGGAAGUGGGCCGAGCCAAGCCAGUGUGGGCCUUAGGCCCAAGUUGGGACAGCCACCAAAGGGGCUUAAGUCAAGCAAAUGAGCCCAUUGGGCCAAACCAACUAUUCAUCUUCUAAGCCCAUGGGCCAAUUCUUGGCCAUUUCAAGCCCAUCCAAUUCCCAAGCCCAUUCCUAUUCAUGGCCAAGCCCAAUCCUUAGGCCCAUCCACCAAUUUCAGCCCAAGGUCAGAUGAGUAAUUUGUGCAAGGUGGAAAUGACCUAAAUGCCCCUAAAAGCAUGUGGAUAAGGCAAAGGAAGAGAGAGAAGAUGAUGUCACUUUGUAUGGGGAAUUGAAGUGGCCAUUUAAUGGCCUUAAUGAGGUGUGACACCAGCCCUCACAUCUCUCUCUCUCCCCCAUUUGGCCUCCAUGCGGACGAGCUCCUCUCUUCCUCGUUUUCCCUCUCCUCCAGUUUCUGCUCCAGCUGACCCUUCGAUGAAGAAUCGAGUCAAAAGUGGUCUUCCCGGAUGAAUCAGCCAAUGAGCCACCUAUCACCGUGACCGGGAGAGACAGACCAUUCCAACGAGCCCAAUUUUGUCCCGAACAGAGCUUCCGGCCGUCCUGUACGGCCGUCUCAAGACACCGGUCGCCGGACCGCCUGGUUCCGCCCUACUUCGCCUGUUUCGACUUUGCAGCCCGUUUUCUUCCAUUCCAGCCGUUCCUUUGCUCAUCCCAACCACCCACAAGAUCCCCAAGACCCUCGGGAGCCACCGGUUGCCGACAAACCCCUUGCCGGAGCUCCGGCCAAGCCGUUCAACUUGUUUUCUUCUUCGGCAGGGCUAUUUUUCAGAAGUUUCAGUGGGAGUCCGAGCUGUGGUUGCUGUGUUGAGCUUGGGACCGCCUUGGAUCGUUGUGGUAGAGGUCCCAGAGCGUCGCUCCGUCGUCACCGCCGCGUCGGUGCCUCCAGCCGCUACGGGUGAGUUUAGCUCCUAAUCCUGAUAGUGCCUAAACUUGCUUANNNNNNNNNNNNNNNNNNNNNNNNNNNNNNNNNNNNNNNNNNNNNNNNNNNNNNNNNNNNNNNNNNNNNNNNNNNNNNNNNNNNNNNNNNNNNNNNNNNNNNNNNNUGCUUUAUUUGCUUAAUGUGAUUUAUGUGGUUAAUUAAGUAUGCUUGGCUUUAAUUAAUUGAUGGUUGCUUUAAUUAAUGCUUUUAAUGAUUUCUGAAUUUAAUUUAUAGUUUAUUAAAUUCUGGGAAUUUACUGUUCAAGCGACACUAUUCAUGAUUACUGUUCACGAGUACUGUUCACGAUUUACUGUUCAUGAAAUACUGUUCACCGAGUACUGUUCACGAGCACUGUUCAUCCAGAAUGCGAAAAAUGUCUAAAAUUCAUGUGUGCUGAUUUUAUGAAGUGAAUGGAUGUGUAAAUGCAUGGGCAUCCGCAUGAAUUGAGUGAUGACUUGUGUAAUUGUGUGAGUGAUUGUGAAAUAUAGGUAUUUUAAUUAGAAAAUACUGGGCGUCGGUUUACAACGCCAAAAAUGUGUAUAGUGGAUCCAUGGUAGGUUAUACAUCACCUCGGAGAAGGCACGUGGGCUCGGUGAGUUGGUCUAUCACCUGGGAGAAUGCACGUGGGCUCGGUGAUUAAGUAUGGCAUCUUGAAAGAGACACGUGGGCUCGGUAAUUUGAUGCAUUACCUCAGAGAAUGCACGUGGUCUUAAUGAGUACAUUUGGCAUCUUGAAAGAGACACGUGGGCUCAGUAAUUUGAUGCAUUACCUCGGAGAAUGCACGUGGUCUCAAUGAGUACAUUUGGCAUCUUGAAAGAGACACGUGGGCUCGGUAAUUUGAUGCAUUACCUCGUAGAAUGCACGUGGUCUCAAUGAGUAUAUUUGGCAUCUUAAAGAGACACGUGGGCUCGGUGACUUGAUGCAUCGCCUUGGAGAAUGCACCUGGGCUCACUGAUUCAAUAUGGCAUCUUAAAGAGACACGUGGGCUCAGUGACUUGAUGCAUCGCCUUGGAGAAUGCACGUGGGCUCACUGAUUCAGUAUGGCAUCUUAAAGAGACACGUGGGCUCGGUGACCUGAUGCAUCACCUUGGAGAAUGCACGUGGGCUCUAUGAAUAAGUAUGUCGUCUUGAAGAAUGCAUGUAGGCUCGACGACUAGAUAUUCCAUCAUGAGAGAAAUGUACGGUAUCAAUUAAGCGACCGAGGCAAGGUCAAGUUGACAUGUAAUCAACUGAGUCGAUUGGUCGAUAGCUCGAUCUGAAUCGAUGCAUUGAUGUGUGAAAUUGUUAUUUGCAUUAAUUAUAUGCGUGAGUGAAUCACAUCGUUUAUGGCACACACGCAUGAAUCGAUAACAUGCAGAGUGUGGCAAUGGCCAGGUGAAAUUGCUUGUGACGCGACUCGUAUGUGAUUGAUGAAAUGUAUCAGCUAAUGGCCAUGUGCUUUGUGUGUAUCAUGCUGAGUGACAUCGUGCAGGGUAUGGCAUACCAGGUAAGGUUGUAUGCGAAUCGACUGUUGGUUGUUGCUUGUGGUGGGGUAGUUCUGGAUAGAUACCCCGAGUUGAGUUGGUGUACUAACCGGGGCUUAGGGGUGGAACUUGCUGAGAUUUAUAUCUCACUAGUUAUUGAAUAACCAUUUUCAGGUCCCUAGUGUGAAGAGCCAGGAGCUUGAAGCGGAAGAGUCAGGAGCAUAGGUGGCUCAAUAGUUCUUUAUGACAUAGUCCUUCUGUAUAAGCUUGAAAUGUUUAUAAAAGUGUAUUUGAUUUGAAAUUGGUUGUCCUGCUUUUCUAUCACAUGUAUAUUGUUGUCAGGGGAUUAGUUAAUUUGCUUCCGCAUGUGUAAUAAAAAGAAAAGGGUCGGCGACGCGUCCUGGGAACGUCGCAAAUUUCUAUCGACCACCGAGGGAUGUGCGCGCGCUCGAGGUUUGGGGCGUGACAACUACUAUCGAACACUCAAAUCUGAAUUGCCACAAAGACUUUUUCUAUCUAGGGUUUACAUCACUUGCUGAAACCCAUUUACGAGUUCUAGUAAAACAAUCAAUAGCAAUGGUACAAUGUUCUUAUAACUUUAUGCAAAUCUAGACUCUCAUCUGCACCUCGAUCAUUUGCUUUAGUUAUUUUUCGCCUCACAAAUCAUACAAUCAACAGUUGUAUUGACAUUUGAAACAAAAUCCGCAUUUGGAGAUUGAUUGGACAAGAACCAUGACAAAUGGUUCUCGUGAAAUGUAUACAUCACUUUUGCUUUUCGGAUCUUUUAUUUAUAUUUGUGCGGUAAAAUAUCAAAUUCUUUUUUACAAAGCAGCAUAUCAUGCUGAGAACCAACAUGGCACAGGAGAAUUUCCUAAAUUUCUUACCAUGCUUGCUAGUCAUGUACUUGGUUAAUGUAAUUUGAUUUACCUAUUUAAUCUUUUCUUUUUUUUCUCUAAGAAGGAUCAUUUGAUAUAUUGACUUAUUGUUGACACAAGAUUUUAUGCCGAUAAAUCAAGUUUCUAUCUUUGUAAAACCACGGAAAAUAGUAAUAAAUCAAUAAACGAGAGAGUCCAAUUCGGCCAUUUAUGCGAGGACCUAAACCCAUUUGCCUGAGCCCAUCUAUUAAGAUAAAGUCGCUCACUUCAGCGCGGUCCACUAACCCAGACCACUAGUCAAGCCCAUCAGGAAUUUGGCUACCCAUGAGCCUAGCCCAUGAAGCCCAAAUCUAAAGUCGCAUUAAGUAACUUCUGCACAGGCCCAGAUUCACAAGUUUAAGUCGGAGCCCACAAAGCCCGUGAGAGUUUAGCCCAUAAAGCGCGCGGGGACUGGGAAGAACGAGACGCUGGCAACAGAACCGGCUCUCCCUCUAGCUUCCUCUCUAAUCCAACUGACUUUGGUAAUUCCUUCUCUAUAGAAUCCAAUUUCAGAGAAUUCAUAGUUGAUCCUUCUUCUCCGGACAUCGCUCACAGUCUCCGCUGUUGAUGGUCGCUUCAAUCCAUCUCCAUCGCCACAAGAAAAAGGCUCUGUUCGCCCUAUUCUCGGUCAUUGUCACUGAAGAGCUUGAGUGGCGGUUCGCCAUUUAUUCUUUCGCUGAUUCCCAUCUUCGAAGUUUGCUUCUGUGACUGUCUUUCUCUGGUCCAGUCAAUAAUCAUUGCAGGUAACAUCCUUUGUUUACGAACCGUAUCUGCUCUGUUUUUGCUUAAAGACAGAGGCCGAGAAUCCUACAUACUGCCUGUGUAUAAAUCUUAUGUAACCGAGCUUCUACCGGGGGGUUGAACUCAUCGUGUUUUGGUGAUGAUAUGGAGACAAAUUUCUGGCAUGCCACUUAGCUCAUAAGCGGCCUUAAUAGGCUAAUGACUACUCCCAAGUACAUUACGAUUUUAUAGACAAAUCAAAAUCAAUCGAUUUUUUCAUGAUAUGUGAGAUAAGAAUUUGGAAGAACUCAGGUGAAAAGCCUCGCCAAAUGAAGGCAAACACCUCAAGUAUGGUGAAGACCGUUAGAUCCCUACUUGGCGUUAUCUCUAAACACGCUCACCCUAUAACCCUACUAUAGGGAGGGUCAUGACACUUCUUUCAACUAAUUUAAUCACUUGGAAUGGUUCUCAAGAUAGAGUUUGGUUAACUAUAGCUUGAAGUUAAUGUCAAAUGACUUUAAACGCAACGCAUAAUUGAAUCGCAAGAAAAUUUGGGUUUUACUAGGAAAGUCCGAAUAGAACUCUUGCCAACAACAUCUUGGGUGACUUUAAAACAGGAAAUUUGACUUCUCACAAGGCUUCCUUUCUUUAUUAAAGUUGAAGUCCACGUUGACGUCAGAGAAUGGCUCAUAGUAUUUUUGAAUAAAAAUAUUCUGUUGUUGAGUUUGAUCUUUGAUGCAUAGUGGCUGCGCUUAAUAUUCGCAUAAUGUAUUGCAGAAGUUCCAACGGGAGAAUUGAGAACACGAGAAAACUCCUUUGUUGUGAUUAAUUCCUAUAAGUUCAGGUGCCAUCUAAGAUUUGGAAACGCCUAAGAAUUGAGUAUUCAUGCAAUUACAAUCUCCUCUUUGUUAGUUAUAGUAGAAUUAUCUCAUUGAUCUCUCACCGUGGAGUAGAUCACCUCCAAAUCACCUAAAUUUUACUGUGUUUACAUUUUAUAUCUGUAAUUUAUUUCUUGCUCAAUCCCCAUUUCCUUUGUUUGUGGCUCCGCAUUAGUCGUAUCAGGACUUAUGUCCCUUUCUUUGCAGAUAUGACCUUAAAUAUUAGUAUACGUUAUUAUUACGUAGUAGUGACCACAAUCUUGGUAAUAUUCUACAUUCCUUUGAGCCACCUGUUUUGGUUUCAAGAUUAGGAGCAACUCUUUUAGAUAAACCGGAUUCAGAAACAAAAAUUACACCAUAGAUGCAUGGGAAACUGCUUGGGUACAACCUAAUGGAAGGUUCAUUUAUGAAUUUCACAUCAAAACUUUUGCAGUGGCGAAACUUACAUGCUUUGUAAGAGGAAAAUGAGUGGUUUUGGCCCACUGCUAGAUUAAAUGAUCCGGUUAAAACUCAAGUUGAACUGUGUGGAACUUUAAAGCCGUGCUCUCCACCAGAUGGAGUUGCCUUCUUAAGGCUUGUUUGGCAACUUGCCAAAGAAUAAAAAUUUCUAUUAUUUUAUUCUCAGGAGAAGAUUUAGAACAGAAAUCCGUUUGGCAAAAUUUUUGCUUUUGGAAAUAAAUUUCUUUUUGGGAAUAGAUUUGGAGUAGAAUUGAGAAGUAAAAAAAAAAAAAAAUUGAUUCUUUGUUUGCGAAAACAAUUCCAAAAUCAAACCAACCAAAAUACUUUUUUUUUCUUUGUUCUCUUCUUCUUUUCUUCUUGUUCUUCUUCCUUCUCUCUUCUUCUUACAACGCCGCCGCCGUCUGCCACCGCUUGUUACCAGCAAUUGGUUGGGCGAGCUCAAAUGAGCUCACUGGGUGCUCACCAAAUUUGGUGAGUCCAAGCAUCGUCGGUGGCUAGGCAGGCCUCCCUUGGCCACCAGCAAGCCUUGCCUAGUUGGGCGAUGCUCGACCGAGGCCCACCUAUCCGGACGAGGCUCGCCCAGUCACCGACAAACCUCCCCUAGCUAGGCGAGGCUCACUCGUCUCGUGAGCGGCUGGAUGAGCUCAGCCUCACUAGAUCUGGGCAAGGUCAAGCCUCACCUAGCUAAGGCUUGGCCGAGCCUUAACCAACUGUCGACAAGGCUCGGCCGACGAGGUGCAGCCUCGCCAAGGGUUGACGACGCUCCAUGAAGUCACCAAUCAUCCUGAGGCCAGUAACUAGUCAAAGCUUAAAAAAAAAUGAAAAGAAAAAAAGUAAUAAAAUUAUUUAAAACGUUAAAAGAAAAUAGUUUGGAUUAGAAAUUUUUUAGAAUGAUAUCAAAUGCAAUUUUAUCCGAGAAUAUAAAUUUUGGGUAAUCACCAAACGCAUUAAAAUAUUUAGAAGUUAUUUUCGAUAAUAAAAUAAAGAAUAAUCAUUUUUGACAAAAAAUUGUUCUCGAGAAAUUACCGUGCGUAUCCUUAAGCUCUAAAUGUUAAGAUUUCACUCAAGCUGAUGCUGGGACCUUAACUAAGCAGAAGAAGGCACUAUUGACGUGCGAUACGAGUUACGCGCGUCACUUGUCGCUUUUCCUUUUUCCUUUCUUCUGCUUUUGCUUUUUACCGUUCUUUCUUUUCUUCUUUUUUCCCCUCUCUCUUGCGUGCUUUCCCCUUACGUCCACUUUCUCCUUUUUGUUGUCUAGUCAAACUUUUUUCUCAUUUUUUCUUUUGUUGUCAUCAUUUUUUACUUUUUGACCCAUCCAACGGUCAAAUAUGUAAAUUAUUAGACAAUCUACUUUGCUCGACCGAGCCUUGUCUAACCAAACAAGGCUCGCCCACCCACGAGCAAACCUCACCUAGCUUGGUGAGCCUCGAUCUCACCUAGAUCUAGCAAUGCUAAGCUCGCCCCAUCAGCGGCUAGGCGAGCUAGACCUCACUACAUCUGGGCAAGGUUGAGCCUCGCCAAGCUAAGGCUCGGCCAAGUCUUGACCAACUAUCGGCAAGACUCAACCAACGAGACGUAGCCUCAACGAGGGUUGGCGACGCUCCACGAAGUCAUCGGUCAUCUUGAGACCGGUAACCGGCCAAAGCUUGAAAGAGAAAAGAAGGAAAAGAAAAAAAAUUAAAAUUAUUUGAAAAAUUAAAAGAAAAUGAUUUAGAUUAAAAAUUUUGAGAAUAAUAUCAAAUGCGAUUCUAUCCCAAAAAUAAAAAAUUUGGACAAUCACCAAAUGCGUUAAAAUAUUUAAAAAUUAUUUUCGAGAAUAAAAUAAAAAAGAAUCAUUUUUUAUUAAUAAAAAAUGUUCUCGAGAAAUUAUUAAACGUAUCCUUAGGCUCUAGGUGCCGUGAUUUUACUCAAGCUAAUGUUGGGACUUUGACUAAGGCCCCGUUGGUUGGACUUAAUAUUCGCAUAAUGUAUUGCGGAAGUUCCAACGGGAGAAUUGAGAACAUGAGAAAACUCCUUUGUUGUGAUUGAUUUCUAUAAGUUCAGGUGUCAUUUAAGAUUUGGAAACGCCUAAGGAUUGAGUAUUCAUGCAAUUACAAUCUCCUCUUUGUUAGUUAUAGUAGAAUUAUCUCAUUGAUCUCUCACCGUGGAGCAGAUCACCUCCAAAUCACCUAAAUUUUACUGUGUUUACAUUUGAUUUCUGUAAUUUUAUUUCUUGCUCAAUCCCCAUUUCCUUUGUUUGUGGUUCCGCAUUAGUCGUAUCAGGACUUGUGUCCCUUUCUUUGCAGAUAUGACCUUAAAUAUUAGUAUACGCUAUUGUUACGUAGUAGUGACCACAAUCUUGGUAAUAUUCUACAUUCCUUUUGGCCACUUUUCGUUUCAAGAUGCUAUUAUUACGUAGUAGUGACCACAAUCUCGGUAAUAUUCUACAUUCCUUUUGGCCACCUGUUUUGGUUUCAAGAUUUUUUUUUUUUUUUUGGACAAUUUUGGUUUCAAGAUUAGGAGCAACUCUUUUACAUAAACCGGAUUCAGAAACAAAAAUUACACCAUAGAUGCCUGGGAAACUGCUAGGGUACAGCCUAACCGGAGGGUUCAUUUAUGAAUUUCACAUCAAAACUUUUGCAAUGGCGAAACUUACAUGCUUUGGAAGAAGAAAAUGAGUGGUUUUGGUCCAUUGCUAGAUUAAAUGAUCUGGUUAAAACUCAGCUGAGCUGUGUGGACUUUAAAGCUGUGCUUUCCACUAGAUGGAGUAGCCUUCUUAAGGCGUGUUUGGCAACUUAUCAAACAGUAAAAAUUUCUAUUCUUUUAUUCUCAAAAAAAGAUUUAGAACAGAAAUCUGUUUGGCAAAAUUUUUGUUUUCAAGAAUAAAUUUCUUCUUGGGAAUAGAUUUGGAGUAGAAUUGAGAAGUUAAAAAAAAAAAAAAAGUUGAUUCUUUGUUUACGAAAACAAUUCCAGAAUCAAACCAACCUAAAUACUUUUUAUUCUCUUUUCUCUUCUUCUUUUCUUCUUGUUCUUCUUCCUUCUCUCUUCUUCUUACAACACCGUCACUGUCUGCCACCGCCCAUCACUAGCAAUCGGUUGGGCGAGCUCCAAUGGACUCACUGGAUGCUCAUCGGAUCUGGUGAGGCCAAACAUCGUCAGUGGCCAGGCAAGCCUCCCCUGGCCACCGACGAGCCUUGCCUAGUUGCGCAAUGCUCGACCAAGGCCCACCUAUCCGGAUGAGGCUCGCCCAACCACCGACAAACCUCACCUAGCUUGGCAAGGCUCGAUCUCAUCUAGAUCUAGUGACGUCAAGCUCGUCUUGCUAGUGGCUGGGCAAGCUCGGCCUCACUAGAUCUAGGCAAGGUCAAGCCUCACCUAGCUAAGGCUCAGCCAGCCUUAACUAGUUGUUGACGAGGCUCGGCCAAUGAGGUGCAACCUCACCGAGGGUCGACGACAUUUCACGAAGUCACCGGUCAUCUUGAGGCCAACGACCAGCUAAAGCUUGAAAAAGAAAAUAAAAGAAAAAGUAACAAAAUUAUUUAAAAAAUUAAAAGAAAAUGGUUUGGAUUAGAAAUUUUGAGGAUAAUAUCGAACGCAAUUCUAUCCGAUAACAAAAAUUUCGAGUAAUCACCAAACGCGUAAAAUAUUUAAAAAUUAUUUUCGAGAAUAGAAUUAAAAAAAUUUUGACUAAAAAUUGUUCUCAAGAAAUUACCAGACAUAUCCUUAAGCUCUAAAUGUUGUGAUUUCACGCUGGGACCUUGACUAAGCAGAAGAAUGCGCUAUUGAUGUGCGACACGAGUUACACGCGAGCCACUUGUCACAUUUCCUUUUUCCUUUCUUCUGCUUUUACCUUCUUCUUUUUUCUUUUCUUCUUUUUUCCCCUUCAUUGUUCCUUUUGUUGUCACCAUUUUUGACAUUUUGACCAAUCCAACGGUCAAAUAUGCUAAAUUAUUAGACAAUCUACUUUGCUUGACCAAGCCCUACCUGAUCAAACAAGGCUCGCCCAGCCACCGGCAAACCUCACCUAGCUUGGUGAGUCUCGAUUUUGCCUAAAUCUAGCGAUGCCAAGCUUGCCCCACCAGCGGCUAGGCAAGCUAGGCCUCACAAGAUCUGGGCAAGGUUGAGCCUCGCCUAGUCAAGGCUCAGCCGAGUCUUGGCCAGCUACCGGUGAGGCUCAAUCGACGAAACACGGCCUCGUCAAGGGUUAGUGACGCUCCGCAAAGUCGCUGGUCAUCCUAAGGCCGGCGACCAGCUAAAGCUUGAGAAAGAAAAGAAGGAAAAGAAAAAUAAUAAUAAAAUUAUUUAAAAAAUUAAAAAAAAUAGUUUAGAUUAGAAAUUUUGAGAAUGAUAUCAAACGCGAUUCUAUCCUAAAAAUAAAAAUUUUGGAUAAUCACCAAACACGUAAAAAUAUUUAAAAAUUAUUUUUGAUAAUAAAAUAAAAAAUAAUCAUUUCUAAUAAAAAAAAUUAUUCUCGAGAAAUUACCAAACAUAUCCUUAAGCUCUAAGUAUCGCGAUUUCACUGAAGUUGACGGGACCUUAACUAAGCAGAAGAAGGCGCUGUUGACGUGCGACACGAGCUACACGCGAGUCACUUUUCGCUUUUCCUUUUUCCUUUCUUCUGCUUUUACCUUUUUGUCUUUUCUUUCUUUUUUCCCCUCUCUCUUGCGUGCUUUCCCUUCACGUCCACUUUCUCCUUUUGUUGUCUAGUCAAACCUUUUUCUCACUUUUUCUUUUGUUGUCACCAUGUUUGACUUUUUGACCAAUUCAACGGUCAAAUAUGCUAAAUUGUUAGACAAUCUACUUUGUUCUACACAACGCAGAUCACGUUCCUUUAUCAAUAAACGUAUUUUGAUAUGUGUCUGUUCUCUUCUUUGCUAUUAGCUUCAAUGAUUUUUACAUUAUGAUAUGUGGGGUUGUUGUUCAUUGAAUGUGAGAAAUGCCAAGUAAAAGUAUUUGUCAAUGUAGACCUAAAAGAUGUUGCCUUAAAGAUUAGCUCGAAAUUUUGAUGAUAUAGAUGGGUAAUAGAAAUUUUGGGAUAUUUGUAUGAUAGAAAAUUUAGUGACACUGUUCAAAAAGACUUUGAACCGUCUUAAUUUCCCCAAAGACAUUACACAAUGUAAAUCGCAUUCCUCAUCAUUGACCCAAGGACGUGCACAUUCAUAUCAUAAGGCAUGAGGCACCACCUAUAAAAUAUGCUUCAUUCUCUUAUACUCGUUGUGUUUUUAUUUUUGUGAUAAUUACUUAUAGUAUUAUCCAAUGAGCUUCAUUGAUAGUGAUAAGUAAUUAUCGUAUAAUAAACCUUGCUGUAGGACUCUGUUCUCACUUUAGUAAUAAGAUUUUUAACAUAAUAUAGCUUAAAUUCAGAAAAAAGAGAUAUGAGAAUAAAAUAGUGUUUAACCUGCCAUGGAUCUUUGAUAUAUACAUGGUCAACCACUUUCAAAUGUUAAUUAUCACAAUAUGCGUGAAUCUAUUUUAUUUUAUUUUUUGUACAUUAGUUAAAUCACCAAAAUAUGUAUAAGAAAUAGAGAUUUUCUAGCAUUAGAGAUUUUAGAGUCCAUAAAAAUUGAAUUUAUAGGCAAAAUUCACAUGUGAGAGUGCCUCGGUUGACCCAAGUCUCCUCGGAUGAACCUCAAUUAUUUACGUCCACUUUCUCCUUUUGUUGAUUAGUCAAACUUUCUUUUUCUUUUUCUUUUUUUUUUAUUGUCACCAUGUCUGAUUUUUUGACCAAUCCAAUGGUCAAAUAUUACCAUUUCACAUACUUUUUUUAUGCUUUCUCCACGAUUGACCCAAGUCUUCCAUGCAGCUACACGUUAAGCACAAGGUAAUGCACACGCACCUGAAUAUUCAUAGGUACCGCACGUGUUUCAUCACUUUAAAAGUCAUUGGUUCGAUGCAUCCUAGCAUGAGAUGAGGCGUGUUGAUCUGCUUCACUCUCUCAUACUCUGCUCAUCAAAACAAAAUAGUCUCUGUUUCGAAUAAAAUGGCUUCCUUGUCGUGCUUCUACAUGUCCAUACACUUUCUUUUCUUGUAUUUGUCAUCUCAGCCGAUUGGUGCGUACUAUCUCUCUCAUUCCAUGAAAACUCUAUGUCUCGAGGACGAAAUGUCUGCCCUCUUGCAAUUUAAAGAGAGAUGCAAAAUCCCCAAUGUUUCCACCCAUAGAUUUCAUGCUUUCUUAAAUCAGCAAAUGAGGACCUUGUUUGCUGCAUUGUAAUGCGUGGAGAUGUCAAGAAGGUUAAAAUAGAGGAUCUCAAGAAGGUUAAGUGUGUGUGGAUCCAUGUUCCUAGGUUUGUUUCCCGUGGCUGGGCCCGAGACUAGUGCUCGAGCCGGGGUCCCCGGCACUCAAACUUGGGACUCCAGUUGUACUCAAGACUUAUUCUUAAAUGUCUAUUUCGUAAUUUUCUUGUAAUAAAUAUUAGUAAAUGACUUUCCUAUUGGUUGGUAGAUACAAACCAACAUGCCAAAAUAAGUUCAUUUCGAAAAAUUUCUAGCAAAGCUCAUUUUUCGAGAAAUAAAGGGAACUUGGGUUUGAACAAACUACCUUGAUUGAAUAUCGGACUGAAUGUAAAAAAAAUUGUUCUUUCCUGUGAACCGAUAAGCAUUGUUUGCACAAUGAACGAAGGAUCUUGAUGUUGCCAACAACACAGUUUAGUUAUCUUUGUUUUUUAUUUAUUUCAAAGACAAAAACAAUACUGUUCCAAACGGUAAUUAAUCUUAAUUUCUCCUAAUGCAUUACACGGCGUAAAUUACAUACCUAAUCACGGUCCUAAGGAAAUGUCUACGGAUCAAGAAUCCAAAGUCGAGACAGCACUAACAUUGCAAACAAAGAAGUCCAACACAGCGCAACCUAAGUCUUCAACUACCAUUUAUUAUUUCCAUUUGAUAUACUUUUUUGCUGCUUUCAGUACGGUUGACCCAAGUCUUCCAUACAAAAUGCAAAUAUAUAUGUAUAUAAUAGGAUAUAAUAUAAUAUAUAUGUGCUUUUUGCUGCUUUCUCCACGGUUGACUCAAGUCUUCCACGCAAACGGAGAUCGAUUGGCUGAGUUCAGAGUAUGUGCCCGGCAGCUGCCCGUCAGCUACCCAUUACGGCGCUGCGGAAAGUAAUGCGCGUACACAUAAAAUGUUCAUGGGUACUGAACAUUGUGCGUUUCAUCACGCGAAGAGUAAUUGAUUCAAUGCAUCGUAACACGAGAUGAAGCGUGUUUAUAUGCCCAGGUACCCAGCGCCACCUAUAAAAUCUGCUUUACUCUCUCAUACUCUGCGCAUCAAAAUAAAUUUGUCUCUAUUUUGAACAAAAUGGCUUGCUCGCCGUGCUUCUACAUGUCCAUACACUUUCUUUUCUUGUACUUGUCGUGCCAGCCUAUUGAGGCGCACAUUCUCUCUCGUUCUGUGAAACCUCUGUGUCUCGAGGAUGAAAUGUCUGCACUGCUGCAGUUUAAAGAGAGAUAUGGAAUCGCCAAUGUUUCGGGUGGUCCUCUCGCUCAUCCCAAGACUCUAACCUGGAAAAAUAGUCAGGACUGUUGCUCUUGGAAAGGGAUUGAGUGCGAUGAGAACACGGGUCACGUAAUUGUUCUCAAUCUGGAAAGUAGUUUUCUCUAUGGUUCUAUCGACAACAACAGUACCAUCUUCCAGCUUGCUCAUCUUGAAAAGCUCAAUCUCGGCGACAAUCACUUCAACUACUCUCCAAUACCGUCUCGAGUUGGAGAUCUAUCAAGAUUGACUCAUCUCAAUCUCUCUGCUUCCGUUUUUUCUGGCCAAGUUCCAUCGGAAAUCUUCAAACUUACAAGGUUGGUGUACCUCAACCUGUGUUGCAAUCUAGAUCGGCAUCAUGAUAGACUUUUGUUGGAGAUGAAAGCCCCGGGCCUGAGAAGGCUAUCUCAAAAUCUGACCGGCCUAGAAGAACUUCUCCUUGGUCAAGUCAACAUGUCUUCCCAAGUGCCCAACACCCUGGCGAAUCUGUCUUCACUAAGAAGGCUGAACAUGGAUGUGUGUAACCUGCACGGUAUAUUUCCGCCUGCCAUUUUUCAUUUACCGAAGCUGCAAUAUCUUAGUGUAAAUGGCAAUGAGGAUCUCACGGGCCGCUUGCCUAACUUCAACUCGAGUAGUCCUCUUAAAGAGUUGAAACUGAGAGGAACAAGCUUUUGUGGGGAGCUACCGGCUUCAAUCGGUAAUCUCCGGUCCAUGGAGAAAUUGAAUCUUAAAUUCUGCAAUUUGACAGGUUCCCUACCCCUGUCGAUCGGAAACCUUCCUUUGUUGAGUUAUCUUGGCAUAGGUGGUAACAACUUCUCAGGAUCCAUCCCGGCUUCAUUUGCUAACCUUAGCAACCUUGAAUACCUAGAUGUCGGAGAGAAUCCAUUCAUCGCCCAGCCUACUUCCUCUUUGUCUUGGGUUUGGAAGAUAAAAAAGCUUGCCACUUUGAACCUCUUGAGUAUCAAUUUAUACGGCGAAAUUCCCCCUUCAAUCGGAAACUUGUCUCAACUUGUGGAGUUAUCCUUUCUUGGCAACCAAUUAAGCGGUGCCAUCCCAUCUCAACUCAUGAACCUCACUCAGCUAACUCAUUUGCAACUCCGAACCAAUCAACUAUCAGGUUCUAUACCUUCUUGGCUUGUGAACAUGACUCAACUAGUCGUGCUUGACCUUUCACGCAAUAAAUUCCACGGCCAGAUACCUUCAUCAAUCUGUCAACUCCAAAAUCUCCAAGUGCUCGGCCUUUUCGAAAACAACUUUAGCGGUACUAUUGAACUUGACAACUUUCUCAAGCUCAAACAGCUGUGGGUGCUCCAACUAUCAUCUAACCAGCUAUUAUGCCGCACGAGUAGCGUAAAUGUUAUUCUUCCUCAACUUGAGGUCGUAGGACUGGCAUCAUGCAAUUUGAGAGCAUGCAGUACCUAAAUCUCUCCCAUAACUUCUUAACUGGCCUUGAUCGAUAUUACCCAAUCAAUCCUUUAUAUAUGUACACGAUAGACCUAUCUCAUAACAUGUUAAAAGGACCACCCCUCUGAAGCACCAGCGUCCAUAUUACACUACAUAAUAUCNNNNNNNNNNNNNNNNNNNNNNNNNNNNNNNNNNNNNNNNNNNNNNNNNNNNNNNNNNNNNNNNNNNNNNNNNNNNNNNNNNNNNNNNNNNNNNNNNNNNGUCAUAGAGAGGCCUAAAUUCUAAUUCCACGUUUCUUAAGUUAAGGAUACUCGACCUCUCUAUUAAUGCAUUCGCCGGUAAGUUGCCUAUGCAAUUCUUUCAAUCUUGGAAUGCCAUGAAAUCCGAGACGGGAAACUUUACAUACAUGCAAAGAAACCUACAGCCAUCAAGUUACCUUGUUUUCACCUACUAUGGCAGUUACGAUUUCUCCAUGACAGUGAUUUACAAAGGGCUUAAAUGGGAUUACCCAAAGAUAUCAGAAGUCUUCACAAUCAUCGACCUCUCCAGCAAUUUUUUCAAAGGAGAGAUCCCUAGUGUCAUAGGUGAUCUCAAAGGAUUACAAGGACUGAACCUUUCCAACAAUUCCCUCAGUGGUCACAUCCCAUCAUCAUUGGGAAAUCUCACAGCACUCGAGUCAUUGGACCUUUCUCUGAACAAACUCUCGGGACGAAUCCCCCAAAAACUAAUAGAACUUGGGUUCCUUUCUUUCUUGAACAUCUCUUACAACAAUCUGACUGGGUCUGUGCCAAGAGGGAAACAGUUCGAUACGUUUUCAAACAAUUCUUUUGAAGGGAACUCGGGACUCUGUGGGGAAUUCUUAUCCAAGAAAUGUCAAGAUUCAGGGGAUAAGUGGGGAAAACCUUCAACCCACCAAGAAGAAGACUUGGCAUCGCCAAUUGAACUCGAUUGGAAAAUUGUUCUUAUGGGGUAUGUGAGCGGCUUAGUGAUUGGAGUAGUCAUUGGAAACACAUUUAUCUCUUGGAAACAUGUUUGGUUUGAAGGAAAUGCCAAGAGAAAGCGACGGCCUAGUCAGAGGCAGCCUAGGAGGGGUAGGAACUCUUGGUCAAGCAAGUUUUUCGAUUCUGGUAGAUAUUAUAACUUACCGGAAAAAUAAGCUAAGUAUUUCCUUCUUUUUCUUAAAUGUACUUGUUUCUUCAUAGUAUCUUUACAAAUAUUUAUGUCAAACAUACGCUUUCUUCAAUUAAUCUCUCAUCACAUCUGUUCCCCACCUCUCUAAUGUAAAAUUACACUUUUUAUUCUUUUUUACAAAGCCAUUGUUAGCUUGUAAACCAAGCUCAUAUGCGCCUUUUUUCUAUCAAUGUUGAAGCAAAAGUACUCCUAUCUAACAAUCAAAUCUAAAUUGUCACAUGGAUUCUUCUUUAUCCAAGGUUCACAUUACAACGUGAAACCAGAUUCUAGUAAAACGAUCAAUAGCAAGACCACAGUGUCCUCAUAACCUUAUGUAAAUCUAGGCUCUCGCCCGCACUUCAAUCAUUUGCUUUUUUUGUUUUUUUGUCACCACACAAAUUAUGCAGACACUGUUGUAUUAACAUUUGAAACAAAAUCCGCAGUUGGAGGUUGAUUGAAUGAGAAUUGUAAAAAAAUAUUCUCUCGGAUCUCUUUUACGUUUUGCUGUGAAAUAGGAUCUCUCUCAUGCGGAGAGGGUUGUAGUUUACGCACUUCAAUCAUUUGCUCUUUUUUUUUUUUUUUGUCACCACACAAAUUAUGCAGACACUGUUUAUUAACGUUGGAAACAAAAUCCGCAGUUGGAGGUUGACUGGACAAGAAUUGUAACAAAUUAUUCCCUCGGAUCUUCUUUUACGUUUUUGCGGUUGGAAAUAGGAUUCUCUCUCAUGGAGCAGUAUAUUAUGCAGAGAACCAACGUGGCAUGGUUGAAGUUCUUAAAGCUCUUACUAUGCUGCUUGCUAGUCAUGUACUCUGGAAUUUACACGGUAAAUCUAUUUGAUUUUUCUGUACAUCCAUUUCUUUUUCCCCUGAAAGGAUAGUUUGGUAGGAUGGCUUAUUUAAUCACUUGGAAUGGUUCUCAAGAUAGUGAUUGGUUGAUUAUGGCUCGAAGUUAAUGUUAAUCGAUUCAAAAUCCAAUACGUAAUUGAAUCUUAAGGAAAUAUGGCUACCGUUAGGAAAGUCCGAAUUGAACUCUUGCCAAUAAGAUCGUGGGUGAUGGAAAAAAGGAAAUCUGAUUUCCUGUAGCUAUUGAAGUAUAUGUUGACGUCGGAGAAGGGCUCAUAGUAUUUAUGUAUAAAACUAUUCUGUUGUUGAGUUUCAUCUCUGGUGCACAGUAGGUGCGCUAAAGCAUGCUAAAAUGUGUGGAACUUGCGAGAGUCACAGAGCAUGGAGAGCGUUCUAACAAGAGAACUGAGAUUUUGAGAAACUAAUUCGUUGAGAUUGAUUCUUUUAAGUUCGGGUGCUAUCUAAGACUUGAAAACGCUAGAGAUUAGAGCGUUCAAAAGAUUGUAAUCUUCCUUUUGCUGAUUAUAGCGAAAUCAUGUCAUCGAUCUCUUCGUGGUUAUGCACACCUUUUUUUUUUUUUUGUCAGUCCUACUCUAUACCUACUCUACACUCAUUCUCAGACUUUUGUCCUGCCUCUUGCAGGGCAUGGGAGUCAAAACCCACUUCUGAAACUUACUCGUCCCCACCCCAUCCCCUCCUAAGAAUGUGGGGAUUUGAACCCCUCACAUCCCCCUUCCAUGUUGGAAAGGUGGCCACUGGGGCGAAUCCCAGUGGUUGUAUGCACACCUUCAAACCACGUAAAUUCAUUGGGUUUUAGAUUGAACUUCUGUAACAUAUUUCUCGCUUGAAUUGCUUCCUUAAUUCGCGAUCCCGCAUUCAUCGUAUCGUGAUUUGCGUUUCUUUCUUUGCAGGCAUGCCCUUAAAUAUUCGUAUACUUCAUUAUUGAGUAGACCGCCACUUGUUUUGGUUUCAAGAUAAGGAAGCAACUUUUUCCAAAGCCCUAAUUCAGAAACAAAAAUUAAACCAUUGGUGCCUGGGAACUGCUUGGGUGCAGCGUAACUAGAAGGUUCAUUACUGAAUUUCUUGUCAAAACUUGUUAAUAUCAUUACUUAUAUAGCGACAAGUGAUUAUCAUGUAACAAAACCUAAACUUAGGACUUUAUUCUCAUUUCAGUAAUGAGUAUUUUCAUGUACAAUUUAAAUUCAGAAAAAGAUAUUCGAGGACAGAAUAUAAUUUACCCUGCCAUGGAUCUUUGAUCAUUCAUCUAAUUUGAAUCUAUAUAUACAUCAAUUAAAUUUUUAAAAUGUCCCAUUGCCAAAAUCUGCAGAAGUCUAUUGCUUUUUGCACAUCAAUUAGAUUAUCAAAAUAUGCAUAAAACUUAAAGACUUUCUAAAAUUGGAGAUAUUCUAAAGUCCAUAAAAACUAGAUUUCUAGACAAACCUCACACAUGAGAAUGGAAAAAUUUGUUUAAAACUCCUAAACCUAUUAUACAACGGUCAAUUUAAUUCUAACUCUUUCAAUUACGUCAAUUUAACCAUAAAUCUUUUGACAAUUUACCAAUUUAGUCAUGAAUCUUUCAAUUGUGUCAAUUUAAUUCUAACCAUUUUCAUGAUUUGCCAAUUUAGUCAUAACCCUUGACAAUUUGUCCAUAUAGCCCUUUCAAGUAAUUAUAUAUAUAAUUUUUUUAUGACUAAAUUGGUAAAAUUUUAAAACACCCAAGACCUAUGCCAAUUCACCAAUGACCUAGCCUAAGCCCAUGGCUAAAUUCCACAGAGGUGAGCUCGUGACCCCAAUGCCCAUGCCUAGAUCCCUGCUGAUGAUUCCCAAGUACUUGUCUCUCAAGCCUGAGCCCAAGGAAGUUGGACUCAAGACCCAGGUGCUUGCACCCAAGUCGCCAACAGCCAUGCCCACAUAGUCAACUCACACACUCGAGACACUAGCGCUUAAGCUCUGACCCACAACCAUCGAGCUCCAGGCCAUGGUGCCCAUGCCCAAGUCCCCAACUCCUAUGCCCACGUCAUCAACGAUGCCCGAGCCUAAUUUCUCAUCAGCUAGGCCAAACGGGCCUAAGACUUCAACACUCGUACUCAGGUCCCUAAUGGCCUUCUCUAACUCUCGUGCCCAAGUCAUCAACAAACAAGUCCAUAGAGGUUGGGCCUGAGAACUCAAUGCCUAUGUUGGAGUCCCUAGCAGCCAAGCUCAGGACAAGACCCCAAUGCAAUGCCUAGUUCUCCGAUAGUCUUACUUGGAUAACUGACCACUGCCCCCAAGUUACUAGCUCUAGGGCUCAAUUCCUUGACAGGCAAGCCCAAAUCUGUCGAGACUAGGCCUAACUCCCUCAAGAUUGGGACCAAGACCUUGGUGCCUAUUCCCAAGUCCUUGAUGCCCAUGCCCAAAAACUUGGCUCCUACACCUAAGUCACUAGCAUCCAGACCUAGGUCCAUAAAAGUCAGGGUUCUUAGUGAUUGGGCUCAAGAACUCUGCUUCCUCAGCUGAGACUCCGACAAUUGGGUAUCUCUUAUAUAGCACGUAUAGGCUUGUCCUUUUAGGAAAAUAAAAUCAAGUUUUCAUUUCUAAACAACAAAAAUAAUUUUCAAUUCAUUUUCAGAUUUCAGACAAACAAAUGAGAAUAUUCCUCUUCUUACUUUCACGAGAGAGAGAGAGAAUAUUCCUAUUUUCUUGAAAAAUGACUUCCUAACAAAUAUUUUCCAAAAAUGUGAAAUUUUUCACGAAACAAAUGGAGCCUUAAUAUCUUUCUAUACAGUCUCUUCUUCUUUUUCCCUGAAAGAAGGUUCAUUUCAUGAGGUUGCUUUUUACAGCUAAUAUAAUCACUCGGAAGGGUUCCCAGAUAGCGAUUUGUGGAUUAUGGGCCGAAGAUGUCGUUUGAUUAGACAGCUUACACAUAAUUAAAUUGUAAGGGAACCUGGCCCAUAUCAAGAAAGUCUAAAUUGAACUCUUGCUAACGGGCCCCCAAGAAAGGAUCCUUAUUGAAGUUGAGGUCGACGCUGACGUCGGAGAAGGGCUUAUGGCUUUUUAUGCAUAUAAAUUUUAUUGAGUUCGGUCUGGAUACAAAGUGGGUGCGCUUGACAUAUGUGAAACUUGCGAGAGACACAGAAAGCAUUGAAAGCCUUCUAGCAAGAAAUUUAAGAGUGAGAGACCUCAUUUGCGGUGAUUGAUUCUUGCGAGUUCAGGUGUUAUCUAAAAUUCAGAAAUGCUUGAGAUCGAGUGUUCAAGCAAUGGGAAUCUUCUCCUUACCAUUUAUGAUGGAACCAACUUGUUGAUCUCUCCUUGUAGAGUAGGCACACCACCAAACGUGUUCAGGUUUUAUUUUUGCAGUUUAUUUCUUACUUGAAUCACUUCGUUUAUUGAUGCUUCCACAUUAGUUGUAACGAAGUGGCAUUAGAAACAAAGGUCAUUGUUGAUUGGUUGUUCAAGGAAUUUUGUCAGCUACGAUAAUCAUUAUGAUCUCUGUGAUCUUUGAGUUAGAGAAAUCCACAAUUUUAAUUUUGUGCCCAUUAAGAUGCGCAUUGGAGACACAGGAUUUGGAUUGAGCAUUUAAGGGAGACGAUAAAUUUCCCCAAACUAUGAAAGCUGCUAAAAAAGCAGACAUUUUGAAAAGAGUUCCAUUUUUUAUUUUGCUGAAUUUAGGGAACAACGUUUUGGUUUCAGUGGCGUAUGAGAGGAAUAGAGCUGCAGUUUCAGCAAAACUUGAAAGCGUUAUAUAUGUCGAAAUCACUCUCAAAGGUACUUUUCGUGUUUUUUAACUGUUCAGAUUAUUGAGGGAACAUCAAUCCAGGAUCACCUGUAUAAGUUCAAUAGAGUCAUCAAUGAUAUGAAGAAUGCGGAUGAGAACGUGUUGACUAACGGUGGAGGAAGCGUGAACUGGCAAAAAAAAAAAACCUGCUAAUUUACUCAAGACUGCGAGCAUUUGGGUGCCCUGCAUAUGGCCAUGUUAGGGACGGUAAGCUAGAACCGAGGACAAAGAAUUGCUUAUUUCUAUGCUACGCAGUACGCACUAGGGAUGCAAGGUUACAGGCCGUGGUGUUCAGAUCCUAAAAUCACCCGGAUUCAUCAGCAGCAGAGAUGUUGCAAGGAAACUCAGUAAGUACAGACUGGUGCCAUGAGACAAGCGGAACUUCAGUUGGAGGCUCAGUGGAAAACGCAGAUAGGAAGUGAGGAUAGAGGUCCCAAGCUGGGCGUCAGUGAGGGCACUAGUCAGUCUAGAGCAGAAGAUAGUACUGGUGGAAAGGUGGAGCUCGCAAAGACCUCAUCCUCCAUAGCGACAAGUAGAGAACGCGGGGAGAUCAGAGAACCACGGAGCCAUGCAGAUUGGUUACUUCAGAUGGUGUUACUUAUGCCAUGUCUGCUGUUGAGGAUGUCAAGGAUUUACUCUAAUACCGAGAAGCAGUGUCAGGUGUAGAGCUUCAGCAAUGGAUGCGAUGAGAGAGGAGAAGGGGUCUCUCUAGUGGAAUCAAACAUGGCAGUCACUGGUAUCUUUAAAAGGGCAGAAGAUAGGGUGCAAGUGGGUAAUCAAAAAGAAGCAUGACAGUUUCAACUCAUGAGCAACUUGAUAUAAGACGUGCCUGGUGGUGAAGGGGUUCAUGGUACUGAUAUAUUCUCACUCGUGGUGAAACAUAGUUCGAUCGGGGUGGUGUUGCGAUUAGUUGCAAUGGACAAGUAGCUAGAUGUUAAGACAGCUUUUCGGAGAAUCAGAGCAGAUAUACAUGCAAUAGCUGGAAGGCUUUGUUGUUCUAGGUCCUGAUGACAAUGUAUGCUUGCUCAAGCGAUCUCUUUAUGACUUUAAGCAAUGCCAUAGUGGUGCAAGCGAUUUGACUCCAUUCAACGCUAUGAUAAGAGUGCUGAUAAAAAUUGCAUGUACUUUAGGAGGUUAUAUGAUGGUAGUUACAAAAUUUUAUACGGCCUUGCCUUGCUUCCAACCUAAGUCACCGGCGAACAAGGCUAGGUCCAUCAAGGUCGGGCAUGAGAACUCAAUGCUCCCAUCAAAGUCCCCAACGGUCCAUGCCCAAGACCUUGGUACUAGUACAUGGGUCCUAGACCGCCAUGCUUGGGUAAGUGACUUCCACACCCAAGUCACUAGCUCCCGAGCUCCCUUAACAGCCAACCUCCCUCAAGACUGUGCCAAAGACCUAGGUAUCUAUGCCCAAGUCCUUGCUUACCGUUGCUUGGAUAAUGCUCAUGCCGCCAAGACGCAGUUGGGUAUCUCUUAUAUACUAUGAAUAAUGCAUGACUUUUUAGGAAAAUAAAAUCAAGUUUUUCUUUCUAAAUGAUAUAAUUUUCAAUUCAUUUUUAAAUUUCAGUUAAAUACCAGAAAAUAUUCUUAUUUAUUUGGAAAAAAAUUUCUUGAAAUUUUUUUUUGGAAAAUAUCAAAUUUUUCACAAAAUAAAUGGAGCUUUGAUUUCAUUUGAUUUUUCUUUCCAAUCUCUUCAUCUUUUUCCCCGAAAGAUGGAUCAUCGGAUGAGGACGCUUCUUUACAGCUAAUAUAAUCAACUGGAAGGGUUCCCAGAUGGUGAUUUGGGGAUUGCGGAUCGAAGUAAGUGUCGUUUGAUUAGAAAGCCUGCACACAAUUGAAUUGUAAGGGAACCUGGCCCAUAUCAAGAAAGUCCGACUUGAACUCUUGCUGACAGGCCCGCAAGACCUCCUUUUCUUAUUGAAGUUGAGGUCCAUCGUCGGAGAAGGGCUUAUACAGCUUUUUCUUGCAUAUAACUCUUGUCGAGUUCGGUCUGGAUACAAAGUGAGUGCGCCUAAUAUAUGUAAAACUGGCGAGAGACAGAAUGCAUUGAAAGCCUUCUAGCUAGAAAUUUAAGAGUGAGAGAACUCAUUUGCGGUGAUUGAUUCUUGCGAGUUCAAGUGACAUCUAAAAUUAGGAAACGCUUGAGAGUUGUCUGUUCAAGCAAUUGUAAUCUUCUCUUUGCCAUUAUAAUGGAACCAUCUCAUUGACUCUCCUCGUGGAGUAGCCAAAGCGCCAAACCAUGCUCACGUCUUAUUUCUGCAAUUUGUUUCUUGCUCUAACAGCUUCAUUUGUUCACACUUCCGCAUUAAUUGUGACAAAGUCGCAAUGGAAACUAAGUUUAAAUUUCACUUGAGGCUUGAAUCGCUUCAUGUGUUCAUACUUCCGUGUUGGUUGUAACAAAGCGGCAUUAGAAACUAAGUUUAUUGUUGAUUGGUUGUUCUAGGAAUUUUGUCCAUCUAUGAUAAUCAUUAUGGUCUCUGUGAUAUUUGAAUUAGAGAAAUUUAUAAUUUUAAUUUUGUGCACAUUAAGAUGCGCACUUUAUUGGAGACACAAGAUUUUGGAUUGAGCAUUAAAGGGACACGAUAAAUUUCCCCAAACUAUGAAAGCUGGAAAAAAAGCUGAUAUUUUGAAAAAAGCUGCAGGUUUUGUUCUAAGACUUGAAAACGCUAGAGAUUAGAGCGUUCAAAAGAUUGUAAUCUUCCUUUUGCUGAUUAUAGCGAAAUCAUGCCAUCGAUCUAAUGAGUAUUCUCAUUUCAGUAAUGAGUAUUUUCAUGUACAAUUUAAAUUCAGAAAAAAGAUAUUCGAGGACAGAAUAUAAUUUACCCUGCCAUGGAUCUUUGAUCAUUCAUCUAAUUUGAAUCUAUAUAUACAUCAAUUAAAUUUUUAAAAUGUCCCAUUGCCAAAAUCUGCAGAAGUCUAUUGCUUUUUGCACAUCAAUUAGAUUAUCAAAAUAUGCAUAAAACUUAAAGACUUUCUAAAAUUGGAGAUAUUCUAAAGUCCAUAAAAACUAAAUUUCUAGACAAACCUCACACAUGAGAAUGGGAAAAUUUGUUUAAAACUCCUAAACCUAUUAUACAACGGUCAAUUUAAUUCUAACUCUUUCAAUUAUGUCAAUUUAAUCAUAAAUCUUUUGACGAUUUACCAGUUUAGUCAUGAAUCUUUCAAUUGUGUCAAUUUAAUUCUAAGCAUUUUCAUGAUUUGCCAAUUUAGUCAUAACCCUUGACAAUUUUUCCAUAUAGCCCUUUCAACUAAUUAUAUAUAUAUAUAUAUAUAUAUAUAUAUAUAUAUAAUUUUUUUUAUGAUUAAAUUGGUAAAAUUUUAAAACAUAACUUCAAAAGGUUUAGGUGCCCAUGUCCAAGCACCCAAGACCUAUGCCAAUUCACCAAUGACCUAGCCUAAGUCCAUGGCUAAAUUCCACAGAGGUGAGCUGAGCUCGUGACCCCAAUGCCCGUGCCUAGAUCCCUACUGAUGAUUCCCAAGUACUUGUCUCUCAAGCCCGAGUCCAAGGAAGUUGGACUCAAGACCCAGGUGAGAUAGCUAGUAUAAGUACCUAGAUGGGGGGUGAAUAGGUGCACAAAUAAUUUCUCGAGAUACGGAAGCGAUUCUAGGCAAACGAUAGAAAGGAAGUUCUCUUUUGAUUAAUAAAAUACGAUCAAAGUAAAGUAAAGGAUAGAGAAGAGAAAAUUGAACACAAGGUUUAUAAUGGUUCGGCUUAUUCCAAGCAUACGUCCACUCUUCUACACUGACAGCUCACCGGCUGGAUUUCACUAUGAACAAAAGAGAAGUUACAGCACAGCUUUUCCUUGAUUCCACAUUAUAGAUGUUCUACCACACUUUCUCAAGGUUUCUCACAAAUAUAGACUCUUUUUUUUUUUGUAAAGAAAAUAUAGACUCUCUUUUGUUUACAAGAUUUCGCUCAACAAAUGAAUUGACUUAGAACAAGGAGCUUCAGACUUUGGAAUUCUUCUAUCGUGCACGCUCUCGAACAACUGGAACGUCUUCUUUAUAUACUCCUUCAUGCCAUCAUACCCGUUGGCACUUACCAAAGGAAUUCCUCCAAUCUAUCCGUUGGACAGAAUCAAUUAGGAAGAUCAUUCGAGCUAUUAAAGGAACAUGUCGAUAGCCCAUCAAUCAUGUUCGCCCAUACAAUCAGGAUCUCGAUUUCCAUAAGUAGAACCUUCCAAGUAUACUUUGCCAAUCAUCGGAUCCUUAAUCUUCGAAUCAAUUAUGAUCAAAUAAAGGAUUAUGUCAUGUCAUAUCCAGCCAAGAGAUCUUCUCCAGUCGAUAAGGUCACAUCCUUAAUGAAACAUCCAGUUCUGGAUAACCUUUCUUCAACGGAUUAGAAACUGUCAAUGAGGAUAGACUUUGAGUCUUGAGUCUGGCUGUCCGGAUGUCUUCAGACUUUAAAUAGCAGAGUCUGCAAGCCUUUAGACUAGACUGAUGGAAACGUUUUGUCAACUUCAAAACACUUCAAGAGGAUUUCUCCAACAAUCUCCCCCUUUUUUAUGGUAACAAAACUUUCCUGCAGAUUUGGAAAACUUUGAUCUGCAAAACAUUUCUCAAACACAUAUGCAUAUCUUAUAGAGAUAAAUGGCUAAAUGAAUAACACUAGAAUCUGUAACCAUAGAAAAUAGGUUAGUCUAGUAUGCAAUAAAGCAAUCCAUAAGAUAUCAAUAGUAGUUAAUAAUAAGCAGUCAAAUUCAAAUCCAAAUCCCAAAUUUAGUCCACAUCCAGACACACAAGUCAAGUCAAAACAAACCACAAACCAAACAAGCCAAAAGCUCGACAAAUUUAAGUUCAAAGUUUUUCAAAUCUCGCAACUCUCCCCAUUUUUGUUAGCAUAAAAAAAGUUGAGAUGAAAAUGGAGUGGAGUCAAGAAUGCUUGGGAACACGAACAAGCUGGAAAUCUCCCAUCGACUGAACGAUGCCUUCCAGCCUUUUCAAGUCUCCCUUCAGUUGUGCAACAUCCUCACCCUUAGCAUUAGCCUGAAUCUGAAGAGAAAGGGCUUGGAUCUGAUCAUUCAAUGAACCCAAAGAAGCUUGACCUGCAUUCUGCAAGUUCUGAACUUCGCAUCCCAAUGCAUAUAUCUGACCUUGCAUCUCCAAGAGAAUAUCCAUAAUUCUGCGAAAAUCUGUUGAAUUAUCGAUCUGCGUACUGGCGUCGGCACGAUCUGAUGGAGUAAAUGUAGACGAUGGUAGAUCAGCAUAAUCACGUAGAUUUGGCGAUGAAACAUCAUGACCUUCCUCAGGAAAUUGAGAGGCAUAAAUAUCCUCUGGAUCUACUGGGGAUCGACUGAUUCCCUCACUGGUUGCAGGAUAUGAGGACAUGCCUCUUUUCUCUUGGUCUCCGCCUGUUUUCAUGCCUUCAGGUGGAGAGUGCUCCUCAUGUUCUCCUUCUUCUUGAUCUCUUUUCUCCUCUUCUUCUUUUUCAACUCUCUCUUUCUCAACAUCUCUUUCUUCUUCUUCUUCUUCUUCUUCUUCUUCUCUUUCCUCCGUUUCUUUUUCCUCUGCUUCUUUCUCUUCUCUUUCUUCUGUCCGCUGUUCUGAGUCUUUCUCUGGAACAGAUCGACUCAGAUUCUUCAAAGCCAUUGCAGAAAUAGUGAUGUUUUCCUCAUCAUCUUCAUCCUCAACGAUGAGAGCUCUUCUUCUCUUGGAUGGAGCAUCCAUGGGCUCCUUCCCUUUUCUUUUUCCUGUAGAAGAGAAUUGAUGAGAUUUGACUGGAGUCUUCUCCUUGAAUUUCUCCAAUGCCUUGCUUAGUUCCUUCAGACGCAUCUUAGUCACCAUUUCCAGUCCUACCACCAUAUGAUCGCACGAUCGAGCACAAAGAAUUUGCGGAGGCUAAAUGUUCAGAUGUCUGAACAACUUCGUCACAAGACCUGGAUAAGGAAGUUGACCUAUGUCCUUCAUCACUACUCUAUACAUGUGGAACAUAACAGUUGGAGGAAGUGAAAACCUUUUCCCAGAAAUGAUGGCAUACAUCAGCUUUGCCUCUGAACUUGAAACAUCAGUCUUGGAAGUUGAUUUCGGUCUGAGGCAAUUGAUUACAAUCUUGUGAAGCAAGAUGUUGAAUGCACUCAUCCUUGAGUAGGAAACUUUUCCUCUGUUCUCCUGUCCUUAACAAGUUCCAAUGUAGCACGAGCAAUAGAAACUUUGAUCCGUUGAUAUCUUCCUCUCUCAACUCCUAACACAUUUGCUAGCAUAUCCAUAUCCACUACAAAGUCUUGAUCUUUGACACUGAAAGAGAAUCUAUUCGCAUCCAAGAAACUAAGAUUUGAAUAGAAAUAUGCAGUUAGUUGAGGAUAGGCCUCUAUGGUGUCAGAGCAGAAUUUUUCAAGUUGAAGAUGACCGAAAUUUUCCCUCAAGUUCACAUUCACAGCAUCCAGAAAAUCAAAAUCUACACUCCUAGGGUUUAUCACCCCACGCUUCAGCAAUUUUGAGUAUAGAUCCUUAUAUUCCUUCGAUCUAAACAACUCUCCCAUUUUUCCUCGAUUUUCCGCCGCAACUCCCAUUCUUGGUUGAAAUUGGCUGUAUAAUUUGUCAUCAUCAUUCCCAUCUACCGGAUUAAAUCCCCAAUCACGAGGAUCACUUUGGAUAUUCGCAAGGGUUUCUUUUGUCACCCCUUUACGAGCAAUUCCCAAACUUUCCAUUUUUCGCAAAAAGAUAUAUUCAUUUCUAUAUCCUUUGUCCUUAAGAAAAUCAUCGACAUAGUUCAAUGGAGUACCAAUCUCUUUUAAAGCACGAUACAACUUAUAAAUGAAAGAGGGCCUUUGAACUUUUACAGGAUCUGCAUCUUCAAUGAUUUCUUCUUUUUGUUGAUGAUCAACAUCUUGAGGACUAGAUGGAGGAGAAUGACGCUGCUGAGAAUGUUGUGGGCUCUGCUACUGAUUUGGAGACACUUCUUCUUCAGAGAGAUCGAAGUGCAUAGGCCCCUCACUCAUUCGCCAUGGUCCCCUACUUGCGAUCCUCGAAAACUUUCUUGAAGACGACAUCUUUCUUAGUCUUUGAAAGAUUCCGUGCUUGACUUUCCCAAGAAAGAUGACGACUUUUUCGAAGAUUAAAUAAGAGAGGAAAAUGGGAAUGGAAGAUUGGUGCUUUUUAGGGUUUUGGAGUUAAGCGAAGAGAAACCGGACUGUAUAUAAGACAGUCGAAAAGAGGAGAUAUCAAAUGUCGUAAUGGAAAGUGAAAAGAUGCCUUUUAAAAAAUAACUGCCUUUUUCGAAAAAUGGUCAUCUCAAAAUAACUCCUUUUUCUAAAGGAAACGUUGCAAUAAUCUCGUCAAUUAAAGAUAGCGGUUGAGAUAACAAUAAUCAAACACGGUUGAUGAACGUACCUUUUCAAGAUGAGAUUAGAGAGAGAAUAACUUACAGUCAAAGUCUUGCAGUCAAAGUCUUAUUUGUCUGAGUCUAAGAGUCUCUAGACUUUAACUUCUUCAAACCUCAAAAUGUUGAGUCUGGAACGGAUAAUUUCAAAUUGAUUUUUCUCUAAAGGCUUUGUAAAUAUAUCCGCCAGUUGGUUCUUUGAGUCAACAAACUAAAUCGUAAUUUCUCCAUUUUGAACAUGAUCUCUAAUGAAGUGAUGUCGAAUCUCUAUAUACUUUGCUCUUGAGUGAAGAAUUGGAUUUUUGGUGAGAUUGAUUGCGCUGGUGUUGUCACAUUUAAUCUCCGUGCAUGAAUCUUCAAUUCCUAAGUCUCUUAGCUGUUGUUUUAUCCACAGAAUUUGUGAACAACAACUUCCAAGAGCUACAUAUUCUGCUUCUGCUGUAGAGAGAGCUACUGUACUUUGCUUCCUUGAAAACCAAGACAUUGUCCUGCCUCCAAGUAGUUGACAUGUACCUGAGGUGCUUUUUCUAUCAACUCUGCAUCUGGCUAAGUCUGCGUCUGAGUAUCCAAGAAGAGUAAAGUCUCCCCUUUUAGGAUACCAGAGACCAAAGCUUGAAGUUGAUGCAAUAUAUUUGAUAAUACGCUUUGCAGCAUUUAAGUGUGAUUCUUUAGGGUCUGCUUGAAAUCUGGCACAAAUGCAAACACUAAACAAAAUGUCAGGUCUAGAAGCAGUAAGAUAAAGAAGUGAACCGAUGAUACUCAUGUAUAACUUUUGGUCGACUUUCUUUCCUCCUUCAUCUUUGUCUAUCUUCAAGGAACUUGACAUUGGUAUAUCGGCCUUUUUGCAAUUGUCCAGUCCAAACUUUUUAACAAUAUCAUUAGCAUAUUUUUCUUGAUGAAUAAAAGUUCAUUCCUUCAGUUGUUUCACUUGAAGUCCAAGAAAGAAUGUUAACUCACCCAUCAUGCUCAUUUCAAAUUCAUCCUGCAUAGUCUUAGAGAAUUUCUUGCACAGACUUUCAUUAGAGGAUCCAAAAAUAAUAUUAUCGACAUAUAUUUGAAUAAGUAGAAAACUCUUGCUUUCUCUUUUAAUAAAAAGAGUAGUGUCUACUUUACCUUUAACAAAACCAUUUUCAAUUAAAAACAUACUCAGUCUGUCGUACCAAGCUCGAGGUGCUUGUUUUAAGCCAUAUAAAGCCUUUUUGAGUCUGAAUACUGAGUCUGAUUUUCUUGGGUCUUCAAACCCAGGUGGUUGUUCCACAUAGACUUUCUCAUGGAUGAAUCCAUUUAAGAAGGCACUUUUGACAUCCAUUUGGAAUAACCUGAAAUUUUUAUAACAAGUAAAAGCAAGUAAUAAUCGAAUUGCUUCUAACCUUGCUACUGGUGCGUAAGUCUUGUCAUAGUCUAUCCCUUCUUCUCGUGUGUAUCCCUUGGCCACGAGUCUUGCCUUGUUUCUUAUGACUUUUCCUUUCUCGUUCAUCUUGUUCCUGAAAACCCAUUUAGCUCCAAUAACAGACUUACCUUUCGGUUUAGGAGUCAAUUCCCAGACAUCAUUAAUACUAAAUUGCCUGAGCUCUUCUUGCAUAGCUUCAAUCCAGCUUUCAUCAGAUAAAGCUUCUUCUAUGAUUUUGGGUUCUAUUUCAGAAAUAAGAGCCCCAGCACUAGACUCUUCGCGCCUUUUGGAUCUUGUGCGAAUUCCUUCAUUGAUGUCGCCAAUAAUAAGAUCUUUGGGAUGACUGGACUUAUGUUUCCAGUUGCUGGUUAAUUUGUCAUAUUGAUGGUCACUUCAUUCACUUGAAUCUUCAACAGUCACUUGUUGCUGGUCCUUCAAAGUCUGAGUUAUUUCCUGAGAUUUAGACUUUGUAGAGUCUGGAGCAGGUUCAGAUUCUUCAAGAUGAGUCUGAAUGAAUUCAUUUUGCAUAGAAUCUUGGAAUUUAACAUUCAUUGAUUCUUCCACUGUUUGAGUCUUCUUGUUGUAGACUCUGUACGCUUUGCUUGUGGUUGAAUAUCCAAGGAAGAUGCCUUCAUCUGACUUUUCUUCAAACUUACCAACUCGAUCAUUUGCAUUUUUCAAUAUAAAACAUUUGCAUCCGAAUACAUGAAAAUAUGAAACAAUAGGCUUCUUUUCUUUGAAUAGUUCAUAGGGGGUUUUUUCCAGAAUAGGCCUUAGAAAAACUCUAUUUAUAAUGUAACAUGCUGUAGAAACUGCUUCAGCCCAAAAACGUGAAGAGAUAUUGCUUUCUAUUAAAAGAGUUCUAGCCAUUUCUUGAAGUGAUCUAUUCUUUCUUUCCACAACUCCAUUUUGCUCUGGAGUAUAUGGAGAGGAGAAUACAUGUUGAAAACCAGAUUCAUCACAGAAUUUUGUAAAAUCAUGAUUUUCAAAUUCACCUCAAUGAUUUGUUCUUAUACUCGAGAUAACAUACCAUUUUUCAUUUUGAACCUUUUUAGCAAACUUUUCAAAGUAAGAGAAAGUUUCAGACUUACUUGCCAAGAAAUAUACCCAAGUAAAUCGUGAGUAGUCAUCCACAAUUACUAGGCAAUAUUUCUUACCUCCAAUGCUUUGUGUUCUGGUUGGUCCAAAAAGAUCCAUAUGCAGAAGCUGCAAUACACGGUUAGUGGAAACUUGAUUUAUUGGUUUAAAGGAAUUUCUUACCCGUUUUCCCAAUAUACAUGGUGUACAUAGAUCAGACUUUUGGUAUGAUAAAUUGGGUAGACCACGAACAAGCUUCUUUGCUGAAAUUUUGGCUAUCUGCUUCAUAUUGAUAUGCCCAAGCUUUUUGUGCCAUAACUUUGCUUCGUCUUGGAUUGAUAUUAGACAUUGCGAUUCAUCUGGUUUCACAUCCAAGAGGUAGAUAUUUCCAUGUCUUCGACCCAUGAAUGACUGAGUAGAAUCUUUACUAAUUCCUGAACAUAUUCCCUCUUGAAAGUUGAUUUUGAAACCAGUAUCACAUAGUUGACUAAUACUGAGCAAAUUGUAAUUAAGUCCUUCCACUAAGGAAACAUUACUGAUUGUGAGAUUUCCAAUCUUUUCGGUUCCAAAUCCCACAAUUUUUCCUUUGUUGUUUCCUCCAAAAGAAACUUUUCUACCAUUUACUCGAACAAGCUUUAUAAAGUAAUUUGAGUCUCCUGUCAUGUGUGUUGAGCAUCCACUAUCCAGAUAUCAUUUUACCUUUUUCUUGAUAGUGACUUGCAUUUAAAAAAGAAACUCAAACCUUCUUUGGUACCCAUAUUUUCUUGGGUCCAUUGGUGUUAGUAUGAUAUGCCGUUUUUGCCCAUACCUUUUUAACAGGUUUCCAAAUCAUAGGACAUUCUUUUUCAAAAUGAUCUGCACUAUUGCACUUUGAGCAUUUGAGAGCAUUGCGACCUACUGGUUUUACAAAGAUUCUUUUAAAAUGAUUUUUGUAAGCAUCUCUUGUGGGUCUUUGUUUGAUUCUUUCCUUCACUUUAGGAAAAUCAAUUAAAGGAAUGGUUUCAGCACUCAUUCCCAAACCAAAUUUUUUUGAAAUAAGGUCUUUUGAACAGAGAGAAUUUUUUCCAGUUUUCUCAGAUCCCUAUAGAAAAUCCUUUUGGAAAAUAUUUUGAGAUAUCAUUUUUUCAAAGAAUGCAUUUUCCUUUUAAAAAGAUUAUCUUUCACUUUCUUUAAAGAGAAGAAAACAUUCUUGUCUAAAACAUUUUCACUUUUUUCUUUCAAAAUAUUUUUCCUGUUGGGUUUAAAGCAAAAUUUUCCUUUCUUGGUUUCGGAAAUUCUUUUAAGGAGAAUCCAUCAAUGGUAUUUUGAAACUUUAAUAGGGACUUUGAAGUUACUUACCUCAAAUUCGCUUUCUGAAUCUGAAUCUGUCUCGAAAUUUGAAUCUGAAUCCAAUUGUGCCAUCAGACAUAUAUUGGCAUAAUCAUCAUCACUUUCUUCACACUCUGUAUCACUCCAGGUUUCAACUUUAAGAGCCUUUCGAUACUUUUCAGUUUUUCCUUUCUUCUUCCUCAGAAGAGGACAGUUGGGUCUGAUGUGUCCCUUUUUCUUACAUUCAAAGCAGACUACAUCUUUGUUUGAUUCAUCAUCCUCAACAGACUUAGUCUGUUGUUUUUGAAAACUGUGUUUCUUUGGAUUGAAUCUUCUUCCUUUUCUGUUCAGCUUUCUGAAUCUUCUUAUCAUAAGAGCAAGUUCCUCAUCAUCCAUAUCGUCUUCAGAAUCUGUAACAUCAGAAUCAUCAUUAGAUUUUAAUGCAAUGGAUUUCUUACCUUUAGGGUCUUCGUCUUCAUUGAUUCGUUCCACUUCAUAAGAUUGAAGAGUCCCAACCAACUCAUCAACAGAUAGUGGCAUGAUUCUUUGGGUCUCUCUGAUUGAGGUCUUUAUGUGAUUCCAAUCCUUGGAGAGUCCACGCAAUAGCUUGUUUACCUUCAUGGGAUCAUAAAUUGGUUGACCUUGAUUUUCAAGACUAUUCACGAUUUCUGUAAAACAACUAAACAUAUCAGUUAUAGAUUCUCCUGAUUUCAUUUUGAAGGCUUCAUAUUGACCGAGGAGAAUGUUGAUUCUAGUCUCUUUCACUCGAUCGGUUCCUUCAUAGGUAAUAUGUAAUCUAUCACAGACUUCUUUAGCUGUAACACAAGAAGAUAUUCUAUUAUAUUCAGUAGGAGAUAAAGCACAAUAUAAAGAAUAAAUUGCUUUUGCAUCAUGAGCUUGUCUCUUGAUUAUCUCUUCCUGAGUCAUUUCGCUAGACUCAACAGCAUCUUUUCCUCUUUCUAAGAUAGAUGCAGCUUUAGAAAUGAUUCUUUUUUCUACAACGUCCCAUUCCAGAGGAUCCUUUGAUCUUAGGAACGCUUUCAUCUUGUUUUUCCAUAUGUUGUAAUCCUUUCCAUCAAAGUAAGGCGGUCUGGUAUUGCUUUGCCCUUCAACCAGCCUUGGAGCCAACAUACUAGCCAUGGAUCUUUAACUCUGAAGUAAAACACUUCAAACAAAGUGAGUACACAGGCUCCGAUACCAAUUGAGAUAGCUAGUAUAAGCACCUAGAGGGGGUGAAUAGGUGCACAAAUAAUUUCUCGAGAUACGGAAGCGAUUCUAGGCAAACGAUAGAAAGGAAGUUCUCUUUUGAUUAAUAAAAUACGAUCAAAGUAAAGUAAAUGAUAGGGAAGAGAAAAUUGAAUACAAGGUUUAUAGUGGUUCGGCUUAUUCCAAGCCUACGUCCACUCUUCCGCACUGACAGCCCAUCGGCUGGAUUUCACUAUGAACAAAAGAGAAGUUACAGCACAGCUUUUCCUUGAUUCCACAGUGUAGAUGUUCUACCACACUUUCUCAAGGUUUCUCACAAAUAUAGACUCUCUUUUGUUUACAAGAUUUUGCUCAACAAAUGAAUUGACAUAGAACAAGGAGCUUCAGACUUUGGAAUUCUUCUAUCGUGCACACUCUCGAACAACUGGAACGUCUUCCUUAUAUACUCCUUCAUGCCAUCAUACCCGUUGGCACUUACCAAAGGAAUUCCUCCAAUCUAUCCGUUGGACGGAAUCAAUUAGGAAGAUCAUUCGAGCUAUUAAAGGAACAUGUCGAUAGCCCAUCAAUCAUGUUCGCCCAUACAAUCAUGAUCUUGGUUUCCAUAAGUAGAACCUUCCAAGUAUACUUUGCCAAUCAUCGAAUCCUUAAUCUUCGAAUCAAUUAUGAUCAAAUAAAGGAUUCUGUCAUGUCAUAUCCAGCCAAGAGAUCUUCUCCAGUCGAUAAGGUCACAUCCUUAAUGAAACAUCCAGUUCUGGAUAGCCUUUCUUCAACGGAUUAGAAACUGUCAAUGAGGAUAGACUUUGAGUCUUGAGUCUGGCUGUCCGGAGGUCUUCAGACUUUAAAUAGCAGAGUCUGCAAGCCUUCAGACUAGACUAAUGGAAACGUUUUGUCAACUUCAAAACACUUCAAGAGGAUUUGUCCAACACCAGGUGCUUGCACCCAAGUCGCCAACAGCCAUGCCCACGUACUCAACUCACACACUCGAGACACUAGCACUUAAGCUCCGACCCACAACCAUCGAGCUCUAGGCCAUGGUGCCCAUGCCCAAGUCCCUAACUCCUACGCCCAAGUCAUCAACGAUGCCGGAGCCUAAUUUCUCAUCAGCUAGGCCAAACGGGCUUAAGACCUCAACACUCGUACUUAGGUCCCUAAUGGCCUUCCCUAACUCUCGUGCCCAAGUCAUCGACAAACAAGUCCAUAGAGGUUGGGCCUGAGAACUCAAUGCCUAUGUUGGAGUCCCCGGCAGCCAAGCUCAGGACAAGACCCCAAUGCAAUGCCUAGUUCUCCGAUAGUCUUACUUGGAUAACUGACCACUGCCCCCAAGUUACUAGCUCUAGGGCUCAAUUCCUUGACAGGCAAGCCUAAAUCUGUAGAGACUAGGCCUAACUCCCUCAAGAUUGGGACCAAGACCUUGGUGCCUAUUCCCAGGUCCUUGAUACCCAUGCCCAAAAACUUGGCUCCUACACCCAAGUCACUAGCAUCCAGACCUAGGUCCACAAAAGUCAGGGUUCUUAGUGAUUGGGCUCAAGAACUCUUCUUCCUCAACUGAGACUCCGACAAUUGGGUAUCUCUUAUAUAGCACGUAUAGCGCUUGUCCUUUUAGGAAAAUAAAAUCAAGUUUUCAUUUCUAAACAAUAAAAAUAAUUUUCAAUUCAUUUUCAGAUUUUAAACAAACAAAUGAGAAUAUUCCUCUUCUUACUUUCACCAGAGAGAGAGAGAGAGAGAGAGAAUAUUCCUAUUUUCUUGAAAAAUGACUUCCUAACAAAUAUUUUCCAAAAAUGUGAAAUUUUUCACAAAACAAAUGGAGCCUUAAUAUCUUUCUAUACAAUCUCUUCUUCUUUUUCCCUGAAAGAAGGAUCAUUUCAUGAGGUUGCUUUUUACAGCUAAUAUAAUCACUCGGAAGGGUUCCCAGAUAGCGAUUUGUGGAUUAUGGGCCGAAUAUGUCGUUUGAUUAGACAGCUUACACAUAAUUAAAUUGUAAGGGAACCUGGCCCAUAACAAGAAAGUCUAAAUUAAACUCUUGCUAACGGGCCCCCAAGAAAGGAUCCUUAUUGAAGUUGAGCUCGACGCUGACGUCGGAGAAGGGCUUAUGGCUUUUUAUGCAUAUAAAUUUUAAUGAGUUCGGUCUGGAUACAAAGUGGGUGCGCUUGACAUAUGUGAAACUUGCGAGAGACACAGAAAGCAUUGAAAGCCUUCUAGCAAGAAAUUUAAGAGUGAGAGACCUCAUUUGCGGUGAUUGAUUCUUGCGAGUUCAGGUGUUAUCUAAAAUUCAGAAAUGCUUGAGAUCGAGUGUUCAAGCAAUGGGAAUCUUCUCCUUACCAUUUAUGAUGGAACCAACUUGUUGAUCUCUCCUUGUAGAGUAGGCACACCACCAAACGUGUUCAGGUUUUAUUUUUGCAGUUUAUUUCUUACUUGAAUCACUUCGUUUAUUGAUGCUUCCACAUUAGUUGUAACGAAGUGGCAUUAGAAACUGAUGGUUUUAUUAGUGAUGGGCUUAUGGCCCGUCCGCCCAUGUUGGGCCUAAAAGCCCAGCCCACGGAAUUAGGGCCCGUUGAUAAGGGAACGUAUAAAAGGAGAAAGAGAGAGAGAGAGGAAGACCCCCGUUGGAAUAACGCACGUACGUUCCUCUCCCUCUCCCUCCAAAAAGAACAGUACGCUUAAGGCAACGCCGUUUCCCUUUCAAGGCGAAUUGACAUCAUCAGAUUAGAAUUUCUUCCUCGAUCUUCGGCAUUGGUGUCUAAUCUGUGGCUAACAAGAUACGCUCGAAUCCGUGGUGUGCUUUACGAUCGGUGAUAUGUGUUUUUCCCGGGUUUCGUCUUCCACAUUGAUUUAGGGGUUCGAUUAAGUGUCAAAUUCGAUUUUCGGGGAUCCGUUAUUCCCAACAUUGGUAUCAGAGCCCUAGUUCACGUUUUCCCGACCUGUUUGAUGUUUUUUGAUUGAUUUUUCACGAAAAUUUACGGCCGUACGGAUCGGGGUGAGAAAUCCCGACACCCGAGCGCUAUUCGUCCUUUUUUCUGAGUUUCCGUAAGUCGAAAUCAAUUUCUGAAGGAAUUGGGUGAAAGAGGUCGCCGAGACGAGUCUGGCGACAUGUCGUGCACCGCCGGACGACGCCGCACGCACCCGAAGCGCUGGCAUCGGCCACCGCGUGCGCCACACGCGCCGGUCGGCGAACUGGCACGUGCGCGACGCCGGCGGUGAACCAGCAUGCGCCAGUCGGCGGACCGACGCGUGCUGACGUCAGCAUGACGUCAUCCAAUGGUCGGUAACCGCUGGGAUGACGUCAUCGCUGACGUUAGCGCCGACGACAGUUGGUCGGGCGAUCACCGGCCGGCGACCCGGUCGGCAAUCCGACCCGACCCGACCCGACCCGCAGACGCCUGGCACACGCGAGGCACGUGCCGGCUGACGUCUGCGUGACGUCAGUUCGCGCACGCGCACGGCACGUACGGUCGGUUCGUCCCACCCGGCCCAACCGACCCGACUGGUUCGACAACCGACGACCGUUGACCGUUGACUUUGACUGUUGACCCGAAAAAAAAAAUUUUGUUUCUUUUUCAGUUAUGUCUGUGUGGGUUAGAGGUAAUCCAUUUUUUAUUCUGCAUUUGUUGCAUGAAUUAUGAAAAAUUAUGUAUUUUCCAUUUUAUUUAUUGUGGAUUAUAAAUGAUCCAUUUAUUGGUUCUGCAUUUGUUGCGGGAACUAUGAUGCGUUAUGCACGGAUACCUGCAAUCCCGAGAAUGGACGAAGGUAGAGCUAGACUUAAAAGGCUAAUGAAAGAGUUAGCUUAUUAUCAAUGGCUUGAUGGUGAUUUAGUAUCACACAUGGUCAAGGUCAAUCAGAUGAUACAGGAAAUCAUCUGGAAUGGUUAUCUUAUGCCGGAUUUUGAGAAGGUGCCGGCUUUGAUGAACACUCUUCCACUUGAAUGGCAAGCAGUGUUAGAUCGGCUAUGGGAGGUCAACGUGGUCUCAGAUUAUAGGAGGCUAGUGGAAGCUUUUGUAAGAGAGUACUAUAGGAUUGAGUUGGCCAAAACUUCAACCCUUAGAUUGAGCGCCACAUGGGGUAGAGUAAAUGCGCCUUGGUGGCGACAUGAAAGCUCUCCAAAAGUUUUUCCACGGUUGGCAAAUGUGCCUUCAGUUUUAUCAGAUUUUUGACUGAUAGAUUAGAAGAGACUUUCCCUAUUUAUUUCUUAGAUUAGUUUGAGAUAUUUUUGAGUGUUGAAUAUCUCUUUCUAUGUUGAUAUUUCUUUUUGGAUAUAUUACUUAGUGUAAUGGAUUGUUGUAUUAGUUGAAAGCAUUAUUAUUUUAUUGGAUGUCAAUUAUCUGUUGCUUUCUGUUAUUGCUAAUUGUUGUGGGUAGUUUAUAGAAGUUUUUGUAACUUCAUAGAAUUUAUUUUGCAUAAGACAAUUAUAUUAAUGAUAGUUUUAAGUUAGGAUUUUUGGAGAAUGAUUGGAAACAUAGUGACCUUUUGAUUCUGAAACCUUACUUGAAAUUAUUCAUUGAUAUGAUGGGUCUGUGUAAAGUAGAUGCAUAAAUGAUAAGCAUUAAUUAUUCGUGCAUAUAUGUCUGAUGUGUUUAGAUUGAUGGUUUCAGCAACUAAGAACGUAAUUGCUGAUGUGAACGGCAACAAUUGUGAAAUAUUGAAUAUGAAGAUUCAAUAUGUGCUGGAAAAGCAAGAAGCACUAGAAGCUCUUGACCAUGUUAUGGAAGAUCUUGAGAAUGCUGUGCGCCACCUUGAAUUGGUAGAGGACCACUUGACGGCAUGUGAGCCGAAAAUAGAUAUUUGCAAUGCUGGUUCUAGCUCAGAAAGGGCUUUGAGCUCUAAGCGCAAACGUAUGGAUUCGUUCAAUAUGUGGGAAUGCAAAGGAUCAAGUUCUUAUUGCAAGAGAUCAAGAGUUAACCAAGACAAGAGAGGAAAAUGUCCUCAAGUGAAGAAAAUGUCAAGGGUGAGGUAUUACAAUUGUGACAAUAGAGGUCAAUAUGCUCGCGACUGUCGUGAGCCAAAGAAGGUAUACACCUCUUGUANNNNNNNNNNNNNNNNNNNNNNNNNNNNNNNNNNNNNNNNNNNNNNNNNNNNNNNNNNNNNNNNNNNNNNNNNNNNNNNNNNNNNNNNNNNNNNNNNNNNNNNNNNNNNNNNNNNNNNNNNNNNNNNNNNNNNNNNNNNNNNNNNNNNNNNNNNNNNNNNNNNNNNNNNNNNNNNNNNNNNNNNNNNNNNNNNNNNNNNNNNNNNNNNNNNNNNNNNNNNNNNNNNNNNNNNNNNNNNNNNNNNNNNUAUGCUCCGUUGCACUUCAUCAAAAUUUUGUGUCUGUUUUGGUGUUGGUUAAGCUUGGUUUUAAUGUGAACUUCCGUAAUAGCGGUGUAGAUUUUUAUUUGGAUACAAACUACUAUGGUUGUGGUCACUUUCUGGAUGUUUUUAUUGUACUAAAUAUUGACUGUGGUGAUGUCAAUGUUUGUUAUUCCCUUGUUUCACGUCUUCUACUUCAUAUGAUAAUGAUGUGAAUGUGUGGCAUGCUAGACUUGGUCAUAUUGGCCAAUAAUGUAUGAAUAGACUGGCCAAAGAGGGCUUGUUGGGCAAUAUUGAAAAAGUCGAUUUGCCCAUAUAUGAGCAUUGCCUAGUAGGGAAAACGACAAGGAAAUCAUUUGGAAAAGGUAAAAGAGCUGAAUUUCCUCUGCAUUUAAUCCAUUCUGACGUCUGUGAUUCAAUGAAUGUGAGAGGAAGGCAUGAGACUGUUUAUUUCAUCACUUUUAUAGAUGAUUAUACUCGAUUCGGAUAUGUCUAUUUGAUUUCUCAUAAAUAUGAAGCAUUAAGUUGUUUCAAAAGGUUUAUGAACUUGGUAGAAAAUCAAUUAGAUAAGAAAAUAAAAACAUUGAGAUCCGAUCGAGGUCGAGAAUAUUUAUCUGAUGAGUUCAGAAAAUUAUGUGGUGAAAAACGAAUAGAAAGACAAUUGUCUAUUUCAAAUACUCCUCAACAAAAUGGUGUUGCAAAGAGAAGAAACAAAACCCUACUGGAAAUGGUUAGGUCCAUGAUGGCGCAUGCUAACUUACCUAUUACUUUUUGGAGUGAUAUGUUGUUAACUGCUGCCCAUAUACUUAACUCGGUGCCUUCCAAAUUAGUUAGUUCCACUCCAUAUGAGUUAUGGACAGGUAGAAAACCGGACUUAAGUUUUCUUAAGCCAUGGGGAUAUGCCGCCUAUACACAUGAGUCCUCUCACAAAUUUGGGAAAUUGGGUCCCAGAGGAAAGAAGAGUAUUUUCAUAAGGUACUCAGAACACUUGAAAGGAUAUGUGUUCAUAGGUGAGCAGGAAAGUGGGAGUAUAACUGAGUUUGAAUCACGAGAUGUCACAUUCUUAGAGGAUGAACUUCCUAAGAAGGGCGAAAUAGGGGAAGAUUGUUCCCUAUUUGAGACCUUGGAUCAGGAUAAUGAUGUUAGUGGAGUUCGUCCAAGUGGGAGUAAUAUGAGAAGUGAUGAAUUGAAUUCAACUCAUUCUCAAUUGCAACCACAUGAUGAGACGACAUCAUCAUUACCUAAUCCAAGUGGGAGCAUGAUGGGGAAUGAUGUGCAAAGUGUAUAAUCACCCACACGGCGAACAAGUCGCCAAAGUAUUCCCCGUCGACAUUUUGACAUUGAAGGGGAAACUUUUAUGGUUGUUCCACGAGAUAAGGAUGAGCCAAGAAAUAUUAAUGAGGCUUUGAAAUGCCCUAGUAAGGAAAAAUGGAUUUAUGCAAUGAAAGAGGAGAUUGAGUCAAUGAAGUUAAACCAAGUCUGGGAACUGGUUGAUCUUCCAAAAAGACGCAAAGCUAUUGGGAACAAGUGGGUUUUCAAAAUAAAGCGUAAAGCUGAUGGCUCGAUAUAAAGGCAUAAGGCUCGCCUUGUGGCGAAUGGGUAUAAUCAACAGGAAUGAAUUGAUUAUGAAGAAACAUUUUCUCCUGUAGUGAGAUUUACCUUGAUUCGCAUAAUUCUGGCAAUAGUGUUUAGUAUAGAUCUUGAAUUACAUCAAAUUGAUGUAAAGACUGCUUUCCUCAAUGGAGAAUUAGAGGAAGAAAUAUAUAUGGAACAAGCUGCUAUUUUCAUAGUGAAAGGCCAAGAAGAAAAGGUAUGUCAACUUUGGGGGCCGAUAUAUGGCCUUAAGCAGUCGCCAAGACAAUGGUAUAUACGUUUUCAUAAUGCCAUAAUGGCAUAUGACUUUACAAUGAUAGAUGAGAAUCAUUGUAUAUAUAUAUCAAAAGAUCCAAGGAUCAAUUUGUGAUCAUAUCAUUAUAUGUUGAUGAUAUACUAAUUGCCGGAAGUAAUAUGGAGUUUGUUAAUACUGUCAAGAGUUAGUUGUCUUCCAACUUUGAGAUGAAAGACAUGGGUGAUGUUGCAUACAUUCUUGGAGUUAAGAUUUCAAGAUUGUAAACCCAUUGAUACUCCUAUUGCAAAAGGUGAAGGAUUGAGCCAUAGACUGUGUCCAAGGACUCCACAAGAGAAGGAACAAACGAAAUAUGUUCCUUAUGCUGGUGCUAUUGGGAGCUUGAUGUACGCUAUGAUGUGUACAAGACCUGACAUAUGUUUUGCAGUUGGAAUGGUGAGCAUAUACCAAUCCAAUCCAGGUCAAGCACAUUGGAAAGCCGUUAAAUGAAUACUAAGGUAUCUAAAGGGACUGCUGAUUAUACGUUGAGUUAUUAUGGAAAGGAUCUGCAACUCAAAGGCCAUUCUAAUGCUGAUUGGAGAGGAGAUUUAGAUGAAAGAAAAUCUCCCUCUGGGUUUGUUUUCUUACCGAAUAAUGGCACCAUAUGUUGGAGCAGUAAGAAACAAAAGUGUAUAGCCUUGUCCACGAUGGAAACUGAGUUCGUGGCAUUAUCAGCAGCAAUAUAAGAAGAUGUUUGGCUUAAGAGAUUUUUUGGAUCAUUUAGGUGUUGUUGGAAGUGCUGCAGAUUAAUUGUUGGUUAAUUAUGAUAGCCAAGCAGCAAAAGCAUACACCAAAGAUCAAAAAUAUCAUGGCAAGACCAAACUUAUAGAUACCAAGUACAAUCUUGUCAAAGAUAUGGUUGCACGAAAGGAUGUGAACUUAGAGUACAUACUACGCAUAGAAUGGUAGCAGAUCCUAUGACAAAGCCAAAACCUAGAGAUGUGUUUUGUGGCCAUAUGAAAUCUCUAGGAUUGCGUAGAGUCUGAUGUACUGGAUUGUAAUUCCCUGAAGUGUUCACAUUUGAUGAAUUUGUGUUUUUCAUCAUUAAUGCCUAUGAAUCUUUGUUUGAUCUUUAUGCAUCUUAAUACUCGGUGCAUUAUUUUAAGUUGAGGAAGUAUGUCGGACAGAUAUAAGAUUAGCCCACUCACACAGGUAAUCGCCUCUAUUUACUGUGAGAUAAAUAGAGAUGAGACUGUUUUUAAGCUUAUUAUCUAGGUGAUAAUCGAGAGCUCAAGCUUAAAAUACGUAUGUCGCCUUAACUGGGUGUUAAGAUGAGGACAUAAUACUUACUAUGUCUGAAAGUAAAAUAGCCCACAUAUUUUACUUUAUAUGUCUAUGAUGCCAGAUGUGAGUUCUGAUGAAUUUUGUGAAUGAGUAGAUACGUGAACUCAAGUUAGACAUUGGGUAUGUCUGGACUAUCAUCUAUACAGUGUUGAAAGUGUAGACAUACGCUCCAUGGGAAAGGAGUUAAUACCGUAAUACGUAUUUCAUACUAUGUAUGCAUGAAAUGACCAAUAAGAGUGGCAAAAGUUUGAUCUCAAUUUUUUAUGUCGUGUGAGACUCUUGAGGAAAAGAGUUCCUCAAUUUUUUAGUCCCCUCAUGACUCUUACUUAUUCUCAAAAUUUCUAUUUAGUGUUUGCUAUCUUAGGAUGUUGCCAAUGGUCAUGAGUUGAUUCGAUCUAAUGGGGCAUUUCUAGAAAAGCAAGCUGAACUGAAAUUGAGAGUUUGAAGGAAAGAGGAAGAUCGAAUUUGGAAAAUCACAUUGUAGUUUUGUAUUCACCGGUUAACCAAUUAUGACUGUUUUUGGGAUAAUCAUAAUUGUGAAUACAAUAUAUAUAUAUAUAUAUAUAUAUAUAUAUAUAUAUAUAUCAUUGUUUAAAAGAAAUCAAGAGAGAUAUAAAUGUGAUUGAUCGAUCUAGGGUACUGCAUACUAAAUCUACUCAGGAUGUGAUGCCCAUUAUGAGCUGCUAUAUAUUCCUAACAGAUGUAUGGCAACGAGCUCUCAAAGUAUGCUGGUCGCAUGGAUUAUUCACCGGUAUGAAUGUUAAAGAGAGGUAAAGAGAAUCCUGUUCAGCCCACCAUGUGCGAGUGGGAGAUGAUGGUUUUAUUAGUGAUGGGCUUAUGGCCUGUCCGCCCAUGUUGGGCCUAAAAGCCCGGCCCACGGAAUUAGGGCGCGUUGAUAAGGGAACGUAUAAAAGGAGAAAGAGAGAGAGAGGAAGACCCCCGUUGGAAUAACGCACGUACGUUCCUCUCCCUCUCUCCCUCCAAAAAGAACAGUACGCUUAAGGCGACGUCGUUUCCCUUUCAAGGCGAAUUGACAUCAUCGGAUCAGAAUUUCUUCCUCGAUCUUUAGCAUUGGUGUCUAAUAUGUGGCUAACAAGGUACGCUCAAAUCCGUGGUGUGCUUUACAAUCGGUGAUACGUGUUUUUCCCGGGCUUCGUCUUCCGCAUUGCUUUAGGGGUUCGAUUAAGUGUCAAAUUCGAUUUUCGGGGAUCCGUUAUUCCCAACAGAAACAAAGUUCAUUGUUGAUUGGUUGUUCAAGGAAUUUUGUCAGCUACGAUAAUCAUUAUGAUCUCUGUGAUCUUUGAGUUAGAGAAAUCCACAAUUUUAAUUUUGUGCUCAUUAAGAUGCGCAUUGGAGACACGGGAUUUGGAUUGAGCAUUUAAGGGAGACGAUAAAUUUCCCCAAACUAUGAAAGCUGCUAAAAAAGCAGACAUUUUGAAAAGAGUUCCAUUUUUUAUUUUGCUGAAUUUAGGGAACAACGUUUUGGUUUCAGUGGCGUAUGAGAGGAAUAGAGCUGCAGUUUCAGCAAAACUUGAAAGCGUUAUAUAUGUCGAAAUCGCUCUCAAAGGUACUUUUCGUGUUUUUUAAUUGUUCAGAUUAUUGAGGGAACAUCAAUCCAGGAUCACCUGUAUAAGUUCAAUAGAGUCAUCAAUGAUAUGAAGAAUGCGGAUGAGAACGUGUUGACUAACGGUGGAGGAAGCGUGAACUGGCAAAAAAAAAAACCUGCUAAUUUACUCAAGACUGCGAGCAUUUGGGUGCCCUGCAUAUGGCCAUGUUAGGGACGGUAAGCUAGAACCGAGGACAAAGAAUUGCUUAUUUCUAUGCUACGCGGUACGCACUAGGGAUGCAAGGUUACAGGCCGUGGUGUUCAGAUCCUAAAAUCACCCGGAUUCAUCAGCAGCAGAGAUGUUGCAAGGAAACUCAGUAAGUACAGACUAGUUCCACGAGACAAGCGGAGCUUCAGUUGGAGGCUCGGCGGAAAACGCAGAUGGGAAGUGAGGAUAGAGGCCCCAAGCGGGGCGUCAGUGAGGGCACUAGUCAGUCUAGAGCAGAAGAUAGUACUGGUGGAGAGGUGCAGCUCGCAAAGACCUCAUCCUCCAUAGCGACAAGUAGAGAACGCGGGGAGAUCAGAGAACCACGGAGCCAUGCAGAUUGCGUUACUUCAUAUAAGUGUUACUUAUGCCAUGUCCGCUGAGGAGGAUGUCGAGGAUUUACUCUCAUACCGAGAAGCAGUGUCAGGUGUAGAGCUUCAGCAAUGGAUUGGUGCAAUGAGCAAGAAGGGGUCUCUCUAGUGGAAUCAAACAUGGCAGUCACUGGUAUCUUCAAAAGGGCAGAAGAUAGGGUGCAAGUGUGUAUUCAAUUUCUAGUGGCAGUUUGCUGAGAGGUCUAAAUUAAAAUUUUGCACAAAUAUUUAGAAUUAUAUUAAUAAAAUUGAAAAACUUAGGAUAGAAUUGAAAUCCGUAUAAUGCAUUUAGAAGUAUUUUCCCAUGAAUGUAAUAUUGAAGAUGGGAAGGCUCAUAUGCCACUGGAAAAAUAUAGUAUAUUAAGAGCUAAAAAUUUUCAGUCUUUUCUUCCCAAAUGCCUCGAAAAUAGAUUCAAGAAACACAAUAAAUAAUUGUGACACAUUUGCAAAACGAAAAUUACCCACACCUUUAGAGAUAAGAUAAUAAAAAUUAAUAAAUCAAGCAAAUUAAAGAAAUCAGAAAGUUCGUGAUUUUUUUAAUAAAUAAAAGUUACUAACUCAAUAGAGAAAGAUUCGACCAAAAAAAAAAUUAAUAGAGAAAGCUUUAAACACAAUUACUUGCACAUUUCCAAAAAUUACAAUCAUUCUUUAGAAAUUACAAUUCACGAACAUCUAACCCUAUUACCAAACAUGACCAAAAAAUAAAAUAAAAUCUAGCAAGCACUUACUGACAAAAAAUAAAAUAGCAGAUAAUAAAAUCCAGAGAGCACUUAAUGAAAAAAAAUAAAAUAAAAUCCACACAACCUCUCUCUCCAUCCCAGCUGUCCAUUACCAAUACACUUGAGAUUGUAAAUGACUUUGUCAAAGACUCACCCCACUUUUUGCUCCUUUUAUUCCUCCAUUAUCUUAUACAUCCUUCCGAAUUAUAAUUUAUAUAUUUUCUUUCGCCCUCAUAUACGAACAACAACACAAAAAAUACGCUGGCAAUGAUGUACGUGUAUAAACGAAAGAGACAUUCGAAUAAUUAAGAAAAAUCACCAUAUCAAAAAAUACUUUGAUAAAACUAAAUAAUUGAAAUGUAAGAUGAUAAAUACACAAAGAAAAUUAUGAGACAAUUACUUUGCAGCUUUUCUUGAAAGGUUGUUGUAAGAUAGAUUAGAUUCGAAAUGGGGGAAUAUAAGGUAGAUUAUCGAUCCAUGCAUUUACUAAGGGCUAUGAUAUUUGUAGAAUAAGUAACUAAGGUUAUUUAAAAAAGAGAGGAAAUUACUUAAAAUGCCAUAAACGUAUCAGAUUCUCCUUGCUUUAAAUAAUAGUAUAGGCAGUAGAGAUAUAUAUGGUAUAAAAAAUAUAUAUAUCACAUCAAAUCACAUAUUAUUAAAUGAAAUCAUAAUUAAUAAUGACAAAUAAUAAUAAAAAAAUACAAAAAAGUACACAUCUACCUCAUCAUCAUCACCUCCCCCCCCCCCCCCUUGUGUCUCUGUCUCUCUCUUUCUCUCUAUACACCAAACCCAGCCCUAACCAACAGCAAAUGCACCCCCCCCGGCGGCACAAUUUAGCAAACACCCCUUCACUUUCCGAUUUAAUUAAAUUAAAAUCAAAAUCAAAAUCAAAAUGUUAUAUAUAAAUAAACUUUAUAUUAACGCCUGCGCCACCCGUUUACUUUCACCCAAUCUCAUAAUAAUUUUUUUAUUAUUAUUUUUCCUCCGUUUUAUUAACUCCCUUUGUUUGGGGCCCUUUUUCUCUAAAGACCACAUCCCCCCAAUUGGCGAUCCACCGGCAUCCCCCGGCCUGCACUGUGGAUCACCGGAGCUGCCCUGCUGUGCCACCGCCCCGAAGCUCGCUGCCCUCCCCCACCAUGCAUGGUGAGUCCUUCAUUCGCCCCCCCCCCUCUACUGCGGCCGCCUUGAAAAGCAGUUCCUUCAAUGUGUUUUGUUUGCACAUGGGUGUCGGUACCUAGGUCCCCAACGGCCUUGCCCUGCUCCCAUGCCCAAGUCACUAGCAAACAAGGCUAGGUCCAUAGAAGUCAGGACAAAGAACUCAAUGCUCAUGUCAAAGUCCCCAAAGACCAUGCCCAGGAACCCAUGCUGAUGCUUAGGUCCCUAAUACCCAUGCCCGAAUGCUUGGCUCUUGCGCCCAAGUCACCAACAUCCGAGCCUAGGUCCAUCAAGGUCAGUCAUGGUUCCUCAACACUCGUGGUCGGGUUCUUAGUGGCCGGGCCUAAGAAUCCCUACUCGUGCGAUCGAGACUCUGGCAGUCAACAUAUCUUAUAUAACAUGAAUAGUGGAUAUCUAUUUAGGAAAAUAAAAUGAAGUUUCCUUUCUAAACGAUGAAAUAAUAUUUCAUCUAAAUAUCGAAAAAAUUUCAUACUUUCUUGGAAAGUGACUUCUUGAAAAUAUUUUCCAAAUGUCAAAUUUUUCUCGAAACAAACAAAUUCUUAAUGUCAUUUUAUACUCUGUAUAAUCUUUUUUUACCCCUAAAAGAAGGAUCAUUUGAUGAGGUGGCUUUUUUACAGCAAUAUAAUCACUUGGAAAGGUUUCCAUAUAGUGAUUUGUUGAUUAUAGGCCGAAGUAGAUGUCGAUUGAUUAAAAAGCCUACACGUAAUUGUGUUGUAAGGAAACCUGGCCCAUAUCAGGAAAGUCUGAAUUGAACUCUUGCUAAUAGAUCCGCAAGACCUCUUCUCCUUAUUGAACUUGAGGUCCAUUUUGACGAUGGAGAAGGGCUUAUAGCUUUUCUUUGCAUAUAAACCUUGUUGAGUUUGGUCCUGAUGCAUUGGGAGCGCGCUUAAUAUAUGCAAAACUUGCGAGAGACUCGGAAAGCAUUGAAAGUCUUCCAGUAAAAAAUUUAAGAGCGUGAGAGAAUUCAUUUGCUGCGAUUAGUUCUUGCAACUUCAAGUGUUAUCUUAAAUAAUGAGGAAACACUCGAGAGUGUUCAAGCAAUUAUAAUCUUCUCUUUGCCACUUAUAAUGGAACCAUCUCUCGUUGAUCUCUCCUUGUGGAGUAGGCAAGCCACCAAACCGUGUUCAGGUUUUAUUUCUGUAAUUUAUUUCUUUCUUGAUUGCUCCAUUUGUUCACGCUUCCAUAUUAGUUAUAACAAAGUGGUAUUAGAACCUAAGUUUAUUGUUGAUUGGAGGCUUGAAUCGCUUCGUCUGUUCAUGCUUCCAUGUUAUUCAUAACAAGUUAGCAUUAGAAACUAAAUUAUUGUAGAUUGGUUGUUCUAGGAAUUUUGUUCAUCUAGGACAAUCAUUAUGGUAUUUAUGAUAUUCGAGUUAGAGUAAUCCACAAUUUUAAUUUUGUGUGCAUUAAGAUGUGUACUUUAUUGGAGACACAGGAUUUGGAUUGAGCAUUUAAGGGAGAUGAUAAAAUUCCCCAAAAUAUGAAAGCUGCAACAAAGGUGACAAUUUGAAAAAAGCUACAAUUUUAUUCUGCUGGAGAUACAGGAUUCCUCAGCAAGUAGGCCAACCAGGCCUAGGUCCUUUAAGGCUUGACCCAAUACCUUGGUGCUGGUACCUGGGCCCUCGACGGCCUUGCCUUGCUCCCACACCUAAGUCACCAGCAAACAAGGCUAGGUCCAUCAAGGUCGGGCCUAAGAACUCGAUGCUCCCAUCAAAGUCCAUAGCGGCCCAUGCCCAAGACCUCGAUACUAGUACAUGGGUCCUCGACCGCCAUGCUUGGGUAACUGACUUCCACACCCAAGUCACUAGCUCCCGAGCUCCCUCAACAGCCAACCUCCCUCAAGAUCAUGCCGAAGACCUAGGUAUCUAUGCUCGGGUCCUUGAUACCCAUGCUUGGAUACUGCUCAUGACGCUAGGACACCGGUGGUUGGGUAUCUCUUAUAUACUAUGAAUAGUGCAUGACUUUUAAGGAAAAUAAGAUCAAGUUUUUCUUUCCAAAUGAUAUCAUUUUCAAUUCAUUUUUAAAUUUCAGUCAAAUACCAAAAAAAAAUUCUUAUUUAUUUGGAAAAAAAUUUCUUGAAAUUGUUUUUUGGAAAAUAUCAAAUUUUUCACAAAAUAAAUGGAGCUUUGAUUUCAUUUGAUUUUUCUUUCCAAUCUCUUCAUCUUUUUCCCCGAAAGAUGGAUCAUCGGAUGAGGACGCUUCUUUACAGCUAAUAUAAUCAACUGGAAGGGUUCCCAGAUGGUGAUUUGGGGAUUGCGGAUCGAAGUAAGUGUCGUUUGAUUAGAAAGCCUGCACACAAUUGAAUUGUAAGGGAACCUGGCCCAUAUCAAGAAAGUCCGACUUGAACUCUUGCUGACAGGCCCGCAAGACCUCCUUUUCUUAUUGAAGUUGAGGUCCAUCGUCGGAGAAGGGCUUAUACAGCUUUUUCUUGCAUAUAACUCUUGUCGAGUUCGGUCUGGAUACAAAGUGAGUGCGCCUAAUAUAUGUAAAACUGGCGAGAGACAGAAUGCAUUGAAAGCCUUCUAGCUAGAAAUUUAAGAGUGAGAGAACUCAUUUGCGGUGAUUGAUUCUUGCGAGUUCAAGUGACAUCUAAAAUUAGGAAACGCUUGAGAGUUGUCUGUUCAAGCAAUUGUAAUCUUCUCUUUGCCAUUAUAAUGGAACCAUCUCAUUGACUCUCCUCGUGGAGUAGCCAAAGCGCCAAACCAUGCUCACGUCUUAUUUCUGCAAUUUGUUUCUUGCUCUAACAGCUUCAUUUGUUCACACUUCCGCAUUAAUCGUGACCAAGUGGCAAUGGAAACUAAAUUUAAAUUUCACUUGAGGCUUGAAUCGCUUCAUGUGUUCAUACUUCCGUGUUGGUUGUAACAAAGCGGCAUUAGAAACUAAGUUUAUUGUCGAUUGGUUGUUCCAGGAAUUUUGUCCAUCUAUGAUAAUCAUUAUGGUCUCUGUGAUAUUUGAAUUAGAGAAAUUCAUAAUUUUAAUUUUGUGCACAUUAAGAUGCGCACUUUAUUGGAGACACAAGAUUUUGGAUUGAGCAUUAAAGGGACACGAUAAAUUUCCCCAAACUAUGAAAGCUGCAAAAAAAGCUGAUAUUUUGAAAAAAGCUGCAGGUUUUGUUCUGCCAAAUUUAGGAAACGAUGUUUGUGGUUGAAGUGGCUGGUGAGUUUAAUGUAGCUGCAGUUUGGGCUGCAAAGCCGUCCCGAAGAUACUUUUCCCGAUUCAACGUUUCUUAACUUUCCAGAUUAAUGAGGAACGUCAAUCCAAAAUCACCUUUAUAAGUUCAAUAGUAAUUAAUAACAUGAAGAAUGUAGAUGAGACCGUAUCGACCGAUGGUGGAGGAAGCGUGAACUGGUGAACCUGCUAUUUUAUUUGAGUCUGCGAGCAUUUGGGAGCGCCGCAUAUGGCCAUGUUUAGGACGGUAAGCUAGAACUGAGGACAAAAAAGUGCAUAUGCCUAUGCACUAGGGAUGAAAGGGUACAGGCCGUGGCGUUGGGAUCCUAAAAUCGCCCGGAUUUCAUCAUCAGCAAAGAUGUUGCAAGGAGACAUGGUAGCCAGUAAUAUUCUUCAAAAGCGAUGUCAGGUGUACAGCUUCAGCAAUGGAUUGGUGCAACGAGAGAGGAGAUUGGAGUCGCUUGAGUGGAAUCAAACAUGGUAAUCAGUGAUAUCUGGCAGAAGAUAGGGUGUAAGUGGGCGUUCAGAAAAGCGCAUGAUAGUUUUGAUUCACGAGCGACCAAAUAUAAGACCAGCUUGGCGAAGGGGUUCGUUGCACGAGAUAUUCUCACUUGCGGUGAAGCAUAGUUCAAUCAGGGUGGCGUUGGGACUAGUUGCGGCGGACGACUUGGAGUUGGAGUAGCUCGAUGUUAAGACGGCGUUUCUAGACAGGGAAUUCGAGGAGCGGAUAUUCAUGCAAUAGCCAGCAGGCUUUGUCGUUUCGGUUCAUUAAGGCAAUGCAUGCUUGCUCAAAUGAUCUGUUUAUGGAUUUAAGCAAUCUUAUAGUGGUACAAACGAUUUGAUUCCAUUCAACUUUAUAUAAGAGUGCUCAUGAUCAUUGCAUGUACUCUAGAAAGUUAUACAAUGGUAGUUACAUUUAUUUAAUGAUGUAUGCUAAUGAUAUAUUGAUAGUAACUAUGAACAGUUGAGACACCAAUUGAGGAGUAAUUUCAAGAUGAAAGAUUUUGGUGCCCCAAGAAAGAUAGUUGGUAUGAAGAUCUAGAGAGAUAGGUUUGUAGCGAUGCUUUUGGCUAUCACAAUGUGAUUACCUAUGUAAAGUUCUGAGGCGACUUACUAUGCAAAAUAUCAAACCGGUGAUUUUCUCACUAGUUGCAUACUUCACGGUUUCACCUGACCUUAGACCAAAAUCGGAGGAUGAGAUGGAAUAUAAGGCCCACUCAAGCCAAAGGGGUCUCAAAAGCAUUUCUCGGCAGGCUAUGUAAGACUAUUUAGUUAGAGAGCUCGAGUCUACCCGAGGCGAGGUCUAAACAACAAGUUAGGUUCAACGUAAAUACCUAACUAAGCCUAGUCCCGCCCAUUGAUCGCUUAUGUUGGCAAGUCGAAAGGUACCCUUCUCUAUAGUGGAAAAUCUACAUGUAAUUAGUGAUUUUUAUAUUAUUUCAUUGUAUCCAUAACUUUUCAUAUAAAAGAAAUAAUUAAGAACGUAUUGAAAUUCACUAAUAUCAUAACUAAAGAUAUGUUUGGACAUCCCAAUAACUAGUGGCUAGUUUUGACUGAGCACCUUCACAAAUAAUACAUUAAUCGGCCGAACAAGUCAUUUGUUUUUUUCCCCCGAUCCAACGGUGCAUACUCCUUCAUCAACAAUGAACGGUCCAGAAUGACCACGGACGAAUAUUCAUUUUCAAGCCAACCAAACCAUCGGAAAAGGCCCAACCUCAUAUUAUCAUAUGACCAUUUUUGAAAUAAUGUUAAAAGAUGGAUUAGUAUAUAUACCAUGCCUGCACCAAAGAAAAAGCAAAAACAAAAAAAACACGUAACCCUCUUUGCUUGUACUCUUUAUUCUUCUUUUUCUCUUCUUUUUCGAAUGAAUCUGCUUUAGUAUCCUUACUUAAAUAUUGUGCAUGGAGUUAAAUAAUAUAUAUAACAAGAAACCAAUGUACAAUAAGAUUAAUUACAGGAUUAAUUUAAAACCUUCAAAAAUGUUCCCAAAGCAAAUACCAAUAUGGAAUUGAAGGCACUUCUUAAUAAAAUGGAUCACUUCAAUUUUCAAACCAUCUUUCUCGUCAUUAUCACUAGGGGAGUGUAGUUCUGGAAUUGGUCCAGCUUCCAUCUGGUAUCUAUCCUUUAGAACCGAUUCCCAAAUUUUUGAAAUAUAGAACUAUCAUACAUACUUUGAAACCCGGAACCUAAUCUGUUUCAAAUUUCAAGGUCAACUAUAAAGUCUAUCUAGGUUUCCCAUGCAUCAUUAAUUGAACGAUUGCAUAUUUAGACACAAAUAUAUAUAUAUAUAUAUAUAUGAAACGUUAAUAAAGUAAAAGUUUUAGUCAUGCACAUGCCGGAAAUGGAAACUCAGACUCAGAGUAGUGGUUUUAGAUUACAUAGGAAUUUCGCAAAAUUACUCGAAGACUUGGAACAAGAAAAACAUAAAAACUUAUUACAGGUUUUAGAUUCUAUAACCUACCUAUUUAUUUAAACCAGUUCCCCAAUUUUUUGAACUCGGAAGUUACCUUGCGUACCCUAAAACCAGACCAAUUCCAACAGGUCCGGUUUUUGCUCCGAUUCCCGGUCAUAUCCUCAAACCAUGCUCACCCCUAAUUUUCAUGGUUAAAAAAGGAAAAAGAAAAAAAAAACUUCUCCAAUUAUCAUCUUGCAAUUCCUAGUUCACCAUUGUACCUAAUUAAAUUAGGUAUGAUUAAAGACAAGUUAAUUUGGUUUCAAUUGUGUCUAAAUUACCUAUACAAUAGUUAGUCUUGCUUAUAUUUAGAUAAACAUAUACAUAUGGCUAUGAACUAUGUUAAAUGUUACACUAAUGAGAAUGUACGGGAUAAUUAAUAAAUUAGUUUUAAAUAUAUCGUUUGGAUGCCAAUUUAAUCUUAAACUUUCAAGUUUACUACCAUAGUCCUCAACCUUUGAUUUCUAGUGCCAAUUUGCCAAAAGGACUGUCUUCAAAUCUUGCGCAAAUAUUUAGAAUUAUGUCGGCAAAACUGAAAAGUUUAAGAGUGACUAAAUUGAUACUUUCCUAUGAAUGUAAUAUAGAAGAUGGAUGGCUGAAAUGCCUCAAAAAUGGACUCGAGAAACACAAAAAACAAUUGUGGCGCAUUUGCAAAACAAAAAUUACCUACACCUUCAGAGAUAAUAUAAUAAAAAUUAGAAAUGAUUCCAAGAACGGAAUCAGAAACUUCGUGGUUUUCUUUUGCAAGUCACUAAUUUAAUGACAAAGCUUUACACACAAUUACUUGCACAUUUCCAAAAAUUACAGUCAUCCUUUGGAAGUUACCAUUCCUAUUACCAAACGUGACCAAAAAAAUAAAAUCCAGCAAGCACUUAUAGCAGAUAAUAAAAUCCAGAGAGCACUUACUGACAAAAAUAAAAUAAAAUCCACACAACCUCUCUCUCCAUUCCAGCUGUCCAUUACCAAUACACUUGAGAUUGUAAAUGACUUUGUCAAAGACUCACCCCACUUUUUGCCCCUUUUAUUCCUCCAUUAUCUUAUACAUCCUUCCAAAUUACAAUUUAUAUAUUUUCUUUCGCCCUCAUAUACGAACAACAACACAAAAAAUACGCUAGCAAUGAUGUAUGCGUAUAAACGAAAGAGACAUUCGAAUAAUUAAGAAAAAUCACCAUAUCAAAAAGUACUUUGAUAAAACUAAAUAAUUGAAAUGUAAGAUGAUAAAUACACAAAAAAAUUAUGAGAAAAUUACUUUGCAGCUUUUCUUGAAAGGUUGUUGUAAGAUAGAUUAGAUUCAAAAUGGGGGAAUAUAAGGUAGAUUAUCGAUUCAUGCAUUUACUAAUGGCUAUGAUAUUUGUAAAAUAAAUAUCUAUGGUUAUUUAAAAAAGAGAGGAAAUUACUUAAAAUGCCAUAAAAGUAACAGAUUCUCCUUGCUUUAAAUAAUAGUAUAGCCAGUAUAGAUAUAUAUGGUUUAAAAAAUAUAUAUAUCACAUCAAAUCACAUAUUAUUAAAUGAAAUCAUAAUUAAUAAUGACAAAUAAUAAAAAAAUAAAAUACAAAAAAGUACACAUCUACCUCAUCAUCAUCACCUUCCUCUCUCUCUCUCUCUCUCUCUCUACCAAACCCAGCCCUAACCAACAGCAAAUGCACCCCCCCGCACAUUUUAGCAAACACCCCCUUCACUUUCCGAUUUAAUUAAAUUAAAAUUACAAUUAAAAUCAAAAUGUUAUAUAUAAAUAAACUUUAUAUUAACGCCCGCCCCUUCCCGUUUACUUUCACUCAAUCUCAUAAUAAUUUUUUUUUUUCCUCCGUUUUAUUAACUCCCUUUUUUUGGGGCCCUUUUCCUCUAAAGACCACAUCCCCGCCCCCCAUCGGCGAUCCACCGGCAUCUCCCGGUCCGCGCCGCCGAUAGCCGGAGCUUCCCCGCCGCGCCGCCCUGAAGCUCGCUGCCCUCCCCCCAUCGUGCACGGUGAGUCCUCCAUUCGCGGCCCCCGUCUCUGUGCUGCGGCCGCCUUGAAAAGCGGUUCCUUCACUGUGUUUUGUGUGCGCGUGGGCGUGCGUGCUUUUGGUGGUGCGUAACCCCACCGAGAUUCGCGAGCUCAACUCGACCUCGAUUCGCUCGAGCUCCGGAUCGCAGCGCCGCGAUCCGAGGCCCCCCGAGCUCGAGUCUCAGCUGGAGUCACUGUGAGUGUUGAUUAUCUGCCUAAUCCCUCCCGUAACCUUCCCGGUUAAUCGCUCGCCGAUUCGCGGUUGGGCCGGAUACGGCGGAAUUCGCCGUUGUCCGGCUUCCAUCCGGUGAUUCUGUGCCAGGAUCUUGGUGAUUUGGCGCCCUAGUUGAUUUUGAACUGCGAAAUGAUGCUUGUUGCUGUUGAUUACAGUCGCUCGGGUCGAUUUCCGCGUGAAAUGCUCGGUUCCGCUAGGGUUUUGUGUUGCUUCGUCCUUCGGUCGGUGCUAGUGGAGUAUCGGUGUAAUUGAGGUCAAGUAUAAGUCGAGGACACUCGGGCUUUUGGUGUUUUUGACUUUCGAGGUAGGGUGGAGAAGUACUAGGCGAGUCUUUCUAGGGUUUUGAGCUGGUGCUGCUCACUGCUCUGUAGUCUGUACGGUUUAAAUGUUUUCCGGUUCUGUCUCUGUGACUUUAGGUUUUACGUCAUAGCCCGCUGACUCGUCCUUGGUCUUUUGCGACGUUGAGAUUAUCUGGAUGCGAUGCAUGAUUAGUCGGUUUGAUUGCAUGGGGAAAUGAUAAAGCAACUCAAUUAGAGUUUUGUAGCUGUAUUUAUUGCGCAGUAUGCUGUGCCGGAAUGAGAAAGCAACUCAAUUAGAGUAUCGUAGCCGUAUUUACUGUGCAGUAUGCUGUGCCGGAAUAAGAAAGCAACUCAAUUAGAGUUUCAUAGCCGUAUUUAUUGCGCAGCAUGCUGCGCCAGAACAGUUGGCUCGAGUUGGCGUUAUAGUCCGCAUUUGGAGAUUGAUUAGACAAGAACCGUAAUAAAUGAUUCUCAUGAAAAAUAUACAUAUCAGUUUUGCUUUUUGGAUCCUCGUUUAUGUUUGUGCGGUAGGAAAUCGAAUUCUCUCGUAAAGCAGCAUAUUAUGCUGAGAACCAACGUAGUAGCACAAUUGAAUUUCGUAAAGUUCUUACCAUGCUUGCCAGUCAUGUUCUUGGUUAAUGUCCCUUGAUUUAUCCGUUUAAGUUUUUCUGUUUUUCUCAAAGAAGGAUCAUUUGAUAUGGUGACUUAUUGUUGACACCUGAAAUUUUGCCGCUAAGUCAAGUUUCCAUCUUUUUAAAACCAAGAAAAAUAAUAAUAAAUCUAUAAACGAGAGAGUCCAAUUUGGACAUUUAUGCAAGGAUCUAAACCCAUAGUCUAACUCGCUCACUUUGGUCCGGUCUACCAACCCAGCCACUAGCCAAGCCCAUCAGGAAUUAGGCCGGCCCAUCAGCCUAGCCCAUGAAGCCCAAAUUUAAAGUCGCAUUAAGCAACUUCUGCACAGGCCCAGAUUUACAAUUUUAAGUCGGAGCCCAUAAAGCCCAAGAGAGUUUGGCCCAUAAAGCGAGCACGUGGAGGGACUGAGAAGAGCGAAGGAAUUCUGGCAAGGGACACGUAACAAAGGACCAUAUUACACCAGAUAGCACUUCACGGACCGACAAAAUUUCCUUCUCUCUGGUUACAAUUCCAGAGAAUUCGUAGUCCAUUCUUGUUCUCCAGACAUCGCUCGCAGUUACGGCGGUUGAUCGUCGCUUCAAUCCAUCUCCCCCGCCAAAGAGGUGGCUGAGAAUCACUUGUAUGAAAAUUCAAAGAAUAAUUACAUAUUAAAUCGUAUCUUCAUCUAAAAAACUUAAGUUUUUAAACAGUUGACAGUAGUUUCACAAAAUCUUGAAAAUCUUGAAAUUAAUCGUGGUGAGUUUCUUUCAAGUGUUCUCUUUUCUUCUUCUUUUUUUCUUUUUUUAUGUUUGUACGAUCCAGUUUAGAUGCAUUUGAAUCCUUUCUGCUGUUCUACUUGAUUUUGCGGAGGAUAAUGUUAUGCGUACGGACGUUGAACAGGAAUGAAAGAGAGAACGAUGGAGGCUCGAAGAAGUGAGAGUUUUGUGAUUCUGCGAUUGAGUAAUAGUUUAUGCAUGUUUGCAAAACAAAAGAAAAGAAGUGGAACGGUAGCAGAUUCAUGACGAAGAAGAAGAACUCGUGCCUUGUGGUGUGAUGGCGUUGGACUAAGAAAGAAACGAAAGGAAAUAAAAAGACAAUAAGUAAAAGUAGUAUAUUAAACAUAAUAAAUAAAAAACGAAAAAUAAAAUGCGGAAUAAAAAUGAUUGGAAAGUGUGAGUCCUAGCUAGGCAGUUGCAGCUUGGAAAUAAUUUUAAUCGAAUUUCAUUUCAUUCGAAUUCAUCUAGUUUAAGAGUAAUUAUAUUUGGAUUUCGAAAUAAUUUGAUUUUUUAGCUUUUAUUUUCUUUUAGACGAAAUGGAUAAGCAGACAAAAAAAAAACAAUAACAAAGAAAAGGAUAAAAAAAAUCUCAUUUGCUUCAUAUUAGAAUUACUUUUAUUGGGUCAUUUUAUUGAUUUCCGUCUUUAAUAUCGUUAGUGUAAUUCUCUUUAGUUGAAAUUAGACUUUGACUUUGAUUUUGAAAAUUAGCUCAUGGUGGUCAUGCCUGGUUCAAUAAUAAGGCAAUAAAUAUACUUUACUCCAUUCGUACCGGAUUAUUUUACCGCACUCUACUUUUUGUUGUCAAUUUUUUUACGGCAUUUGAGUAUCGUGAGGUAUUAGCUCAUGGGGAUCAUGUCUGGGGACUUAAUAACAAGACCAUAUUUUUUUUCUAACUCAUAUUGGAUUAAUGUCACAAAAAACCCCAAACCGGUAUAUCUAUAAUAAAUUUAUCUAAAACAAAUUUUUUGAAAAAUAGCCUAGUUAAAUAAAUGCACGAGGCAAAUAAACAGCUAAUAUUUUCAUUGUUGGGAGCAAGAAGUACGUUAAAGAAUGGCCCAACCUUUUGGCCAUGAUGUUUGUGGACUCGAUAAGUAAGAUUAAAGACCACGAAUUAGACUCCUCCGCUAACUUAUUUGUCCAUCGAUCAAGAAAAGCACCAUAAAUUCCUAAUGAGACCUUUUGGGGGGUGGGGUUUGUACGGGAUGAUAUUACAUCAGGCCAAUUCCCACCACACCAGAAAAUGGAAAAGACCUCAGGCGACGGAAAUGCCCGUCGCUAAAGCGUAAAAUCUCCUUCCCGUCUCUCGCUAGGGACGGAAAAGGGACUGAAUGGAACCGCUCCAGAGCAUGAGCAAGUUUUUCUGUCAUUUAAAUAGUAAUAAGAACAUCUUUAUCUUAUAGUUACCAUAUCAAUCGAAAUAGUGCAAGAAUUCGUGAUAUAUUAUUCACUCUCAAAAUGUUUAAAUUGCGCCAAGAAUUCACGUAUUAGAAUGAAUAACGAGAAAUAUUUUGAAAAAGGUUUGGAGAUAGAGAAAUGACCCAUCCACUUAUUUUGUUGUGUAUAUGUCUACACAACGAGUGAAGAAUUCUUUUGUUGUUUGUGAGAUCUUGUCUUGAAUGGUCCCAGUAACAUGGGAUUUGCAUGCUGCAACUUUGUACCGAGCAAUUUUUUCUCAAAGGUUAAUUUCUUCACUCGGAAAUAACGAAACGUCAGUAGAGUCAAGAAGAAGACGAAUUGCUUCACCUUUUAUGCUUAGUUAAGACAAAACUUUGUGCAAUUGCACGAUAAAAUGGGGUACCGCAUACACAAUAGAAAACAGUUUGCUCUGUUUUUACUUAACUAGGCAAUAUGAACAGAACGACCAAGCCCAAGGAAAAGUAGAUGCGUCAUUGAAUGAUUGAGUGCGGGUUAUGUUAGAUGAUGUUCGGCAAGUACUAAAAAUUUGCUCUGCUGUGCAACGACAUAAUAUUCUUAUGAGUAGAAAUUAUCUUCAACUGGCCUCCUUGAGCACAUAAUUUUUCUCGAUGUGAAGUUAAGACUAAUAGAACAAGAAGAAAUGCAUGACUAGCUAUUUUACUCCUAGAAUUGCGUUCAAAUGAUUCAAAAUGUCAAGUUUUGUUCCUUUGGUCACAGCAAUGCAAGCUUGGUUGUGCCUUUGUCGACAUGCCGGGAUUUCAUUAGUUUCCUAUAACAAACGGACUUCUAUAAUAUUUGCAAAAUACAACCAAUCGUACUUUGAAAUUAAGAUCUUUUCCUAGAUAUCAAUGGUGCCCACAACAGUAUAUUUUUGUUUCUGGUUUCUAUCCGUUUUAUCAUAAAAAAACCAAGCAGUAGAAAAAUAGUAGACAGCAAUGUUAGGCUAAUGCACAAUCCAAACAACUAUAAUUGUGUGGGAGUAACAAUCUGCAAAAGACAAUGGCCAAUUCCACCUCUACCUCCCCUCAAUAAGGGAGACUGAUCAAAAUUCUAAACAAUCUUAAUUUCUCUUAAUGGAUUACACAAUAGAAAUUACAUUCAUCAUAAGUGACCAAAGAAAAUGUUCACCAAUCGUAAUUCUAAAUGAAAAUAGCACUAAUAUCACAAACAAAAAGGACCCACAUAGUGCAAUCAUCGAAAGGGGUCAGAUGGGCACCCAAAGUCUUCAAUUUUGACCCUAAAAUCACACCAUUUCAUAGACUUUUUUGCCACUAUCCUUUCAUAGACUUUUUUGCUACUGUCCUAAUGAGUAACCAAAGUCUUCAAUUUCAACCCUCAAAUCACACCAUUUCAUAGACACUUUUGCGAUUAUCCUUUCAUAGACUCUUUUGUCAUCGUCCUAAUGAGUAAUCAAAGUCUUCAAUUUCGACCCUCAAAUUGCAACAUUUCAUACUCUUUUGUCAAUAUCUUAAAGAGUAACCAAAGUCUUCAAUUUCGACCCUCAAAUCGUACCAUUUCAUAGACUUUUUUACCGCUGUCCUAACAAGCAACCAGAGUCUUCAAUUUUCACUCUCCAAUUGUACUGUUUCAUGGACUUUUUUUGCCGCUGUCGCAUCCUGUUGUUAUAUGACCCAUUGGUUUGCCAACUGCCAGGCAAAUAAAGAUCUAUGGGCUGAAUUUUCAGUCAAUCAUUUGUCAAUUCGGCCCCGAAGGUUUUUAUUAUGUUCCCUAGUAGCUACACAUUAGGCCGAUUCCCACCACCACCAGAAAAUGGAAAAGACCUCAGACGACGGAAAUGCCCAUCGCUAAAGCGUAAAAUCUCGUUCCCGUCUCUCGCUAGGGACGGAAAAGGGACUGAAUGGAACUGCUCCAGAGCAUGAGCAAGUUUUUUUGUCAUUUAAAUAGUAAUAAGAGCAUCUUUAUCUUAUAGUUACUGUAUCGAUCGAAAUAGUGCAAGAAUUCAAGAAUUCAUGAUCUAUUAUUCACUCUCAAAAUGUUUAAAUUGCUCCAAGAAUUCACGUAUUAGAAUAUAUGACAAGAAAUAUUUUGAAAAGGUUUGGAGAUAGAGAAAUGACCCAUCCACUUAUUUUGAUGUGUAUAUGUCUAUACAACGAGUGAAAAAAAAAAAUUGUUGUUUGUGAGAUCUUGUCUUGAAUGGUCCCAGUAAUAUGGGAUAUGCAUGGUGCAAUGUUGUACCGAGCAAUUUUUUCUUAAAAAUUAAUUUCUUCACUCGGAAAUAACGUCGGUAGAGUCAAGAUCAAGAUGAAUUGCUGCACCUUUUAUGCUUAGUUAAGACAGAACUUUGUGUAAUUGCACGAUAAAAUGGGGUACCGCAUACGCAAGAGCAAACAGUUUGCUCUGUUUUUACUUAACUAGGCAAUAUGAACAGAACAACCAAGCCCAAGGAGAAGUAGAUGCGUUGUUGAACGAUUGAGUGCGGGUUAUGUUAGAUGAUGUGCGGCAAGUACUAAAAAUUGGCUCUGCCAUGUGACAACAUAAUAUUCUUAUGUGUAAAAAUUAUCUUCAACUAGUCUCCUUGAGAACAUAAUUUAUCUCGACAUGAAGUUAAGACUGAUGGAACAAGAAGAAAUGCAUGACUGGCUAUUUUGCUACUAGAAUUGCAUUCAAAUGAUUCAAAACGUCAAGUUUUGUUCCUUUGGUCACAGCGAUGCUAGCUUGGUUGUGCCUUUGUCGACAUGCCGGGAUUUCAUUAGUUUCCUAUAACAAACGGAAUUCUGUAAUAUUUGCAAAAUACAACCAAUCGUACUUUGAAAUUAAGUUAUUUUCCUAGAUACCGAUGGUGCCGACAACUGUAUAUUUUUGUCUCUAAUUUCUAUCCAUUUUGGCAUAAACAAACCAAGCGGUAGGAAUAUAGGAGACAGCAAUGUUAGGCUAAUGCACAAUCCAAACAACUAUAAUUAUGUGGGAGUAAGAGUAACAAUCAGCACAAAACAAGGGCCAAUUCCACCUCUAUCUCCCUCUCAAUAAGGGAGGCUGAUCAAAAUUCUAAACACUCUUAAUUUCUCUGAAUGCAUUACACAAAAGAAGUUAUAUUCGUCAUAAGUGACCAAAGAAAAUGUUCACCAAUCGUAAUUCUAAAUGAAAAUAGCACUAAUAUCACAAACAAAAAGGACCCACAUAGCGCAAUCAUCAGGUGAACGAAAGGGUUCAAAUGGGCUCCCAAAGUCUUCAAUUUCGACCCUCAAAUUGCACCAUUUCACACCAUUUCAUUGACUUUUUUGCCACUGUCCUUUCAUAGACUUUUUUGCUAGACUCCUAACAGUAAACCAAAAUCUUCAAUUUUGACCCUCAAUUCACACUAUUUCAUAGACUCUUUUCCCAUUGUCCUUUCAUAGAUUCUUUUGCCAUUGUCCUAACGAGUAACCAAAGUCUUCAAUUUCAACCCUUGCCAUUUCAUAGACUCUUUUACCAUUGUCCUAACAAGCAACCAAAGUCUUCAAUUUUGGCUCUCAAAUCGUACCAUUUCAUAUGGACUUUUUUAGCCGGCUGUCGCAUCCAUUUGUUAUAUGACCCGUUGGUCUGCCAACUGCCAGGCAAAUAAAGAUCUAUGGACUGAAUUUGCUGUCAAUCAAUCAUCUGUCAAUUCGGCCUGUAGCUACACAUUAUGGCACAACACAAAGUCAUGCUGUCAUGCACCUAGAGAUUCAUCAGCAUUGCCCAAAUUUUGCAUUUUAUCACCAAAAUAUGCAUAAGAAUAGAAGAUUUGAUAGGAUUUGAUUAUAGAAAUAUAUGUAAACAUAUUAUUUUGUUGCAUAGCAGUUAGAGAAUUGUUAAUGAAAUAAGCAUAAAAAAUAGAUGUUAGGAUAAGAGCUUUUAUAAAGUGACCUAAAAUUAAAUUGUUACCCAAAACUCACAUGAGAGCGCCAUGUGGUACGUGGCUUUUGUGUAUCGUUCUUUUUAAAAUAUAUAUAUAGUUACAUAGAUGGAAAAAUUGUCCAAAAUCCUAAACCUAUUGUAUUUAUUAAUUUAAUCCUACACUUUUCAAUUUAACUAAUUUAGUCAUAAGUCUUUUCAUAUUUUGCCAAUUGAGUCAUCCAGUUAAUUCUGACCGAAAAUCGCUAACGUGGACAUUAUAUGUUCUAGUGACUUGACCAGCACUGAAGUAAAUAAUUUUAAAUAAUAUUUUAAUAUUUUUCGAUUUUUUUUUCUUUUUUUUUUCUUCCCUUUUGCCUCUAGUUGAUCAUCAAGCUUGGACGACCGGCUAGAAGAACCUGUGAGGUUGACCUCACCGACCUCAAGCAAGCCUCGCCCACAUAUGGCAAGGCUCGACUUGGCCAUUCACAUCCAUUUUCUCCUUUCGUUGACUAGUCAGCUUUCUCAUUUUUUCUUUUGUUGUCAUCAUGUUUGACUUUUUAACCAAUCCAAUAAUCAAAUAUACUCAAAUGUUAGACAAUCUCCUUUAUUCUACAUAACAUAAAUCAUAUUCCUUCAUUGAUAAACGUGUUUUGAUAUGUGUCUGUUCUCUUCCUUGCUAUUAGCGUCGAUGAUUUUUACAUUAUGUUAUAUGGGGUUGUUAUUCAUGGAAUGUGAGAAAUGCCAAGUAAAAGUAUUUGUCCAUUCGGACACAAAAGAUGUUGCCUUAAAGAUUAAGUUUAAAAUUUUGAUAAAAUAGAUGGGAAAUAGAAAUUUUUUUUGAGAUUCGUAUGAUAGAAAAUAAGUAACACUGUUCAAAAACACUUUGAACCGUCUUAAUUUCCCAAAGACAUUACACAACGUAAAUCACAUUCCUCAUCAGUGACCCAAGGACGCACACAUUCAUAUCACAAGGCACCAAGCACCACCUAUAAAAUGUGCUUCACUCUCUCAUACUCGCUGUGUUUUUAUGUUUGUGAUAAUUACUUGUAGUAUUAUAAAAUGAGCCUCAUUGAUAGUGAUAAGUAAUUAUCGUAUAAUAAACCUUGAUGUAGGACUUUACUCUCACUUUAAUAAUAAGAUUUUUCAUGUAAUAUAACUUAAAUUGAGAAAAAGGGAUAUGAGAAUAAAAUAACAUUUAACCUGUCUUGAAUCUUUGAUAUAUACAUGGUCGACUAGUUUUAAAUGUUAAUUACCACAAUAAUAUGCGUGAAUCUUUUUUUUUUUUUGCAUCGAUUAAAUCACCAAAAUAUGUAUAAGAAUUAGAGAUUUUCUAGCAUUAGAGAUUUUAAAGUCCAUAAAAAUUGAAUUUAUAGGCAAAAUUCACAUGUGAGAGUGCCUCGGUUGACCCAGUCUCCACGGAUGAACGUCAAUUAUUUGCGUCUACUUUCUCCUUUUGUUGACUAGUCAAACUUUCUCAUUUUUUCUUUUAUUGUUACCAUGUCUGACUUUUUAACCAAUCCAAUGGUCAAAUAUAACCAUUUCACAUACGCUUUUGCUGCUUUCUCCACGAUUGACCCAAGUCUUCCAUGCAGCUACACGUUAAGGCACUGCACAAGGUAAUGCGCACGCACCUGAAUAUUCGUAGGUACUGCACAUGUGUUUCAUCACUUUAAAAGUCAUUGGUUCGAUGCAUCCUAGCAUAAGAUGAGCCGUGUUCAUCUGCUUCACUCUCUCGUACUCUGCUCAUCAAAACAAAGUAAUCUUUGUUUCGAACAAAAUGGCUUCCUCAUCGUGCUUCUACAUGUCCAUACACUUUCUUUUCUUGUAUUUGUCAUCUCAGCCGAUUGGCGCGCACAAUCUCUCUCAUUCCACGAAACCUCUGUGUCUCGAGGAAGAAAUGUCCGCCCUGCUGCAAUUUAAAGAGAGAUACGAAAUCCCCAAUGUUUCCGAUGAUCCUCUCGCUCGUCCCAAGACUCUGUCCUGGAAAAACAGUCGAGAUUGCUGCUCUUGGGAUGGGAUCGAGUGUGAUGAGAAUACGGGCCAUGUAAUUGUUCUCGACUUGGGAAGGAGUUUUCUCUAUGGUUUUAUCGACAACAACAGUACCCUCUUCCAGCUUGCUCAUCUUGAAAAGCUCAAUCUCAGUCACAAUCACUUCAACUACUCUCAAAUACCGUCCCGAGUUGGAUAUCUCUCGAGGUUGACUCAUCUCGAUCUCUCUGCUUCCUUUUUUUCUGGCCAAGUUCCAUCAGAAAUCUUCAAACUUACAAGGUUGGUGUACCUCAACCUGUAUUGGAAUGUGGAUUUAGAUCCUUAUAGACGUUUGUUGCGGAUGAAAGCGCCGGGCCUGAGAAGCCUAGCUCAAAAUCUGACCAGCCUGGAAGAACUCCUCCUUGGUUACGUCGAUAUGUCGUCCCAAGUGCCCACCACUCUGGCGAAUCUGUCUUCACUGAGAAGGCUGGACAUGUAUUCGUGCGACCUGCACGGUGUAUUUCCGUCUGCCAUUUUUCAUUUACCGAAGCUGCAAUAUCUUAGUGUGCCUAGCAAUGUACAUCUCACGGGCCGCUUGCCUAAGUUCAACUCGAGUAGUUCUCUUGAAGAGCUGCAACUGGCAUUCACGGGCUUUUCUGGGGAGCUACCCGCUUCAAUUGGAAUCCUUCCUUCCUUGAGCUAUCUCGACGUAACCAGCUGCGAAUUCUCAGGAUCCAUCCCGGCUUCACUCGCUAAUCUUAGCAACCUCAAAGACCUGGCUGUCUCAGGGAACCCAUUCACUGCCCAGUCCAUUUCCUCUAUUUCUUGGGUUUGGACGAAGAAGAAGCUCACAUUUUUAGCACUUCAAAUGAUCAAUUUAUAUGGCGAGAUUCCACCUUCAAUCGGAAACUUGUCUCAGCUUGAUAUGUUAUUUUUAGGUGGCAACCAAUUAAACGGUGUCAUCCCAUCUCAGCUCAUGAACCUCACUCAGCUAACUUAUUUGUCCCUCAGAAGCAAUCAACUAUCGGGUUCUAUACCGUCUUGGCUUAUGAAUAUGACUCGACUGGUCGAGCUUGACCUUGCAGUCAAUAAAUUCCACAGUGAGAUACCUUCAUCAAUCUUUCAACUUCAAAAUCUCGCGGUCCUCCGCCUUAGCGAAAACAACUUCAGCGGUACUAUUGAGCUAGACAACUUUCACAAGUUCGAUUUGGAAGUGCUGCAACUCUCAUCUAACAGGCUAUUAAGCUGCAUGAGUAGCGCGAAUCUUAUUCUUCCUCAACUUGAUAAUCUAGGACUGGGUUCAUGCAAUUUGAGCGAGUUUCCAACAUUCUUACAAAAUCAAGCUGAUAUUCAAUGGUUGGACUUGUCUGAUAACAACAUUAAGGAAGUGCCUUUUUGGGUGUGGAAUGGCAGUUUUAAUCACAUGAUCUAUUUGAAUCUCUCUCAUAACUCCUUAACCAGUCUUGAUCGAUAUUACCCGAUGCAUGCUUCAUAUUCAUACACAAUAGACCUUUCUCAUAACAAGUUGAAAGGUUCGCCCCCCGAAGUACCGUUAUCAACAAUGUCCUAUAUAGUAUCCAACAACAACUUGACGGGAGCAUUGCCAGCAUGGAUUUGCAAUUUGAGUUCAGCAAUCACACUAGACUUGUCUUUUAACAGUCUGACUGGUGUGCUUCCUAUUUGUUUGGGCAAUAUCAGCGAAUCGCUCAAGGUAUUGAACCUAAAAGGCAACAAUUUCUACGGAAGCAUUCCAGAGCUCUCGGUGAGGGAGACGCAAUUGACGAUGAUUGAUUUGAGUGACAACCAGUUGGAAGGCAAUUUAUCGAGGUCCUUGGCCAAUUGCAAAAAGGUCGAGUUCAUCAACUUUGCAAACAAUCUUAUCAUGGACACCUUCCCAUCAUGGUUAGGAUCACUACCGGAGCUUCAUGUCCUUAUUUUGCGAUCCAAUAAAUUCCACGGUGUCAUAGAGAGGCCUAAAUCUAGUCAUGCAUUCCUUAAGUUGCGGAUACUUGACCUCUCUUCUAAUGCAUUCAUUGGUAAGUUGCCCAUGGAAUUCUUUCAAUCUUGGAAUGCCAUGAAAUUCGAGACACAAAACUUUGCAUACAUGCAUAGAGAUCUAGAUCCGCCAGUGUCCGAUUCGCUCACCUACUAUGGCCAGUAUGAUUUUUCUAUGAUAGUGAUUUACAAAGGGCUUAAUAGGUAUUACCAAAAGAUACCAAACGUCUUCACAAUCAUCGACCUCUCCAACAAUUUGUUAAAAGGAGAGAUCCCCAGCACCAUAGGUGAUUUCAAAAGACUGCAAGGCUUGAACCUUGCCAAUAAUUCCCUCACUGGUCACAUCCCAUCGUCGUUAGGGAAUCUCACAGCACUUGAGUCAUUGGACCUUUCUCAAAACAAACUCACUGGACAAAUCCCCCAGAAGCUAAUAGAACUCGGGUUCCUUUCUUUCUUGAACGUCUCUUACAACAAUCUGACCGGGUCCGUGCCUAGAGGGAAACAGUUUGAUACAUUUUCAGACAAUUCUUUUGAAGGAAACUCAAGACUGUGUGGGGAAUUCAUAUCCACGAAAUGUCGAGAUUCAGCGGAUAAGUCGGGACAACCUUCAACCUACCAAGAAGAAGACUUGGGAUCACCAAUUGAACUCAAUUGGAAGAUUGUCCUUAUGGGGUAUGGGAGCGGUUUAGUGAUUGGAGUGGUCAUCGGAAAUGCAUUCAUCUCUUGGAAACAUGAUUGGUUUGAAGGAAACGCCAAGAGAAGGCGACGACGUAGUCGGAGGCAGCCUAAGAGAGGUAGGAACUCUUGGUCAAGCAAGCUUUUUAAUUUAUGCAGAUAUUAGAACUUCCUUAAAAACUGAGUUGGGUAUAUCGUUUAUUUUCUUAAAUGUACUUGCUUCGUAUUAUCUUUAUAGUUAUUUAUGUCAAACUUCAUUUUCUUCAGCUAAUCUCUCGUCACAUCUAUUUAUAAAGCCAUUGUCAACUUGUAAACCUAGCUCAUGUGCGUCUUUUCCUAUCAAUGUUCUGGCAAGAGUACUACAAUCGAACACUCUCCGAAUUGCCACAAGGAUUUUUUUUUUUUCUGUCUGGGGUUCACAUCACUUGCUACCUGUUUAUAGGUUCUAGUAAAACAAUCAAGGGUACACUGUUCUCAUAACUUUAUGCAAACUAGACUCUUAUCCACACCUCGAUCAUUUGCUUUAGUUGUUUGUCACCUCACAAAUUAUACAAACAACAGUUGUAUUGACAUUUGAAACAAAAUCCGCAUUUGGAGAUUGAUUGGACAAGAACCAUGACAAAUGAUUCUCGUGAAAAAUAUACAUAUCACAUUUGCUUUUUGGAUAUUCUUUUAUGUUUGUGCGGUAAAAAAUCGAAUUCUCUCUCGUAAAGCAGCAUAUCAUGUUGAGAACCAACAUGGCGCAGGAGAAUUUCCUAAAGUUCUUACCAUGCUUGCUAAUCAUGUACUUGGUAAAUGUCAUUGAUUUAUCUNNNNNNNNNNNNNNNNNNNNNNNNNNNNNNNNNNNNNNNNNNNNNNNNNNNNNNNNNNNNNNNNNNNNNNNNNNNNNNNNNNNNNNNNNNNNNNNNNNNNNNNNNNNNNNNNNNNNNNNNNNNNNNNNNNNNNNNNNNNNNNNNNNNNNNNNNNNNNNNNNNNNNNNNNNNNNNNNNNNNNNNNNNNNNNNNNNNNNNNNNNNNNNNNNNNNNNNNNNNNNNNNNNNNNNNNNNNNNNNNNNNNNNNNNNNNNNNNNNNNNNNNNNNNNNNNNNNNNNNNNNNNNNNNNNNNNNNNNNNNNNNNNNNNNNNNNNNNNNNNNNNNNNNNNNNNNNNNNNNNNNNNNNNNNNNNNNNNNNNNNNNNNNNNNNNNNNNNNNNNNNNNNNNNNNNNNNNNNNNNNNNNNNNNNNNNNNNNNNNNNNNNNNNNNNNNNNNNNNNNNNNNNNNNNNNNNNNNNNNNNNNNNNNNNNNNNNNNNNNNNNNNNNNNNNNNNNNNNNNNNNNNNNNNNNNNNNNNNNNNNNNNNNNNNNNNNNNNNNNNNNNNNNNNNNNNNNNNNNNNNNNNNNNNNNNNNNNNNNNNNNNNNNNNNNNNNNNNNNNNNNNNNNNNNNNNNNNNNNNNNNNNNNNNNNNNNNNNNNNNNNNNNUGAAGAGCUUGAGCCGCGGUUCGCCAUUAACUCUUUCGCUGAUUCCCGCCUUCAAAUUUUGCUUCUGUGACUGUUUUGCUCUGGUUCAAUCGAUAAUUAUUGCAGGUAAACAUCCCUACUUAACGAACCAUAUCUGCUCUGUUUAUGCUUAAAAACAGAGGCCGCGAAUCCUGCAUACUGCUUGCGUACAGAUCUUAUGUAGCCGAGCUUCCGCUAGCGAUUUGAACUCAUCGUGUUUUAUUGAUGAUAUGGAGACAAAUUCUUGGCAUGUUCCUGCGUUUAGAUCAUUAGAUUAAAUUGUCUACCAUGUGUUCGACAAUUUUUGAGUGAAACCUGCGUGUGAAAUUGAUUAAAAUCCUUGCGUAUUGAUGUUUGGUUGAUUCUUACGUGUUCAGACUGAGACGUCUGUGUUUGAUCCUCUCUCAUUGCACCAUUGAAUUGACCUGCUGUGAUGCUCCGCCCGAGACGUUGCCUGCUGUGUCUCUGCUUAUUUUUAACCUCUGUAUCAGUCCAUUUCAUUAGUCUUGUUGUCAAACCUGAAUUUAUGCCGAUUUAUCUUUAGAGGUGGCUAGGAAUCAGCUAUAUGAAAAUUGAUAGAAUAAUUAAAUAUUAAACAUUGCCGUCGUCUAAAAGCUUAAUAUUUAGAAUAAUGGGUAGUGAUCUCACAAAAUCUCAUAAAAAAUAAAAUUGAUUGGCUAGGAAGUUGAACGGAAAUGAAAGAGGGAACGAUGGAGGCUUGAAGAAGUGGAGAGUUUUGUGAUUCUGCAAUUGAGUAAUAGUUUCUGAAUGUUUGCAAAACAAAAGAAAAGAAGUGGAAUGGUAGCAGAUUCAUGACGAAGAAGAAGAAGAACUCGUGCUUUGUGGCGUGACGGCGCUGAACUAAGCAAGAAACGAAAGGAAAUAAAAUAGUAUAUUAAAAUUAAUAAAUAAAAACGAAAAAUAAAAUGCGGAAGGAAAACGAUUGGAAAGUGUGAUUCCUAGCUAGACGGUUGCAUCGUAGAAAUAGUUUUGGCUGAAUUUCAUUUGAUUUGAAUUCAUCUAGUUUAAGAGUCAUUGUCUUCAGAUUUCAAAACAAUUUGAAUUUUUAGCUUGUAUUUUCUUUUAGAUUAACAGACAAAAAAACAAUAACAAAGAAAAGGAUAAAAUGAAAAAUCUCAUUUAGCGGUCAUUUUGUCGAUUUCCGUCUUUAAUAUUGUCAGUGUAAUUCUCUUUAGUUGAAAUUAGACUUUGAUUCUGAUUUUGAAAAUUAGCUCACGGUGGUCAUGCCCGGAUCAAUAAUAAGAUAAUAUAUAUUCUUUACCCAACUCAUAUCAAGUUAUUUUACUGCACUUCACCUUUUUUGUCAAUUCUUUUACCGCAUUUGAGUAAAGUGAGGUAUUAGCUCAUGGUGAUCACGUUUAGGGACUUAAUAACAAGGCCAUGUAAUUUUUUUGUCAGACUAAUAUUAGAUUGAGUUGAUAUCACAAAAAAAUCUAAAAUCGGUACAUUUGUAAUAAAUUUAUUCGAAAUUAAUUUUUUUAAAAACACCCUAGUCAAAUAAAAGCGCUAGGCAAAUAAACGGCUAAUAUUUUCGUUGUUUAAGCUAGAAGUAUCUUAAAGAAUGGCCCACCUUUUGGCAAUGAUUUUUAUGGACUCGAUGAGUAAGAUUAAAGACGACGAAUUAAACUACUCCGCUAACUUAUUUGUCCAUCAAUUAAGAAAAGCACCAUAACUCCCCAAUGAGACCUGGGGGAAAAAUUGACAUUCCACCAGGCCGAUUCCCACCACCACCGGAAAAUGAAAAAGACCUCAGGCGACGGAAAUGCCCCUCUCUAAAGUGUGAAAUCUCGUUCUCGUCUCUCGCUAGGGAGGGGAAAGGGACUAAAUGGAACCGCUCCGGAGCAUGAGCAUGCUUUUUUGUCAUAUGGAUAGUAAAAAGAGCAUCUUUAUCUUAUAGUUGCCGUAUCCAUUGAAAUAGUGCAAAGAUUCAUGAUCUAUUAUUCACAUUCAAAGCAUUUUAAUUGCGCCAAGAAUUCACAUUUUAGAAUGAAUAACGAGAAAAAUUUUUGAAAAGGUUUGGACAUAGAGAAAUGACCCAUCCAGUCGUUUCAAUGUGUAUAUUUCUACACAAUGAGUGAAUAAUUUUUUUGUUGUUUGUGAGAUCUUAUCUUGAAUGGUCUCAGUAACGGGGAUAUGCAUGGUGCAACGUUGUACCGUGCAAUCUUUUCUUAAAAGUUAAUUUCUUCAAUCGAAAAUAACGGAACUUCGUAAAGUCAAAAAGAAGUCGAAUUGCUUCACCUUUUAUGCUUUGUUAAGACAGAACUUUGUGUAAUUGUAUGAUAAAAUGGGGUACUGAAUACACAAUAGCAAACAGUUUGCUCUGGUUUUACUUAACUAGGCAAUAUGAACAAAACGACCAAGCCUAAGGAAAAGUAGAUGCAUCAUUGAAUUGCCUAUGGAUGAUUGAGUGCCGGUUAUGAUAGAUGAUGUGCGGCAAGUACUAAAAAUUUGCUCUGGCGUGCAACGAUAUAAAAUUCUUAUGAGUAGAAAUUAUCUUCAACGAGUCUCCUUGAGCACAUAAUUUAUCUCGACACAAAGUUGAGACCGAUGGAACAAGAAGAAAUGCAUGACUGGCUAUUUAUUCCUUAAACUGCGUUCAAAUGAUUCAAAACAUCUCAAGUUUUGUUCCUUUGGUCACAGCAAUGAAAGCUCGGUUGUGCCUUUGUCGACAUGCUGGGACUUCAUUAGUUUCCUGUAACAAACGGACUUCCGUAAUAUUGCAAAAUACAACCAAUUGUACUUUGAAAUUAAGUUAUUUUCCUAGAUAUCGAUGGUGCCAACGACAGUAUACUUUUGUUUGUGGUUUCUAUCCAUUUCAGCAUAAACAAACCCAGCAGUAGGAAAAUAGUAGGCAAGAAUGUUAGGCUAAUGCACAAUCCAGACAACUGUGAUUGUCUGGGAGUAACAAUCUACACAAGACAAGGGCCAAUUCCAUCUUUGCCUCCCUCUCAGUAAGGGAGACUUCUCAAAAUUCUAAACAAUCUUAAUUUCUCUGAAUGCAUUACAUAACAGAAAUUACAUUCGUUAUAAGUGACCAAAGAAAAUGUUCACUGAACGUAAUUCCAAGUGAAAACAGCAUUAAUAUGACAAACAAAAAGGUCCCACACAGCACAACCGCCGAGUGAAUGAAAGGGGCCAGAUGGGCAACCAAAUUCUUCAAUUUCGACCCUCAAAUCAUCCCAUUUGCCAUUGUCCUAUCAAGCAACCAAAGUCAUCAAUUUCGACCCUCAAAUUGUACCAUAUGCCACUGUCCACUAUCCACUUUCCUAAUGAGCAACUAAAAUCUUCAAUUUCGACCCUCGAAUCAUACAAUUUGCCACUAUUCACCGUCCUUACGAGCAACCAAAGUCUUCAAUUUCGACCCUCAAAUCGUAUCAUUUGCCACUAUCCACUAUCCUAACUGUCCUAACGAGCAACUAGAGUCUUCAAUUUCGACCCUCACAAUGUACCAUUUGCCAUUGUCAAUUGUCCUAAAGAGAAAUCAAAGUCUUCAAUUUCGACCCUCAAAUCGUACCAUUUGUCACUAUUCACUGAUUUAACGAGCAAUCAAAGUCUUCAAUUUUGACUCUCAAAUCGAACCAUUUACUACUAUCCAUUGUCCUAAUGAACAAUCAAAGUCUUCAAUUUCGACUCUCAAAUAGUACCAUUUCAUAGACUUUUUUGCCAUUGCCUUAAUGAUCAACGAAAGUCUUCAAUUUUGACCCUCAAAUCGUUCCAUUUCAUGGACUUUUUUUACCAUUUCUUAAAAGUUAAUUUCUAUGUUAUAUAUAUAAGGCCAUUAUUAACUUGUAAAACAAGCUUAUAAGCACCUUUUCUCUUUAUAUCAAUGUCCAAGCAAAAGUACUCCUACCGAACACUUGAAUCUAAAUUGCCGCAGAGAUUCAUCUUCACACAGGGUUCACAUCACGAGCUGAUACCCGAUUACAAAUUCCAGUUAAACGAUCAAUAACAAGAUUACGGUGCUCUCAUGACUUAACGCAAUUUAGUAGGCUCUAAUCCUACCUUUGAGGUGACAUUUAAGACACAAUUCGCAUACCAGAACUGUACCCAACAAUUCCCAUGAAAAAACAUUUUGCCGACAUAAUCUUCGCCUCUCUCCUCCUUGUUUAUGGGGGUGAUUUCCCAUCUCUGUCGUCAUCUGCCGCUCCGCAUAGCUUCGAGCUCCAAGCCUGCGACGCGAUGAUCACUUGGGAUCGAGAGUCGUUUGAGGAAGUCGACGAGAAGCUCUCGGUUGAGCACAAUUCCCUCCCCACCUUUCGCGUUAACAGAGCAGAAGCAGAGUCUGCAAGAACCCAACAAAACCCUCGCAACCUCAAUCACAAGAGCAGCCAUGGCUGAUUUCUCCUACCUAUCCAACACCGGCAACUCUGCGGUGAGGUGACUCCGCGGUGGAAGACCUCAUUUCCCAGACCAAGGACCUCUUCAUCCUCGGGUCAAAUCGCCGCCAUCAACUGCUCCUCGGAGAACGCAAUUUUACCGCUGCCAAAGCGGAAUCCGGACGAGAAAUCGCGUUGGAAGUCCACCACGAAUUGAUCUAGACUCUUCACCAAUGAAUCAUUCCGAUUCGUGGAGAAGGACGACGUACUGUCGGAUUUGGUGGCUGUCUCCGCUAAAGAGCAGAAGAAAAGUUGCUGACGAAAGCAAUGUAGGAGCAGAGAAGAUUGCGAGGAUGGCGAAGCAAAUGGAGGGGUAGGCUGUAAUUUAUUCUUACUCAAAUCGUUUCGUUUGUUUCGCGCUCCUGCUUAGUAGUAACAUGAUGUGUUGCUGUCUUGGCAGAUGUGCCCUUAAAUAUCGGUGUACUUCAUUACUGAAUAGUAGCGAUUACAAUCUCGGCCAUAUGUUUUGGUUUCAAUAUAGGAGCAACUUUUUCACAUAACAAUGAUUCGGAAACAAAAAUCUAACCAUAGAUGCCGGCAAACUGCUUAGGUACAGCCUAAUUAGGUCGAUUUCGAAUUUCUCGUCAAAAUCUUUAAAUGUCAUUACUUCUAUGUUUUGAAAGAGGAAAUAAGCGUUAGCAGGAGGAAAUGAGUAGUUUGGCAAAACCACUGCUAGAUCAGAUGAUUAGGUUGAAAUUCAGGUUGAGCUGUGUGGAACUUUAAUGCCUCUCUCAAGUCUCAACUAGAUAGAGUGGUCUUCUUAGGCUCUAAACUUGGUGAUUUCACUCAUGCUAAUGCUUAGAGCUUAACUAGGGAGAAAAAGGCCAAGGUAACUCGGCAUAGGCUAAUUUGGUUUAAUCCAAAUGUGCCGACAUUUUGCUUUGUAUCUUGGCUUGCUAUCCUUACCAAGUUGCAGCAGACUGGUGAUAGAUUGUGCAAAUGGCAGAAUGUGAAUGGUAUUUGACAAUUUGUGUCCUCUGUGGAUUGAAGCCCAAAGCAAGGAGACAUUUGUUUUUUGAAUGCUCUUUCUCCUCUGAAAAAUGAAGUAGGCUUUUGCAGCUACGUGAUAUAAGAGGUUUUGUUGGGGAUUCGAAUGCCGAGUUUAUGUGGGUGUUGCAAGGAGAGAUCUUUGGUAAGUCUUAUUAAAGGUGGCAAGGAGUGGUGUCAUUUAUUUUUCAUGGAAGGAAAGAAAUGCUAUAGUUCACAAUGGGAGAGUUGCAUGUGCUGAAAACGUUUCUGAAAGUAUCUUGUUUGUGGUAAGGUUGCCGUGCAAUUUUUUUCUUGUUAAAGGUACUUUUUUCACUCAGACAUAAUGAAACGUCAUAUAGCCUAGAAAGAAAUCACAUUACACUGUGUUUUUGUGCUUAGUUAAGAUAAAACGUCAUGUAACUACACGAUAAAAUGCCAUGCCAAAGAGACAAUCACAAACAAUAUGCUUUGUUCAUACUCAAAUAGGCAUUAUGGAUAUAAAGAUUGAGCCCAAAGCAAAGUAGAUCAAUGUUGAUUUGCUUAUGGAUGAUUGAUGGGCUAUAAAAGAUUGAGAAAAUUGUCUAAAAAGUCAUUAAUCUUUUACACUUUUGUCAAUCCAUUAUUAAAUCUUUCAAUUUUACCAAUUGAGUGUUAAACACAUUUUAACAAUUGAAUUGCAUUCGGCCAAUUUUGGAUGAAUAACGCCGACGUAGACACUGACCAUCCUAUGUGACAUAAUCAAUGUUAACAUUGACAUUUUUUUAAUAAUAUUUAAGUAUUUUUUUUUUUUGUCUUUUUUUGUCUUUUUCUUUCUUUUCUUAUUUCCCUUUCUCUUCUCUUUUUCUCUUUUUCCUUUUCUUUUUCUUCUUUCUUUUUCCCUCCACUGACCACUACCAUGCCUCAUUGAUGACUAAUGAAGGUCGUCAACCUCAGGUGAGGACCGUCCUCAUCGACCCUUUGGGAGGGUCGCCGUUGCCUAGGUAGGCCAGGGCUUGAGGCACACUAAGGGCCAACGAACUCCAUAAGCUAUCAAUGAGGCCGGGGAAAGGGAAAAAAGGAAAAAAAAAAAAAAAAGAAUGACAAGUGAAAGAGCAGAAGAAAAAAAAUGUGUAUAUAUAAUUUAAAAUUGUCAAUGUCAAUGUCGCUUGUGUCACAUAGGAAUGGUUGGUGUGCUAGCACCCAUUUUAGCAAUUUGCAACUAAAAUUUUCUAAAUUAACUUAAUUAGAAAAAUGUGAAAAAUGUUUAGAACUCAAUUAGCAAAAUUAUAAAAUUUAUGACUGAAUUAGCAAAAGCGUAAUAGGUUUAGGAUUUUUUUAAUAAUUUUCCACCCAUAGAUUACUUGCAUUCUUACUUCGGCGAAUGAGGACCCUGUUUGCUACAUUGUAAUGCGUGGAGAUGUCAAGAAGGUUAAAAUAGAGGAUCUCAAAAAGGUUGAGCGUGUAAGGGUCCAUGUUCCCAAAUUUGUUCCCCACGGUCGGGUCCGAGACUAGCGCUCAAGCCUGUGUCCCGGUGCUCAAACUUGGGACUCCGAUUGCACUCAAGACUUAUUCUCAAAUGUCUAUUUCAUUAUUUUCUUGUAACAGAUAUCAGUAAAUGACUUUCCUAUUGUUUGGCAAACACAAACCAACAUGCCUUGAAAAUAAUUUCCUUUCGAAAAAUUUCUAGCAAAGUCCAUUUUUCGAGAAAUAAAUGGAGCUGGAGAUUUGAACAAACUGCCUUGAUUGAACAUAGGACUAAAUGUAAUAAAUUUGUUGUUCCUUGUGAACCGAUGAGCAUUGUUUGCACAAUGAACGAUCAAUCUUGAUGUUGCCAACAACAUAGUUUAGUUUUCUUUGUUUUCUAUUUAUUUCAAAGACAAACAGAAGAAGCAAGCAACUGAAAGUGGAUGCAUUUUUCUAUGAUUGAUGGAGUAUAGCCAGAGAAAGUUCUAAUGCUGCAAACAAAAGUCUGAGACUAAUCCGUCCCCCCUACAAUCUAGAGGGGCUAUAUGAGCAACCAAAGUCUUCAUUUCUUCCCUUGAUUUGUCCCAUUGCAUGGACUUGUAUGCCAUUGUCACAACUUGUGAAAUGCAUACUCUUUGUCUAGAACAAAGAGGAGCACUUAGCGCCAUUUUUUUAUAACUUACAUCUCAAAAAUUCAUUUGGGUUAAAAGUAAAGUGAGCCUAAUUUUGCUUUUAGAUUGCAAGAUCAAUUCGUAUUUUCCAUACUCUCACAUCUAGAUCUUAGCUUGCUUAGACAACGUCUCUUCAUUUCCGCCUCUCAGUAAUGAAACUCAUUUAGAAGUGUAUCUUUUGUUUUUUUGUAUUUAUUUUCUAGAUCUAGAUGGUGCCAACGACAAUAUAUUUUUUGUCUUUGGUUUCUAGCCGUUUUGGCAUAAACAAAACGAGCACUAGGAAAAUAUUGGGCAACCAUGUUAGGCUCUUGCAACAUCCAAAUGCCUAUGAUUGUCUAGUACCAUCAAUUUCCACAAGACAAGGGCCAAUUCCACCUCUAUCGUCCCUCUCAAUAAGUGAAGAUUGUUCAAAGUUUGAACGGUCUUAAUUUCUCUAAAGCAUUAUAUCAUGAAAAUUACAUUCCUCAUCAGUGACUAAAAGAAAAUGUUCUCAGAUCAUGCAUUCAAAGGGAAAACAAUGCUAACAUCACAAACAAACAAGUUCAACCCAGAGUAGUUAUUGGGCGAACGAGAGGGGCCAUAUGAGCAUUCAAAGUCAUUGAUUUUGACCCCGGAUUCAUACCAUUUCCUUGACUUGUUUCUCGCCGUCACAAACUUAUGAAUGGAUACAUUUGCUUAGAAUGGAGGGAAUAACAUAUUAUCUUCAUCUUAUGUUCCCACAGAGGGACUUUUUGUGAAGGGGACCAUCAUAUGUUGCUGUGCGACACCCCAUGGUUUGCAAAUUUUUGGACUAAUUAUUGGUGGACUCAAAGUCUUCCGAGCAAAUACAAAUCUAUUUGUCAAUUUUGGUUGAACAGUCUUAAUCUCUCCAAAACAUCACAUCAUGGAAAUUACAUUCCUUAUCAGUGACCAAGGGGAAAUGUUCUCACAUCAUGUAUUCAAAGUGAAAACAAUGCUAAUAUCACAAACAAACAAGUCCAACCAGAGCAGUUAUUGGGCAAACAAGAGGGGCCAAAUGAGCAUUCAAAAUCUUUAAUUUUGACCCCAAUUCAUAUCAUUUCAUUGACUUGUUUGCUGCUGUCAUAACUUAUAAAUGGAUACAUUUGCUCAGAAUGGAGGGAAUAACAUCAAACCUUUUUAUCAACCACACAAGCCCUUUAUCUUAUCUUCCCACGGAGGAACUUCUUUUGAAGGGGACCAUCACAUGUUGCUAUACGGCACCCUUUGGUUUCCAAAUUUUUGAACUAACUGUUGGUUGACCCAAAAUCUUCCGUGCAAAUACAAAUCUAUUUGUCAAUUUUGGCAUGCUCACUUACCCCUACGCACUAAGCGCCCUACUUUCCCGGUAGCAUUGCUCUAAACACAAUAAUAAUUAAAAAAAAAAAACAGUUUUGAGAACAAAAUAGGAUUUAACCUACCCACUAUCUUUGAUCGUGCAUCUAACUAGAAUCUCUACACACAUAAAGAGUUAUGUUUUAAAGUUUAGAAGGUCUUUCAUCUUUUAUACAUUGCUUAGAUAUUUAUUACCAAAUAUCCAUGAGAAUAAGAGAUUUGCUAGAAUUUGAUUACAAAAAUACAUAAAUUUAUUACUUCUUGCAGAGCGAUUAGAGAUGUGUUACCAAAGUAAGCAUAAAAAUGAGAGAGUUGCCAGGAUAAGAGAUUUUAUAAAGUGAACAUAAAAAUAAUUGCUACUCAAAACUCACACUUUAGAGUGCCAUGUGGUAUAUGGCUUUUGUGCAUUUAUCUUCUUCGUAUAUAUAUAUUUACUUAGCCAGGAAAAAAAAAAGAAUAGCUACUUUUAAGUUCAAAUUUUCGUUGAUGAAAAUUGUUUAGAGCUGUAUUUUUAAGAUAAAUGUUUUUCUUUUAUUCGCUAAAUUUAUUUAGACCUCAAUGGUGCCAAUAUUGUAGUUUUUCUCUAAUUGCCAUUUCUUUUGGCAAUAUAAAAAGAAUGAGCGGUGAGAAAAUAUUAGGAUGCAACACAAAUGUCUAAUUGCUUAUAGACAAUCGUCACUAUUCUACCUCUAUUCUCACUCUCAUACCUCUAUUCUCACUCUCAACAAGCAAGACUAAUCAUAACUCUUAAUAGUCAUAGUUUCUCCAAAGGCACUACAUAAAGUAAGUCACAUUCCUCAUCAUUGACCAAAGGAGGUGUUCACGGAUCAUAAAUUCAAAGUGGAAACGGCACUAAAAUCGCAAAUAGAAAGGUCCAACGCAGAGUGAUUGUUGGGUGAAUGAGAGGGACGCAAAUGAGCAAGCAAAGUCUUCAAUUUCAAUGCUCGAUUCGUACCAUUUCAUGGACUUGUUUGCUGCUGUCACAAUUUACGAAUAGAUUUUUUUGAAUUGUUUGCUGCUGUAACAACUUACGAAUGGAUACUUUUGGUCUAGAAUGGAGGGAACAACCUCAAACCAUUUCUUAACCAUACAAGCUCCUAAGGAUUUUUGUGAAGUGGAUCAUCAAGAUGUUGCUACAUCACCCAUUGGGUAUGCAAUUUUAUGCAAUUUUUGGACAAACUGUCUGGCCCAAGUCUUUCAUGCAAGUGACAGAUUUACUGGCUGAAUUUCCAGUCAACCGAUUGUCGAUUUGGGUACACGUUACUUCACUGCACCAACAAAAAAUAAAAAAUGAUUGAAUUGAUAUAAUUGCGUUAAGAUUAGGAUUUUUUUUUGUAAUUUUCGUAAAAUAAACAUAUAUAUGAUUUUUAUUUGUAUUUUUAUGAGUGAAUAUUUGCUUUGAAGCUAGUAAAAAUGUUAACAUGACCCCUCCUUAAAAAAUUGAUAUGUAUUGUAUUUAAUCAAGGUGUCAAGUAUACAAAUUUUAAUGGCCUCCAUAUUUGUGAUCAGAUUAACAAUUGUGAACGAGGAAAAUUCAAACGGGGAAAGCACGUGGUUUGGUGGUUGACUAUUGCCAAAUUGAGUGGACAGGUUAUCGAGACCUUGCAUUAUGUACGAUAGACCGGCUGGCUAUUGCAGCACUGCUUUGGCCCACUUCUGGAAAUUUCCUGCAUGAAUGUUUGAGUGAUAUGACUGAGUAAAAUAUUAUCGAAUAUGAGAUCUGGACCCCACGGGUUGGCUUAAUGUUCGAGGCCUAGACAUGUGCGUGCUGUUACAAUCUUCCUAGGACCAAGUCAUCGCAUUAGUGAUUGACAACGCGCCGGGGGAAAAGUCCAGGAAAUUAAGGGAAGGAGAGUCCUGAAAGUCGGAGCUAUUGACAAAUCCGGGAAUCACGAUGUCAAAUGACAGACCACAGAUAAGAGUCUUGAAAGCAUUACAAAGUGAGCCUCUAUCGAUAAAUGGUAAAUCCAAGCUUCCACACAUUCAAAUUCGAUGCGGUUCGAUUCUAUUUGACAAGUAUUCUAUAUCUUCAAGUACCUUGACGACUAAGGCAACGAGAAAAUUGUGGCUAUUCUUAUUCUAUUAGUAUCAUUAGCUUCCACUGUGCCCCUAGAGAGACUUGGGGGGUCACAUCUCCUGCAAAGCCAUGAAAGCUACUUCUGCAUCCCUGAAUUAGAAAAGGAGUUUGCUGCAUCCCCUACAUGUAAAUAUAGAAAGAAUCCACCUUGGCCCUCUUCCACUUGAAGUUCUCAAAUCUUUUUUAAUUCUUACUAAGCAACGAGGAAGAUAUUCACAUAGCCCCUUGCCUCUUCAUGCUUUUGCUGUCCCUGUCUCCACUAGUGGUGAUGGCGAAUUCGUCUCCUCCUGCCGAGCAUCCACUGUGCGGUGAUCAUGAGAAGCUCGCCUUGUUGCAGUUCAAGCAAAGCUUUGCUAUUGGAACUUGUGAGUUUUGUGACUUCUCGAGAGUAGAAUCAUGGGGCUCAGAGAAGGAGAGCGGAGAUUGCUGCUCGUGGGGUGGGGUCCACUGCGACGAGGAUACUGGCCAUGUGAUUGGCCUUGAUCUCAGUUCCAGUUGCCUCCUUGGUUCUCUCAGUCCAAACAGCACUCUCUUCAGCCUUGUGCACCGCCAAGAGCAUAAUCUAGCUUAAGAACCACUUCAAUUUCUCCGAAAUCUCAUCCUCGCUUGCCCGGUUGACAAAGCUGAAGUAUCUCAAUGUCUCAAAAUCUUUCUUCUCGGGGCAAAUCCCACGAGAUAUAUCCGUGCUCUUAGACUUGAGGUCUGUUGAUCUGUCCGUGGACAAUGUCUCGUCUGUUGAACAUCCGUCGGCAUUGAGCGGUCCUGUUUUCAGGAGUCUAAUUCAGAACCUGAGCAGACUAGAGGAACUUCACCUUGGCUGGCUCACCAGAAAUUCUGCGAUUCCUCAUAGAAUGGCAAACUUGUCUUCUUUGAGAUCACUCCUUCUAACAGAUUGUGGGUUACAUGGGGAUCUUUGGAGAGGAUUUUUCAUCUAGAGACUUAAUAACAAGGCCAUGUAAUUUUUUUGUCCGACUAAUAUCAAAUUGGGUUGAUUCCACAAAGAACCCAAAAUCGGUACAUUUGUAAUAAAUUUAUUCAAAAUUAUUAUUUUUUAAAUACCCUAUGUAAAUAAAUGCGCAAGGCAAAUAAAUGGCUAAUAUUUUCGUUGUUCGAAGCUAGAAGUGUGUUAAUGAAUGGCCCACCUUUUGGCAAUGAUUUUUAUGGACUCGAUGAGUAAGAUUAAAGACGACGAAUUAAAAUACUCUGCUAACUUAUUUGUCCAUCAAAUUAGAAAAGCACCAUAAAUCCCUAAUGAGACCUUUGUGUGGCUUUGGUAACUUGGCAUAGGCUAAUUUGGUUUAAUUUAAAUGUGCCGAGAUUCGGCUUUAUAACUUGGCUUGCUAUCCUUACCAAAUUGCAGCAGACAGGUGAUAGAUUGUGCAAAUGGCAGAACGUGAAUGGUUUUUGUGUCCUCUGUGGAUUGCAGCCCGAAUCAAGGAGACAUUUGUUCUUUGAUAGUUCUUUCUCCUCUGGAAAAUGAAGUAGGCUUUUGCAGCUAUGCGGUAUAAGAGGUUUUGUGGGAGAUUGGGACUCUGAGUUUAUGUGGGUGUUGCAGACAUCAAAGGGGAGAUCUCUGGAAAGUCUUAUUAAAGGUGGCAAGGAAUGGUGUCAUUUAUUUCUAAUGGAAGGACAGAAAUACUAUAGUUCAAAAUAGGAGAGUUGCAUGUGCUGAAAAGGUUUCCGAGAGUAUCUUGUUUGUGGUAAGGUUGCCGUGCAAAUUUUUUUUUCGUUGAAGGUACUUUUUUCACUUGGACACAACGAAACGUCAUAUAGCUAAGAAAGAAAUCACAUUACACCGCGUUUUUGUGCUUAGUUAAGAUAACACGUCGUGUAACUACACUAUAAAUGCCGUACCAAAGAGACAAUCACAAACAAUAUGCUUUGUUUCUACUCAAAUAGGCAAUAGGGGUAUAAAGAUUGGGCCCAAAGAAAAGUAGAUCCAUCAUUGAAUUGCCUAUGGAAGAUUGAUGGGCUACAAAAGAUUGGAAAAAUUAUUCAAAAAGUCAUAAACAUUUUACACUUAUAUUAAUUCAUUCUUAAAUCUUUCAAUUUUAUCAAUUGAGUCUUAAAAAUUUUCACACUUUAUCAAUUAAAGUGCAUUCGACCAAUUUUAGAUAAAUACUGCUAACAUAGACGCCAAUCAUCUUACGUGAUAUGGUCCAUGAUAACAUGAACAUUUUUUAAUAAUAUUUAAAUGUUUUUCGUCUUUUUUCUCUUUUUUUCUCUUUUUUUCUCUUUUUUUUUCUCUUUUCUUUCUUUUACUUUUUCCUUUUCUCUUCUCUCUAUCUUUUUCUUUUCUUUUCUUUUUUCCUUCUUUCCUUUUUCCUUUUUCCCUCCACCAACCACUUCCAAGACUCAUUGAUGAUUUGUCGAAGUCACCAGCCUCAGGCAAGGGCCGCCCUCAUCAACCCUUGGUGAAGGUCAACCUUGCCAAGGCAAGCGAGGACUUGAGGCACACCAAAGGCCAGCGACCUCCACUGGCUUAGCGAAGAGAGAAAAGGAAAAUGAAAAAGAAAAGAAUGAAAAGUGAAUGAUAGAAAAAAUAUAAAAUAAAAAAUAAAAAAUAUAUUAUUUAAAAUUGUCAAUGUUAAUGUCAAUCGUACUACAUAGGAAUGGUUGGUGUGCCAACACCCACUUAAGCAAUUUACAGCCAAAAUUAGCCAAAUUAACUCAAUAAGCAAAAUAUGAAAAAUGUUUAGAUCGGCGUGCCAACGCCAACUUAAGCAAUUUGCAGCCAAAAUUGACCUGAUUAACUCAAUCAGCAAAAUAUGAAAAAUAUUUAAAACUCAAUUGGUAAAAUUAAAAUAUUUAUGACUAAAUUAAUAAAAUCGCAAUAGAUUUAAGAUUUUUUUAACAAUUUUCCACCCAUAAAUUUCAUGCUUUCUUACUUCAGCAAAUGAGGACCUUGUUUACUGCAUUGUAAUGCAUGCAGAUGUCAAAAAGGUUAAAAUAGAGGAUCUCAAGAAGGUUAAGCAUGUGUGGGUCCAUGUUCCCAGGAAGUUUGUUCCCACAGCUGGGCCCGAGACUGGUGCUCGAGCCGAGUCCCGGGACUCAAACUUGGGACUCCAGUUGUACUCAAGACUUAUUCCCAAAUGUCUAUUUCGUAAUUUUCUUGUAAUAAAUGACUUUCCUAUUGAUUGGUAGAUACAAACCAACAUGCCUUUAAAAUAAGCUCCUUUCGAAAAAUUUCUAGCAAAGUUCAUUUUUUGAGAAAUAAAUUAAACUUGAGUUUAAACAAACUGCCUUGAUUGAAUAUGGGACUAAAUGUAAUAAAUUUGUUGUUUCUUGUGAACAAAUGAGUAUUGUUUACGCAAUGAACAAAGGAUCUUAAUGUUGCCAACAACACAGUUUAGUUUUCUUUGUUUUCUAUUUAUUUCAAAGAUAAAAACAAGACUGUUCCAAACUCUAAUUAAUCUUAAUUUCUCCGAAUGCAUUACACGGCGUAAAUUACAUACCUAAUCAGUGACUCAAGGAAAUGUAUACAGAUCAUGAAUCCAAAGUCGAAACAGCACUAACAUUGCAAACAAAGAAGUCCAACACAGCGCAACCCAAGUCUUCAACUACCCUUUAUUAUUUUUUAUUACAUGUACUUUUUUGCUGCUUUCAGUACGGUUGACCCAAGUCUUCCAUGCAAAAUGCAAAUAUAUAUGUAUAUAAUAUAAUAUGAUAUAAUAUAUAUGUGCUUUUUGCUGCUUUCUCCACGGUUGACUCAAGUCUUCCACGCAAACGGAGAUCGAUUGGCUGAGUUCAGAGUAUGUGCCCAGCAGCUACCUGCUACGACACUGCGGAAAGUAUGCGCAUGCGCAUAAAAUAUUCAUAGGUGCUGCGCGCGCGCGCACAUUUACAUAUAUAUAUAUGCUUUUUUGCUGCGUUCUCCAUGGUUGACCCAAGUCUUUGCGCGCAAAUGUAGAUCGAUUGGCUGAGUUCAGAGUAGGUGCCCGGCAGCUACCCGUUACGACGCUGCGGAAAGUAAUGCGCAUGCACAUAAAAUAUUCAUAGGUACUGCACAUUGUGCGUUUCAUCACACGUAGAGUCAUUGAUUCAAUGCAUCGUAACACGAGAUGAAGCGUGUUUAUAUCCCCAGGCACCCAGCGCCACCUAUAAAAUCUGCUUUACUCUCUCAUACUCUGCUCAUCAAGACAAAUUUGUCUCUAUUUCGAGCAAAAUGGCUUGCUCGCCGUGCUUCUACAUGUCCAUACACUUUCUUUUCUUGUACUUGUCGUGCCAGCCUAUUGACGCGCACAUCCUCUCUCGUUCUAUGAAACCUCUUUGUCUCGAGGAUGAAAUGUCUGCACUGCUACAGUUUAAAGAAAGGUAUGAAAUCGCCAAUGUUUCGGGUGGUCCUCUCGCUCAUCCCAAGACUCUAUCCUGGAAAAAUAGUCAGGAUUGUUGCUCUUGGGAUGGGAUCGAGUGCGAUGAGAACACAGGCCACGUAAUUGUUCUAGAUUUGGGAAGUAGUUUUCUCUAUGGUUCUAUCGACAACAACAGUACCAUCUUCCAGCUUGCUCAUCCUGAAAAGCUCAAUCUCGGCGACAAUCACUUCAACUACUCUCAAAUACCGUCUCGAGUUGGAGAUCUGUCAAGAUUGACUCAUCUCAAUCUCUCUGCUUCCUUUUUUCCUGGCCAAGUUCCAUCAGAAAUCUUCAAACUUACAAGGUUGGUGUACCUCAACCUGUGUUGCAGUCUAGAUGAUAGACUUUUGUUGGAGAUGAAAGCGCCGGGCCUGAGAAGGCUAUCUCAAAAUCUGACCGACCUAGAAGAACUUCUCCUUGGUCACGUCAACAUGUCUUCCCAAGUGCCCAACACCCUGGCGAAUCUGUCUUCACUAAGAAGGCUGAACAUGGAUGUGUGUAACCUGCACGGUAUAUUUCCGCCUGCCAUUUUUCAUUUACCGAAGCUGCAAUAUCUUUGUGUGGAUGACAAUGAGGAUCUCACGGGCCGCUUGCCUAACUUCAAAUCGAGUAGUCCUCUUAAAGAGCUGCAACUGAGAGGCACAAGCUUUUAUGGGGAGCUACCGGCUUCAAUCGGUAAUCUCCGCUCCUUGGAGAUGUUGGAUCUUUAUUCCUGCAAUUUGACAGGGUCCCUACCUAUGUCAAUCGGAAACCUUCCUUUGUUGAGUUAUCUUGACAUAGUUCAUAACAACUUCUCAGGAUCCAUCCCGGCUUCAUUUGCUAACCUUAGCAACCUAAAAUACCUAGAUGUCGGAAUGAACCCAUUCGCUGCCCAGUCCGCUUCCUCUUUGUCUUGGGUUUGGAAGAUGAAAAAGCUUGCCACUUUGAACCUCUGGAGGAUCAAUUUAUAUGGUGAAAUUCCCCCUUCAAUCGGAAACUUGUCUCAACUUGUGGAGUUAUCCUUUUUUGGCAACCAGUUAAGCGGUACCAUCCCAUCUCAACUCAUGAACCUCACUCAGCUAACUGAUUUGGAACUCCCAACCAAUCAACUAUCAUGUUCUAUACCUUCUUGGCUUGUGAACAUGACUCAACUAGUUGUGCUUGACCUUUCACGCAAUAAAUUCCACGGCCAGAUACCUUCAUCAAUCUAUCGACUCCAAAAUCUCCUAGUGCUCCAACUUUUCGAAAACAACUUUAGCGGUACUGUUGAACUAGACAACUUUCUCAAGCUCAAACAAUUGGAGGUGCUCCUACUAUCAUCUAACCGGCUAUCAUGCCGCACGAGUAGCACAAAUGUUAUUCUUCCUCAACUUGGGGCCCUAGGACUGGCAUCAUGCAAUUUGAGCGAGUUUCCGGCAUUCUUGCAAAACCAACAGAAUAUGAAUUGGUUGGACCUGUCGAAUAACAACAUUACGGGAGAAGUGCCCUUUUGGAUGUGGGAUGGAAGAUUUAAAAGCAUGCAGUACCUGAAUCUCUCCCAUAACUUCUUAAUUGGUCUUGAUCGAUAUUACCCGAUCAAUCCUUCAUAUAUGUACACGAUAGACCUAUCUCAUAACAUGUUAACAGGACCACCCGCAGAAGCACCGGCGUCCAUAUCAGACUAUAUAGUAUCCAACAACAGGCUAACGGGAGCAUUGCCACCAUGGAUCUGCAAUUUGAGUUCAGCAAUCACACUAGACCUAUCUUUUAAUAAUAUGAUUGGUGUGCUUCCGGUUUGUUUGGGCAAUACCAGCGAAUCUCUCAUGAUAUUGAACCUAAAAGUCAACAAUUUCCAUGGGAGCAUUCCUGAGGUUUUGUUGAGGGGGACGCAACUAACAAUGAUCGAUUUGAGUGACAACCAGUUGCAAGGCAAGUUACCGAGGUCCUUGGCCAAUUGCAAAAUGCUCAAGUUCAUCAACUUUGCAAACAAUCUUAUUGUGGACACUUUUCCGUCAUGGUUGGGAUCUUUGCCAGAGCUUCAUGUCCUUAUUUUGCGAUCCAAUAAAUUCCACAGUGUCAUAGAGAGGCCUAAAUCUAGUUCCACAUUCCUUAAGUUAAGGAUACUCGACCUCUCCAUUAAUGCAUUUACUGGUAAGUUGCCUAUGGAGUUCUUUCAAUCUUGGAAUGCCAUGAAAUCCGAGACGGGAAACUUUGCAUACAUGCAAAGAAACCUACGGCCAUCAGGUUACCUUAUGUACAGCCUUAUAUACAGCGACGAUGACAAUUCUGAAUUCUCCAUGACAGUGAAUUACAAAGGGCAUAAAUGGUAUUACCCAAAGAUAUUAGAAGUCUUCACGAUCAUCGACCUCUCUAGAAUUUUUUUCAAAGGAGAGAUCCCUAAUGUCAUAGGUGAUCUCAAAGGAUUGCAAGGACUGAACCUUUCCAACAAUUUCCUCAGUGGUCACAUCCCAUCAUCUUUGGGAAAUCUCACAGCACUCGAGUCAUUGGACCUUUCUCUGAACAAACUCUCGGGACAAAUCCCCCAAAAACUAUUAGAACUCGGUUUCCUUCUUCCUGAACAUCUCUNNNNNNNNNNNNNNNNNNNNNNNNNNNNNNNNNNNNNNNNNNNNNNNNNNNNNNNNNNNNNNNNNNNNNNNNNNNNNNNNNNNNNNNNNNNNNNNNNNNNAGGUCGCGACACCUGUCAUCAACUUGUUUGCUGUUGUCAUAACUUAUGAAUGUAUACAAUUCCCUAGAAGGAAGGGAAUGACCUCAAACAGUCUUAUGAACCACAUAAGCCCUUCAUCUUAUCUUCCUAUAGGGGGACCUUUUUUGAAGGGGACCAUCACAUGUUGCUACAUGACCUUUUGUAAAUGAGCAAUCAAAGUCUUCAAUUACGACCCCUAAUUCGUAACCUUUCAUCAACUUGUUUCCUGCCGUCACAACUUAUGAAUGGAUACAUUUCCCUAGAAUGACGGGUAUAACCUCAAACAGUCUUUUCACCAAAAAAAUAAAAAAAAAUAAAAAAAAAAACCUCAAACGGUCUUAUGACAGAAGCCAUUCAUCUUAUCUUCCUACAGAAGGAACCUUUGUGAAGGGAACCAUCACAUGCUGCUAAAUAACACCCUUUGGUUUGCAAAUUUUUGGACUAAUUGUUGACUCAAAGUCUUCCAUGCAAAUGCAAAUCUAUUUGUCAAUUUCGGCACAAAGAUUUUCCUUAUGUUCCCAGGAGUUAACCCUAUACGGCACUGCACAAAGUCAUUCUCAUGCACCUAAAGAUUCAAGUGCAUUGCCCGUGUCGCAUUGUCCAUGUCUUGUGUGUUUUAUCUCCAGCAAAUUAAUUAAUUUUGAUGCAUCGUAGCGUGCAAUGCGGCAUGCUCGCUUUCCCCUGUGCACCAAGCGCCCCACAUCCCUAGUAGCAUUGCUCUGAACACACGCAGGAAAGCAGAUUUGAGAACAAAAAUAGAAUUUAACCUACCCAAUAACUUUGAUCGCACAUCUACUUAGAAUCUCUUUAUACAUUAAAGGAUUAUGUUUUAAUGUUGUCAAGUCUUUUAUUGUCUAUAUAUCAUUAGAGAUUUAUUACCAAAUAUGCAUAAGAACAAGUGAUUAGCUUGGAUAUUAUUACAAAAAUAAAUAAAUCUAUUAUAUAUUGCUUAGUGAUUGGGGAUUUGUUACCAAAUUAAGCAUAAAAGUAGAGAUUUGCUAGUAUAAGAGACUUUACAAAGCGAACAUAAAAAAAAUGGCUAUGCAAAACUCACACUUCAGAGUGCCAUGUGGUACUCUAUCAAGCCUUCACUUUCAUAGACCUUUUUCCCCUUGUCACAACUUGUGGAUGGAUACAUUUGCCUAUGAUGGAGGGAAUGACCUCUAACUCUCUAUUAACCAAGCAGAUUCUUCAUCUUGUCUUCUCAGUGAGAUACUUUUUGUAAAGGGGGCCAUCUUACUAACUGCUGACCCAAGUCUUCCAUGCAAAUACAAAUCUAUUGGCUGAAUUUUCAGUCGAUCGACCAUUUGUUUAUUUGGCAUGAAGUGUUUUCUUAUGUUCCCCGGUAGCUACACGUUACGGCACUGCACAAGUCAUGCUGUCAUGCGCUAAAAUAUUCAUAUGCAUUGCCCAUAUUUUGCGUCUUUUGUCACUAGCAAAGUCAUUGAUUUUGAUGCAUCAUAGCGUGUUAUGCGGGAUGCUCUUACCCCCUAUGCACCAAGCACCGCCUAUAAAAUCUACUUCCCCGGUAGCAUUGCACUGCACAAAGUCAGAAAGACACAUUUGAAUAAAAUAGAAAUCUGCCUUAAAAUUUGUUGGGUCAUCUAAUUACAAUCGCUAUACGAAACAAGAAAACUAAUGUUUUUUUAAAUGUUUAUCACCAAAAAUGUAUAUCUCUUUUAUUUCUCAUACAUGGAUUAGAGAUUUAUAAACGAAGUAUGCAUAAGAAUUGAUGGUGCCAACAACAAUGUUAUUUUGUUUCCGUUUUCCAUUUGUUUCGGAAUAUUCAUAGAACAAGCAAUAAGAAAAUAUUAAGCAACGAUACAAAUGUCUAAUUGCUCAUAGAUAAUUGUCUUUAUUCUACCUCUAAUAUCACUCUCAAUAAGUAAGACGGUUCAAAACUCUUAGCUGUCAUAGUUUCUCUAAACGCAUUACAUAACAUAAAGUUAUAUUCCUCAUCAGUGACCAAGGGAAGUGAUCGCAAAUCAUAAAUUCAAAGUGGAAACAGCACUAACGUUGCAAACAGAAAGGUCCAAUGCAGAGUGAUCAUUGUGUGAACAAGAGGAGCCAGAUGAGCAAUCAAAGUCUUCAAUUUUGACUCUUGAUUCGUACCAUUUCAUUGACUCAGAUGUAUUACACAUAUUUCUACGUAUUACAUCACUCGCAAAGUCAUCAAUUUGACGCAUUAUAGCAUGAGAUGAGGCGUGUUCAGACCCCUAGACUCCAAGCACCGCCUAUAAAAUCUGCUUCAUUCUCAUAUGCUCUGCCCAUCAAAACAGAGUUAUCUUAUUUGAAAUAAAAUGGCUCGCUCCUCGUGCUUCUGCAUGUCCAUAAACUUGCUUUUCUUGUACUUGUGGUCACAUCCUAUUGGUGCUCACAAUCUCUCUCGUUCUGUAAAACCUCUGUGUCUCGAGAACGAAAUAUCUGCACUGCUGCAGUUUAAAGAGAGAUACGACAUCGCCAAUGUUUCGAGGGGUCCUCUCGCUCGUCCCAAGAUUCUAUCCUGGAAUAAAGGUCGGGAUUGCUGCUCCUGGGAUGGAAUCGAGUGUGACGAGAACACCGGCCAUGUAAUUAUUCUCAACUUGAGAAGUAGUUUUCUCUAUGGUUCCAUCGACAACAACAAUACCCUCUUCCAGCUUGCUCACCUUGAAAAGCUCGAUCUCAGCGACAAUCACUUCAACUAUUCUCAGAUACCGUCCCGAAUUGGAGAUCUAUUGAGAUUGACUUAUCUCAAUGUCUCUUAUUCCGUAUUUUCUGGUCGAGUCCCAUCAGAAAUCUUCAAGCUGACAAGGUUGGUGUACCUUGACCUGUGUUGCAAUCUCGAUCCAUAUACUUCUACACGUUUGUUGGAAAUGCAACCACUAGCCUGAGGAGCCUAGCUCAAAAUCUGACCAGCCUGGAAGUACUGUCCCUUUAGUGUCGUCGUUAUGUCGGCCAAAGUGCCCAACACUUUGGCCAAUCUGUCUUCCCUAAGAGCGCUGAAAAUGGAUGUGUGCGACCUGCACGGUGUAUUCCCGUCCGCCAUUUUCAAUUUACCAAAGUUGAUAUAUCUCGAGGUGGUUGACAAUAUAGCUCUCAUAGGACAAUUGCCUUACUUCAACUCAAGUAGUCCUCUUGAACUACUGCGAGUGCCUGGCACGAGCUUUUCUGGAAAGCUACCCGCUUCAAUCGGUAAUCUCCAUUCCUUGGAAUUCUUGGAUCUUAACUCCGAAACAUGCAAUUUGACAGGGUCGUUACCCGCGUCAAUUGGAAAACUUCCUUCCUUGAGUUAUCUUGACAUAAGCGGUUGCCAAUUCUCAGGGUCAUUACCCUCAUCAAUUGGACACCUUCCUUCCUUGAGUCACCUCAUCAUAAUUGGUUGCAACUUCUCAGGAUCCAUCCCGGCUUCAUUUGCUAAUCUUAGCAACCUCGAAUACCUGGUUGUCAGCACGACCCCAUUCACUGCCCAUACCAUUUCCUCUUUGUCUUGGAUUUGGAAGAUUAAGAAGCUUGCCUCUUUGUAUCUCGAGAAAAUCAAUUUAUAUGGCGAGAUUCCACCUUCAAUUGGAAACUUGUCUCAACUAAUGCAGUUAAGCUUUCUUGGCAACCAAUUAAGCGGUACUAUCCCACCUUCAAUUGGAAACUUGUCUCAACUAGAGGAGUUAAUCUUUCUUGGCAACCAAUUAAGCGGUACUAUCCCAUCUCAGCUCGGGAACCUCACUCGGCUGACGAAAUUGAUCCUCCGAAGUAAUCAACUAUCAGGGUCCAUACCGUCUUCGCUUAUGAGCAUGACUCGAUUGGUCAUGCUUGACCUUGCGGUCAACAAAUUCCACGGUGAGAUACCUUCAUCAAUCUCUCAACUCCAAAAUCUCCAGAGCCUCCUCCUUUUAAAAAACAAUUUGAGCGGCACUGUUGAGCUAGACAACUUUCUCAAGCUCAAACAAUUGUUAGUGCUGCAACUAUCAUUUAACAAGCUAUCAUGCCGCACUAGUAGCACGAAUGUUAAUCUUCCUCAGCUUCGUGCCCUAGGACUGGCAUCAUGUAAUUUGAGCAAGUUUCCGGCAUUCUUACAAAACCAAGAGAGCAUGAAUUGGUUGGACCUAUCGGAUAACAACAUUAGGGGAGAAGUGCCCUUUUGGGUGUGGAACGUCAAUUUUAAUAGUAUGCAAUACCUGAAUCUCUCUCAUAACAAUUUUACUGGUCUUGAUCAAUAUUACCCGAUGAAUCCUUUAUAUAUGUACACAAUAGACCUAUCUCAUAAUAUGUUGCAAGGACCACCCCCAGAAGCACCGCCGUCCAUAAUGUUCUAUCUAGUAUCCAAUAACAGGCUGACGGGAGCAUUGCCACCAUGGAUCUGCAAUUUGAGUUUAGCAAUCGCACUAGACUUGUCUUCUAAUGAUUUGACUGGCGUGCUUCCAGUUUGUUUGGGUAAUAUCAGCGAAUCUCUCAUGAUAUUGAGCCUAAAAGGCAACAAUUUUCGUGGAAAUAUUCCUGAGCUAUUGGUGAAGGGGACGCAACUGACGAUGCUUGAUUUGAGUGACAAUCAGUUGCAAGGCAAUUUACCAAGGUCCUUAGCCAAUUGCAAGAUGCUUGAGUUCAUCAACUUUGCAAACAAUCUUAUCGUAGACAGCUUCCCAUCAUGGUUGGGAUCUCUACCAGAGCUUCAUGUCCUUAUUUUGCGAUCCAAUAAAUUCCACUAUGUUAUAGAGAGGCCUCAAUCUAGUCAGACGUUCCUUAAGCUGCAAAUACUUGACCUCUCUAUUAAUGCAUUUGUCGGUAAGUUGCCCGUGGAAUUCCUUCAAUCUUUGAAUGCCAUGAAAUCCGAGACGGGAAACUUUACAUAUAUGCAUAGACACCUACAGCCGGGAGGGUACCUUGACCUCACCUACUAUGGCAAUUACGAUUUCUCCAUGACAGUGAUUUACAAAGGCCUUAAAUUGUAUUACCCGAAGAUAUCAAAAGCCCUCACAAUCAUUGACCUCUCUAGCAAUUUGUUUGAAGGAGAGAUCCCGGGUGCCAUUGGUGAUCUUAAAGGACUGCAAGGAUUGAACCUUUCAAAUAAUCUCCUCACUGGUCACAUCCCACCAUCGUUAGGGAAUCUCAAAGUACUUGAGUCAUUGGACCUUUCUUUGAACAAACUCUCGGGACAGAUCCCCCAGAAGCUAAUAGAACUCGGGUUCCUUUCUUUCCUGAACAUGUCUUACAACAAUCUGACCGGGUUUGUGCCUAGAGGGAAACAGUUUGAUACGUUUUCGAAUGAUUCUUUCGAAGGAAACUCAGGACUAUGUGGGGAAUUCAUAUCCACAAAAUGUCAAGAUUCAAGGGAUAAGUCAAGACAACCUUCAACCCACCAAGAAGAACGCCUGGGAUCGCCAAUUGAACUUGAUUGGAAAAUUGUUCUUUUGGGUUAUGGGAGCGGCUUGGUGAUUGGAGUGGUCAUCGGAAAUGCAUUCAUCUCCUGGAAACAUGAUUGGUUUGAAGGAAAUGCCAGGAGAAGGCGACGGCCUAGGCAACCUAGGAGGGGUAGGAACUCAUGGUCUGGCAAGUUUUUUAAUUUCUGCAAAUAUUAGAACUUCCCUAGAAAAAAUGAGCUAGGUAUUUCCUUCUCUUUCUCAAAUGCAUUUGUUUCUUCAUAGUAUUUUUAUAAUUAUUUAUGUCGAACUUCAUUUUCUUCAUCUAAUCUCUCAUCACGUCUAUUUAUAAAGCCAUUAUCAACUUGAAAACCUAGGUCAUUUGCGCCUUUUCCUAUAAAUGUAUAAGCAAAAGUACUACUGUUGAACACUCAAAUCUGAAUUGCCAUAAGGAUUCUUCUUUAUCCAGGGCUCAAAUCACUAGCUAAAACCCAUUUAUGGAUUCUCGUAAAACAAUGAUACAAUGUUCUCACAACUUUAUGCAAAUCUUAGCUUUCAUCCAUGCCUUGAUUAUUUGCUUUGGUUGUUUGUCACCUCACAAGUUGUACAGACAAUGGUUGUAUUGACAUUUGAAACAAAAUCCACAUUUGGAGAUUCAUUGGACAAGAACCGUGACAAAUGAUUCUUGUGAAAAAUAUACAUAUCAGUUUUGCUUUUCAGAUCUUCCUUUAUGUUCAUGCGGUAGGAAAUCGAAUUCUCUUUCAUAAAACAGCAUAUUAUGCUGAGAACCAACAUGGCAAAGUUGAAUUUACUAAAGUUCUUACUAUGCUUGCUAGUCAUUUUCUUGGUUAAUGUCAUUUGAUUUAUGUGUUUAAUCUUUUCUUUUUUUCUCAAAGAAGGAUCAUUUGAUAUGGUGACUUAUUGUUGACAGCUGAAUUUUGGCAGAUAAAUCAAGUUUCUGUCUUUGUAAAACCAUGAAAAAAAAAUAAUAAAUCAAUAAACGAAAGAGUCCAAUUCGGCCAUUCGUGUAAGGACCUAAUCCCAUUUGCCUCGGCCCAUUUAUUAAGUCUAACUCGCUCAAGUCGGCCCAUUCCACCAACCCAGACCACUAGCCAAGCCCAUCAGGAAUUUGACCGGCUCGUCAGUCUAGCCCAUGAAGCCCAACUUUAAAAUCUCAUUAAGCGACUUCUGCACAGGCCCACAUUCACAAGUUUAAGUCGGAGCCUCUAAAGCCCGUGAGAGCUUGGCCCAUAAAGCGCGCAUGUGCAGGAACUGAGGAGCGAAGAAAUUCUGGCAAGGGGACCAUGUUACCCCUUAUAGCACCUCACGGACUGACAGAGUUCCCUUCUCUCUAGAAUUCGUAGCCCAUUCUUCUUCUCCGGACAUUGCUCGCCAUCGCCGCCGUCGCUCGUCACUUCAAUUUAUCUCCACCGCCGCGAGAUAAAGACUCUGUUCCCCCUGUUCUCAGUCAUUGGUCGCUGAAGAGCUUGAGCGGCAGUUCGACAUUUACUCUUUCGCCGAUUCCUCCUGUCUUCGAAGUUUGCUUCUGUGACUAUCUUGCUCUGGUCCGAUCGAUAAUCAUUGCAGGCAAACACCCUUAGUUUACGAACCGUAUCUGCUCUGUUUUUUGCUAAAAAGAGAGGCCGAGAAUCCUACGUACUGAUUGUGUCUGAAUCUUAUGUAACCGAGCUUCUGCUAGCGGUUUGAACUCCUCGUGUUUUGUCAUAUUCCUGCGUUUAGAUCAUUAGAUUAAAAUGUCUACCAUGUGUUUGACAAUUUUUUUUAGUGAAACCUACCUGUGAAUUUGAGUAAAAUUCUUGCAUAUUGACGUUUGGUUGAUUCUUACGUCUUCAGAAUAAGACGUUUGAUGUUGAUUGAUCUAUAGAGGCGGCUCAGAAUAAGCAAUAAAACUGAUAAAAUAAUUAAAUAUUAAACUGUGCUUUCAUUUAAAAGUUUAACAUUUUAAAUAGUUGAUAGUCUAACAAAAUCUCACAAAAAUGAAAGAUAUAUAUAUAUCAAUAAGAGGUUGUUGAUUGUUAUGUUUGAAACUGUGUCAUUUGGAUAAAAGGACUACCAUGUCAUUGCACCUGUACUUGUAAAGUUGGGGUGGGAUAGUAAUUUGGAAAAUUACAUAAAAAGUCCUAAAUCGACCGGUGUCCACAUCAGCACUAGUCAGUGGACUAAAUUGGCAUUAAUGCGAAAAAUUUUGGACUAAAUUGGCCAAAAAAAAAUUAUAAUUAAAUUAAUACAAUUGUAAUAAGUUUAAGAUUUUUUUAAUAAUUUUCAUGAAAUAAACAUACAUAGGAUUUUUAUUUUAUAUUUUUUUAUGAGUGAAUAUUUGCUUUGGAGCUGGAAAAAUGUUGACAAGACCCCUUCUCAAAAAAUUGAUAUGUAAUGUAUUUAAUCAAGGUGUCAAGUAUACAAAUUUUUAUGGCCUCCAUGUUUGUGAUCAGAUUAACCAUUGUGAACGAGGAAAAUUCAAACGGGGAAAGCACGUGCCUUGGUGCUUGACUUUUGUAGAAUUGAGUGGACCCGUUAUUGAGACCUUGCAUUAUGCACGGUAGACUGGCUGGAAGCACUGCUUUGGCCCAGUCCUGGAAAUAUCGUGCAUGGCUAUUUGAAUGAUAUGAUCGAGUAAAAAAUCAUUGAAUACGAGAUCUCGACCCCACGAGUUGGCUUAACGGUCGAGGCCUAGACAUGUGUACGCUGUUACAAUCUUCCUAGGACCACGUCAUCGUGUGGAUAAUCGACAAUGCGUAGGUGAAAAGUCUAGAGAAUCAAGAGAAAAGUCCUAAAAGUGGUAGCUAUUGACAAAUCAGAGGAACGUAAUGUCAAAUGACAGAUCACAGAUAAGAGUCUCAAAAGCAUUAGGAGGUGAGCCUAUAUUGAUGGGUGGUAAAACUAGGCUCGCAGGCAUUCAUUGGAUUCUAUUCGACAAGUAUUCUCUAUCUUUAUGACCACGAGUUCUGAGUACCUUGAUGACUAAGGCACAAAGAAAAUUGUGGCUAUUCUUAUUCUAUUUGUAGCAUUGGCCUCCAAAUGUACCCCUAAAGAGACUCGGGGGUUCACAUCUCCUGUGAAGCCAUGAAAGCUACUUCUGCAUCGUUGAAUUUGAAAAGGAGUUUGCCACGUCCCCUUCAUGUAAAUAUAGAAAGGAUAUGUUAACUACAAAUCCUAAAACUUAUUACAAAAAUAUAAUUGAAUAUUAAAAUUUGCAAAAAGUUUAAUCAAGUCCUAAAACUUAUCAAAUUUAUGCAAUCAAGUCCUAAAAUUAAUACUGUCAAUUUAACUAGCAGAAAACACUAAUGUAAAUUUUUAAAAUUCCACAUGACAUAUUUUAAAUAAUUUUUAGCCAAUUUUUUUAAAAGUAGAUUAAAAUAAUAAAAAAGCUAUAAAAUUAUUUAAAAAGGCAAAACUGAAAAGAAAAGGGAAUCCGGACGAGAAAUCGCGUUGGAAGUCCACCACGAAGUACGAUCCAGUCUCUUCACCGAUGGAUUAUUCCGAUUCGCGGAGGAGGACGAGAUACUGUCGGAUUUGGGGGCUGUCUCCGCUAAAGAGCAGAAGAAAAGUUGCUGAAGAAGGCAACGGAGGAACGGAGAAGAUCGCGAGGAUGGCAAUUCAAAUGGAGGUGUAGGCUGUAAUUUAUUCUUACUCAGAUCUCUUCGUUUGUUCGCGCUUCCACGUUAGUCGUAACAUGAUUUGUUGCUUUCUUGGCAGAUGUGCCCUUAAAUAUCCGUUUACUUCAAUACUGAAUAGUAGUGAUUACAAUCUCGGCCAUAUGUUUUGGGUUUCACUAUAAGGAGCAACUUUUUCACAUAACCGUGAUUCGGAAACAAAAAUCAAACCAUAGAUGCCGGCAAACUGGGUACGGCCUAACUAGGUCGAUUUUGAAUUUCUCGUCGUCGAGAUCUUUAAAUGUCAUUACUUCUAUGUUUUGAAAGAGGAAAUGAGCGUGAAGUAGCAAUAAGAGGAAACUGAGUAUUUGGCAAAACCCCUGCUAAAUUAAAUGAUCUGGUUGAAACUCAGGCUGAGCUGUGUGGAACUUUAAUGCCUCUCUCAAGUCUCAACUAGAUAGAGUGGCCUUUGAGGCUCUAAAUCAGGUGAUUUCACUCGGGCUGAUGCUUGGAGCUUAACUAGGGAGGAAAAGGCUAAGGUAACUUGGCAUAGGCUAAUUUGGUUUAAUCCAAAUGUGCCGAGAUUCGGCUUUAUAUCUUGGCUUGCUAUCCUUGCCAAGUCGCAGCAGACUGGUGAUAGAUUAUGCAAAUGGCAGAACGUGAAUGGUAUUUGUGUCCUCUGUGGAUUGCAUCCCGAAUCAAGGAGACGUUUGUUCUUUGAUUGUUCUUUCUCCUCUGAAAAAUGAAGUAGGCUUUUGCAGCUAUGUGGUACAAGAGGUUUUGUGGGAGAUUGGGACGCUGAGUUUAUGUGGGUGUUGCAGACAUCAAAGGGGAGAUCUCUGGAAAGUCUUAUUAAAGGUGGCAAGGAAUGGCGUCAUUUAUUUCUCAUGGAAGGACAGAAAUACUAUAGUUCACAAUAGGAGAGUUGCAUGUGCUGAAAAGGUUUCCGAGAGUAUCUUGUUUGUGGUAAGGUUGCUGUGCAAAUUUUUUUUUCGUUGAAGGUACUUUUUUCACUCAAACACAACAAAACAUCAUAUAGCUAAGAAAGAAAUCACAUUACACCGCGUUUUUGUGCUUAGUUAAGAUAACACGUCGUGUAAUUGCACAAUAAAAUGCUGUACCAAAGAGAAUCACAAACAAUAUGUUUUGUUUCUACUCAUAGGCAAUAGGGGUAUAAACAUUGGGCCUAAAGAAAGGUAGAUCCAUCAUUGAAUUGCCUAUGGUGAUUGAUGGGCUACAAAAGAUUGGGAAAUUAUCCAAAAAGUCAUCAACCUUUUACACUUUUAUUAAUUCAUUCUUAAAUUUUUUAAUUUUAUCAAUUAAGUCUUAAAAAUUUUCAGACGUUAUCAAUUAAAAUGCAUUUAGCCAAUUUUAGAUAAAUACUACUAGCAUAGACACCGAUCAUCUUACGUGACAUGAUCCAUGAUAACAUGAAUAUUUUUAAUAAUAUUUAAUUAUUUUUCUCUUCUUCUUUUUUUCUCUUUUCUUUCUUUUACGUUUUCCUUUUCUCUUCUCUCUAUCUUUUUUUUUUUUUUUUGCCUUCUUUCUUUUUUCUUUUUUCCCUCCGCUGACCACUACCAAGACUCAUUGAUGGUCUGUCGAAGUCACCAGCCUCACGCAAGGGCCGCCCUCAUCAACCCUUGGCAAAGGUUGACCUCGCCAAGGCAGGCGAGAACUUGAGGCACACCAAAGGCCAGCAACCUCCAUUGGCUUGGUGAAGGGAGAAAAGAAAAAAGAAAAGAAUGAAAAGUGAAGGACGGAAAAAAUUAAAAAAAAAAUAAUAAAAGAAUAUAUAAUUUAAAAUUGUCAAUAUCAAUGUCAAUCAUACUACAUAGGAAUGGUUGGUGUGCCAACACUCACUUCUAGAUUAACUCAAUAAACAAAAUAUGAAAAAUGUUUAGAUCGGUGCGCCAACACCAACUUAAGCAAUUUGCAGCCAAAAUUGACAUGAUUAACUCAAUGAGCAAAAUAUGAACAAUAUUUAGAACUGAGUUGGUAAAAUUAAAAUGUUUAUGACUAAAUUAGCAAAAGCGUAAUAGAUUUAAGAUUUUUUUAACAAUUUUCCACCCAUAGAUUUCAUGCUUUCUUACUUCAGCAAAUGAGGACCUUGUUUGCUGCAUUGUCAUGCGUGGAAAUGUCAAGAAGGUUAAAAUAGAGGAUCUCAAGAAGGUUAAGCAUGUGUGGGUCCAUGUUCCCAGGUUUGUUCCCACGGCUAGGCCCGAGACUGGUGCUCGAGUCGGGUCCCUAGCACUCGAACUUGGGACUCCAAUUGUACUCAAGAUUUAUUCCCAAAUGUCUAUUUCGUAAUUUUCUUGUAAUAAAUGACUUUCUUAUUGAUUGGUAGAUACAAACCAAAAGUUCCUUCCGAAAAAUUUCUAGCAAAGUUCAUUUUUUGAGAAAUAAACGAAACUUGAGUUUGAACAAACUGCCUUGAUUGAAUAUAGGACUAAAUGUAAUAAAUUUGUUGUUUCUUGUGAACCAAUGAGCAUUGUUUGCACAAUGAACGAAGGAUCUUGAUGUUGCCAGCAACACAGUUUAGUUUUCUUUGUUUUCUAUUUAUUUCAUAGACAGAAAUAAGACUGUUCCAAACUCUAAUUAAUCUUAAUUUCUCCGAAUGCAUUACACGGCGUAAAUUACAUACCUAAUCAGUGACCCAAAGAAAUGUCUACAGAUCAUGAAUCCAAAGUCGAAACAGCACGAACAUUGCAAAUAAAGAAGUCCAACACAGCGCAACCUAAGUCUUCAACUACCCUGUAUUAUUUUUUAUUACGUGUACUUUUUGGCUGCUUUCAGUACGGUUGACCCAAGUCUUCCAUGAAAAAUGCAAAUAUAUAUGUAUAUAAUAUGAUAUGAUAUAAUAUAUAUGUGCUCUUUGCUGCUUUCUCCACGGUUGACUAAAGUCUUCUACGCAAACGGAGAUGGAUUGACUGAGUUCAGAGUAUGUGCCCAGAGCUAAUGCGCAUGCGCAUAAAAUAUUCAUAGGUGCUGCACGCGCGCGCACAUUUAUACAUACAUACAUACAUACAUACAUAUAUAUAUAUAUAUAUAUAUAUAUGCUUUUUCGCUGCGUUCUCCAUGGUUGACCCAAGUCUUGCACGCAAAUGUAGAUCGAUUGGCUGAGUUCAGAGUAGGUGCCCGGCAGCUGCCAGGCAGCUACCCGUUACGACGCUGCGGAAAGUAAUGCGCAUUGGGCGUUUCAUCACACUAAGAGUCAUUGAUUCAAUGCACCGUAACACGAGAUGAAGCGUGUUUAUAUCCGCAGGCACCCAGCGCCACCUAUAAAAUCUGCUUUACGCUCUCAUACUCUGCUCAUCAAAACAAAUUUGUCUCUAUUUCGAACAAAAUGGCUUGCUUGCCGUGCUUCUACAUGUCCAUACACUUUCUUUUCUUGUACUUGUCGUGCCAGCCUAUUGACGCGCACAUCCUCUCUCGUUCUGUGAAACCUCUUUGUCUCGAGGAUGAAAUGUCUGCACUGCUGCAGUUUAAAGAGAGGUAUGAAAUCGCCAAUGUUUCGGGUGGUCCUCUCGCUCAUCCCAAGACUCUAUCCUGGAAAAAUAGUCAGGAUUGUUGCUCUUGGGAUGGGAUCGAGUGCAAUGAGAACACAGGCCACGUAAUUGUUCUUGAUCUGGGAAGUAGUUUUCUCUAUGGUUCUAUCGACAACAACAGUACCAUCUUCCGGCUUGCUCAUCUUGAAAAGCUCAAUCUCGGCAACAAUCACUUCAACUACUCUCAAAUACCGUCUCGAGUUGGAGAUCUACCGAGAUUGACUCAUCUCAAUCUCUCUGCUUCCUUUUUUUCUGGCCAAGUUCCAUCAGAAAUCUUCAAACUUACAAGGUUGGUGUACCUCAACCUGUGUUGCAAUCUGGAUCCACAUCAUGAUAGACCUUUGUUGGAGAUGAAAGCGCCGGGCUUGAGAAGGCUAUCUCAAAAUCUGACCGGCCUAGAAGAACUUCUCCUUAGUCUCGUCAACAUGUCGUCCCAAGUGCCCAACACUCUAGCGAAUCUGUCUUCACUAAGAAGGCUGAACAUGGAUGAGUGUGACCUGCACGGUAUAUUUCCGCCUGCCAUUUUUCAUUUACCGAAGCUGCAAUAUCUUAGUGUGGAUCACAAUGAGGAUCUCACGGGCCGCUUGCCUAACUUCAACUCGAGUAGUCCUCUUAAAGAGCUGCAACUGGGAGGCACAAGCUUUUAUGGGGAGCUACCGGCUUCAAUCGGUAAUCUCCGCUCUAUGGAGAUAUUGAAUCUUCAAUUCUGCAAUUUGACAGGGUCCCUACCCCGGUCAAUGGGAAACCUUCCUUUGUUGAGUUAUCUUGGCAUAGGUUGUAACAACUUCUCAGGAUUCAUCCCGGCUUCAUUUGCUAACCUUAGCAACCUCGAAUACCUAGAUGUCGGAAAGAAUCCAUUUACUGUCCAGCCCACUUCCUCUUUGUCUUGUGUUUGGAAGAUAAAAAAGCUUGCCACUUUGAACCUCUGGAGGAUCAAUUUAUAUGGCGAAAUUCCCCCUGUAGAAAAUUUAUUGUCAUAAACAAUUAAUCAAUUAAAAAUAAACGGAUCCAUACAUGAUUGUAAAACACCGAGAUCAAUAAAUACAGCGGAAUUAAAGCAUACCUGUUUGAGCCAUUGCUUCGCUUGAAGAAAACUAGAUCACUCUGAUAAUCAGGGAUCUAUCGGAAUACCAGAUCUUCCUAUCUAUGACCUAUUUCGAUAUAGCAGCUUUCAAUGGGAUUAAAGCAACUGAUAGGUAUAACCUACCCUUUUAUAGGCUAGAGAGGGGACCUAGCAAACCCUAAUCAAUAGCGUGUCAACUGGGCCCUUCCCAUUACGGGCUUCAGUCAAACACAAUUGCCUACACUUUGCUGCUCAACUAGGCCCGUUAACAAUAGAUGCCAAUACCCAAUUCAAUCAGAUCACUUUAGGGUUUAACAAAUAUUGGAAUAUCCAUUAACCCGAUUAUUUAAAAUAGAAAAUCAAUUAAUUAAUGUAAGCCCAUAUUAUAGGAAAUUUCUAACAUUCUCCCACUUGGGCUACAUUACUUAACUUAUUUUAUUUUGAAAAAGAUUUUAUUUUGAAAACGACACUAUCGGGUUAAUAACUAAAAUUUUGUUUUAUGUGGCCACAACUUUUAAAAAAUAAUAUUCCAAUAAUGGCAUCUCAAUAUCAAUCCAAUCCUAUAUAACCUUAAUAUAGGACUAUGGAGAUCAAUGUGUUAAGAAAAUACCACAACACAGGACCUUCCAUAAUCACAUAUAAUAAGUAUUAUAUUUUCAUGGAUCAUGGGCCUAGUAGUGUAGUAAGAAAUAGUGCCAACAUGUGAUCAAGAUAUACACUAUUUCUUAUCGGUCCUCAAUGCAAUUUCUCAACGACAUGAAACUGCAUUAGCGCAAUUUCUAAACAACAUGAAAUUGCCUCAGUGCGAUUUCUAAACAACAUGAAAUUGCACAAUUAUGUCACAAUCCAACAUGAGAUCUCAUAAUUAGUGACAUCCAGUCAUCUUUAAACUAAAAUUUGUUUAAAGAUACUGUUUUAUAUUUCCAUUUCUCAGUCAACAGGAGAAAAGAUAACAAUAGAAUCAAUAACAACAAUCAUUGAAAAUAAAUGCUUUAAUAGACAUCAUAAAAGCAUUAUCAGUCUGCAUAUAACUAUAAUAUCCAGAAAUACAAACUAUAUAACUCCCACUAACAAAAGAAAUCAAAAGAUUCUAAAACACCCAUAUUCUUUACAUGUUCUUUAAACAAAAUGGGUCGUAAGCCUUUUGUUAGAGGAUCAGCCAACAUGGACUCAGUUCUGAUAUUUUCAAUUACAACAUCUUCAUUUUUUACCAAGUCCUUAACAGUAUAAUAUUUGAUCUCCAUGUGUUUGGACGCAUUACUAAUCUUGUCAUGCUUGGAAUAAAACACAGCUGCAGUGUUGUCACAGUAGAUCACCAUAGGUCUAGCAAUAGAGUCCACAACACGCAAUUCUGAGAUCAAAUUUCUGAGCCAAACUACUUGAACCGACGCGCCAUAGCACGCUACAAACUCAGCAUACAUUGUAGAGUUCGUAAUCAAUGUUUGUUUUGUGCUCUUCCAAGAAAUAGCACCUCCAGCCAUCAUAAAAAUAUAUCCAGAAGUUGAUUUUCUAUCAUCUGAACAACUAGCAAAAUCAGCAUCUGAAUAUCCAAUCACUUUUAGGUCCUCAACUCUGCUAUAAACGAGCAUGAAAUCCUUUGUUCGUUGUAGAUAUCUCAUCACCUUCUUAGCUGCAACCCAAUGUUCUUGACCUGGAUUCGACAGAUAUCUUCCAAGAGUAUUCACAGCAAAAGCAAUAUCAGGUCUGGUACAUACUUGUGCAUACAUAAGACUGCCAACUGCACUAGCAUAUGGAACAUUUUUCAUGACUUCCUUUUCAACAUCAUUCUUGGGGCAUUGAUCUAUGCUCAAUUUAUCUCCUUUCACAACAGGAGCUUCACCUGACUUACAGGUCUGCAUAUUGAAUCUUUUCAAAACACGAUCUAUAUAACUUUUCUGAGAUAAUCCCAGAACCUUCUUAGAUCUGUCACGAUGAAUCUCAAUGCCUAGAACAAAAGAGGCUUCCCCAAGAUCUUUCAUAUCAAACUUUGUAGAUAGAAAAUUUUUGGUGUCAUUCAAUAGAUCAACAUCACUGCUAGCAAGUAAAAUGUCAUCUACAUAAAGUACUAAGAAAAUAUAUUUACUCCCACUUACUUUCAUGUAGAUGCAUUGAUCAAACUUAUUUUCUUCAAAGCCAAAUGAUCUCACAACUUUGUGAAAUUUUAAGUACCACUGACGUGAUGCUUGUUUGAGACCAUAGAUGGAUCUUUGAAGUUUGCACACCAUAUGCUCCUUUCCGGCUUCUUUGAACCCUUCAGGUUGCUGCAUAUAUACUUCUUCAUCCAGAUCUCCAUUUAGAAAAGCUGUCUUGACAUCCAUUUGGUGAAGCUCUAAAUCAAAAUGAGCCACCAAAGCCAUGAUUAUCCGAAAAGAGUCUUUAGUAGAUACUGGGGAAAAGACUUCAUUAUAAUCAAUACCUUCUCUCUGUGUGUACCCUUUUGCGACUAACCUUGCUUUGAAUCUCUCGAUGUUGCCCUUAUUGUCUUUCUUGGUUUUGAAUACCCAUUUGCAGCCGAUUGGUUUAUGCCCAUCAGGUAAAUCAACAAGUUUCCAUACUUGAUUAGUUGACAUGGACAUCAUCUCGUCAUUCAUCGCUCCUAACCAUUUAUCUGCCUAAUCACUAUUAAGAGCUUCUUUGAAAGUCGUCGAAUCAACUACUUUUCCAAUGUCAAAAUUAGCUUCUCCAAGAUAGACAUGAUAAUCAUUUAAAAGUGUUGGUCUUCUUUGUCGCUGUGAUCUUCGCACAGGCAUUUCUGAAGCCGCAUCAUUUAUCUGGGGAAUUUCAUUUGUAAUGGGAUGAUCUAUUGCCAUAUUUUCGGUAUUUGCUUCUUGUUGAAUUUCCACUCUGCUGGGAUCUCGCAUAGAAUCUUCAUGCAAGAUGGGCAAUGGAAUAGAGACCAUUUUGUUUGGUUCUUCCCUUUCAAAAGAUUGAAAGGAACUCUUUUCAGCAACAUCUAAUUCCAGGAAUUUAGCAGUCUAAGAUUCAACGAUUCUAGUGCCUCGAGUAGGACAAUAGAAUCUAUAUCCUUUAGAAUGAUCAGGAUAUCCAAAAAGUAACAUCUAGUAGUCCUGGAUUCCGUCUUCUUCUGAGAAGGAUCAUAAAUUUCCACCUCUGCAGGACAACCCCAAACUUGUAAAUGAUUCAAGCUAGGUUUCUUUCCAGUCCACAAUUCAAAAGGUGUUUUCAGCACCGAUUUACUAGGUACACGAUUCAAUAUAUAAGUUGUCAUUUUAAUCGCAUCACCCCAUAAGUAUUCAAGUAAAUUAGAACUGUCCAUCAUACUUCGUUUCAUCUCCAUGAGUGUGCGAUUUCGCCGUUCCUCUACACCAUUUUGCUCAGGACUCCCAGGCAUUGUAUAUUGAGUAAUAAUACCACAAUCUUGCAAAUAUUUUGCAAACGGUCCCUUUUGUUGUCCAGCCUCAGUAUAUCGCCCAUAAUACUCACCACCGCGAUCAGAUCUGACAAUCUUGAUAAUUUUUCCCAAUUGAUUCUCAACUUCAAUACGAAACACUUUAAGCAUGUCAAGAGCAUCAGUCUUCUCCUUAAUUAGAUAAAAACUAGAAUCUAAAUUCAAAACAACUGUCCCUAUGCGCUCCACAUCAACUCCAGUAUUGUUGCCAACUUUAAGCUUUGACUCCCUCAGACUUGGACUUUUUCGAUUUGUGAGACCCUUGGUGACUUUCUUUUCUUAUUUUUAGCCAAGCUCGAAAUUUGUAGCAAUUGGCUCUCUUGUGACCCUGCUUCUUACAGUGAAAACAUUUAAAAUCAUUAUCUCCAUUCCUCCCAUAGUUCUUAUUUUUCCUAAAGUCUUGCCAUUUCUUUGGGCCAUGAACAUUUGACCCCUUAGGCUUCCAUUUGCCUCUACAUGAACUCAACUUGGCAUUGGUGGUUAAGUGGGCAGACUCAUACUUUUCCUUCUUUAAUUUCUCUUCCUCAGUCACACACUUAGCAAUCAAGGCAUUAACACUCCAUGUCUCAUUCUGAGCAUUAUAAGCAGUCUUAAUCUGGCUAAAUUCAGCUGGCAAAACAUUUAAGGCUUGAUGCACAAUAUAAUUUUCAAAAAGAACAAUUUCACGGGCCUUAGUUUGGACUGAAUGUGGACCAUCUUCAGUAUAAAUUCUCUAACACCCAUAGCAGCAUCAUACCUCAUGUUCGUUAACUCACUCGGCAAGUCCCAGCUUCAGCUUCAGCCUUAUCUGAGACUCUAUAUCUUUCUCCCACUGCUUCAAAGAACUGUAUGACAUUCGUAUCUUCCGGCAAACCACUAAUCAAAUGCUCAGCAAUGGACCUCUUCAUAGCUAUGAGGCUCAGUCGAUUAGAUUUUUCUCAUUUAGCAUAAUGGGCCUUUUGAUCUGUAGUACUUUGAUCAUUGGGCCUGACAGGUUCAUCCUCACGUAGAGCCAAGUCCAUAUCAACGAUGCCCAAAGCAAAUUCUAUAUCUUGCUUCCAUCUCUUAAAGUUUGAUCCAGUUAACAUUUCAACCGUGGCAUUGUUGUUAUUUACAGCAAAAAUAACUUUUUGUCACACAUAAUGCAAUAAGAUCAAUUAUUGGCAAUAAGUAUUUUAACAAAAUAAUUAGUACAUUAUAAACUCCCCUUUGGGCAGAGUGUAUAAUGCACCAUUAUUUUUCACAGCAUGAAGUUUAUAAAGCAACAAUAAGGAGAAUUACAUAUAAUUGUCAAUGAUCUAUCCCCUUUGGGCAGACAAAUCAUUUAAAUUAUACAUCUCCAUGAUAUCAAUAUAGAGAUGAUAAAAGAGAAUUACAUAUAAUCUUCAAGGUUCAGUCCCCUUUGGGUAGACAAAUCCUUUAAAUUAUAUAUAUUUCCAUUAUCUCAACAUAGAGGGGAAUUACACAUAACUCUCAAAAAAUUUAUCCCCUUUAGGCAGAUAAACCUUUUGAGUCACACAUCCCCAUCAUUCAUCUCUAAUAUAUCAAUAUAGAGGGGAAUUACAUAUAACUUUCAAAACAUUUAUCCCCUUUGGGCAGAUAAAUAUUUUUCAGUUAUACAUCCCCAUCUUUUAAAUAUGGGAAUAAAAUUCAUGCUAUUUUUCCAAAUUAAUAUACACAAUAACUCCCUUUGGGCAAGUAAUUGUAUAUAUUAAUCUUUUAUCAAUAGGGAACUCCAAAAUUUAUGCCCAAAAUUCAUCAAACAAUAUGAAACACUUUACAACAUGUGCUUCCAAUGAUCAUAUUGCACCUUUUCAAACAACAAUUUUUUUUUUUCCACAAUUUUUUUUUAAAAAUUAAUUUUUUAUUAUUUUAUUAUUAUUAUAAUAUUAUUUAAAUAUUUCGGACUCCCGCGGGCCCAGGACCCGCGAGCAGCCCUUAUCAGACCCGCGUGUCAUAUGUGCGCCCAGCCCACACGCAAACCAUGCGGGUGGGCCACGAAUUAAAACAAAAAAUGGGCCAAACCCAUUUGUUUUUUUUGGUUCUGGGUUCACGCCCAGAACCUCUUUACUUUGGUUCAUGGGCAUGAGCCCAGAACCUUUUAAUUUGUUUAUGGUUCUGGGCUUACGCCCAGAACUUUUUAUUUAUUUAUUAUAAUGGGCGUGAGCCCAAUUCGAUGGCCCAGCCCGGCUGGAGGUCUUCUUCAACCUCCAGCCGGGUCACGAAUUUGCAGAAAACCGGGUCGCAUGACCCGGUUUCAACCCGAAGCUCCGAAGGCACAAAUUAACAUUAUUUUUGAUGAAAUUUCUCCAUGGGACUUGCACAAAACAUCAAUAUAAUUAACUACAAUGAAUUAAAUGAAGAAAAACCAAGCGAAUCUACCACAUACAAGCCUCAAAGUUUCGGAUCUAAAGCUCCCAUGGCCGAAUUUCGAAUUUCCUAAAUUUAAACCCUAAUAACUCAAUUCAAUACAAAAAAAAAAGAUACUAAAACAAAUAUAUAACAAUACCCAUGCAAGGGUUUACAACAUACAUCAAUCGAUUGCAUGUAAUUUGCAAAUUCUAGAACUUUUUCACAUAUAAACCCUAGAAUUUCAAAUCUAAAAUUCUCUCUCAAUUCUCAACGAAAUUAUGCAAAUUAUAUAUGCUUGGAAAGAUAUUGAUGUGUAGAACAAAAGCCCUAUGGUUAUGGGAUUAAUCAAGCAAAAAAAAUAUACACGAAAAAAUAAUGCCCAUAUUUGGCUCAAAGAGGAGAGUUUCGAAUUUUUCCAUAAAAAAAUUUUGGGUUAUACAAUCAUAUAUGAUCGGCUCUGAUACCACAUGUAGAAAAUUUAUUGUCAUAAACAAUUAAUCAAUUAAAAAUAAACGGAUCCAUACAUGAUUGUAAAACACCGAGAUCAAUAAAUACAGCGGAAUUAAAGCAUACCUGUUUGAGCCAUUGCUUCGCUUGAAGAAAACUAGAUCACUCUGAUAAUCAGGGAUCUAUCGGAAUACCAGAUCUUCCUAUCUAUGACCUAUUUCGAUAUAGCAGCUUUCAAUGGGAUUAAAGCAACUGAUAGGUAUAACCUACCCUUUUAUAGGCUAGAGAAGGGACCUAGCAAACCCUAAUCAAUAGCGUGUCAACUGGGCCCUUCCCAUUACGGGCUUCAGUCAAACACAAUUGCCUACACUUUGCUGCUCAACUAGGCCCGUUAACAAUAGAUGCCAAUACCCAAUUCAAUCAGAUCACUUUAGGGUUUAACAAAUAUUGGAAUAUCCAUUAACCCGAUUAUUUAAAAUAGAAAAUCGAUUAAUUAAUGUAAGCCCAUAUUAUAGGAAAUUUCUAACACCCCCCUCAAUCGGAAACUUGUCUCAACUUGUGGAGUUAUCCUUUCUUGGCAACCAAUUAAGCGGUACCAUCCCAUCUCAACUCAUGAACCUCACUCAGCUAACUGAUUUGGGACUCCGAACCAAUCAACUAUCAGGUUCUAUACCUUCUUGGCUUGUGAACAUGACUCAACUAGUCGUGCUUGACCUUUCACGCAAUAAAUUCCAUGGCCAGAUACCUUCAUCAAUCUGUCAACUCCAAAAUCUCCAAGUGCUCGGCCUUUUCGAAAACAACUUUAGCGGUACUAUUGAACUAGACAACUUUCUCAAGCUCAAACAGUUGUGGGUGCUCCUACUAUCACCUAACCAGCUAUCAUGCCGCACGAGUAGCGCAAAUGUUAUUCUUCCUCAACUUGAGGCCCUAGGACUGGCAUCAUGCAAUUUGAGAGAGUUUCCGGCAUUCUUGCAAACCCAAAAGGAUAUGAAUUGGUUGGACCUGUCGGAUAACAAGAUUACGGGAGAAGUGCCCUUUUGGGUAUGGGACGGAAGAUUUGAAAGCAUGCAGUACCUGAAUCUCUCCCAUAACUUCUUAACUGGCCUUGGUCAAUAUUACCCGAUCGAUCCUUUAUAUAUGUACACGAUAGACUUAUCUCAUAACAUGUUAAAAGGACCACCCCCUGAAGCACCAGCGUCCAUAUUACACUACAUAAUAUCCAAUAACGGGCUAACGGGAGCAUUGCCACCAUGGAUCUGCAAUUUGAGUUCAGCAAUCACACUAGACCUGUCUUCUAAUAAUAUGACCGGUGUGCUUCCGGUUUGUUUGGGCAAUAUCAGCGAAUCUCUCAGGAUAUUGAACCUAAAAGGCAACAAUUUCCACGGAAGCAUUCCCGAGGUUUUGUUGAGGGGGAUGCAACUAACGAUGAUUGAUUUGAGUGACAACCAAUUCCAAGGCAAGUUACCGAGGUCCUUGGCCAAUUGCAAAAUGCUCGAGUUCAUCAACUUUGCAAACAAUCUUAUCGUGGACACUUUUCCAUCAUGGUUGGGAUCUUUACCAGAGCUUCGUGUCCUUAUUUUGCGAUCCAAUAAAUUCCACAGUGUCAUAGAGAGGCCUAAAUCUAGUUCCACAUUCCUUAAGUUAAGGAUACUCGACCUCUCUAUUAAUGCAUUUACUGGCAAGUUGCCUAUGGAGUUCUUUCAAUCUUGGAAUGCCAUGAAAUCUGAGACGGGAAACUUUGCAUACAUGCAAAGAAACCUACAGCCAUCAGGUUACCUUAUGUACACCUACUAUGGUGAUUAUGACUUCUCCAUGGCAGUGAUUUACAAAGGGCUUAAAUGGUAUUACCCAAAGAUAUCACAAGUCUUCACGAUCAUUGACCUCUCUAGAAAUUUUUUCAAAGGAGAGAUCCCUAAUGUCAUAGGUGAUCUCAAAGGAUUGCAAGGACUAAACCUUUCCAACAAUUCCCUCAGUGGUCACAUCCCAUCAUCAUUGGGAAAUCUCACGGCACUCGAGUCAUUGGACAUUUCUCUGAACAAACUCUCGGACGAAUCCCCCAAACUAUAGACUCAGUCCUUUCCUUUCUGACAUCUCUACACAUCUGACUGGGUCUGUGCCCGAAGGAAACAGUCCGAUACAUUUCAACAAUUCUUUUGAAGGGACCUCAAGACUCUGUGGGAAAUUCAUAUCUAGGAAAUGUCAAGACUCAGGGGAUAAGUCGGGAAACCUUUCAACCCACCAAGAAGAAGACUUGGGAUCGCCGAUUGAACUCAAUUGGAAAAUUGUUCUUAUUGGGUAUGUGAGUGGCUUUAGUAAUUGGAGUGGUAAUUGGAAACACAUUUAUCUCCUAGAAACAUGUUUCGUUUGAAGGAAAUGCCAAGAGAAGGCGAUGGCCUAGUCGGAGGCAGCCUAGGAGGGGUAGGAACUCUUGGUCAAGCAAGUUUUUCAAUUCCGAUAGAUGUUAGAAUUUACCGGAAAAAUAAGCUAAGUAUUUCCUUCUUUUUCUUAGAUGUACUUGUUUCUUCAUAGUAUCUUUACAAAUAUUUAUGUCAAACCUUCGCUUUCUUCAAUUAAUCUCUCAUCACCUCUGUUCCCCACCUCUAACGUAAAAUUACACUUUUUGUUCUUUUUUACAAAGCCAUUGUUAGCUUGUAAACCAAGCUCAUAUGCGCCUUUUUUCUAUUUAUGUUGAAGCAAAAGUACUCCUAUCUAAAAAUCAAAUCUAAAUUGUCACAUGGAUUAUUCUUUAUCCAAGGUUCACAUUAGAACGUGAAACCCGUUUACAGAUUCUAGUAAAACGAUCAAUAGCAAGACCACAGUGUCCUCAUAACUUUAUGUGAAUCUAGGCUCUCGUCCGCACUUCAAUCAUUUGCUUUUUUUGUUUUUUUGUCGCCACACAAAUUAUGCAGACAUUGUUGUAUUAACAUCUGAAACAAAAUCCGCAGUUGGAGGUUGAUUGGACGAGAAUUGUAACAAAUUAUUCUCUCCGAUCUUCUUUUACGUUUUGGCUGCUGGAAAUAGGAUUCUCUCUCAUAGAGCAGUAUAUUAUGCAGAGAACCAACAUGGCACGGUUGAAAUUUACGCACUUCAAUCAUUUGCUUUUUUCUUUUUCGUUUUUUUUUUUUUUUGGUCACCACACAAAUUAUGCAGACACUGUUUAUUAACAUUUGAAACUAAAUCCGCAGUUGGAGGUUGACUGGACAAGAAUUGUAACAAAGUAUUCUCUCCGAUCUUCUUUUACGUUUUUGCGGUUGGAAAUAGGAUUCUCUCUCAUAGAGCAGUAUAUUAUGCAGAGAACGAACAUGGCAUGGUUGAAGUUCUUAAAGCUCUUGCUAUGUCUGCUUGCUAAUCACGUACUCUGGAAUUUACACAGUAAAUCCAUUUGAUUUUUCUGUACAUCCAUUUCUUUUUCCCCUGAAAGGAUAGUUUGAUGGGAUGGCUUCUCUACAGCUAAUUUAAUCACUUGGAAUGGUUCUCAAGAUAGUGACUGGUUGAUUAUGGCUCGAAGUUAAUGUUGAUCGAUUUAAAAUCUGAUACAUAAUUGAAUCUUAAGGAAAUAUGGCUAACGUUAGGAAAGUCCGAAUUGAACUUUUGCCAAUAAGAUCGUGGGUGAGGGAAAAAAGGAAGUCCGACUUCCUGUAGCCUUCGUUUACUUAUUGAAGUACAUGUUGACGUCGGAGAAGGGCUCAUAGUAUUUAUGUAUAAAAUUAUUCUGUUGUAGAGUUUCAUCUCUGGUGCACAGUAAGUGCGCUAAAGCACGCUAAAAUGUGCGGAAUUUGCGAGAGUCACAGAGCAUCGAGAGCGUUCUAAGAAGAGAACUGAGAUUUUGAGAAAACUCAUUCGUUGGGAUUGAUUCUUUUAAGUUCGGGUGCUAUUUAAGACUUGGAAACACUUGAGAUUAGAGUGUUCAAAGGAUUGUAAUCUUCUUUUUGCUGAUCAUAGCGAAAUCAUGUCAUCAAUCUCUUCGUGAGGUAUGCACACCUUCGAACCACGUAAAUUAUUGGGUUUAGAUUGAACUUCUGUAACAUAUUUCUCGCUUGAAUUGUUUCCUUAAUUCGCAGUCCCGCAUUCGUCGUAUCGUGAUUUGCGUUUCUUUCUUCGCAGAUAUGCCCUUAAAUAUUCGUAUACUUCAUUAUUGAGUAGACCGCCACUUGUUUUGGUUUCAAGAUAAGGAAGCAACUUUUUCCAUAGCCCUAAUUCAGAAACAAAAAUUAAACCAUAGGUGCCUGGGAACUGCUUGGGUGCAGCGUAACUAGAAGGUUCAUUACUGAAUUUCUUGUCAAAACUUGUUAAUGUCAUUACUUAUAUAGCGACAAGUGAUUAUCGUGUAACAAAACCUAAACUUAGGACUUUAUUCUCAUUUCAGUAAUGAGUAUUUUCAUGUACGAUUUAAAUUCAGAAAAAGAUAUUCGAGGACAGAAUAUAAUUUACCCUGCCAUGGAUCUUUGAUCAUUCAUCUAAUUUGAAUCUAUAUAUAGAUCAAUUAAAUUUUUAAAAUGUCUCAUUGCUUAAAUCUGCAGAAGUCUAUUGCUUUUUGCACAUCGAUUAGAUUAUCAAAAUAUGCAUAAGAAUUAAAGACUUUCUAAAAUUGGGGAUAUUCUAAAGUCCAUAAAAACUAAAUUUCUAGGCAAACCUCACACAUGACAAUGGGAAAAAUUGUUUAAAAACUCCUAAACCUAUUAUACAUCAAUCAAUUCAAUUCUAAAUCUUUCAAUUAUGCCAAUUUAAUCCUAAACCUUUUGACGAUUUACCAGUUUAGUCAUAAAUCUUUCAAUUGUGCCAAUUUAAUUCUAAACAUUUUCAUGAUUUGCCAAUUUAAUCAUAAACCUUUGACAAUUUAUCAAUAUAGCCCUUUCAACUAAUUAUUCAUAUAAUUUGUUUAUAACUAAAUUGGCAAAAUUUUAAAACAGAACUUCAAAAGGUUUAGGUGCCCAUGUCCAGGCACCCAAGGCCUAUGCCAAUUCACCGAUGCCUUGGCCUAAGUCCAUGGCUAAAUUCCACGGAGGUGGGCUCGUGACCCUAGUGCCCAUGCCUAGAUCCCCAACGAUGAUUCUCAAGUACUUGUCUCCCAAGCUUGAGUCCAAGGAAGUUGGACUCAAGACCCAGGUGCCUGCACCCAAGUUGCCAACAGCCAUGCCUCAGUACUCAGCUCACACACCCGAGACACUAGCGCUUAGGCUCCUGUCCACAACCAUCGAGCUCAAGGCCACGAUACCCAUGCCCAAGGCCCUAACUCCUACGCCCAAGUCAUCGACGAUGCUCGAGCCUAAUUUAUCAUCAGCUAGGCCAAUCAGGCCUAAGACCUUAACGCUCGUACUUAGGUCCCUAAUGGCCUUCCCCUACCCUCGUGCCCAAGUCAUCAACAAACAAGUCCAUAGAGGUUGGGCCUGAGAACUCAAUGCCUAUGUUGGAGUCCCCAGCAGCCAUGCUUAGGACCGGACCCCGAUGCAAUGCCUAGUUCUCCGAUAACCUUACUUGGAUAACUGACCACACUACCCUUAAGUUACUAGCUCAAGGGCUCAAUUCCUCGACAGGCAAUUCCAAAUCUAUAGAGACUGGACCUAGCUCCCUCAACAUUGGGACCAAGACUUUGCUACCUAUUCCCAAGUCCUUGAUACCCAUGCCCAAAAACUUGGCUCCUACACCCAAGUCACUGCAUCCAGACCUAGGUCCAUAAAAGUCAAGGUUCUUAGUGGUUGGGCUCGAGAACUUUGCUCCCUCAACCGAGAUUCCAACAGUUGGGUAUCUCUUAUAUAACACGUAUAGCACUUGUCUUUUUAGGAAAACAAAAUCAAGUUUUCAUUUCUAAACAAUAAAAUAAUUUUCAAUUCAUUUUCAGAUUUCAAACAAACAAAUGAGAAUAUUCCUAUUUUCUUGAAAAAUGACUUCCUAACAAAUAUUUUCCAAAAAUGUGAAAUUUUUCGCAAAAUAAAUAGGGCCUUAAUAUCUUUCUAUACCAUCUCUUCUUCUUUUUCCCUUAAAGAAGGAUCAUUUCAUGAGGUUGCUUUUUUACAGUUAAUAUAAUCACUCGGAAGGGUUCCCAGAUGGUGAUUUGGGGAUUGCGGGUCGAAGUGUCGUUUGAUUAGAAAGCCUGCACACAAUUGAAUUGUAAGGGAACCUGGCCCAUAUCAAGAAAGUCCGACUUGAACUCUUGCUGACAGGCCCGCAAGACCUCCUUUUCUUAUUGAAGUUCAGGUCCAUCAUCGAAGAAGGGCUUACACAGCUUUUUUUUUGCAUAUAACUCUUGUCGAGUUCGGCCUGGAUACAAAGUGAGUGCGCCUAAUAUAUGUAAAACUGGCGAGAGACAGAAUGCAUUGAAAGCCUUCUAGCUAGAAAUUUAAGAGUGAGAGAACUCAUUUGCGGUGAUUGAUUCUUGCGAGUUCAAGUGACAUCUAAAAUUAGGAAACGCUUGAGAGUUGUCUGUUCAAGCAAUUGUAAUCUUCUCUUUGCCAUUAUAAUGGAACCAUCUCAUUGACUCUCCUUGUGGAAUAGCCAAAGCGCCAAACCAUGCUCACGUCUUAUUUCUGCAAUUUGUUUCUUGCUCUAACAGCUUCAUUUGUUCACACUUCCGCAUUAAUCGUGACCAAGUGACAAUGGAAACUAAGUUUAAAUUUCACUUGAGGCUUGAAUCGCUUCAUGUGUUCAUACUUCCGUGUUGGUUGUAACAAAGCGGCAUUAGAAACUAAGUUUAUUGUCGAUUGGUUGUUCCAGGAAUUUUGUCCAUCUAUGAUAAUCAUUAUGGUCUCCGUGAUAUUUGAAUUAGAGAAAUUUAUAAUUUUAAUUUUGUGCACAUUAAGAUGCGCACUUUAUUGGAGACACAAGAUUUUGGAUUCAGCAUUAAAGGGACACGAUAAAUUUCCCCAAACUAUGAAAGCUGCAAAAAAAGCUGAUAUUUUGAAAAAAGCUGCAGGUUUUGUUCUGCCAAAUUUAGGAAACGAUGUUUGUGGUUGAAGUGGCUGAUGAGUUUAAUGUAGCUGCAGUUUGGGCUGCAAAGCCGUCCCAAAGAUACUUUUCCCGAUUCAACGUUUCUUAACUUUCCAGAUUAAUGAGGAACAUCAAUCCAAAAUCACCUUUAUAAGUUCAAUAGUAAUUAAUGACAUGAAAAAUGUGGAUGAGAACGUAUCGACCGAUGGUGGAGGAAGCGUGAACGGGUGAACCUGCUACUUUACUCGAGUCUGCGAGCAUUUGGGAGCGCCGCAUAUGGCCAUGUUUAGGACGGUAAGCUAGAACGGAGGACAAAAAGUGCAUAUGCCUAUGCACUAGGGAUGAAAGGUUACAGGCCGUGGCGUUGGGAUCCUCAAAUCGCCCGGAUUUCAUCAUCAGCAAAGAUGUUGCAAGGAGACAUGGUAGCUAGUAGUAUUCUUCAAAAGCGAUGUCAGGUGUACAGCUUCAGCAAUGGAUUGGUGCAACGAGAGAGGAGAUUGGAGUCGCUUGAGUGGGAAUCAAACACGGUAAUCAGUGGUAUCUGGCAGAAGAUAGGGUGCAGGUGGGCAUUCAGAAAGGCGCAUGAUAGUUUUGAUUCACGAGCGACCAGACACAAGACCCGCUUGGCGAAGGGGUUUAUUGCACGAGAUAUUCUCACCUGCGGUGAAGCAUAGUUCAAUCAAGGUGGCGUUGGGACUAGUUGCGGCGGACGGCUUGGAGUUGGAGUAGCUCCAUGUUAAGACGGCGUUUCUAGACAAGGAAUUAGAGGAGCGGAUAUUCAUGCAAUAGCCAGUAGACUUUGUCGUUUCGGUUCAUUAAGGCAAUGCAUGCUUGCUCAAAUGAUCUAUUUAUGGCUUUAAGCAAUCUUAUAGUUGUACAAACGAUUUGAUUCCAUUCAACGUUAUAUGAGAGUGCUCAUGAUCAUUGCAUGUACUCUAGAAGGUUAUGCGAUGGUACUUACAUUUAUUUAAUGUUAUAUGCUAAUGAUAUAUUGAUGGUAACUACGAACAGUUGAGACACCAAUUGAGGAGUAAUUUCGAGAUGAAAGAUUUAGGUGCAUCAAGAGUCAGUAUGAAGAUCUAAAGAGAUAGGUUUGUAGUAACGCUUUUGGCUAUAACAAGGUGAUUACAUAUGUAAAGUUCUGAGGCGACUUACUAUGCAAAAUAUCGAACUGGUGAUUUUCUCACUAGUUGCAUACUUCACAGUUUCACCUGACUUUAGACCAAAAUCAGAGGAUGAGAUGGAAUAUAAGUCCCACUCAAGCCAAAGGGGUCUCAAAAGCAUUUCUCGGCAGGCUAUGUAAGACUAUCUAGUUAGAAAGCUCGAGUCUGCCUGAGAGAAGGCCUGAACAACAAGUUAGGUUCAACAUAAAUACCUAACUAAGCCUAGUCCCGCCCAUUGAUCGCUUAUGUUGGCAAGUCGAAAGGUACCCUUCUCUAUAGUGGAAAAUCUACAUGUAAUUAGUGAUUUUUAUAUUAUCUUCAUUGUAUCCAUAACUUUUCAUAUAAAAGAAAUAAUUAAGAACGUACUGAAAUUCACUAAUAUCAUAACUAAAGAUAUGUUUGGACAUCCCAAUAACUAGUGGCUAGUUUUGACUGAGCACCUUCACAAAUAAUACAUUAAUCGGCCGAACAAGUCAUUUGUUUUUUUCCCUCGAUCCAACGGUGCAUACUCCUUCAUCAACAGUGAACGGUCCAGAAUGACCACGGACGAAUAUUCAUUUUCAAGCCAACCAAACCAUCGGAAAAGGCCCAACCUCAUAUUAUCAUAUGACCAUUUUUGAAAUAAUUUUAAAAGAUGGAUUAUUAUAUAUACCAUGCCUGCACCAAAGAAAAAGCAAAACAAAAAACACGUAACCCUCUUUGCUUGUACUCUUUAUUCUUCUUUUUCUCUUCUUUUUCGAAUGAAUCUGCUUUAGUAUCCCCACUUAAAUAUUGUGCAUGGAGUUAAAUAAUAUAUAUAACAAGAAACCAAUGUACAAUAAGAUUAAUUACAGGAUUAAUUUAAAACCUUCGAAAAUGUUCCCAAAGCAAAUACCAAUAUGGAAUUGAAGGCACUUCUUAAUAAAAUGGAUCAUUUCAAUUUUCAAACCAUCUUUGUCGUCAUUAUCACAAGAGGAGGGUAGUUCUGGGGUUGGUCCAGCUUCCAUCUAGUAUCUAUCCUUUAGAACCAAUUCCCAACUUUUUGAAAUAUAGAACUAUCAUACAUACUUUGAAACUCGGAACCUAAUUUGUUACAAAUUUCAAGGUCAAUUAUAAAGUCUAUCUAGGUUUCCCAUGCAUCAUUAAUUGAACCAUUGUAGUAAACACCUCUAAUAAUCACUAUUUGUUGUUAUAAUUAACUAACUAUAACUCAUAUUUAGACACACAAAAAUAUGAAACAUUAAUAAAGUAAAAAUUUUAAUCGUGCACAUGUCGGAAAUGGAAAAGUAGUGGUUUUAGAUUACAUAGGAAUUUCGCAAAAUUGCUCGAAGACUUGGAACAAGAAAAACACAAAAACUUAUUACGGAUUUUAGAUUCUACAACCGACCUAUUUAUUUAAACAAGUUCCCCAAUUUUCUGAACUCAGAAGUUACCUUGCGUACCCUAAAACCAGACUAGUUCCAACAAGUUUGGUUUUUGCUUCGAUUCCCAGUCAUAUCCUCAAACCAUGCUCACCCCUAAUUUUCAUGGUUAAAAAAGGAAAAAAAAAAACUUCUCCAAUUAUCAUCUUGCAAUUUCCUAGUUCACCAUUGUACCUAACUUAAUUAGGUCUGAUUAGAGACAAGUUAAUUCGGUUUCGAUUGUGUGUAAAUUACCUAUACAAUAGUUAGUCUUGCUUAUAUUUAGAUAAACAUAUACAUAUGCCUAUGAACUAUGUUAAAUGUUACACUAAUGAGAAUGUAGAGGAUAAUUAAUAAUUAGUUUUAAAUCUAUCAUUCGGAUGACAAUUAAAUCUUAAACUUUCAAGUUUACUAACAUAGUCCUCAACCUUCAAUUUCUAGUGCCAAUUUGCCGAAAGGACUGUCUUCAAAUCUUGCUCAAAUAUUGAGAAUUAUGUUAGCAAAGUGACUAAAUUGAUACUUUCCUAUGAAUGUAAUGUAGAAGAUGGAUGGCUGAAAAUUGAAAUGCCUCAAAAAUGGACUCGAGAAACACAAAAAAAAACAAUUGCGGCGCAUUUGCAAAACAAAAAUUACCUAUACCUUCAGAGAUAAUAUAAUAAAAAUUAGAAAUGCUUACAAGAACGGAAUCAGAAACUUCGUGGUUUUCUUUUACAAGUCACUAAUUUAAUGACAAAGCUUUACACACAAUUACUUGCACAUUUCCAAAAAUUACAAUCAUCCUUUGGAAGUUACCGUUCCUAUCACCAAACGUGACCAAAAAAAAUAAAAUCCAGCAAGCACUUACUGACAAAAAAUAAAAUAGCAGAUAAUAAAAUCCAGAGAGCACUUAAUGACAAAAAAUAAAAUAAAAUCCGCACAACCUCUCUCUCCAUCCCAGCUGUCCAUUACCAAUACACUUGAGAUUGUAAAUGACUUUGUCAAAGACUCAGCCCACUUUUUGCCCCUUUUAUUCCUCCAUUAUCUUAUACAUCCUUCCAAAUUAUAAUUUAUUUAUUUGCUUUCACCCUCAUAUACGAACACCAACACGAAAAAUACGCUGGCAAUGAUGUACGUGUAUAAACGAAAGAGACAUUCGAAUAAUUAAGAAAAAUCACCAUAUCAAAAAAUACUUCGAUAAAACUAGAUAAUAGCUAGAUAAUAGAAAUGUAAGAUGAAAAAUACACCACAAAAAAAAAUGAGAAAACUACUUUGCAGCUUUUCUUGGAAGGUUGUUGUAAGAUAGAUUAGAUUCGAAACGGGGGAAUAUAAGGUAGAUUAUCGAUUCAUGCAUUUACUAAUGGCUAUGAUAUUUAUAAAAUAAGUAACUAAGGUUAUUUUAAAAAGAGAGGAAAUUAAUUAAAAUGCCAUAAAAGUAUCAGAUUCUCCUUGCUUUAAAUAAUAGUAUUAGCCAGUAUAGAUAUAUAUGGUAUAAAAAAUAUAUAUAUCACAUCAAAUCACAUAUUAUUAAAUGACACCAUAAUUAAUAAUGACAAAUAAUAAAAAAAAUAUAAUACAAAAAAGUACACAUCUACCUCAUCAUCAUCACCUUCCUCUCUCUCUCUCUCUCUAUCUCUACCAAACCCAGCCCUAACCAACAGCAAAUGCACCCCCCGCACAUUUUAGCAAACACCCCCUUCACUUUCCGAUUUAAUUACAAUAAAAAUUAAAAUUAAAAUCAAAAUAUUAUAUAUAAAUAAACUUUAUAUUAACGCCCGCCCCUCCCCGUUUACUUUCACUCAAUCUCAUAAUAAAUUUUUUUUAUUUUUCCUCCGUUUUAUUAACUCCCUUUUUUUGGGGCCCUUUCCUCUAAAGACCACAUCCCCCCCAUCGGCGAUCCACCGGCAUCUCCCGGUCCGCGCCGCCGAUCGCCGGAACUGCUCCGCCGCGCCGCCCCGAACCUCGCCGCCCUCAGCCACCGUGCACGGUGAGUCCUCCAUUCGCGGCCCCCGUCUCUGUGCUGCGGCCGCCUUGAAAAGCGGU
rnacentral:lncRNA from 1 species